rnacentral:lncRNA from 1 species
UUUGAUUUGAAACCUCUAAAUAACUCUUUUAUAUAUAACAACGAAUACAAAACUCAACAAUAAUAUAUAUAUAUAUAUAUAUAGAGUCCGGCUAUGGUACUUGUAGAAGUACCAAGCACUUGGUGCUUGUAAAUAUUUUAUCCUUAGAUCUAUGUUUUUGAUCAUUUUUAUCCAUUAAAUUGUACUAUUCAACCAACCACCCACUCAACCCUAGGGAGCCCACAUUAUCCUAACCGCACAUCCUUUAAUCCAAGGGCUGAAAACUUACAAGCACUAAUGACUUGGUACUUUUAAAAGUAUAGGAGCUCAAUUCUAUAUAUAUAUAUAUAUAUCUAUAUAUAUAUAUAUAGAGUGAGGUUACUAUGCUAUCGGAAGCACGGAGCCUUUCGUGCUUCCAGCUCGUUUUCGAUGUUGCGACUUUCGAAUCGUCGAUCGGUUCCGUUAAACUUGAUCUAGAGUAUUUGAAGUAUCUAGAAAAUAAAUUUUAUGAUUUUACGAUAUCAUUUGCCUAGUGAACGAAGGGGUUCAAAAUCAACGGCUGAAAAUAAAAAUCUUAUAAAAUGUAAUAAUAUGACAUUAAAAUUUUAAAUCAAAGAUAUUGAUCUUGUUUUAUAUAGUAUAAAGAAUUUUCUAUCAAAAUUUCACGUGAUUUGGAUAUUUCUACACCGUUAAACUUGCAAACGGCUUACUACGGCCAUUGAAAUUUGUUGAUUUUGAGCCCAUUUGAUCACUAGGCAAAUGAUAUCGAAAAAUAAUAAAAUUUAUUUUCUAGGUACUCCAAAUACUCUAGAUCAAGUUUAACGGAGCCGAUCGACGAUUCGAAAGUCGCAACAUCGAAAACGAGCUGGAAGCACGGAAGGCUCCGUGCUUCCGAUAGCAUAGUAGCCUCACUCUAUAUAUAUAUAUAUAUAUGUGUGAAGAUAAAAAGUUUAGAUAUAGUAUGUGGGUCGAGAUGUGCUAUAUAUUAUCCUAAAAAUAAGAUUGCCUCUUCACGUGUGAGACUCCAGUAAUUAUUUCUAACAAUACAAUGACGACGAGUUAUCCGUCGGCCCGUCUCCAAGGUAGUGGAGAAGCUCAAGUGAAGGUGAAUCGAACCGGGUAGCUAAGACUGCACGCCGCUGCUGCUGCCCCAUGCCCGCCCGACCAUGCCUGGCUUGUGCCGUGCGUACGUGCAUGUGUUUAAUAGAUGGCACCACUCUGAUCAUUAUCACCCAACCAACUAGUUUGAAUGUAAUGGAGUAUACAAGGCGCUACUACUAAUGUCUUGAAUUUUUCAUUAUUUGGAACUAAAUUCAUAUAUAAUAAAUUAUGCACGGACUCUCAGGUACAGCUUUGUUUAAUUUGGUCUACCCAUGAGACCCAUAGGCUAAAAUAAAGUUUUAACUCACACUUUUAAAAUAAAUACCAACAAAAAUAGAAACACGCACUAGCGGUGGACAUUAUUUGUUUCAAUUCUCUUUUUCCCUUUUUUUUAAAGCGAAUAUUCGAGAUUCUACUUUUGUCUCCAUUCUUUUGAUUAUAUUAUUUGGAGCUGUUAAAAUAUUGAUUCUGCGAUCUAUUGCAAAUGUCAAAUAAAUAUGAAUGCCCAUCUCAGCGCCUUAGGUUUAUUUUUCAAUUCAUGAGCUGUAGGAAAUAGGAUUGAGAUUUGGAGCCUAAAAGCAGAAGCUACAAUUUACAUGUUGAGAUUCUCCCUAGAGAGAGAAGUUGUUGCGGGGAUCUUAAUAAAAUGCUUUUUCAAAUAGCAGUACGUAAGAGCACGUUAUUAAACAGUAUUAUACAAAAGUACUUACUUGGACCGGUCCACCCGACUAACUUUGUACUUUUGCACCGACCGUCCCUAGAGCAAGUGGCAAAGAACUUGGUGGUUGUUAUCCGAGACCCAAGUUCGAAUCUUAGUUGAUUCAGAUUUUUAACUAAGUUUAUUUCUAAAUGAAAUAAACGAAGCGGGUAGCGUGCUACCUAUCUCUCAAAAAAAAAAAAAAAAAGUUUGUACGUUUGCUUUCACACCUGCAGUCACUUUUAGCACAACAUUCCCAGAGUCUCUAUUAAGAAAUAGAAAUAAAAUUUUAGGCCUCAAUAUAGUAGCUUGAAACUUUUGAUUCAGCUCUAGAGAGAAACUGUUGGGAUCUUCAUCCUUGCGAUGUAGCUUUUAGGUUUUCCUCUCUUCUUAUCACAUAAUAAGAAUGCAAUGUAUCAAUGCUAUUGUCUCACAAUGAAAUCUUGUUAUUUGGAUUUUCUUUGUGGUGCCGAAAUUCUUAUUUAUCUCUGUAUAAAUGCAGGCUGGUUACCGACAUAUAGAUUGUGCCCGACUAUACAAGAAUGAGAAAGAGGUAAUUGUGGUUAUCGCGCUUUCAUUGAUACUGAUGCUUUUUUCCUUUGGAUUGUAACACCAUUUAUUGCAAUAGAAUUGCCGAUAUACUAUUGUAUAUUUGUUAUGUUAGGUAUGAUUAUGGAAUUUGGAAAUUUUCAAGAACCAGGAUUCAGGAAUUUAAAGAAAAAUCUGCACGAUCUUUGUUACUUUCAGCAUAUUUGUUGUCUAAAACAGGUCUAAGUUUAUCUCUGCCACUUCUGAUCUUAAAGCUGCAGCUUUUGCUUCCGCAAAGAAGUUAAGAGAAUUCGCGUUUAAAACAAUCGGAGAGAUCAGAUAGCCAACAAUAAACAUGUUUAUGCAGUGGGAUUCAUUUCAAGUAUCAGCUUGUUUUCUUAAGUGUACCUAGCCUUUUAUUUUAGUUCCAGUUCUUAAAUCUUACUAUAAACUAGUUUCACUAACCGCGGUACAACUAAAAUCUCCACUGCUGUAAUGAACUUUCCGUAUUCAUAGAUUGGCGACGCUCUAAAGAGCCUGUUUGAUGAUGGUGUAAUCAAGCGUGAAGAUCUGUUUAUCACCUCGAAACUUUGGUAGGUUUCUUUUCUUGGUUUAACAGACUAAAUAGUGUAGCACUUUCAUUCAUGUUUAAGAAAAACUAACUUUUCAGUUUUGCCGCUCUUUUUACUAAACAUUUUCUUAAAAGAAUGAACAUCUUAUUUUGCAGGUGCAGCGAUCUUGCCCCAGAAGAUGUACCGGAUGCAUUGGAUGCAACUUUAGCGGAUUUACAGCUCGACUAUAUAGAUCUUUAUCUUGUAAGUUUGUAUCCAUGGUUACAGCUCUGCUGAGUGCUAUUUCUUUGAGUCUGGUUGCGUAUCUGUUUGCGUUAAAUGAACCGGUUGCGUAUUUCUAUCAGCUCGAGUUUUUGGAAUUAAUGGUUAGCACCAACGAUCCAACAAUGUGAAGGAAUAACCAUGAUAGUUGUUUUAUCUUUUAUUACCAUGGGAGUUGUGAAUGCUAUUUUAGAAUCAAUGACUCUGCAAUAGUCGUAGCAACUUGGUAGCUUCAUUCUAACAUGUCAUUCCUAAUGUAAUGUGUGAGGAUUGUUAAUAUUAAGCUUUUCAGAAUAAUGGAAUUUAGAACUAGUACUUUCUUAAGGAGGCUUACACUGGAAAAAGAUGCAUAUAUGAUCUAAAAUUCUACUCCACUCUAAUCAGCAUUCAGCACUUGAAAAACAUUCUCCUCUCGAGAUGUACGCAUCAACAUUUUCUCUACUAUUUUAGAGAGAUCGCUGCGCUUUCCUCGCAGUUUCGUUCUUACUAAUCAUUCUGUUAUGUGUCAAAGAUUCACUGGCCUUUUCGGAUGAAGAAGGGAACUAGUGAUUUUAUCCCCGAAAACUUUCUCGAGCUCGAUAUGCGCGCCACGUGGACGGCAAUGGAAGAACUAUACGAUUCCGGUAAAGCUCAUGCGAUCGGAGUGAGUAAUUUUUCUUCCAAGAAAUUGGGGGAUUUGCUUUCCACAGCACGCGUGCCUCCCGCCGUGAAUCAAGUGGAGUGCCACCCUUACUGGCAACAAGCUAAGCUCAGAUCAUUUUGCCAAUCGCAGGGUGUUCAUAUCUCUGUGAGUGUUUUCAUAUACUCAUUUGGCUUAUUCCAGUGAUCUUUUUUUUGGUUAUUAUUUAAAAAUUGGUGGAUAUCCACUUUAGCCACAGAUUUUGUAGUAUCAAGUAACCGACCACUAUAAGACUUCGCGAUUCAUAAGUUUUGAGUGGUGAACUUAUAGACUUGAGUGAUAGAUGCAUUGUUCAAAGGUACUCUACUUUAGUUCCUAACAGUGCGCCGAUCAUUCAAAAAUUGUGCUUGGUAGUCCUAUAGUGGAAGGGCAAUUUAUGGUUCAAAAUUAGCAUAUUUUCUCUUUUGUUCUUGAUUGUCAAUUUAUUUUCCGACGGUCGUUCCUACAGGCAUAUAGACCAUUAGGUCAACCAGGGUCGACGCAGAAAACCAAAAUCUUAACAAACCCCAUCCUACAAACAGCAGCAGAGAGUCUGGGCAAAACUCCCGCGCAAAUAGCUCUUCGCUGGGGCCUUCAGAUGGGUCAAAGUGUGCUUCCCAAGAGCACAAACGAGUCGAGGAUGAAGGAGAAUUUGGAUCUGUUUGAUUGGUCGAUUCCUGAAGACUUGCUUGCCGAGAUCAGUGAAAUCGAACAGGCAAGUCGCAGCAUUGUUUUUGCGCAACAAUCUGAAUGAUCUGAACAUUUAUGUUUUAAGCUAGGAUGAGUGAUUUUAAGUUUUCAAGUAACGAAAAUAGAUAACUGCAGCUGUGCAUUUCUAUACUUGUUCAUUUUUUAGAAUGAACAGAGAAAAAUGCAGUAGUGGAGACCUUUUAUCACGAGUUUUGAAAAUUUAUCGUGAUAUCGGAAUAGAGUGGAAGUAAAGUCCUAUGUUUUAUGGUUAUUUUCAAUUACAUUUUAGCGGUAUAUUUGUUACUAUACCAUGUAGUAUUGUUGGUUUCUCAUCCACUUGCCAAAGUACCCCUUUUUUUUGCUUCCCACUAUGCACUACGAUUUAAACAGAUAGAAAAUAGGAGUCAGGAGUAUUAUGACAUUUGCAUUAUCAAAUAUUAGUAUAUUAUGUGUCAUGAAAACAAACUUUUUAAUUACAGCAAAUUUCGGUUUUGGAUGGUUUGUAUAAGUUCAUUUGACUGUGAUCUGCAGGUUAAGCUAGUUCGGGGAGAUUGGUUUAUCCACCCUCAGAGCAUUUACAAAAGUGUCGAGGAGCUCUGGGAUGGCGAAAUCUAAGCACUUAGAUGAAUUGUUUUUAGUUAAAGUAAAAUAUUAAUGUGUGUUGCGUUUUUCAUAAAGGAGUACCACUUCUCCCUUUUCGGACGAUUGUUGUUUCUCACAGUUACCAUGUACACUUCCUUGUUGGUUUUAAUUGAAUUUAUAUGCAAUAUGUAUCAACUUUCUCAUAUAUUUCAUGUGUUUAAGUGAGUUGCAUGAUCCAGACACGUUUUUUAUGAUGAUCAAGUGUUGUAUAUGAGAUCUUAAAUUUUCGUCUACUUUUACAAGUUGCUUUAAAGUUCUCAGAACAUGCAUAUCUUGUUUCCCUCAGAACAUAACACUGUUUUGACUUCUCAGAACUGACCUACUCUCUCGGGAAUGGCCGUGUAGUAAGGUUUUGGAGUGAUAUCUGGUUAGACCAACCCCCCCUGAGCACUCUCUUCCCAUGAGUAUACGACAAGGUGGUAAACAAGAAUCUCCGGGUUUCUGACUGCUGGGGUAGGAAUGGAUGGAGGUGGCGUAAAAUUUUGGCAGGGUUUAAUCCUACCUCUCUUGUCGAAUUGGAUUCGAUUAGAAUCCUUAAAGAGCUGCUCUCGGAGACGUCGAUCUACAAUGGACCGGACAAGGCCGUUUGGAGAUGGACACGGUCUGAUAAAUUUACGGUCAAAUCUCUUUAUAUCUUCCUGCAAGACGGGGGGCCCACAAUAGCUUUUUCGUCCAACUGUGGAAGAUUAAAGUACCCUUGAAAGUUAAGAUUUUUGUGUGGCUUGUGCUACUCAAAAAGAUAUUCACAGUGGACAACCUACGUAAGAGGGGCUGGGGUGGUUACGAAAGGUGUGUUUUCUGCCUCGAGGCUAGUGAGACGGUGGACCACCUUUUCUCGGAGUGCUAUAGUACUAAGACGCUGUUAAGUAGGUUUCUACCAAACAAGCAGUUCAUCUCUAACUGUACGUCAGUUAAUCUACUCUGGGAGGAUAGUAGGCGUAAAGAAGGUACCUUAGGAUUUAGGGAACUUGCUUCUAUCGCCGCGACGUGGUGGACGGUCUGGUUGGAACGAAACAAAAGAAUUUUUGAGAAUUCUAGACGCCCUAUUUCCCACCUAGCGUUUGAAUCCCGCUCACUCAGAGAUAUGUGGGCUCUUGUUCUCUAGUUUUUUUUUUUUUUUUUUUUUUUUUUUUUUUUUUUUUUUUUUUUUUUUUUUUUUUUUUUCAAGGCCCAUUUGCCUCAGUUUGCAGCUCAAUUCACUUUCUGAUUGAAUGAAGUGGUAGCAUGCUACCUUUUCUCAAAAAAAAGAACUAAAAAACUAAUUCAAUAAAGAACAUGAUAAUGUAGGAGGAUCAAAUCAUGAAAUAAAUAGACAUAUAAUAAAAUCUCUUCCUUUUUAUUGUCAAAGCAAGUCCUUAUAAAAACUGGAGAGAUGAAAUGAAUGGCACAAUAAUACAUAUAAAGGCCCAUUUCAUUAGCCCAAGUAAUCCUCUUACUACCUUAAAACAAACUUUACAAAAAAGCAUCAACUUAAGCCCACAAAAGCCCAUGGAUAUUAGGCCGAGUUUACUUUGGGCUGGGCCCAUAUUUUAGAAAAUCCCCCGGGCGCGUACCACGUACUACUAGACCUUUUUUUUAAAUUUUUUUUUUCCAUAUUGUUUUAGUAAUAUAUUGCUUUAAAAAGGAUCCUUACGUGGAGAAUUGAAAAUGAGCUACAUAACAACAAAAAUAAAUUAUACGCCGUAUUUUUUAUACGAAUUUUCCGUCGAAAUCAAAGAGGAUUCGGAUUUUGAGUUUUUGGCCUGAUGCAAUUUUGGAUAUGAAUUUUCAAAAUCCGCCAAAUUCGGGAUCAGGUUCUAAGUUCGGAUUUCAGAUUCGAAUUUUCAAGUCAGUCCCGAAUCCGACCCGUCGAAAUCUCUAGUAGCAAGGAUUCUGACAGGGCGGGUCCGUGGGCACAAAGACGUGUCUUUUUUUUUUUUCGACAAAUAGGAACUAAUUUGAGGCGGAUUGAUUUUUAUUUUAUUUUUUAUUUUCACUUAUUACUCCAAACUAAUUGGAGUAAAUUUUUUUUGACAGAUCAGGAAGGGCCAAGAAAAAAAAGAUGUCCGCACCCCUCGCUCCAUCUUUUUAGCGAAUUGGAACAGAUUUGAAAAAAAAAUUUCUAAAUUUUGACCCCCACUUACUGCCCCAUUCGACACGGAUCUGGCAAAGUAAAUCCAAGAAUACAACUCAGGAUAAUAUAAUAUGGUAUAAUAACCCACACUAUCAUUGAAAGGCUAACUCAAAAUAUUGUGAUAUACCCAACUGCAAAAGAGGUGAAUCUAUAGAUUCUAUACAGAUGACAAGAAACAGAACAAAAAAGAAAAAAUAAAAAUGUAACUGUUCAUCAUUUCACAAUGUUAAGAAAGGAAAAUUGGAUUAGAUUAUAUUAGGUUAAUAGACUAACAAAAAUUGCUGUUCACUAGAGCAGCACUAGAACACUAAAAAGAACCAAGAAAAAAAAAAAGAGAAAAAAAGAAAAAAAAAACUGGAUAAUACAGGAAUAAAUCAUGUUGAGAGGGCAUAUAGUGUGCCAUUAAAAUAGACAGACACCUCAGCCCUGAAUGAGGGCUCAGAAUUCUGAGCCUUCCAAAUUGCCGCAGCAACCCUUCUCCUGUUUCCAGAGCCAGAUUCCCCGGUUCACGCCUGAUGAUUUAUGAAAAUUAAAAAGAAAAAAAUAAUUACGAAGGGGAGGCACUCGACGAAAGAAUCGAGUGGACUAAUUCAAAUAGUUGUGUAGUUGGAGAAUAAGUUCAUCAGGUUGUCCAGAGCUUCAGGAUAGAAUUUCCGCGCAAAUAGAUAACAUGGUCUCUUCAUCCCAUUCCACAAGCAGGGUUUCCGCAUCACCACUUUCUGCAACAAAAACCAGAAAAAAAAAAAAAAAAGAGCCAGUUCUUCAAUAUAUAUUUAAAGUAUUUCAUGGUUACAACCAAAAAAAUUAUAAAUAUAAUGUAUGAUACCAACUGAACAUAGCAUAAAUGGUAACACAAAUAUCACUGCUGGUCUGUUUGAGGAAAAUUCUCAGAAGCAGCAGCAAAUUUGAUAAUUUUUGGACUAUGCUUAUGUAACGUAACGUCCUAUUACUAGGCUUUGUACUGAUAUGUGUGAAGAGGCAUUGAUGUUUUAUACCCAAUUAUCUUAUUAGAUUUGUAAACUAGUAGAUGGUUCGAUCACCGCAUCCAAUAAAAAGGGUAGAAGAAACUGUUCCACUUGAUAUAUCAUGGAAUGUGAACAUUAAGGAUCAGUUUGGAUGUUGAAACAAGUUAUCCUGUAAUAAUAACUUGUGCAAUGUGCGGAUAUAUUUGUGAUCGCACCACUUAAAAUAAACGAGGCCUUUAUGGCAAUGAGAAACAUAACCAUUACUUAAGUAAGAGCAUAGAGAUCAAUACGAGCAGAAAGGAAUUGCUAUGCAUACCUUUUCAUCGCUUGUAACAUGAAAACUCUCAUCAAUAGACUGCCGCAACACAAAAUCAGAAACUCCAAGUUAAAACCACAUAAAAUGGAGAAUACAACAAAUAUAGAGAGUAGCGGAGAGGUAAACAUACUGUUAUAUUCUUCAGGAGCUCAAAAGUGACAUCCUUAGCCCGAUAUGCCUUUGGAUGCCACUUUCCUUCUGACCAAUCAACAUGUGUCACUGACCAAUUGGCAAUUCCAGUUGGAUCAAUCAUCUGCACGUUUAAGUUCAUUAAAUUAGCAAGCGAAUUAAAGAAAGAAAUAGCAUAUAAAAGGGUCUGAAAGGUUUUAAUUUGCUUACAUAAAAUAGGGUUGGCAAAUAAUGCUCAUCAGCAUAGCAAUUGCGUCGUCCCUCCAUCCCUGGCUGUGAAUAAACAGAAGAAAAGCAAUAUCACCACAUGUUUUUGUAAUAGUAACCCCCAUUGACGAUUUCAAAACAGUUCAGCUUCUUCUAGCCAAAAAAUAGAGUUGUUCUACUUUUGUCUGGCAAAAACAACAUUACGGUCCAGCAAUCAUUCUUUUACAGUUAUACAACAUAUUUAAGCUUGUCGCUUUUACACUACCUUUGGUAUUUAAGUUAGGUUCUUUAAGAUUGUGCGAAGGAAUUGAAAGAUAUACAGCUGUACAAUUACCUUGCAAUAAAGCUUGAACUUUGUGUAGUAAAGACUGUCUGCCAGAAUCACCAAAGCAUGUUGCCGCUUGAUUGAGAACCACUGCAAUAUACAGACUCAAAAAUGUUUGAUACUAUCUUUUCUCAAAUUGCAAAAACAAGAGUCUGUCAAACAAUGGAGGCUCCUACUUAAGCAAAAUGACACUUAAUCUCUUUCGAAAAGUAAAGCCUCGAACAUUUAGUAUGGACUAAUUGUUGACAUAACCAAAGUGCCUGUUUAUGGCCUCCUCGUAUGGCCUUGCUGUUACCAUAUUUACUAUGGCUUCAUUGUUAACAUGAACCGACAACAAAUUGAUGCAAGGUAUUGGAAAAGGCAAACCUUAUUCUGAUUGUUAACAUAAGCCAAAAACAUCACCAAUUAUAAUUAGUCACUAGCUUAUGAACAGAAGCUAACACUUUUUUGCCUUCCUCAUAAAAACACCGUCAGUCAUUUUAUGCAUUUUGUAAGAAAAAAGUUACCUGUGCUCCCUUUCUAAAGUCGUCCUCCUCAAUCUCAGGUAGCAUGUGCUUAGAAUACCUGCCAUUGCCAUGUGGGCCAGGAUCCUGAAAACUGACAAUGAAGGCAGAUAACAUUAACAAGAUGAAACAAGGAAAUUUUCUUAAACAAUCAGUGAAAUUUUCUUAUCAGAUAGACAGCAACAGGUAGCAAUCUGUUACACCAAGAAGAUUCUCCUGAGAGUGUCAUCAUGGCUUCACAUCGGUCUUUUUGGUUUGAUAAGUGAUGCCUAAGAUUGUACCUUAAAUGGAACUAAAAAUAGAUUCGGCAGUAUAGUGUCUUACCAGUCAAUAAAGCUGAUAUUGGUUCCCAUCAGAUAAUUAUAUACAUAAUCGAAAUUAUGAAGCGGAACACAGCUGCCAUACAAACACAUUGGUAUUUAGUACACUAAUGCAAAGAAUCAAAAGAAAUUUCAAAAUACAGCAGAGUUGCUCAGUACCUGUCAGAAAGCAACACAAAAUGCUGGUUAUCACUGUCCUGGAGCGCAUUCGCCAGGAGUCUCUUUUCUGCAUCAACCAUCGAUACCUUCCCCCAUACCACCUGUAUAAAUAAACUUUUGAGUUCCAAAUAUAGUUUCGAAGAAGUAACAAGUGGAUAAAACUAGUCAAGCAGUAUAAAAAUUAUUGAGAAUAACAGGUAGCAAAUUUGCUAGGGAACUAACUAUCACAGAUUGACUAGCACAUUUCAUGUCUAUCCAUACAUAAGAAUAGGUUAGUCUAUCUAGCAGUACCUCUUAUGCACAAAUAGAAACAAGGGAAACCUCUGGGCAUAUAGAAAAAUGUGAAAUUAGAUAAAAAUCAAUAAGGAUAAAAGAAAGGUCACUCCUAAAGGGCCUCUGAUGUUACGGUAGUUUUGACAGGGUUCAUUCCUGAAGCCCCUCCACAAUAAAUUGCUGUUCUUCAACAUAAUUUUUUUCAACUAUAAUCAUUUAUAGUACAGGCUUAGAUACCACGAUCAGUAUAUGGACUGACAUACAACAACAGUUAAAAGAACAUACAAAAUAGAUAUCAAGUCGAUCUAAAAAAAAAAAAAAAUUGCAGGGUCAAACAUCAUCACAUAAGUUGUUAUGCCCACUCAUCAUAUAACUAACUUUCCCUAUUAUAUAACACAAUUAAAAAAAAUACUUUGUGAAUAUUGAUAAUGACUUAAAUCAGUCCAAUUACUGGUUAUGAUAAGUAACACAUUUCCAUGUUCAUCUCCUUCAUAUAUUAUGUUGAUAAAAAAGUCGAUCCUUCAUUCACAUGCGCAGGAAAAAAAAAUAGUGAGAUAUCUAAGAGAGACAGUACCUUCUCACUGCGAAUUUCUCGAUCACUAAAUAGAGGACUAACAUGUACAGGCUUUUCCCUUGACGCAUGAAUAUAAAUGGAGUAUCUUCCCUGAUGUCCCUAUAAAUACAAGUAGUAAACAUGUCAACAUACAGAAGUUUUACCUCACAAGAAAAGGCUUUAGUAAAACAUUGGCAGUACCAAUUUACCCACCUUCCCACAAAAUAUAGCAGCGUUGUUGCCAAGAGUGAUCAAAUUUUUUGUUAAAGAAAUUUCCUUUUUAACAUUAUCUUUUUAUGAUUAUUUUUGUUUGUGAAAGGGUUAAUUUGUAAGCAUAAUAAAGGUCUACAAUAAAGUUUGAAUAAAUAAAUAAAGAUGACAUAUUUUCACUCUUAGCUCACUUUUACCAACAACUAAGCCAUUAUAUAUCCACUUUAUACCCCGUCUGAAACAUAAUAUCACUGUUGACCCACUUUGGUACUAUUCAAUGUUCACCAUCUUUUCCUUAAUGGAACAAGUUGUUUUAGUCCUCAACAACUGAAGAUACAUGGCCUUUUUUUUUUUUUGAGAUAAAGGUAGCAUGCUACUGCUUCAUUCAUAGGGUAGGUGAAUUUAGCAUCGAUGGGAAACAACUGGGCUUCGGAAAAAAAAAAAAAAAAACAAAAUCCACUUAGCUAAACGCAAUAAGAGUCCCACAUGUUGUACAGAUCUCGUAGGUCUGCCAUCACCUGUCUCGCAGUGCACUUAAGAUACGUGGCCUUUGGAAGCAAAGAUCAUGUACUUUCAACAAAACUCUAUUUCUUCUCCGAAUAUGGGUACACUGUUCGGAAAGAGACUCCUGAAAGUCUACAAGCUGUUGCAGGGUUCUAGGCAAUACUCAAAUGCCUUAAAAAAUUCUUUCUAUCAUCUAAGCCAACAUUCAUACAUUGACAAACAAGUAACAAGUUCAAAUUUGAACCUUACCUGAAAAAAUUUCGCCCACAAUCUCUCAAACGGCAAUGUACCAGGAGUCAAGAACAUGAAAGCAAUUUUAGGAUUCUUCGACUGAACUGUAGGCAUAGCAAUAAGGUCACUAAAGACGACACGAGAAGCAAUCUCGCCAUCUGUUAGUACCCGCAAACGCUUAGCAGGAAGCCAAUCCUUGAAAGGACUGCAAACACUUGAAGCGAAGAAGUAGCAAGCAGAGUAACGCCGAGGUGGGUACACAUAAGCCCCAAUCAAUGUUACGCAGACCAAAGAAAUUAAGACGAUUAUCCACGUGGGUCGUCUAGAAGCAGCCCUGUGGCGGGGAGCCGGCAUGAUCGUCAUGUCCCUAAUGGCGAGUUCCCAUGUUUACGGUAUUUUCAUCUCAUACUUUUCUUUGCAAAAACCUCACCACCAUCAGCCACCAUUACUCUCUCCUUACUAUCAGCUUUAACGAUCAUCCACGAUGAGGUUAGACAACAACGAACAUUGCAAAGAGUGAAAAAUGCUAUGCUCUGAGUGUGAUUUCGCUGCAACAGCAAAAAAAAAAGAUAUAAUCCACACAGUUACAUACCAAAAAAGCAAAAAUUUGUCUUUUUCUUAAGCUAUGAUGGAAAAAAAGCCAAACCGAGAGAAUAAACCACAAUAAUAAGUAAUACUACAUUGUACUUCAAAAAAACAUUAGUAUGAGAACAAGGCUAAGCCCGUAGACAAAUCAUUAUAUUGUUCCAUCUACAAGCAAAAAUAUUUCAUUUUGGAAUACAAUGGAUCAGCAUUUCCUUUCAAAUAACUAGCUAUCCCUAAUGGAUUUUCUUCUUCGAAAUCCACAAAAGCUAUAUAAGCUUUCUCCAAUUACCAACUCAACUCCAUUUGCGAGAUUUUUUAGCUACAGAACCUCAAAUUACACAUCAAACCCCAUAAGAAUAGAAGAUUUAAUCACCAACACAAACAGAACAACAAGCAUCAACGAUUCCUGCGCUUUCCAGAGAGGAAAAAUUAGGAGGAAGAAAAAAAUAAUCACCAAAAACUAUAUAAAUUGUACUCUAAACAGAUCAAAUACGCACUUAAUCGCAUCAAAACAGGAAUCAAAUGCGAACUAAAAGGAGAUCGAUCGAUUACCUGUACGAAGUGAGCCGUAGAGUAGCUCGAAGAUCGGGGAUCUGCGAUGAAGACGAAGAGAGAGAGAGAGAGAGAGAGAGAGAGAGAGAGAGAGAGAGGUGAGUGAGAUCCGUUAGGGUAGGAGGGAAAGGGGAGACGUUGAUAAAAUAUGUACAAAUGGAGGGGAUUUUUGUGUAAAAAAGGAGAGAGAGAGAGAGAGAGAGAGAGAAGGGGAAUUGGAAGAGGUUAUGCUGUAGAGAGAGAAUAUUAGGGAAAAAAAAAAGAGAAGGAAAUAGUAAAAUGUAUGGAUUGUCGCUGUACAGUAUUAGUGUUAUGGUUGAGUACCUGUACUGUACAUAUAUUUGUCUUUUAGUUGUUAUGUACGUCAAAAGAAGUGUAACUAGUUUAUUUAUUUAUUUAUAAAAUGGCUCACUUAUUAUCCCUUUUACAAUAAAAAUUAGAAAAACUUCAAAUACCGUAUCUAUAAUUUUGCACUUUUUUAUUUUAGUACUCUGUGAUUGGUAUCAAUUUAGUACCAUGUGAUUUUAUUUUUUUCGUUAAAUCAGUGACAAAGUUAAAACUAAAGGAUACUAAAAUGAAUAUUCGAUAAAUCUAGAUGGAUUAUCUAGAGUUUUUUGUAUAUAAUUUAACGAAAUAUUAACGGAGGAGCUGACGAAAAGAGAAAAAUAAAAUCACAUGGUACUAACUUAUAUAUUUUAAAUCAGAGGAUACUAAAAUGAGAAAGUUCAAAACCAUGGAGUUGAUAUUUGAAGUUUAUCCUAAAAAUUAUAAAUUUUUUAAGAUAGUCCGAAUUGGAGGCUAAACUGUGAUAUAUAUAUAUAUAUAUAUAUAUAUAUAUAUAUAUAUAUAUAUAUGGAGUAGGGCUAGAAUACUUUUACAAGUAUCACCCAAGUGAUACUUGUGUGUUUUUAGCCCUUGGAUGGAGAGAUGUGAGGUUGAGAUGAUGGUGGUAGGUGGUGGUAGGUGGAAUAGUGUUUGAUCCAAAGGCUAUUUGUAUUCAAAAAGUAGAUCCAAUGGCUAAAAACGUGAUAGCAACAUGGGGAUGAUACUUGUAAAAGUAUCCUAGAUCAACUCUAUAUGUAUAUAUAUAUAAAAUUGAGGGACUGCUUGGUGAAAAGUAUAGGAUUGAAUUGUAAUAUUGAUAUUGUACAGGGUAUGCGCACACUCUUUAGUUUUUAGAGGCGUAUUAAUGCUAGGUAUUUUUAGCGCGCUCCCUCCGUUUCUUUCAUCUCCCUCUACAAUGCUCGUAUAGGAAUUAUCGGGUGGACCGAGUGUGCCACAUCAUCAUAACUGCAGUGUUAAAGAGCGUGGUACCGGGAUAUAAUACUUGAGUCCUUCCGUUGCUGAAGCUCUUCAUUUACCCAGUCUAGGAAACACGGUGCACGGAAAAUUAUUUAUUUAUUGUAUAUUUCAUGCUGUUGGGAUCAGUAGUUGCAAAAACUAUUUUUUUAAAAAAAAAAAUACGAAAACAAAAUAUUCACCUGUGAAAAAUAGGGUGGAACUGAGCAGAACUGAAUUAUGACCAAUUUUAAUUCAGUUAAUUAGAUUUGAGAAUUUUAAUUUUACUAAAUUUUUCUAAUUUAUUUGAUUUAAAAGGUAAGCUAGUGAAAUUAUUUUUAAGAAAAGAUUAGAUAACUAAAUCAGAAAUAGGAUAUUAUUUAGAUAAAUUUUAUACAUUUUCACCUUCCCUAAAUGUAUUAUAACAUGUUGCCAUCAAAAUAACCUCCUUAUCUUAAGCUCAUUAUUUUUAUUUUAUAUCCAUUAAAUGCCUAAAAAUAUAAUGUUUGGCAUUAUCUUAAUAAUUUAGUCAUUAUAUUUAGCCAUAAUGGAUAGGAAGCAUAUUAUAAUANUAUAUAUAUAUAUAUAUAUAUAUAUAUGAGUAGGGUUAUUAUAUUUUUGGGAAAACUUCAAAACACCCCCCUGUGGUUUCUAACUUUCUCACUUUAGUACCCUGUGGUUUAAAGUGUAUCAAUUUACUCCCCUGUGAUUUUAUUUUUAUCUUUUCCAUAGCUUUUCUCUUAAUAUUUCGUUAAAUUAUAUACAAAAAAACAUCAAAUAUCCAUCUAGAUUUACCGAAUAUUUACUUUAGUACCCUUUAAUUUUAAUUUUGUCACUGAUUUAAGGAAAAAAAAUAAUAAAAUUGAUAAAAAAAGAGAAAAACGAAACUAUAGGGGGGCAAGUUGAUACACUCUAAACAACAGGAUACUAAAGUGAGAAAAUGCGAAACCACGGGGGGGUUUCUGAAGUUAUCCCUAUAUUUUUAUGAGUAUAGAGUAUAUGAGUAUAGAGUCCUUCGUACUCAUAAGUUGUUUUUUAUGAUCCACAUCGUUAAACAUGAUCUAGAAUAUUUGAAAUUUAUAGAAAAUAAAUUUCGUAACUUUUCGAAAUCAUAAUAAAGUCCAUCAAGCGGGUAUAAAAUGAAUGAUUAAAAUCGAAUGACGUUCUAAAAAUAGAUGAUCGGAUCCUUUAAUUUAAGACCGGAGUCAUUAAUCUUUAUUUAGAUGGUGAAUAAAAUUUUCUAUUAANAUAUAUAUAUAUAGAAUUAUGCUACUAUACUAUUAAUAGUACUAAGCCUUUGGUACUCUUGAGUUUUGGGCCGUUGGAUAAAAGGAUGCGCGGUUAGGAUGAUAGUGGUCUCCGGUUAAAUUGAUAGUGGUCCCCUAGGGUUGAGUGGAUGGUUGGUUUAAUAGUAUAAUCUAACGGGUGGAAAUGAUCAAAGGGUAGAUCUAACGGUAGAAAACUCAAUAGUAUCAAGGGCUUAGUACUAUCGAUAGUAUAGUAGCCGGACUCUAUAUAUAAUUUGAAUGCUCUAAAUAAUAUUUAGCCGUAUGGAUUAUCGAUUCGAAAGUUCUAUUAUCAAAAUCGACUUAUGAGUAUGAAGAGAAUCGUACUUAUAAAAGUAUAUGAACCGGACUCUAUUUUACAGCCACUGAUAGAUGCCACUCAUCAGCAAACAGGACCCUUAGGCAAAUCUGAUUUGGUAUUAAUGUUUAAUAAUAAUAAUAAUAAUAAUAAUAAUAAUAAUAAUAAUAAUAGCCCUCUUAGCUGCCUAGUUUUAAUUAACGGUAUUCUCAGCCUUUAAAUUUAAUUAAAUUGCGAUUAGCCCAUACGUUAGAAUGUUGAGAGAGAGAGAGAGAGAGAGUGAAAGAACGUUCUAGGGAUUUGUGGCACGUGUCUUUCCAGAAAUGUCCUUGGCCAGAAAUGUCCUUGGCAAACAUUUUGCAAGUGGCAACAUUCUCAUAGGAAUGCAAUUUGGGUGGGGAUCCAUUUCUUUAGCGGGUCGGAGCUUAUCCCAACGGAUUAACUUUUAUUAUAAUUUUUGAUCAGAAAAGAGCGUAAAAAGGAUAAAAAGGAAGAGCACAUCGAAAACAAAAGAUAACAUCCUAUAAUUACUCGCAAGUAACACAGAAAAAGCUCUUCCUGUGGUGGCGUUUCUCUUUCACUCAUAGAAAGGGUUAAAAAGAGACAUAACCCAUUAGCCCAUUACUAACUGUCGCCCUAACCUUUCAAGAUAAUGACACAAAGCUUAUAAAAGAAAAAAAAAAAAAGAAAAAAAAGAAAAGAAAAGAAUUGUACCAUACUAGUUAGGUGUAGUUCUUCAAAGUUUGAAGCUAAAUAUUUAAUUUUCCAAAAACGUCUAGUUCGUCGCUUUAAUCCUAAUCACCUAGUUAGAAAAAAGAAAAAAAAAAAAAAAGUGCAUACGUACAUUAGCGCACCAUAAACCGAUUGACCAAUCGAUUGACCCGCAACCAAUCUUUUACUUGGUGAUCUAAUUUUUAAAUCGAGAAAAUAUGGCAACUCAACAACAAAGGGAUUGAAAUAUGAGAUGGGAGAAGUGACAAAUAGACAAACACAAUGAUACACCGGGCGCAGGCAAAUGAAUUUCCCCAAAAGUUUGAAUAUAAGUACCGAAUUUGAAAGUUUGAAAAUGAAGCGAAACGGUUUAUAGUUCAACAGUGCAAUUUUUUCAAAUAUAAAUAUGAAUCUAUUUAUGCUGCGGUUUUUUAAGAACCAACUGUGCAAAAGCAGUGCAUAGAUCAGAAAUUAAAUAAAAUGGAUCUUACACAGAAACAAGGGAGUAAACAAACAAUUGUUGGUUUCAGAUAUAGCAAAAGAGUUGCCGCUACAAAGGUAUGGAGCGCGGUGUUUGAUUAAUUAACAAUGCGCGUCCACCUCUUAUUGCAAGAUGGAAUAUAUAAAUCACAACCUAGUCAUCCGAAAUACUACACGAAAAACACGGAGGCCGAUAUAUCAAACAAUCGAAUGUUCAAAGGCAUUCAAAACUUCUAAAAACACACAGACCGCGCUGUGGUGUAAAACAUACGGGCAUGAUGAGAUUUGGAAGACAACAAAAAUGGGCAUUUGUGUUUUCACCUGGUAGGUGUACUGCCUAUUUACCGCAUUUCAUCCUCGAGGUUGCGGAAUGCAACGGUGAGGUCGUCGUAUAGUUUCUUGAACUUCGCAACCAAAGCCUCCUCGCCUUCUGCAGGGUCUUCGAAUUUCUGGGACCUGUAAAGGUGAAGAACAUGCACUCAAGCUUCAAGGAAUUGAUUUCAAAACCCAAGAAAAAAGAGCAAGCAAGCAUUUCGGGCCAAUCAUUAGACUCAAUUUUUCACCCUCUGCAACCAAAUUCAACUAUCUUAAGUUUCGUUAACUAAGAAAAUUAUACGAAGACCCUCGUACUAUUUGUCUAUUUCCUCAAAAUUUAGGUGGAUCCCAGAAUAAUAAGGUUUAAAGUUCUACUUAGGGAUAAAUCAGACAUGAAUAUGGGCCAUUGUUGACUUACACUAGACGGUAGAAAAGGUCACCCAACCGGUGUUUGAUGACACUGUAUGUUAUUUUCUGGCCAUCAGGACCUGCUGCCCGCUCCACCGCCUACAAAUGAAUCAAAAAUAGGGAAAAAAAUUCAUUGUUCUUAUGUGAAACAGGAAUCCAAAUAAGAAAACCAUAAUCCAAGAAUUUACCUGAUUUGCCAGAGUGUGGAAAUGGAUAAUGUUGCGCAUCAUCCAUACAGAUUUGUAGAAUGGGCAAAAUUUAUCGUAUCUGUUACAAUUGUUGAAGGUUUUAAGUUGAAAUUGACAAAAGCUCCACAUAUAACAGCAAGAAAUUAGUUAUGAUGAGUAACACUUACGGAGUAAAAGCAUUUUGUGCCAAGUAAUCCUCUCUAAGAAGCUUUGCAGUCUCCAGGGUAACUUUAUCAGUUUCCGCCAAUGCAUCUUUACCGACAAGCUGAGGUCAAAAUAAUAGUUCAAAAACCCCACUGAGUUUGCAUUAUACAAACUAAAAGAUAACAAACCAUAUUAAGGUUUAAAUCCGCACAAUUAUAACUUAAUUACACUACAUUAAUCAAAACUUACUGAUGGUACCAUGUGAAGAUAAAUUUAGAAAAAGGGAAAAACAGAUCAAAGGUUUGCAAUGAGUUCGGUAAGUGGGAAAAAGACAGCAGAUUCCAUACACUGGGAAAAGAUAUGAUAAAGAGUGCUGCACAACAUGAUGGGUUAUUCGAAAAUACGAAAUUUCCGUUCAAUCAUUGGAAAAUAUGAACUUUUCAUUUAUAAACUUAAAAACUAAAUGUUCAUAAAAGAAACGAGGAUUGAAAUUUAAAGGAUUUUGAAGAGAACAAAUAAAGUACAAUGCCAAAAAAAAUUACCUGGACAAUUUCAUUUAGAUCAUCUUCUCUUUGCAACACUUCACGAGCUUUUGUUCUAAUUUCAAUAAAAUCCGGAUCAAAUUUCUCAUAGAAUGAUUCCAGGGCCUACAGAGCAGUAAAUCAUUGAGUUACUUGAAUGAAUUCCACAGAAAAGAAAAAUUGCCAGUAAUAAACCCAGAAAAAAAGUACUUAUAACAUAAAUCUUAGGCAUCACAUCAGUUAUAAAAAAACAAAACAAAACAAGCAAUAAUGCAGUGUCCAUGUUAGUGCAUGUUCUUCCCACGAAUCAAACUGAUCAAAGCUCUCAAACUUGGAGAGUAAAGACAGCUCGACAUAGCAGUAACCUCAAUACACAACACCAAAUCAACAACAUAAAACUGGAUUUCCAAGUGCCAUUUAGUGAUCCAAAUUAAGAUAUGAUAUGAAACAUAAAAGAAGUAAUAAACUAUUUCCACAUUGAAUUGGAGUUCAAAAGAAAAGCAUAAAGGAAACCUUUGAGUAUUUUGAGUAAGAAAUAAGCCAAUUCACUGAUGGGAAAUGUUUCCUCUGAGCGAGUUUCUUAUCCAGCCCCCAGAAGACCUGCAAACAAGUUACUAGGGCAAGGGUUUAUCCAGCAGUUGGUUAUCAAUAAAGGAUACCAGUAUUAGUAACAGAAAUUAUCAUUAAGGUUCCUUUACCUGCACUAUACCAAGAGUUGCAGAAGUUACAGGAUCUGAAAAAUCACCUCCAGGAGGAGAAACAGCACCGACAAUGGUCACGCUGCCGGUUCUGUCCGGAGUGCCAAGACAUUUCACUUUGCCAGCACGUUCAUAGAACGACGCUAAACGGGCAGCCAAAUAUGCAGGAUAACCACUAUCUGCUGGCAUUUCAGCCUGAAGAGAUCACAUUUUUAUCAUUAAAUUUCAUAUUGCAACCAUUUAGAAAUUAGACAAUUUCUAUGUUUCACAAGAUUUUCAGGAGAGAGUGCCAUUUUGUUGCACAAGGCUUGGAUGAUGAUGAUGACUACUUUAUUUCAAGAUUAUAAAGUUGAAAAUGGAAAGGGAUAGACCAGGAAAUCUGUUUAAUUAUAAACGUCUCUCAGUGAGUGAGCCUAGUAAUUAUGAUCUUGAAUAUAAGUUAAUUUCUUUUAAUUGAUAGCCUUGCAAAAACACCAAGUACAUGGAUUUACAAAAUAUUCAUAAGACUAAUUUGUCUAUGCAAUAAACUUCCACUAUGUGAUAUCCUAAUGACCUAUCAUAUUUUCCUUCAUUAAGUAUUUAAUCGUAUUUUCUAUCUUGAUGAUGUAUUCAGCAAUUUCCGGGGCUUGGUACUCAGCUAAACUGCAUGUAUAGAUCAAUGAAGUUAUAAGAGAAUACUCAAAGUGAGACAAGAAUAUGACGGCCCAAGACGACAUUGUCAAGUAAUUUCAAAUAAUUUGGAGAAAAAAAGCAUUAGAAGUUGUAAAUGUUACUUAGGAAACAGAAGACUGAAAAGAGUAGAGUUCGUACCAGUCGUCCAGAAAUUUCACGUAAAGCUUCAGCCCAACGAGAGGUGGAGUCAGCCAUCAUACUAACAUUGUAGCCCAUAUCACGGAAGUAUUCAGCAAUUGUAAUGCCUGAAAACAUUUAAAUAACUAAUUUAAGAAAUGGAGUUUAAUUUAAAACUGGCACUUUUCCAAAAGGUGACAAUAAUUCGUACCUGUAUAUAUAGAGGCCUCACGAGCAGCCACAGGCAUGUUGGAAGUGUUAGCCACCAGUGUAGUUCGCUUCAUGACAGACUCCUCACGCCCAUCAGGUAAAGUCAUUGUCAAUUGGGGGAAGUCCAUGAGGACCUGGACAAAGUUUGAUGCAGAUUAUUACAUAUCAAAAGAUAAAGAGGAAUAAGCAAACAGAAAACUGAAGCAAACCUCAGCCAUCUCAUUUCCUCUCUCUCCACAGCCCACGUAUACAACAGUGUCUGAGUUAGAAUACUGUAGAAGGCGAUAAGCAUAAGUAGAAGAUAAAAGGCAACAGCAGCAGCCAGAAGACAACAUGAAAAGAAGAGGACAAUUUGUUGGUCAGUAAAAUAGUUACCUUUGAAAGCGCCUGACUAAUGACAGUCUUCCCACAACCAAAAGCUCCAGGAAUAGCACAAGUUCCUCCCAGAACAGAUGGGAAGAGGGCAUCAAGAACCCGCUGAAAAUAGUUUGAACACUUGAGUAUUGAAACCAUAAUGGACCAAAAAGAAAAGGAUAUUCUAUUCCAAUAUUUCUUUAUUAAUAAUUACCUGUCCUGUUAAAAGGGGUGUAUCGGCAGCAAGCUUUGCAGCUACAGGCCUUGGUGUACGUACAGGCCAUGUCUGCAAAAGAAGCAAGACAAUUUCAGAAUUAUGCAUCAAAAGGAAUUUGCACUUAAGAGAUAAGAAUACAACUCGUUAUAAACCUGAAGCAUAGUAAACUGUUUUUUGACACCUUGAAAUUCCAAUUCAAGUACAGUAUCCUGCACAUAAGGCAACAGAAAGGAUAUAGAAUUCGAAUAAGAGGAAGAAGUUCAAACCAUAUAAAGUGAAGAGAACUUAAGUUCAAAUUAUAAGUCCUUACAGACCUUGAGGGCAUAUUGACCAGCUGGUGCAACAUAAGUUAUUUUCCCCAUCGAUCCCGGAGGAAGUGUAACAUAGUGUUUCAUCAACGUAUUCUCAUAGACAGUCUGUUAACAUAAUGAAUGAAUACAGUCAGCUAUCUAGAGAUGAGAUAUAAUUUUAGGAGAUUCUCUACAAUAUUUUGCAACAACAUUCAUCAGCCAUUAUACAACAAUUGAAUGUAGCAAUAUAACUUACCGCAUAUAAAUCUCCACCAGUGAGAAGGUCUCCAACAGCUGAAAUAACCAUAAACAUCAAACUCUCAAAUUUAAGAAAGCAGAUUCAAUCAAAGUUUCAAAGUUAAGAAAUCAGAUUCAAAGAAUAAAAUCAGGAAUUUUGGAUCAUUGGUGUUCAAAUUAUUUGAUUUCCUUACCUAGCUUUUUUGGCUCAAAUUCCCACAAAAUAUCUUUGUCAAGGGCAGGCACUGAAACUCCACGAGGGAUGUAGACAUCACCAGACUUCAAAGCAAUAGUUUUUAAUGGGCGCUGCAUUGGAAAGAUCAAAGAAACAUCCUGGUCAGAAUAAUAUAGUCUCAAAUUCCGAAAGGUCAAGUAGAUGAACCAUCAAAAAUAAAGAAAGCACAAUUAUACAAAGUUUAAUACAUGAAAUUGUCCCUGAAGUAAAGUGAAAAAUAAUUACAACAAUAUAUAAUGAAGAAAACAAGCUUUUGUAAGCAUCACACAAAAUAUUAACAAACCUGAAUCCCAUCAAAAAUGUUGCCCAAAAUCCCAGGUCCCAACUCCACUGACAGAGGCUGCAGAGGGAAAAACCAUUGUGUAAAGGGAACCUACAUAAUUGGUAUGCAAUGUUUCAUGUACUUAAAAACAAUACUUUAUGAUAUACCUUUCGAGUUCUUAAAACAGGAUCAUUAACCGUCAAGCCAGCAGUUUCUUCAUACACUGAAAUUCAAGAGCAACAAUAUGUACCAUGAAUUCCAAAUUCUUUUGUACUAAGCCAGAAGGAAACAAGCAGUAAAAAGUGGAAUAAUGGCAUGGACUCGAGUAAUCUUUCAGGGUAUGAUAAAUAAGUUUCUCAUUGUUUACCCUGAAUAGUAGCUGAAUCUCCCUCAAGACGAAUAAUCUCUCCAAUAAGAUUAUCAUGACCGACACGAACAAGUUCAUACAUGGCAGCACCUCCCAUUCCAUCUGCCACGACGACUGGCCCAGAAACCUGAAAGUUUCCAGGAAAGUAAAAGGUCAAACAACUAAUUCAUUCCAGCGCAGUUAUCAAAGAAUAACACAAGUUGCAAUUAGAAAAUGAAGAAAAUCACAUAUCUAGUUAAAGCCCCAAUUCAGGAGUCAAAGAUGUAUUCGUCGCAGAACAUAAUCGCAUCUAAGUUGCUGCUAAAGAAGUAGAAACUAAAAAGACAAUAAAGGAUGAAGGUGGCAAUUAUACAAAAGUGGUGCUGUACAAGGACAAUGGCAGUAAGCAAACAAAAUAUGCAACUGAAUGAAGCCCCACAGAAUAACACUUUGCAGCUUAUAACAGAAAAGUGCAUUAGGUUCACUAUGUGCUAAAAACUGAGCUAACUUUAAGUAAGAGAAUCCUAAAUUUUGGGAGACCUGCUCUGCUCUCUAGAGCCAUGUCCACAUUUCUGAGUAGGGCAAGCACAUUUGCUUCCCACUUGCUUCUAUUGAAAAUGAUCCACAAUGAAGAAUUUUUUUUAUAAAUAAUCCUAUCAAUUUUUAUAAUUGUAAAAAUAGUUUUUUUAAAAAAAUAAUUAUAAAAAUAAACCUCUAAAUGCGGUGAAUGAUUCACCGCAUUCAUAACUUCUCAUUAGAAGUAGAAAAAGAAUAAAAGCGGUCGCUUUUAAAAGCGGUGAACCAUUCACCGCUUUUAUAGCACUAUAUUUACAAAUAAAUAUUUAACAGGUCUAUUUUUAAAAUAAAAUUUUAGAAAAAGACUAUUGCACUAAAAAAUCCCACAAUGAACCUUAGGAUGAUUAAUAUUCCAGCUAAUAAUAAAACAAAGGAGCCUGACCACAAGUUCGAAAAACCUUAAAUCUAUCACAAUGGAUUGUCUUAUUUGGCAAUGAUUAUAGUACAAACUGGUAUAUCAUAACAUGUAACUCAAAGUCCUCUAAUUGAUAUAUUGCAACGGCGUGAGAAUAUUUCCACUAGUAGAUCAUAUCUAAGAAGGUAACACAAUUUAAGUUUCACAAUCAAGCAUAGAGCAUUAGAACACCUCCCCCCCCUACCCCCCCAUCCCCCCUUCCCCCCCCCCAAUCCCCAAUCAAAGAAAAAAAAAACCACUCAAAUCCAAUGUAGUGGAAAUCCACUGUAGUGAAUUGUCUUAUACAAUCAGCGUAAAGUCAACUCUAAUUACUUUAGCAAAACCCUCUCCACCGAUCAGAAGAGGAAUAAAACAGUCUCAUUGCUUCCUUUUUCCAAAAACACAAAAUUUAGUUAGCCGUAUCUUAGUGUAGAUAGCACCUAAGGUUUCCAGCGGUCAAAGUCUAAGUGUAGAGCUCUCUCAACUAGAACACGAUCAAUCAAACCUAAAACAGCUAUAAAUAAAGGUGGAUCCCAAAUAGUUCCAUCUUAAUCUCAAAUCUCACAUGGGAAACAACACAAUCAUCGAUCAAAUGGAAGCGAACGAGCAUCAUCGGGAUACAAUAGUUGAGAUACGGAUAGCUCAAGAGCGAUACCUUACGGACGUAUCCGUACUCGCUCUCCUUCUCCGAGUCCUCGAAGGUCGUGAGGCGAUCGCCGUACGCCAUGGCCGAUGGGGAUCGGAGGAUCGCGGCGAGGAAGGGUGAGAUCGGAACCCUAGGUUCCGAAUCGGAGAUCGGAUCGGAGGAGAGGGGAUCAGGGACGAGGGUUUUGGUGGUGGAGAUAGAGGACGAGGACGAGAUCUAGAUGAGGAGAGAGAGCGAGAGAGAGAGAGAGAGAGGGGGGGGGAAUGAGACCAAAAAUGGAGGGAUGAGGAGGGUGCCACGAAUAAGGGAGAGAGAUGUGGUACACGGAAAUAACGCUAUGCGAGAGAGCGAUCGCAUCAGAUAAAAUUAAUUAAUUAAUUAAUUAAUUAAUUAAUCAGAAAAUAAAAAUGUAUGAAUAUGCCCCCCAUCUAUAGGAUAUUUUGAAAUUCCUCCCUCGAAGGUGAAAAUGUUUUAGAUUUGGAGUUAAGAAUUAGAACGCUUAUAAAAUUAUUACUUACAUAUUUUUAAUUUUUCACCCAUGAAUAUACUAUUUUCACCUACCCUCGCUAAACUCCAAGCAUCAAAGUGCUACAAAGGGUGAAGCACAUAAAUAGUAAUAUUUUUAUAGGGAAAAUUUCCUCUAUACCCUUCUAAAAGCAUCUGAUUUCAUAAAUGACCCUUUAAAAAUUGAAAUAUCAUGUAUACCCCUCAAAUUUAAAAAACUUUCAAAAAUACCCCUGCCAUCAAAUCCCCAUCCAUAUUAAAAUUAAUAAUAUUUAUAUUCCAACUUUACCCCUCUUAAUUAUUCAUUGGUCAAUUAAUAAUUCUAUUUUAUAAAUACCCUUUUUUAUAUUUCAAAAUUAAUUAAAUUCUAUCUAGACUAAAAAUUUAGUAAAAUUCAAUUGAUUUUAGUUUGAAAAAUUAUUCAUUUUAAUUAAAUAAAUAUUUCUAUUUGGAAUAAAUUAUAGUUAAAUUAAAUUUCAUUUUGCUUUAAUGUCAGAAUGAGAAGAUAAUUUAUUUUAGUUAUAUCUACUUUUUUUACUACAUCAAUUGUAAAGUAAUAAAUUUUUUUUAUUUGACUACUUAAUAUAGAGAAAAUUUGUUAUUAUGAAUACAUUACAACUAAGAGUAUUAGUAUAAAAUCUGACCUCAAAUAAAAAAAAUAGUUAUAUUAUGAAAAACAAACUAAAUUUUUGUAAUCAACGGACUUUACAUAAACCAAUAAUUGUUUUAAAUAAUAAAUUGAAAAAAAUUUAGAAAAUGAAAAUUUUUCACAAAUUAAGAUAAUUAUUCCAUUAAAUUUAAUACCUUUGACUAAUUUUCAGUUGAAACUAGCAAAAAUUCAUUUAAUAGUUAAUUAUUAUUAGCUAAUUAACCUAUUAAUUGAAUUUCUUUAUUAAUUGAUUAUAAUAUUUGAAAUCUAAAUGGAUAAAGAAAAUUUAAAAAAAUAUGGACCACAUACAUUUAUAUGCCCCUCAACAGUUGAGGGUAUUUUUGAAACAACGUAAAUAUUUGUAGGGGCAAUUUUGAUAUUUCAAAUUAUGUAAGGCAUCUACGAUAAUUUUGAACUUUUCAGGAGUACGAAUAAAAUUGCCCCAUUUUUAUAAGUAUUCCAGCAUAAUACUAAUAUCUAGCUUAAUGAUAAAUUAUUUUGAUCGAAUCGUGCUAUAUACACCGAUUCAGUGAGCCGAAUAGGCUCGAUGAAUAGCAGACAUAUAGUAUGAGAGAGAGCACAGUUUGUUGCAUGAGCCUCCCCUCAUCUAACAAGGAGCACCAAUUUAGCAUGCUCAAAUGGGAAAAAAUAUAUAUUUUUUGAUCCAACUAUCUAUUUUUUAAAAAAAAAUUAACUUUAUUAUCUAAACAUUUUAAUUCAUAUGACUUGAGUUAUUUAAUAGCUUUUCACUUCAAAGAUUGAAUAUAUAGUUUAUCUUAAUAGAUUUGUUUAGAUUAUCCAAUGUUUAUGUCAUUUGUUUUUAAUAGCUUCGAUAAAAAAAAAUUUACAUAUUUUACAUUACUAUAUUUUUAUAAAAACAGUAAUGUAUCCGAAUCUAUACAAGAUAAUCAUCAAAUAUUUUAAAUCAAGUAUCUUUAAAUUUUAGAUUCCCCAUGUUAAAAACUAGUACGAGUCAGACCAGAAUAUGUCAUAAUUCAGGCAAAUUUCCUUCUUUUUCACUUUUGUUUUUUUAUAUAUAAUUCAACUUUUAAUUGUUACCAUUUUGAUUAUUUUUAUCAAAUUAAUCAAAAAAGUUUAUUAAAUCUACUAAUAACUUUUAAAUUUAAUGUUUAAUUACUUCUGUUAACAAACGAUCAACAACUGAUAAAAUUAUUAAUUUAAGGAAUUUCUAGUUUACUCUUGGUUUAUUUUAAAUUAAAAAGAAAAUUAGAAAUUGAAGUUAAGGACCUGUAUGAAAUUGUACACAGUUGGGGGGGUUUCUGGUAACAAAACACAAUGAGUAAACUCCUUCUCUUAAUUGGUGAUUCAGAUCAUGUGCAAGCCUUAAUACAGGGGCAAAGAUUGUGUGGACAUAGUAUCCACAUUAACAAUUUUGGAGAUGCACUGGAUAGGCGCCACGUGGCUCACAGAACACUCAUCUCACCGUCCCUUUUUCUUUCUUAAAAUAAUAUGAUUUUUUUUUAGAGAAAAAAAAGUAGAGGAAGAAAAAGGGGAAUAAACGCCUGCGAGCCACGUGACACCCAUCGAGAACGUCUCCAAAGAUAUUAAUUUGGACACUAUGGCAGCAUUUGGUUAGGGGAUAGGAAUAGAAAUAUACCCUUAUCCCCCUUUUAUUCCAAAAUGCUAAUUUUUUAUCCGAGAAUAGCAAUUCUUAGUUAUCCCCACCAACACUUUCAUUUUCUAUAUAAAAUUAUUUAAAAUUAUUCUUAUUCCCGAAAACAACCCAAUUUUAAUCUAAACAUUAUUUUUCUUAUUCUCAUACUUAUAUCUAUUUAAUACUUAUAUCUAUUUAUGUAAUAGCUAAUUCUUGCUUAUAUCCGUACCAAACGGUACCUAUGUUCAUAAAAUUUUGCCCUUAAUACAGCAAACAGAGAUAAUGUGAAGAGCCGGUGGAAGAAUAUGUCUGCUUCGAAUCAUUUACCGCCACGUGUAAUCGAUCAGAUGCGUUUCAACACUACGCUCGCCAACAAUGGAAACACAUCCAACCGUAAAUUUUUCCCUUUUAGCGCCACUAAACUCUUUAAACCCGUAAACCGUACAUCCAUUAAAAAAUUAGCAAAAAAUUAGAAAAAGAAAAUCUCAAUAAACGUGAUUCGUGAUCCGCCAUAUCUGGAUCAGCAAACAGCCGUAGCAAAGGGGUAUUUUUUUCUUAUACAAAAACAACCGUAAUUGAAAAAACGCAUAAAUACUUCAACAUUUUUAGACCUUCUAAAUAGUCAAAAUAGAUACUCUCUACUUAUCACAUUACCAAACUAAGAUACAGACACGUAAACCUGCCACCAAUUUGAGUAAUUUAAGUAAAACUCGCUAAAGAAACAUAAAAUACAUGCAGUUCUAACCCAGCAAAUACGCAGAUAAACAGCUACUCAUCCGUGAAACAGUAAUCAACAAAGCCAACGAAGUCGGAAACGUAAAGAGGCACAACAAGUGUGCAUCUCUAACUUCAAAGGCGUGUUAGUUUAUGGAGGCAUCUAUUCACUGUACGUGUGUUCUUUAUAUUCCCUGAAAGGGCUCAUUCAAAGCUCCGCAGCCGUGCAUUUGUAUAUAUCGUACUGUAGCUUCGAAUCGAUUACAUGCCCUGAAAAAGAAAAUUUCUGUCAUUGUUUAUCUAAGGAAAUAACAAGAUAACUCUUAGCAUGCUACUGCUUAGUGGAUAAUAAGAUUAACUCUCAAAUCACAAAAAACAUAAUCUUCAACCACGACUGUUCAUGUCGAAUGAAAGCAACAUACGUGGAUGGCUAUUCAAAACGUUAAAUAUUGACAGAGGUUAAGAUUAGAUUAACUUAAUGCGAGUUUCUUAAUGUAAGCCUGCAAACUAGAAAUCUAUUCGAGCUGGUUUACUGUGUAAACUGGAUUCUGCAGACAUUCAAAUCAGGACAUCAUAUGGAACAGUCAGAAACUACGGUGAAGAACUUUGUGAAAAACCUGGAAAAAAAAAGAACAUCAAGGCGACAUAAUGUAGAAUCAGCUCAGACAUAAUGUAAAACUGAAAUCAGACAACUUGAUUCACUAGUGAGGAGAGGGAAAUUUCACUUAAAAUGCAAGUGUAGGCUUCGUUUGCUAUCGCUUAUGUUUGUUUGUUUGUUCCAAACUUAAAAUUCCUGUUCGGCUGAUGGAUUCUCUGCUCUUGUUAUUGCUGGUUGGUUUACAAACUAUUUCUUUAAGAAAAAAAAGCAAGGAAAUUUGCUACCAGUGUGUAGAUUGCACAUAAUUCGCCAUUUGACAACGCAUUCAAAUAUUCAAUUACCCAUAAUUUUGAGUUUGGAAAAAACAAAAGAAUCACCGUAAUAGAUACUAAACAAGGAUUUUAAUUUUAUUUUCCUUUUUAUGUGGCAAGUAAAUAGAUUUUCAACUCAUUUUUAUGUACCUUUAGAAGACAACUUGCUGGCCAUCAACUUGCUGGCCAUCAUAAGUUAUCGAGAAAAAAACAGAAUCAUAAUUGCCAGUCACAAGGAUGUUCAAUUACUAAUUGUACAGCAAUCAUACCUCCACAUAAACAUUCUUCUUAUCAACAUGCCUGCGCUUGUGCCUACGUGAUGGAUGGUUCGGACUACUCAUUUUUCCAGUUCUCCUUAUUCUUUUGCUGCAAUAUAUAAGUAUAACCAAUUAUGAUAUUUUCAUUCUUGGAAAGGGAGGGAAAGAUUAAAUAAGAAAAGCAAAGGAAAUGCUGAUCAACCGGUAAAUAACAGAAAAUAUUUUGUAUAGACAUAAAAGAGUCGAGGCAGACAAAGCAAUGCCCUGCAAUGAUGUGAUAAAGAAAGCCUUAGAUCGAAAUAAGACAUGAUAUUCAUUGUGAAAUCUAAGAAUAGAAAAGCAAAAAAAAUAAAAAAUAAAUAAAUCAUAACUUAUACCAUGCACCACCCCAGCAUUUUAGUUGCAAGAGGUUUUGUCAAUUCAUGCUUCUUCAGGUUCUCCUGGACAGCGUUGUGAACCUAUAAAUUGAAAAAUAAACAUUUCAGAUGUUUAGUUUGUGAACAUGCAGAGAUAGUCUACAGAAAGGUAUUAACUUCGCCAGUAACCCCGACCUUUUCCAACUGAAAUUGGUCAAUUUGGACAAAACGAAGCCAACAACUUCCGACUUGACUAGUUCUGCCCAAAUUUUAUAGAUAGAUUGAAACCCCUCUUUUCUAGGAAAAGAAUAUAUGCCCUGUAAUUUAUGCUUUCUGAGCUUGUUUUGUGCCAUUUGGGCCAAAAGUACGAAUUUUCAAAUAGAAGACUCCAGAUGCUUACAUAUUGAACUUUUUUUGCGGGAAAAAACAUAAAAAUAUUACAUCUCAGACAUUCAGGAAAAAAAUACACGUGUAUAACAGAUAUGUUAUAUUUUUCCAGCUUUGCUCAGUACUUGAGAUCUGGCAUCACAAAUUUGAAGAUGAAAGAUCAAGAGAGAUAUAUAAAAAUUGGAUACCUGGUGACGAUAUGAACUUGCUGUUUCUAAGAACUUCUGGAAAGACAAAACUACAUGCUUCUUGUAGGGCUCAAAGGCGAGGUGGACUUGUGCAACAUGAGGGCCAGUGAUUGUAGAAAUUUUGUUGAUGUGAGGCUCGGAUAAUUUCUUAGCUUCCUACAAAGGAAAGUUCAAAGAAGUAAAUAAACAAUUAACCGGUGGAAAACUAAAAGCGGUAGAGAGAUGCAGCUAAGUAAUUGCAUAAUAAAGCAAACCUUUAUUACCGCUAAGAUACCUGCACAAAUGGAUCUAUUUUUUCUUUUAAGUUGAUAAUAUGUUGGUUAAUGGUACUUCUGCAGGCUCCGUAUGCCUCAACUGUUUUACCAGAUGUCAUUCGAACAUAGUGCUCAGCAAAAUUUGCUAUGGUCAUGCAGUGAUCUCUGAUUGUAGGGAUCCAUACCUUCAAAAUAGGCCAAGACAAGGUACAAAACCAUGAGAUCCAUGCAUUACAAAAGAAUGUCCAGAAUUGAGAAGGAAGAAUAACAACUAUAUAUUGCACAUUAUGGUCAAAACAUACUGCACUAACAUGGACAUGGAGUAAUUAAGAGGAAAAGCUCACAGUUUUAGCUGCAUUAAGGUGUGGUUCCAUCCAUUUCCUUGACUGGGCUGCUUUCUCAGCAACCUGACAUAGGUUUGAGAUCCAAAUUUCCACUAAAUAAAGAUAUCAAGAUAUGAUGUUUCAAGCAUCUAUUCAAAUUACAACCUUUUCAUCCUAUAUGAUGCUAAAUUAUGUUAUCUAAAUCUGCAAAAGAUGCACCUUUUGCAGGCAAAAAUCAAUAGCAGGUCUUCCAUGUCUAUCCCAUCUAGUUGAUGCAAGAUCCUGCAAGAGGAAUUUAUAAAUAGAUGAGAGCAAGCACAUGUUUAAGUUUUUUUUAUGAAAAGAGUUUCAAAUGUACCUGAAAAUACACUACAUGCAUCACCAGCCAAUGUGGUAACCACACCCUAUAAAACUGAAAAAGAACAAUGGAAAUCUUCCUAACUAAGCAAGCUAAACAUAAGUUAAUAAAAAAAUUUUAAACCAAAUAAAACAACAAAAGAAUAAUGAUAAAGAAACAAACAUGUUGAAAGCACAUAAUAGCAUUCAAGACAGGUGAUUAUAUAAGCCAUCUAUCCCCAGCCUUAGUGGGCAAUGAGGGUUCCAAAUCAAAGAUUUCCACUCGUACCCUUAUUAAGGUUACAAACACCAGAAAACAACCAGAUAUGAAAACCAGAAAAGUUCAAACGAUAAGCAAGAUAAUAGAAGAAGAGAAGGAAAGAGAAAUACUGAAGGAAAGAUGCAUCACAGAUGGAUAUACGCCUUCUAGAAGAAGAGGAAAAUAAAAUUUCUAAGGACAUCAACCAAAAGUAAACUCACUGUUAUUGGCAUGUCUGUGGUAUUCCAUUGCUCCUAUUUUCUUUUCUUACUAGUCAUUUUUUUUUAGAGAGAGAAAGAUAGCAUGCUAUCUGCUUUGUUUAUUUUUUUUUAGAAAUAAACUUAGCUGAAAAUGUGAAACAACUAGGCUUUGUUUUCUUAUUGGUCUUGAGAUCCAAUUUCCAUGGUGCAAAUAAAUUUACUUCUUUCGGUGCAGAAGAAGAACUUCAGGAAAACAAUACAUCACCAAUGACUUUCCUACAUCAUAUCUGUUCCCAAAUAAAUAGAAAGAACCAAGCACAAGGAUCAUGCAGUGAAUUGGCAGUUCUACUCACAGCCAUUGAUCAGGGCUGAAAACUAAAUGCAAUUAUUUUUCCACUGAAUGCAACUAAACCUAAAUCAAAAUAGCCAGAUAUAACGCUCAUAUUUUACCUCCGUCAACUCCUUUGCUUUUGUUCUAGCUUCUCGUUGUGCUCCCAUUAAAUCCUUCUGCAAAAGAGUAAGAGUGGCACUAAAUUGCACGUAAGGAAAAAGGGGAGAUCCUUUUUACCAACCCACAGACCUCUGCUACUUGGAGAGAAUGUUCAAUAUCAUGAAUUUUUGCCCUUUGUUCACCAUUUGUCUUUUCAACCUAGAAAAAGAAGCAAAUCACGAGUAAAGAAGAUAUUACCAUAAGCAAUACUAUAACACAAAAAAAGGGAAUUAUUUCUAGACAAGCAUCUCUCCUAACAAUUUAUAGAUGGGAGAUAAAGUAGACAAGCCAAAAAUUCUACAAACAACAAUUCACAAUUCAUAUAUGUACUAAACAUCAGGGAGGGAAAAAAAACUUAUAUAUGUACUUACUUUUUCUAAUUUUCUGAUCAAUUUAUUUACUUCCUUCUCUGCUUCACUACCCCGAACCUCAAAAGCUUCUCUUCUCUUUCUUUUAAUCUCUAAUUCGCUUUGAAGCUUCGCAAUCUAGUAACAAAUUAACGAUCACAACCACAAUCAUUCAUUACAAAACAAAUUGCACUUUCUCCCGUACCCGGUUCUGAAGUUCUUCAUUGUGUGCGUGCACCUUUCGCACCGCUUCCUCGUCUUCCAUAACUCCUUUCUCCUACCAAAUAAUACCAAAGUUCAUAGAUCAAAUACAUUGCUUAAUCUCAGAUGAAUCGAAAGAAUAGGCACAGCAUUUUCACCUGAAGCAACGCUAUCUCACUGAUUAACGAACCAAUGUAAGCUGAUUUCUCCUUAAUUGCAUCUUCCAAAUGCCUGAUUUGAUCAUUCUUUCUCUUGAGCUCAUUUAUUCUUUCCAAAGCAGUGGAUUCUACAUAUAGGAAUAGUAGAACUCAUUGUUGUAACCCAAGUAACAAAUGUUCGCAUUUUUUUAAUACCUAAAUGUUGCUAAAAUCCAAAUUAAAGAUAUAAAACAUCAAUCAAGAGAGAUUAAGCUCGCACAUCAAGUAUGGAACCACAAAUUAACUAAUAAAUCACAGUUGCUUAUGAAGCAUAUACAAACAACUCCAAUCACAUCAAUUUUACAGAAGCAGUGAACUCUUACAUGAAUAAAUAGUAGAAUUUAUUAUUAUAAUCCAAAUUAACAAAUUUGUACCUAAAAAGUUGCUAAAAUUCGGAUUAAAGGGAUGAAACACGAAGAAGUUGAGAUUAAGAUCUCGUACUUAAAAAUAAAACAAGGCGAGAAAUUUGGACUCACCUAGGGAUUCGAUCUUCGAUUUAAGCUUCUCGAUUUCCUGUUUUGGCUUCAAAUCGAAGGCCUCUGAGUCGAUCGCGUCGCCUAUCUCGUAUUUAAUACCUAAAAAGUUGGUAAAAUCGAGAUUGAGAUACCGUAUUUAAAAAUAAAACAAUGCGAGAAAAUUGAGCUCACCUAGAGUUUCAAUCUUCGAUUUAAGCUUCUCGAUUUCCUGCUCUGGCUUCAAAUCCAAGGCUUCUGAAUCGAUCGCGUCCCCUAUCUCGUAUUUAAUACCUAAAAGGUUGCUAAAAUUCGAAUUAAAGAGAUGAAACACGAAAAAGUUGAAAUUAACACGUCGUAUUUAAAAAUAAACAAGGCGAGAAAUUUGAGCUCACCUAGGGUUUCGAUCUUCGAUUUGAGCUUCUCUAUUUCCUGAUUUGGCUUCAAAUCCAAGGCCUCUGUAUCAAUCACGUCGCCUAUCACCGCAUCGCAUCGGUCGCAACAGAGCAAUACGAAGAGUAGAAUCAGAACCACAAGAAGCUUCGAAUCCGCCAUUUUCGAAGGGGAACCUCUUCUACUUUUCGCUUUUCGAGAGGAGAGGGAGAGGAGAGGAGAACGCGGGAGAAUGAGGGGGAAGAGUUUUAUUUAUUUAUUUAUAUAUAUAUAUAUAUAUAUAUAUAUAUAUAUAUAUAUAUGUUUUUUUAAAAAGAAAAAGUGUAAAUUGUGUCGACACGUUUCGGAGCGGAAGGAACGUUCGCGUGACACGUGUGUUACCACACGAGGAUGUGCUGAGGUUUUGUCGUGGCCAAGAUCUGACCGUUGAUUCACUGUGAGUGAAGGGUUGAGAAUAAUCCCCCGGCCCGGGUAGAUCAGCGGUGGACCGUGAUGAUCCAACGCGAGCAAGCGCCGCACGCAUCUUCGUAGUAAUUUAGUUUAAAUUUAGGGAAAACUUCAAAUAUCACCCGGUGGUUUCAUAUUUUUUUACUUUAGUACUCAAUAGUUUAAAGUGUAUCAAUUUAGUACUCUGUGGUUUUGCACUUUCUCACUUUAAUAUACCCUGCGAUUUAAAGUGCAUCAAUUUAGUACCUUGUUGUUUCAUUUUUCUCUUUUCGUCGAUUUUUCUGUUAAUAUUUUCAUUAAAUUAUGCACAAAAAACUUCAGAUAUCCUACCUAGGUUUAUCGAAUAUUUACUUUAGUACUCUUUAGUUUUAACUUUAUCAUUAAUUUUUUUUCCCUCCGUUAAUAUUUCGUUAAAUUAUAUACAAAAAACUUCAGAUACCCUACAUAAAUUUAUCAAUAUUCACUUUAGUACCCUUUAAUUUUAACUUUGUUCACUAAUUUAACAAAAAAAUUAGUGAAAUGAAUAAUAAAAAGAAAAAAAUAAACCACAGAGUACUAACUUGAUACACUUUAAACCACAUGAUACUAAAGUGAGAAAGUGUGAAACCAUAGGGAUUAACUUGAUAUACUUUAAAUCAAAGAGUACUAAAGUGAAAAAGUAUGAAACUACUGGGAAGGUAUUUGAAAUUUACCCUUAAAUUUAUUAUAUUUAAGAGAGAAAAAAAUAAAAAAGUGAAAAGGAAGGAAAAGGGAAAAUCGUGCCGAGCCAGUGAGCCACUGGGCUGGUUAGGUUGUUUGAUACACCUGCUCAACGCGUAAGCUGGAUUUGAAUUCAAAAUUUUAUUUUUUUUAUAUUAAAUAAAUAUAUUUUAAGAGUUAAAUUUAAUAUUGUCAGAUCAAUUAUAUUAUAUUUAGUCAUAAUUUAGUUUUUUUUAAUUAGGACGAUAUUAUUAUUAGUUCUCAUACUGAUCAUUCUUAGAGCAAGUGACAAAGCACUUGGUGGUUGGUAUCCGAGAUCAAAGUUCGAUUUCUAGUUGAUUCACAUUAUCAACUAAGUCUAUUUUUAAAUAAAAUAAACGAAGUGGGUAGCAUGCUCUUUAUCUCUCAAAAAAAAAAAAAUUUUUAUAUAGAUAUGUGUGCGUAUAUGACUCAUACCUUUGAAUUUAUACUGGUAUGUAUAAAAACUUUGAGAAUAUUUUAUAAAAAGUAAUAUUUAAAUAAUGCAAUUAGGAAAAAAAAAAGGGUAUAACAUAAUAAUUUUUUUAAUCUUACUUGUUGUAUUAGAAGCAGAAAAUUUAUUGAAAUUUUUAUCUUUGAAAUGUAAAACAUUAUUCCUGUUUUUAAUUGUAGCGCAAGUUUAUGUUUUUUUUUAAAAAAAUUAAACCAAGAAGAAUCAAGUAUGCAACAAUUCGGACGAAGAAAUAUUAUCAAUUGCACUUUAAAAUAUACUUGGUCAUUGUGUAUAAUAUACGAGUACGAUUAUUAUACAUGGUACUCAGUUUAAGCUUAAUUUAGUUGCUCCAAAAGAUAGCUUUGGUUUAUCGUAAAAAAAAAGAAAAGAAAUAUAAGUCUUUUUUCUAAAUAACAAGUCUAAAAAUCGAAAACACUGUAUAUUUUCAUUUAUUUGGAACCUUUUUUGAGAAACUAAAAUAACAUUUUUUUGAUUAAAAAACUAAUUUUCAGAAUAUUUUUAAAAAAACCAAAGGACAAAAAUUUGGUGGAGAUAGUUCUCAAAUAUAAUAUUUUGGGGAUUGUCCAGAUUGGUGCUACGUGGCAAGUCGAAUUAAUAUCAACCACCCAACAAAAAUAAAAUUUUUAAAUAUUUUUUGGACAGUUGAGAUGGAUACAGAUUGCCACGUGGCGCCAAUCCGAACAAUCUCCAAGCUAUUAUAUCUAGAAAAAUUUUUGUCCAAAAUGAAACGCCCCGCACUCCCUAAUUAUUGCCAGAAUUGAGCUCCUAUAUUUUUAAAAGUAUCAAGUUAUUGGUGCUUGUAAAUUUUUGAUCAUUGGAUUAAGAGAUGUGUGGUUAGGAUAAUAUGGGACCCUUAGAGUUUAGUAGGUGGUUGGUUAAAUAGUAUGAUUUAAUGGAUAAAAAAGAUCAAAAAAAUAAAUUUAAUGGUAAAAAAUUUAUAAACACCGAGUGCUUGAUGUUUUUACAAGUAUCACAGCCGGAUGCCAAAUACGGCAUUAAUUUAUUGAUAGUGACAAAAUGACCAUUCCACCCUCAAGCGGGUGUUCGCUUCCUGCAGCAAAUGGCGCGAAAUUAAAACGCUUUUUAAAAGAUCGAAACGCCCCCAUUUUAAAUUUUGAAAGAGAAAACCCCUCAUCAUCCCCGGAAACUAUUCAUCUCCCGCACUCUAUCUCCCUCUCUCUCUCGAUCUCGAUCUCGAUCUCGAUCUCCAUCAUCGUUGCCUCUUCGGAUUCACGACGAAGAAGGCGAAGGAGAGGAGGCGCUAGUGUUUCGCUUCGAUCGUCCUCACCCCGAAGGUUUCCAAAUCUCUCCACCGCACCUCUCAAAUCCAUCACCAUCUCCUCUUUUUCUACGUUUGAAUACCUCUAUGAAUGGAUUACUAUUAGAUUAUAGAUCAUGAGAUCAUUCAAAGCAUGGCCUCACGGAUUAUUUAUGCAAUCGUAAGUUAUAGAUCUCACUAAUGGAGCUAUUUGAUGAUCGGAUACUGGUAGAUUAAAAUGUAUGAAGAUCCCUUCAACUUUAGAUUGCUUUGAUUUAAGUUACUCCAAUCAAAUGAAUUAGGAAUUUUGUGAAAAUUAAUGGUGAUUAAUGGUUUUACCUGCUUUUUAGCUGAUGUAUAUGCUGAUUCCAUUAACGGUUAAACACUUGACAGCAACAGAGGUGUUUAAGUUAAAUGAGUCACCAAUUCAAAUGGCGCAAUAGGAAUCCAAAGUUUUUCUACUUUUAUAAAAGUGAUAGAGUUCAAAUUGAUCUUAAUGUUCGUAGGUUACUGGAUUAAUAUCUAGCUACUUUCUUUAGGAAUAGGGAGGCAUUAUUUAGGCAAAGUUGAGACAUCCCUGUAGUUUAUGAAUGAAAUUAUAUAUAUGUAUGCUUUUAGGUAUCUAUAGAUGAACGUAAAAUUGAGAAAGUGCUAUACCUUGCAUCAAGACUCAUUGCUGCUAUUGACAGCAACCAGCAGCUAUUUUAUCUCCCAAGUUUGAGCAGAGUUUUCACCAACUAACAGCCUGGGACUUGCAUGAGCCUUGCAUGAGAAGAGGAGAGUCAAAUUUAGCUAAGGACAACCUGCCGGCAGAUUGAAAAUCUUGUUAGAGAUUAUGCCGGCAAGUCAUCCUUGGCUGAAUUCCAUUCUCUGCUCCUUCACGUAAGGCGGCCAUAACAAAAAUCUCAUUCUCGUGUUAUUGACUGAAUGAUCGGAGAAAUCUUAAACUCUCCUUUAUUAUCUCUUGCCUUCAAUUCAUGAAUAAUAAUGUCCCUAUAUAUAUAUGAUUAUAAUGUUAAUGAGUUGCUUGCCAUGUUCUCUUUCAAAGACACCAGCAUCAUGAAAAGCAACAGAAAUCUCUGGAUUCUUAUUCAUCAUGCUUGACAAAAUUUCGAAAAGGGAUGUGCUAUUUACUGAUUCCCAAUCUGCAACUCUGACCAUACCGCCCGCAAUAUUUCUUCGUAUGGAAAGAUCUUUCAUUCUGAAAUGUAGAUCUAUGGGCGAUGUUCUUUUAAAGGGGGGGGCGAUAACACCAAAGGGAGGGCUGGGUUGAAAUUAUUUGAAGAAUAAGUAGCAUAAAGUUUUAUUGUAUGGUUGCACAAAGAGAAUCGUAGAGUGGAGAAUGAGAUGCAGGAGGGUCCGUUCUUAGCACAUUAUGUGGUAAAUAGAACCUACAAAAGAUUUUUGUAUUUGUUAAAGGCACUUAUUCUGUGAAAAAUGUGGUUGAUAUGCCUUUAGCUUCUCGUUCAUUUGAUUGAAUUGGGUCAAUCUUUCUCAUGCUAUUUUGUUGGCCAUCGUGAGUUGUCUUCAAUGCUACAUGUUUGUUCAGGCGUUUUCCUAGUUUCUUUCCAUUUCCUCUUAAUUAAUAAAUAGCGUACUGAUCUAAUCCCUUUUAGUGUCGUAAGGGAUUAUGCUGGAUUUGGAUUGAUAAACAUCCCAUUGGUGAAUUCAUUUCAAAUUGUUUUAUGAUUUGGUCUGUUUGGACUUUGGUCUUUCUUCUGCUUUUGAUAGACACUAAUAGACAGUGAAAUAGCUUCUUUAAAUGGCGCACUGAUUCUAGGCAACUGCAUGCAGAUUACAGCAAUACAAAAUACUUAUUCUUUGCUAAUUCAUGUUGAUUUUUAUGUUCAUAGGCUACCGAACUAGUGAUUUAGCAUAUGGAUAUUUGCUCAUGGCAUUUCGAGACACUUUUAGAGUCUCAGAGGAUUGAACAACUAAUUGAACUUGAAUCUAAUUAUCCAAAAUCACAAAUCAUGGGAUUGUCUGGGAAAUGCGAAUUAUAUUGCUCGGUACUAAAUUUAUUAACUGUUUUGCUAUUGUAAUUUGUAAGGAAUAAAAUUAGAUAAGCAAAAAGCAAAGCGAACAAACUAAAGUAUAGUGGAGAAUAUGGUGUAACUAAAAUAAAUACAUAGCUUUUCUCAGUAGAAGGGCCUUUAAAGGAGUGAAGCACAUUCACAUUGCGUGUAGUGAACUAUUGAAUCGGAGAAGUUUGUACAGAAGUGCAGACAGACUUUUUUCUCCCUCCCCUUUUCAAGAUAGGUAAUAUACUGACUGAAGGAUACUCAGCAGCAACAUUGUGUGUAAAGAAUUUACAGUACAGUUUGGAAUGCAUAUUCUUCUGAAAUUCCAAUGUGGUGAAUACUUAGACUAUUGGAGUCAAUAUGGUCAUUUGCAAGGCUAAACUUAUUAUCUGUUAUUGGAUGCUAAGCUAACCAGCAUUCAUCUUAUUCAUAGUUACAGAAAAUCUCCAAGAUUUGUACCGCACAAGCUAAAUUCCACUCUGUGGUAAUGACCAAUUGGUGAUUCCAGGAUUUCUGUAAAUUUACCAUGUUUUCCUUUCUUUUGUUUUCUUUUUGAUAAAGUUACAUAGGCUAAGGCGUGUAACUUAACUGAAUUAAAUGGAUUUCGCAUGUGAAGUUAUUAAAUAAUUACUUGUAUUCUAAUAUGAAUUUUGAGCAACAGUAGGCCAAACCAAGUAUAACAUUAACAUAUUGGAAUGUCGAAAAAAUAGCUCACUGGAAUCAUACAAACAAAAAUUGAACACACAUUUUCCCCUUGCAGACUAAAUCUUGAUGUCUUAAUUAGUUUACUUCAUUACAUAAUUAAACUAUUUAGAGUGAGGAUUAAAAUGAUGAAAUGCUUUAUUAUUGCAGAAUGUUGACAUGUUGAGUGGAGGAACAUUGCUUUUUUUGGGAUCACAUUACCUAAUUGAUUUUUUGGCAAAAUUUGUUAGCAUAGAAACAUAAAAUGUUCAAUGGCUCAAGUUCAGACAAAAUGUCAAAAAUUCGUUUGAGGAUUCCUAGAAUUGUCUGAAGUAGGGUAUUUAAGUGCCUUAAUGCUAGGUAAAGACAGCAAUACAUGCAGGACAAAGAAAUGGAAUAUCAAAUGCAGAAAAGUUGGUUUAUUAAAUGCUCAUUUAUGCUGUUUGAAUACCUCAAAAAUUUAACGCAUAAAAAAAAAGUCCUAAAGCAUGUGCUGUAAAUUCUUCUUUUUUUUUAUUACGAAUAAACAAUAUAAAUUACUAACUCUUAGUGCAGGGAAUAUUGACUUUAAACUACACUUUCUGUCUAUUUCAUAAUUUGGAUAUUCUGUUGUCAAUUCAAUAGUGAAAACUUCGAAAGUUGCACGUCUCUAAUCUUAUGUAUUUAAUCAGAAAUUCCUAGCAUGAUCUGAUUUUAUGGACUGGAUCAAAUAAAAUAAAUUUUCUUAUAUGUAUCUGUAGAUUUUAUUUCCAAGGAGGUAAACUACAAAUGUGAUGUAUUUUGGGGAGUUAUCUGCAUUUAUUAGCUAUAAGAUGACAAGCAUACGUGACUCUGCAUUAUAAUAUGUCAUCUACAGAUAAUUUUUGUGGAUGGGAAGUGUAAUUAUAUUUAUGUCAAAUAUCACCUUGUAAUUUUGAUUUGAUUAGUGCCCUUAAUCCAAAACUGAGGAUUAUAAAUUUCGAAUUAUUUCAUGACCUCAUACAGAAAGUUGUUAAUUUAAAAAUUCAGCAUACUUUCCAUCAUGUUUAAAAAUUCUAUGAUAAGAUCUUCAUUUCAGUGUUGCAGAGUGACCAGAAAUAAGUAAAACUUAAAACAUUGCCUGUUCUGAUUAGAAUUUGGUGGCUUUUCGUGUUCUAUAUGAAGAUGAAGGAAGGUCAAAAACUAAAACUGCCAUCUCAACGAAAUAUGGGAUGAUGUUAGGUGUUUCUCUUGCAAACUAGAAUCUUGUCUAUCUUUUUGAAGAUGAAGAAAGGUCGAAAUCUAAAAUUGCCAUCUCAAAGAAAUAUGGGAUGAUGUUAGGUGUUUCUCUUGCAAACUAGAAUCUUGACUAUUUUUAUGAUUAACGGUGUAAGUGGUACUAAUAGAAGAACACUGUUCUAAGAAAAGAAAGAGUAUGAACCUUAGGUUUCCAAUGAUGCUCCUACUGUAUCAUGAGGUAUCUAUCUUUUUGUUGUAAUCAUGAUCUUCAGUAUCUUACAUUAUAUGAUAUAGAUGUAAUGUCUGCAUUUGAUGUUUGCAUGCAUGCAUGCGCUGGACAACUCAAUGCACAACCUAGGCAAAAGAAGCUAUAACUUCCCCGAGAUUGAGAGAGACGUCCCUUAUUUUGCAAAUGAUAUGCCUAGUAGCAUGCCUGCCAUGGGAUGGUGGGAAAUUUCCUGUGAGAGUAUCAUGCUAUUAGGAAUUAAAAAUACCUUUUGUUCUCAUACUUAUUACAGUGCCUCCAUUGGAAAAUUCUAUUUACUUGCACAAACACCAUCACCCACUUGAAAAUCAACAAUCACAUGAACAUGCCUUGCUCUGUCUCUUUCUCUGUACCUCAUAAUAGUGCAGUACCUCUUACUAGUUGGCAGAUAUCCUAGAUCUGCGUUCAUAUUGUAUGGUUUUUGGAAUUUUUUUUCUUUAAAUGAUAUUUCCAGUAUGUAAUAUCAUCCUUUACCCUGCAGGUAAAAUCAGAUGCCAACAUUGAUCUUUUGCUGAAAGAUCGACAAUUGCGGUCAGGCCGGACAGACCAAGAAAAACAGUAUGUAGUGUUACUGCCAUCUGUCUUGCUACAUCUGUCCAAUGCUCAUGUAGGCCCAGUUGAGGUCAUUGCUUUAAAGACAUAGAUAAAACUGUUGAAUUAGACUCCCAAAUAGACUUCAAUAAUGUGUCAAAAUCAUAAGUUACUAAUGAAAAUUACGAUCAGUAAUUUUUGCUUCCUCAUAACUGGAAUGCUAGGUUUCCUAUAUGUUGGCGUGUUUUCUUGCAUAUAUGAAAGUAUAUACAAUAAAAUUAUGAGAAUGUAGACGAGAAAGUGGAAAGAGAAUAAACCAAUCAAGAGUUUAUUUUCUUCUUUUUCUCUUUGAUAUAUCUGCACAAUUGAUGAGAAAAUCAUUUAUCUUCUCUUCUCCCCCCUAUUUUCUCUUGUCUACUCUGCAUUCUCUCCAAUGCAAACAAACACAAAAGAGAUGCACAGUAAUUACCUUUUGGUACGUACCAAUAUCAUGCAACUAAUGUAAUACUAAUACUUUGGCAGCAGGAGCAGAAACGGUCCAAGUCAUGCAAAAGCCUUACGUGAGGAGAAGAGAGUGAUACGUAGCCAAGGACAAACUCGCCGUCAAAUGCAAUGGAGUUAUACAAUACAUAUGUCUAUACAUACGUACGUACGCAUGUCUGUGCGUAUGUCGGUAUGCAUUUGUUCCUCUUAGGCCAAUGCCGGCAAGUCAUCCUUGGCUGCAUUCCACUCUCUGACCGUUCACGCACGGCCGUCGAUGAACAACUUCGGCGAGGUAAGACCAUCAUCUCUUCAAUCUUCUGCUGCUUCAUUCAUUCAUCGAUGUUGGUAUAUCUCUCACUCUCUCUAUAUAUAGGUAGGAGUAGACUAUAGUAGUGGUUUUGCUUGUCUAUGUGACUGUUUAAUUUUGGUUGGCCAUGGAUGGUAGAAGGAAUAAUAAGAUCUCUUUUAUUAUUCUAUGUAGGAAUUCCACAAGAUAGGAUUAAAAAAUGGGAUAUGUGGUGCCAAUUCAAACUUUUCCUAUUUGGGUUGGAGAUGAUGAGGGCAAAAAAAAAAAACAAAAUAAUUGGGCCCCUAUUUCCUUUUUCUAUAGUGGAGGUGUAGAGAAUGGAGAUGUCCACCUCUUAGAGGAAGUUGCCAUAUUUUGAAAUUUUUGCUAGUUUUGUUGUGGGAAGAGAAUUUACAUUUAAAGGAGAAAUGUGGUAGUAGACUAGUAGAGGUUGCUUUUGUGGCUUAUGAUUUAAAUUAAGCAAUUUAAAAUGAGAAUCUGCAAUUAGAAUAGUAGGCCUUUGCCUUUUAUAGCUAUUCAUUUUGGUUUCCUUUUUUACUUGACCAAAGUGGCAGUUGUUUUUUCCUUUCAUACCUUGUGGAUUCAAACUUACUUAGGUAGCGUUUUGUGGACCAAUAACUUUCUCUUUUUUUAUGGAUCCGAGCUAUCAUUAGGUCAUUUAGACAAAUUUUUAUUAUUCUUCACUUAUUUUAUGCUGAUUUUGGUUUAAUUUGCAAGUCUCCAUGCUGCAUUAAGAAAUCCACCAAAAAAAAAAAAGCAUUGAUCAUCCCUAUAAUUUCCAAAGUUUUUUGGGUUCUAUGGUAGUUCCAGACUCUUUUUCGAUCUUUCAAAACAUAAAAAAUAAAAAUACAAAUACAAAUCUGUACAAUUGCUAUUAUAUAUGCCACGUGUUUUGAGAAAAUGCUGCUACAUAACAGCAUUGAAUAUCUGCUCUUUUUUACUUAUUAUUUUAUCGAACGAAUAUAACCCUGAUUAUUCAGGUCGUCACAACUUUUACUAAAUUGGCAUUUCGUAAACUUGCUUUUUCCACAAGCAUUUUUCUUGUUGUUUUUUAUUUUAUUUAUGAGUGAGCGGUCAUUAACCGGUCGUAACCAAGAAAUUUGGGCCCUAUGGGCUUGGUUAGUGUGAAGGGCAUCAAAUUAUUCUAGUGGACUUUUUUUCUUAAAAAAUUCUAGUGGAAUUUGACAAAAGGCCAUCUAGGUGAGUAAAUUUAAAUUAUUUCCUUGCAAAGGACAUUUCGUACUUUUUUGGUUGGUACUUAUAAAGAUGGGAUAAUUUUAUACAGCUCCCUGUAAACAUAUCGAAUAACAGAUAUAUUUCUAUAAAAAUUAAGUUUUAUAUUUAUCCCUAAAAAAUUUCUAUUAGUUUGUUAAGUGUCCGUUAGAAAAAUAUAGUUAAACACAUGUAAAAUACUUAAAUCUCGAUUAGUGAGUGAAGUACUUUGACCUUUCUAUCCUUUUGAUAUUAUACCUUAUUCUCUCAAUCAAAAUUCUACUAAUAGGACCUCAUUUUCUUCUUCCUCUUCCUUAUUUUCUCUUCCCUUCGUGUUAGUUUCGAAUUUGUAACUAGGGUUUCUUCAUCCUCAUUCAUCCAUAAUGCUUGUUGUUUCUCCCCAUGUCGAGCGUCGGAUAAUUAGUAUUAGAUAGGUAAAGAUGAUAAGGAGCGAGAGAGAGGUAGAAAAAAGAUUACAACAAUAGUGUAUUAGGUUAAUUUUUAUAGAGAAAGAAGAUGAUUAUUGAAAUUUUUUUAAAAGGACAUUUCUGCAUUAUUCUAGUUCUUGGAGGAACAUAUUUAUGAUGGCAAAUUAACAUUUCAUUUAUUUUUUGUUAAAAAAUAAUCAGUAAAUUAACGGUAACAAACUAAAAGAAAAAAUAUGAAUAUUAUUGAAUUUUGAAAGAAUAGAUUUGAAAACUUAAACUUUAUGAAAAUAUAUUUGUUAUUCAAUAUAUUUAUAGAGAGCUGUAUGGAAUUAUCCCUAUAAAGAUAAUAUAUAAUAAUAUUGGUGACUCUAUACGCAGCAAAUUGGGGUCAGUGGGCUUAGAAUUUUACGGGCCCUUUUGUUUUUGGGUGACAGAAUUGGAUUCCAAACUAAAAGCAUUGUGUGCUUCCCCCAGUGUCAUUUCGAAACGUGUCCGUUUGACCUCCAUUACGUAACGGAAUUUCUUGGAAAUUUAUACUCACAUGAAAUGAAAGAUUCAUGCUAUUUAUCUAUCAAGUAAGACGCCUGCUAGUUCAAUUUCCCCAGUAUCUUAUCACUUUGAUAAGAUUUUUUGUGCUCAACUACGUUUUGUUCCGAUAAUAUUUAGAAUCUUUGUUUAUCACUAACAUAGAUUUUUUUUUUUGAGAGAAAGAUAGCAUAUUGUAUGUUAUCCGUUUCGCUUAUUUUUUUUAAAAAAAUAAACUUAAUUAGAAAUAUGAAUCAACUAGGAUUCCAAUCUGAAACUUCGAGUAUCAAUUACUAAAUUUUUUACCACUUGCGCUAGAGAUGGAUUGCGUUUGGCUGGGUCAUCCUAAAAAUCACACUACUCCUGACCUUUCAAAUAACCUACCAGCAGGCUAUAAAUCCAAUUAGCUCGGUUACUGAUAGAUUGCGUUCCUUUCCAUCUAUUCAUCUAUUCCAGACCAAAUUCACAUCAUCGCCCAAAUCUCCUGACUGGACAUUUUCUAAGGUCAUCACUAUAAGAAAUUUGAAAAACACACACUGAGUAAAUAAGUGGUCGACAGUUUUCUCUUCAGUCUCACACAGCACACAGAUCGUGUUGCUAAGCCAUCAUCUCUUAAGGAGAUUAUGUGCAGUAAGAGGCCUCUUUUUGAGGACGAGCCAGCAAAAUACUUUCACUUUUAAUAAUAUUCGAAAUCUCCAAAUCUUGCUAGUACGGACAUCUCUCGUGCCGCUGUCGGACAACGCAGGAUAUAAAUUGAACACAUUUUAUUCCGUUCUUUUGGCGGAUCAGAAGGGAUUCGAAAUUAGUUAAUUUUUAUCAUAUUUUUAUAUUUAUUUGUCACUCUAUUCAGAACGGAUUGAUGCGAGAGUGAAUAUUUGGUAAAUUUUUACGGAUUGAAAUGGAUCAAAGAUAGAAUAGAGUCAUUCUUUUCCUGCUCUAUCUCCUUAGCAAAUUGGGAUGGGCUUUUUUUUCCUUUUUUUUUGUCUUUUAUUUAUCUCUUCGUUCAGGGCAGGUUGGGAAUCGCACAGAAUAUUUAGAAUAUUAGGGAUUGCAUUUUCGAUUUUCAAAUAAAAAAAUUCUAGUUUGUAGGUUGAAUAGGCGGUUGAUUUAUUUGCUAUUUGGGAUGCAAAACAAGUUGGGUUUAACGGACCGUCCCUAGAGCAAGUGGCAAAGAGCUUGGUGGUUGGUACCCGAGGUCUCAAGUUCGAAUCCUAGUUGAUUCACAUUUUCAGCUAAAUUUAUUUCUAAAUGAAAUAAACGAAGCGGAUAGCGUGUUAUCUAUCUCUCUAGAAGAAAGCAUUAUUGUUAUCGGCAGACUAGAAAUAGUUACAAGAAAGCACUUUUAGCUUUGUCUCUUUUUUCUUUUUCUUUUUUUUUAAAACAACNAAAAAAAAAAAAAAAAAAAAAGAAGCUGGGUUUAAGCUCGGGCUGUAUAAAGAUGCCACAAUUUCCGCAAAGACAUUGAGAAGCAUUUUGUUUUUGAGAGAAUAGGUAGCACGCUACCUGCUUCAUUCAUUGGAAGGAUAAAUUAGACUAUAAGAGUGAGGCAACCAGGACCUCAAAGGUUUAAAAAAAAUAAAAAAAAUAAAAAAUAAAAAAUAAAAAAUAAAAAAAAAUAAAAAAAAACUACUACCGAAUUUCUUCCCAAGAGGCGAUUAGAAGAAAGCAUUAUUGUUAUCGGCAGACUAGAAAUAGUUACAAGAAAGCACUUUUAGCUUUGUCUCUUUUUUCUUUUUCUUUUUUUUUAAAACAACUCUAAAUGAAUAUUAAUUUAUAAAGAAUUAGAGCACAACAAGCUCCUGCGAGGCUUUAAUUUUUUAUUUUUUUAAGAAAAGUAGUAUAUUAUCCGUUUCGUUUAUUUUUUAAAAAUAAUAAAUUUAGUUAGAAAUGUGAAGCAAUUAAGUUUCGAAUUUAAAAUCUCGAGUACUAAUCACCAAUUCCUUUGUCACUUACGUUAGGGACAGUCGGUUAGCACUAGGUAAUAAUUAUUUUUACAAAAUUUGACAAAAGAGAAUACUUUUGUUGUAAUGAAAAUUAGAAAUAAAAUUUAAGGCUCCUAAAUAGAAAGUCUAAUUUGACAAAAAGAAUAUUUUAGUUGUAAUGAGUAACUAUUUUUGGUCCGCUACCUUCUACAAAUCCAAUGGUAUCAUAUCAGAAAUACAGAAAUUUGUUGUAAACUAGACCGGGUAAAAAGACGAGGAAUUAGGUUACAAGCUAACUCGAUAUUUGCAGGAUAGCCAUCCAUUUAUGAAAUUAAAGCUGCUCAAAAUUUCUUGUAUACCAAAACAUUGGUAGUCUAUCGUCAAUAUGCUUGGACCGAUUAUUUCGAGCACAGGUAGUAAAGAGCUUGGUGAUUGAUACUGGAAGUAUAAGCUCUAAUCUAUUUAUAUUUUUAAUUAAAUUUAUUUUUAAAAAAAACCAAACGAAGCGGAUACACUCCUUUCUCUCUUUCAAAAAAAAAAAAGAAAAAAAAAAAGGAACGUGGUGAGACCUGGGUGAGUUUUGGGUUCCCACACCAAUGAUCUAACAAGUUUGUAGCCGUGUUCUUUAAACUCAGGUUUGAUUUAGAAAUCGUCUUAAAUGUGCCGGCCCAAAUGUUUGAUAAUACCCAAUAUUUACCUGUCAUGAUAAUGGGCCGUUUCGUCCUUGUUUCCAUGGAGUUAUAAGGACUGGGUUUAAGGAGCCUUUGGGCAGCUCGUUAAUAGGAAAAAAAAUAAAAAAAUUAUAAAAAGAUCCUUCUUUCUAUAUUCUUAAUUAAAGGCCGUACAAAAAGUAGUUUAUUCUUUUUUUUUUUUUUUUUCGAGAGAUAGGUAGUAUGCUAUCCGUUUAGUUUAUUUCAUUUAGCUAGAAAUAUGAAUCAAGUAGGAUUCGAACCUAGGUCUCGGGUACUAACCAUUAAGUCAUUUGCUACUUGCUCUAGGAAUGGUCGGCAAAAGUAGUUUAUCCUACUAGCCCAUUUCUAUUGGAAUGGAUGGAAAUAGCAGCUCCGAGAUUAAGGUAGAUUUUUGUAAGAGGGUGGUUGGUAUCCGAAGUUCUAAGUUUGAAUUUUAGUUGAUUCAUAUUUUCAGCUAAAUUUAUUUUUAAAAUGAAAUAAAUGAAAUGUCUAGUAUGUUACCUAUCAUUUUUUUUAAAAAAAAAGAGGGUGCAAAUUUGAAACCAAAAAAAGAAAAAGAAAAAAAGAGUGGGUGCAGAUUCAAAUAUCAUAGGAUAGCUUUUCUCAAUCCAAAUACAAUCUACAAAUCAAAUUCCAAUACUAUCUACGAAUCAAAUUCAAUAUCUUAUGUUUCACAUUUUUACUAUGGACAUGAUAUGGCUCAAUUUCCAAAAAGCGAAUCCUAGUUAUUUGCAUUACAGAUGUAUUUGAUUGAUAAGGAAUCCUAGUUAUCGAGUUCAACAUCAUGAAUGGUGUCAGGUCGCUGGUUUAUUUGAGACAAACAUAGGAAAAAUUUGAACGGAGGGAGAGCGUCCCAUUUUCCUCUAUCCCUUCUAAAUUUACCAUCCUAUACACUAUUGAGAUUCAGACGAAUAACUUUUAAAUGGAAACAGAUAUAACUUUUAAAUGGAAACAGAUAUUUAAGAUUCGGGUGCGGAGUAAAUUACAUGGCUCAAUUAAAGCGUCUCAUUUGAGUUUUCGUCAAGACGCUCUACAGUGAAGUCGUACUCGAUAAAUACUGUAGACAAUUUUUGUACAGUAAAUUAUCAUAUAUAAGAAUAAUAAUAUAUUAAUAAUAAGAAUUGAGCUAGAAUAUUCUUAAAAUCAUUAAGCUUUUGUUUGGUUCGGGAUUAACGGGUGGAAUAAUCCUUUAACCUCCAUAUUAUCUCCAAACACUUUCAAAAAUGGGUGGGUUAGCUAAUCUUACCUAAGGGAUAGCCCAUUUUGGGUGGGGUUAGCUAACCCCACCUAAUCCCACCAAAUCCCAAUCAAACAUUAUUUUCUAUUCAUAAAAAUUCACUAUCCUUCUUAUCCCACCUACUCCAAUCAAAUACUAUUUUUCACUAUUAUGGAUUAACUCCAACCCCCAAUCAAAUACAAAAAUACUCUAACUCCACCUUAAUCCUGAACUUAAUCCUAUUUCUGGAAUAAUUAGUUUUUCCUUAACCCCGAACCAAACGGUAGCUAAGGGUAAGGGGUUGGUGCUUUUAGGUUUGUAGUCUUUGGAUGGAGUAACGGAGGGAUAGGAUGAUGGCGGUAGGUGGUGAUAGGUGGAAUAGUAUUUGAUCCAAAGACUAUUAGUAGUCAAAUUGUAGAUCUAAAGAUUAUAAACCUAGAAGCAUCAAGAGAGGUGCUUCCAGGUGUAUUCUAGCUCAACUUUUAAUAAUAAUAUAUUUUUUGGGAAAAUCAGAUAAUAUUUAUCUACGACUAAGGCGUAGUUUGGUAUUGAGGUCUAUCUGACGCUAUUAGAUAAAAUGGAGUUAGGAUAAAAGUACAUAGGAUAUAUUUUUGCAUUCUCCGAUGGAACUGUAGAAAAUAUAUCGUAAUUGACUUAUCGUGAUAUUCUGAACGUAAUAUUACGUAUGAAAAUAAAUAUACUAUUUUUUUAUCGUACUUUCUCACCGUACGUAACGCAAUUUUUUCUGUAAUCCCAAACAAAACCUAAAUCUGGAAAAGUCGAACAAUACCAAGUCGGCAUUGGAGUGUUUGAGCCGAAUCUCUCUUUUGGACACUUUUUGGGCCAGCUAAAGUAUCACCCUUUUGAAAUUCUAUAUCUGUGCAACUCUCCAAACCAAAAAUCUUUAUUAACCACCGACCGUUCCUAACGCAAGUGGUAAAGAACUUGAUGGUUGGUACCCGAGAUCCUAAGUUCGAAUCGUGGUUGAUUCAUAUUUCUAACUAAGUUUAUUUCUCUAAAUGAAAUAAACAAAACAGCUAGCAUGCUAUCUAUCUCUCAAAAAAAAAAAAAUCUUUUUAACCCUUUCCAAUUCCAUAUUAUAUAUUAGAUCCUUAGCUUUUAUGAAAAAAAUAAAUGCACAAAAAAUUAUGCGAGUGAACGAAUGCUUUGUUUACAUCAUUGUAGUCCUCAAGCAAACUAGGGUUUGUGUUUUAAGCAUGGUAGCAAAAACUGUUAUAUUUUGUGCAGUUCUGAUUUGCACGAAAUUUUUACGCAUUUGUUAAUCUCACCAUCCAUAAAAAUACAGUAGGUUAGGAAUUUCUUGUGCAUUGGAAUUCAAAAUAUCUACACUUAUCCUUCCUCGAGGACUACAGCUCCAGGAGGGAAAUUCACCAUCAUCAAACAAAACUGAAAAAGAAAAAAACAUAAUUAACCACACACCAAUAGAGCUAAAACACUCCUUUUCUUUGUUACUAAGACAGUGACAAAGCAGAUAAAACAGUGUAGAUUUUUAAAUGACGUUUUUUUUAAAAAAAAUUGAAAGCCUCCUCAAAUAGCUUCAUCCACUUAGUAAAAUCUCCCAUUUAUCAUCAGCUUAAUUUUCCCUACAUAACAUUCCUUUUGUGCUCGUUCUCUCUGUUUCUCUUCUUUUCCUUCCAUUUUUUUGUUAAAAUAAAGAAAUAUUUUCAAAUACUAUCUAUGUAGUUUCGCAUUUUCUCACUUUAGUACCCUGUGAUUUAAAGUGUAUCAAUUUAGUACUAGGUGAUUUUUUUUUCUUUUUAUUAUCUAUUUCAUUAAUUUUUUUUUUCGUUAAAUCAGUGACAAAGUUAAAAUUAAAGGGUAUUGAAGUGAAUAUUCGAUAAAUUUAGAUGUGGUAUCUGAAGUUUUUUUUAAUAUAAUUUAACAAAAUAUUAACGGAGGAGCUGACUAAAAAAAAAAUUGAAACCACGGAAUACUAACUUAAUACAUUUUAAACCACAGAACAUUACAAUAAGAAAGUGCGAAAUUAUAGAGGUGGUAUUUAAAGUUUAUACUAAAAUAUAUACGAGAAUAAGCAUAUUCGUAGUACAAAGAAGACCACUAAAGUUUCUUCUCACAGCAUGUCUCCUCUCUAGCAAAGCUUUGUGCCAACAAUAAUAACUUGAUAAAGAAGCAUAGAAUCCUUUCAACUGUUUUUUCUGUUCCCUACGUUUUUCUCUUACUUCUCCUUAGAAAUGUGCUUUCCUUGUAAUACUAGUGAACACAUAUCCCUAUUCAAAUGCAUCAUGUACCACAACAUGGUACUGCAAAAUUCUCCUGGGUCUUGUGCAGCACCAUACCACCAAUUCAAACCCAAAGAGCUCCUAGAUAGAUUUCAAACAUAUGGGCUGUUCUUCGUCGAAGGUAAAUGAUAAUGACGACGACGACGCCGUCCGAAUUUGCAGGGAUAGGAGGAAUUUCAUCAAACAAGCCAUCGAGCAAAGAAACCGAUUUGCUUUUUCCCACGUCGCGUAUAUUCAUUCCCUUCUUCGAGUCUCCUUUGCUCUUUGUUAUUUCUUCGAAGGCGAUGAGCGCCGCCAUUUCUUGAAUUUCGAUACGAGCAUCCCAUCUAAACCUGCGGAAAUUUUGGUCCCUGAAAAAAUGAUGCUUGCUAAACAAUCCGAGGGGAUCUCUCUCACUGUGAAUUGCUUGAGAUCAGUAGGAAAUCCAUUAAUCACUAUGGAGCAAUGGUGGCCUCAAUCUCCGGAAACCAUUAGACUCGAAUCUUAUUACCCUAUUGAUCUUCGAGAACCUGAUACGAGAACGAACCCGCCAUUCUUUUCGUCUCCUUACAUUGCACAAAACUACUUACAAGAACCGCCUCAGUGGGACUUCUGGAACCCUUUUUCACCAACAGAUGGAUAUGGAUAUACCUUUCAGAGUACUCCCGACCGUUUGAUUACUGAUGAAGGGCUAAGGCAGGCUCGGGAAGACGAGGGAGUUCCUGAUCUGGAAGAAGAGGCAGAAGAAGAUAACAAGAAGAUCGAGAGCUCUCCGGUUUACUCGAGGAGCAACAGCAAAGCUAUCGAUAAUGGAGAGCCCUGUGAAGCGGAAAACAAAACGGAGGAUGCAAAUGAAGGACAGGAAUUGAAUACACAUCCAAUAAACAGAUCGAAUGCCUCAGAGGAACGAAGAACGGUGGAGGUAAAUAACGAGCGGAGGAGGAUCGUUGGAAGUGCGCAAGUCGGCGAAGAAGAAACUCGUGGAUUCGUAGUAUAUGUUAAUAGUAGACCGACGAGCAUGGCGGAGGUCAUGAAGGAUCUCGAGAGCGAAUUUGCGAAAAUUUGUGAUUCUUCUAGCGAGGUCUCUGUACUGCUAGAGACAACAAGAACAACGGAACGAUUCCCAAACUUACCUCGAGGUAUGCUCAUCAUGCUUACCUAUGUUUCGGUUUAAAACUUGCACAUAUUUCGUCAUUUGUUUUUCCUUUUUUCCGGAAGGAGAUUUUGUAUAUGUUUGCAUUGGCGAAACUCUAUCGGCGAAAAACAGCCUAAUGUUUCAUAUCAUUUCAUGAACUCUACCUAGAAUAUAGUUGCUCUUCUCUAGAGUUUCAAACUCCGCGACUUUGUUCUACUAAUCACUAUCCCUGCUCGUUCAAGCUUCUACUUCUCCAAACAACAUUGGCAACGAGAGCGGUGGCGAUAACACGGAGGAAUCUUUGGAGAUAUUCAAGAGCCACAAAUCAACAUUGGAUAGGUUGUACAUGUGGGAGAAGAAGCUGUACGAGGAAGUGAAGGUAUUUCACUUCAAUAUUUGAACAAGAAACUACUACCUCAAAUAAGAUCAGAUAUUUUGCGCUUAAUUUCUAGAUCUUAGAACACAAAGUACUAAAGAAAGAAAAAAGAAAAUCUUCUGAAUGCAGUUAGAGGAACAAAUACGGUACGCGUACGAGAAGAAAUGCAUGCAGUUGAAGAAGCAGGACGAGAACGGAGCAGAACCUUCUGCCGUCGACAAGACGAGGGCGGCGAUAAGAGAUCUGCAAACUAAGCUGAGAGUUUCGAUAAGCGCGAUCGAGUAUAUAUCGGAACGAAUCGAAGUUCUGCGAGACGAGGAGCUGCACCCGCAACUUGUGGAGCUGAUAAAAGGGUACUUUCUAAAUGGCUCUCUACUUACUAAUUUGAAAAGAAGAAAAAGAUUUUCUUUUAUGUUGUUUAAUUUCUUUUUCUAGUUUGGUUAGAUUUUUAACACACCCAAGUUUGCAUUUGAACACACAAACAUGAAAUGUUGUCUGUGAAGUGUUAGGUGUUCCAAGAGACAGAGCUGUUUGUGCAGAAAAUAAUAGUUGAGAGUUGAGACCUGCUUUUUUUUUUCUUUUUUUUUUUUGUAAAUUGCAUAGCAGUCCCCGAACUUUGAGCGCAGUUUCAUUUUGGUCCUCAAAUACUUUGGAUAUUAAAGGCCUUAAACUUUUGAACUUUUUUAAUAAAUUUUCAAUGUAGUCCUGGAACUUUUCACAAAAUUUCAUACAUUGGUACGUACGUGCACAGAUGCGUUGGGUUGUAGACUUGUAGGCAAUGGUUCAUACUCCGAACUGUAAAAAAUUCACAAACUUGAAAGUCGAGGACCAAAAUGAGAAUGCGCUAAAGCUUGGGGACCAAAUGUAAAAAACAAAAAAAGUUUGUUGUGCGCACGAUUUAGUUGGGGCGGGCGCAGGUUAGCGCGGAUGUGGCGAGCCAUGGCGGAGUCGCACCGGAUCCAGAGGCGCACGUUAGACGAGGCCAAGCUCCUCCUCUCCUCCUCCGCCGCCGCGAGAGAGGCGGCGCCGCCGCGGCGAACCCACCGCGCCGCCGCCGUGCUCGCGGCGGAGCUCCGCGUCCUGCGCGCCUCCCUCGCGUCCUGGGUCGGCGCCCAGCGCGCCUACGCCGCCGCCCUCGCCGGGUGGAUCUCCCGCUGCGCUCCGCCGCCGCUCCCCGGCCCGGUGCCGGCGCCGCUGCCGCCGCCGCCGGUGUACGGGAUGUGCGUGGCGUUGGCGCGGGUGGUCGAGGGGGUGAGGGAGGAGGCGGCGGCGGAGGCGAUCGAGUCCUUCGCUGCGGCGGCGGCGAAGGCGGCGGCUGAGGGGCGGAGGCGGCGGAGGGGGGAGGAGACGGAGGUGGCGGAGGGGGAAGGGGAGAGGGCGGUGGCGGCGGGUGCGGCGGAGGCCGUGGGUGCGGCGGCGGAGCUCGCGGGGGCGGCGGCGGAGGGUUUCGAGGAUUUGGUGAGGGCACUCCAACAGGAGGAAGAGGAGGAGGAGGAGGAGAACGAAAGGGCGGAGGAGGAGCGAACUCUGGUGAUGUGAAUUUAGUUUAAAAUCUUUCUAUGAUGGGUUUUAAUUCUGAUUAUUACAUAUUCCAACGGAUUCAAAAUUUGAUUUGUAAAUAUUUAUCUCAAAAGUAAUAUAUAGAUAUAUAUAUAGAGUCGGCUGAUAUGCUUAUAAAAGCACGGAACCCUCCAUGUCACGGAGCCCUCCGUGUUUUUAAGUUGUUUUCGAUGUUCGGACUUUUGAAUCGACGACCGGUUCCGUUAGAGUUGAUCUAGAGUAUUUGAAGUAUUUAGAAAAUAAAUUUUGUGAUUUUUCGAUAUUAUUUGCCUAGUGAUCGAAGGGGCUCAAAAUAAAUAAUUUUAAUGACCGUGGUGAGCCGGUUGCAAGUUUAACGGUGUAGAAAUAUUCAAAUUACAUGAAAUUUUGAUAGAAAAUUCUUUAUACCAUAUAAAACAAGAUCAAUAACUUUGAUCUAAAAUUUUAAUGUCAUAUCCUUAUAUUUUGUAAGAUUUUUAUUUUCAGUCGUUGAUUUUGAGCCACUUCGAUCACUAGGCAAAUGAUAUCGAAAAAUCUUAAAAUUUAUUUUCUACAUACUUCAAAUACUUUAGAUUAAAUCUAACAGAGCCGAUGGUCGAUUUAAAAGUCCGAACAUCGAAAACAAAGUAAAAGCAUGGAGCCUUCCGUACUUCCAAAAGCAUCCUAGCUGCACUCUAUAUAUAUAUAUACAUAUAACAAAAAAAUAAGCUGCUAUAAAACACCCUCCAACGUAGAACUUUCGUUGUGAAACAAUAAUUUUCUGUCAAUUUUUGGCAACAUUGAAAACUUAAAAAACAUCUUUUAUUUUGCUCGCCGCUUCAGUAAAGAUAAUUAAAGUACUAAACUAAAAUGGGCACAGAGGCAACCGCCCAAUUGCAGUGAUCUAAUUUGACUUAAAACAGCUUUUCUGAUCGUCCGCGACGUAUAAAGCUAAGAGUUUUUCAAUGAAUUCAAAGUUUCAAACAGCUCUACUCAAAUAAAGCUGAAACUCCACCUAAGCAAACAAGCCCUUAUUAAGAGUCUUCUAAGUUCUUACAGCUGGACAAGAACAGAGAAUCCUCUAGACAAUGAAAGUAAAAUACGGAGACCAUCAUUGUCCAAGUGCGGCGACAGCAGUUUAAAUUUUAAGCUCCCUACAUAAUACCAGAUCGAAAUUUUGUUGGAGCUGCCUCUACAUUGUCCCCGAGCGAGCUUCCCACUGCCAAAUGUCGGCGCCGCAGCUCGUAACUUCGCUAGCAAUCCUGUUCUCCAAGCUCUCCAAGCUUGUGAUGCUUUGGAUCGGCGAGUUUUGGUUGAGUCUCGACCUCAUUUCCUCGAUGUUGUUGUCCAUCCGCGCGUUGUCUACUUGUCCGGUGUUCGUCAUUCCGAUAUAACACGGGUCAUCUGCUUGAAAAUCCAAGUUCGGAAGCACUUCUGAGGAAGCUCGACACGGGUGCCGAGUAUUUAGAAUCUGCGGGGAUCCUAUAUGGCUUUGGAGGAGAUGAUCUAUGCUACAUGUUAAAGCACCUCUAGUAACCAUAUCUUCUGCCAUCUUUACCUGCAGCAUAUUCGGGAAAUUUAUGCAUCCACUCUUUCGUCAAAAUAUUGCCGGUUAGAAAGAAAAAUUAACUUGCCGAUUUAGUCCCAGUGACUAGAAUGACCUAGAAAUAGGUACCUUUACUCUCAAAGCUUCCACAUCUGACUUGAGAAUUCGAUUCUCCGUGACAGAAUCAGUGAAUUGAUGGUUGGCAUCCGUCAACUGUUUAUACAGAGAUGCGUUAUCUCCUCUAAGCCGGUCGACCUGGUAAAAUAGACUAAGGUGAAUCCGCAUAUGUAAUGGAACUUUUAAAUUUCUUCUCGAGUUUUGACAUAACUGCGGAUUUAUCAGAGAACACAGAUAGAUUCGACGGAGUAAAAGAAAGCAACUGGUGUAACAGAAAGAGAACAUAAUGUCAGUUUCCAUGUAUAUUGGUAGACUUCCAUCGAUCAGCCUUCAACCUAGAAUCAUCUUUCCAGAAGUUGGUGCGGGAGAGCGAACAGAGCGACGACAGCUAUAAAGCUAAUCGAGGCAUGUAAAAUACAUAAUCGACCAUCUUGAAUGCAGUUUAGUUAGGCUCAUUCAAAUGAAGAGCAACAGCCAAAUAACUCUUUAGACAUGCCAUGAUAAGCGGGGAAGAGAUGACAUGUUUGGCUCCCUUUAUUCGGAUAGCCGCAUAAAAAUUAAUGUCAUUCUGGAGCGUAUAACCUUGUUUACAAAUGUAUUAAGAAGAUAAUCAUAAAUUGGGCGUGAAAUUAGAAAAAAUUAUAAACUUACACUGACCGAAAGAUCGUACCUGCGUCUCGAGAUCGGCCAAAUGGGCUUGCUUUCUCUUUCUUGAACGUCUCGCUGACUCCCGAUUGGACACCAUCCUUGAAAUAAACAAUAGGGAGCGGGAUAGAGUGUUUUAACAUAGGGAUUUGUUCGUCAACUCUCAAGAUCAGAAGACUCAAUGGUCACUUGACGCGUUAAGUUGCAGAGGUACAGCAAAUUAUACAAAAGUACUACGCAGUUUGUUGGGCAUGCUUUCAAAAGUUAACGAGCAUUUGAAGUAUGUAAUUUUGUAUUGUACGGAAACACAAAAUUAGCAAUGUUCUUAGGUUGGAUGGAAGGAUCCAGAAAGAAGAUUAUUGGUUAAGACAUCUUCUCUUAAUGCUUUCCUGGAAAAAGCCAAUUAAAAGCAUGGCUGUACCUUCUCAUGCGCUUUAUAUCAACAACAUUCGCACUCUGUUCGCAUGCCCCAAGUUCUUCCAGUGAUUCGUCAUCCGACUGCUCAGAACCACUCGUUCCUCCGAGAGCUUGAUUCUCUUUCCCAUUGGGUUUGUGAGGUGAAGUUGGACUCAGCGCUAUCAAAGAUUUAGAAAAAUGAGAGCAUUAGAAGUCAGAGAAAAAUGACUUUCAUACCUUGAAAAGGUGUGCCUCAGGCGCGUACCUUGGAGCCUAAAAGCAAAGACUCCGCCUUGGCAUAGGUGGAAGAUGCAAAUCAGAAUAUGCGAAGCUAAGAUGCAGAAUAGGUGCUAAAAGCUAGGAUUUGUAUGUCUAAGUCAAGAGGUUUACAGAAACAGCUUUCUGAUGCCCAUACAAACGGCUAAGAUGCGGGCUUUAGAUAAUUUUUGGGUUUUUAGCACUCUCCAUACCCAAUUUGUAUCAUUUAAGUGAUUUUCUGGUUGUGUUAUACUUUUGAAUCUUUCUUGUGAUAUCUUUAUGCAGGUCAUUUCAAAGAGUAUUUUUACGUUUCUGAUAAUCUGUGCAAAUGUGUGCCUCAUCUGUAGCGCCUUGCACCUGGGUGCGGCUUUGACUACUUUGCUUCCAUCAAAGUCAAUGGGAAGGACUCGGACGAUUACGCUAAUGUUUUAGAAAUUUACUUGGCACGAUGAAAGUUUCAAGUACAAAACCACCAAAAAAAAAAAAGUGCGAGUAUGCUAUUUAAUUAGAAUGAAUUAUGCUAGAUCAAAACCAUACUUGAGAUGCUAAUUAUAACGUUCAAUCGAGAAAACUUAGCACUAGUUACCAGAAGAAGAAUUAAGAAAUUAGUUAUAAAUUCAUCUACCACAGAUAGAGGAUGGGGAUUCGAUUGUUGCAGAAACACUCGAAUGUCGCAGGUUAAGGUUAUGAGACCAAAGUUGGUUGUUGAUGCUCCCGCUUAUCGAAUCCUGCUCAAAGUUUGAAUAUCAUCAAACAAAAAACCAAAGCAAGAAAAAAAAAUAAAAAAAUUAUUUGUCUAUGCCAGCUGCAACAAGUUCAUGAAAAAUUAGGAAUAAGGCUUUUCACUGUGAUUAUACUACACCUAACUCAGAAUUAUCUCUUCUUAUAAUAUGAUGUUCAAUUUAUUCCUUUUUUCGGACAUAAAUUAUUUCCGUCCACCCUUUGUGCCAGUUUCAAAAUGCGUUAUAGAGUAUUUGUGUUUUUACCAAUAUAAAAUGGAAAUAAGUGUUUAUGCUUCUCAAGUUAGCUACAUGCAUGCAAAAAUUAGAAUUUUAUCUAAACAUGAAAAACGUGAAAUUACAGGGACAUUAGCUAGAAAGUAAAAGGAUCAGAAAACCAGCUCAAUAUCCGGCAGUUGGUUUGGGCCGUCAGACACAUUCUCAGUUAAUCACGACCGUCCAUAAAUUGAACGGCCGUGAUCGGAACGUGUGGUGACCGUACCAAGGGCAAGUGUCCAGUUAUUAAUUCUCCUCAUCAAUAUAUAGCUUGUAAAUAGAAGGGACAAUUGAAUGUCCUUGCAUUGUGUAAGAAAUGGUAUUAUGGUAGUGAGAAAAUAUAGUUUCAAAGUAAUACAAAAUAAGAGCUAGGCUCCUAUGCUUUCGAAAGUACGGAAGCCUCCGUACUUGUAAGUUGUUUUCAAUGAUGAGACAUCCGAUUCGGCAAUCGGUUCUAUUAGACAUAAUUUACGUUAUUAGAACUACCUAGAAACCAAAUUUCAUAAUUUUUUGACUUCGUUUGUCUAGUAAACUAAUAGCCUCAAAAUGAAUGGCUGAAAAUAAAAAUCUCAUAAAAAACGGUGAUAAAGGACUCGAAUUUCAAAUCGAAAGUAUUGGAAUUGCUAUUGAUGUUAAGUAGAUUUUUCUAUUAAAUUUUCAUUUAAUUUGGAUACUUCUACACCGUUGAACUUAAAAACGUGCUACAUCGGCCGUUAAAAUAGUCAUUUUUGAAACCUUUUGAUCGCUUGGUAAAUGAUGUCAAAAAAUUAUAAAAUUUGGUUUCUAAAUAGUUCCAGUAGGGUAGAUUAUACUUAAUGGAGCCGAUCGUCGAAUCGGAUUUCCUAUCAUCGAAAACAACUUACGAGCACGGAGGUCUCCGUACUUUCGAAAGUAUAGGAGACUUACUCUACAAAAUAAUUAAUCUCUAAAUUUUGUUUAAUAUAGCUGCUAUAUUUUUACAUCUGUAGAUAACAAAUUUACGUGAUAGAUUAUUCAUGCAGAUGACAAAAUACUAGCAAUCUACAUCUCUAAUAAUUUAUUUAAAAAAAUAAAAAUUUGACAACAAAACUUUUUAUCAUGUAAGCUAACCAGCUACGUAAAAAAAAAAAAAAUUCCAUCACAUGUAGUUACAUAAUAUAUUAAAUUUAAAAUAAAUACAACAUCGAGAUUAGCAAAUCAUGCCUAAAAAAUUUUCUUUUUCUCCUAGAAAAAAAGGUGCUAAAUCUAAGUUCUCAAAAUUUAUCUAUUUAUUUAUUUACUUACUUUUUUACUUUAAAAAAUUUACUACAGAUCGAACACUUCUCGCUAUACUUAAUUAUCUCAAAUCAAACACUUCUCACUUCACUGAUUCACACAGGCCAAACAAAUGAGUAAUCAAUCGCAUCAAGUUUGAAACUACAAUUCCGAACUAUAUCGCUUAGCUACUACCGAUCAAACAAAACCCUAAAAGCCGCGAUUCCGUAAAACCCACACAAUUAAGGAGUUCGAUCGCGAGCUUACCCGAUCGGCGCCGAAGCCGAACCCUAGAUCGCCGCCGCAAACGUUGGCGAAGGGUACGGCGGCGCCGCCUCUGCCGCCGCCGCGGGGCUUGUUCUCCGACGAGGGGCGGAGGAGGAGCUCCUCCCCGCCCUCCUGCGGCUGCAGCAGCGCCUCGAGGACCAGCUCCGACAACGACUUCUUCAUCCCCGCGCCGAUCUCGUCGCCGACUCCUCCUCCUCCUCCUCUCCCCGCGGAGGGAUUCGGCGUCGCCUUCUCCAUUAGUAGACUAGGGUUUCGGGGUUUGCGGUGUUCGGGGGUGUUCGGGGGGAACGCAAAAAGACGAACGUGCGGCGAGCUGCGGGAGUGGAAAAAAAAAAAAAGAAAGAAAAGAAGCAGAAGUAGGCCGCGAAAAGAGACAAGCCUGUGCAUUUGCCAUUUGCGUUUCUUACAAUUACGGAAAUGCCCAUUCCCCGUUAUAUAUUAUGUUAAUCUUUUAAUCAUAUCUAUAUUAAUACUUAUAUAUAGGAUUAUAUACUAGUAUAAUAUAGGCAUUGUUCGUAUAUAUAUAUAAUUUGAAAGGCUUUUAUAGAUUUCUAAUUUUGUGUAAAUUUUUUUAAAUAUAAUAGAUAAGAUAUAGUUCAUAAAAUUUGCACAUUACGUAUAAUUCUAUACACAAAAAAAUUUUACGUAUAAAAUAAUUUCUUUAUUUAUUUAAAAUGAGCUUUAUUCAGACGAUUCAUAACGUAGUGAAUUAUAGAAAAAUAAAAUUCAAAAUAUCCGCUGAAAAAAGGUAAAACUAUUGUGCUUAAUCUUUUCAUGUGUACAUAAACUCAAACAAUACCGAAAAAUAUUAAAAUUAUGUAUUAAAAUUACGUUUUAUUAUCAAAUACUUGAUCGUUGGUAUCCGAAACCCAAGUUCGAAUCCUAGUUGAUUCACAUUUCCAGCUAAGUUUAUUUCUAAAUGAAAUAAACGAAGCGGGUAGCGUGCUACCUAUCUCUCAAAAAAAAAAAAAAAAAAAAAACUUAGCUAGCAAUGUAAAUCAACUAGGAUUCGAAUUUCGGACCUCGGAUACCAACCACCGAGUCCGUUGCCACUUGCGGUAGGGAUAGUCGGUAACAAUUUUUAAUUGAUGAAAGAAAAAUUUGCUAUAGAAAGGGUGAGGAUUUGGUGGUAAAUAUGGGGACGUAGGAGGGGUAAUUUGGGAAAUUCACUGGGCGGGAAAAUGGAGGUUGAUUUGGAUCCGCACCGGUCGUGUAAAGCUGGGUGUCAUAUGAACACCACGUACGAAAGCGCCCCCUUUCCUUCUUUUUCUCUUGUUUCUUUUUUAAUUUUCCAUCCCCUUCCACGUCACCCGCUCCCCGGAUCCGCUGCUCGGUACGAUACACACUUUUUCAAGACUACGCCACGUGUUGUAAUAUUAUUGGUCAGCUCCUGCCCCUUGUUGGAUUUGACCAAUGGGACGUGGAGGAAUGUAUGAAUUUGUGUGGGAGAGGAAACAAGUGAUGUAGAUGAUGGUGAGGUGACGUCAGUGCCCCUAGCAUUUCUCUUUCUCUAUUAUUGAGUGCGUAACAAUAAUAAAAUUAUUAUUAUUAUUAUUAUUAUUAUUAUUAUUAUGGGUAAACUUUAAUAAACUUUAAUUAACUCUAUUAUUCGUAUUUUUUUCUGUGAUUUAAAGUAUAUUCAUUUAGUGUCAUGUGAUUUUUUUUUAUCAGCUAUUUUUAUUAAUAUUUUUAUUAAAUUAUAUGCAAAAAAAUUGCAGAUAUUCUAUCUAAGUUUAUUGAAUAGUUGCUUUAAUACAUUUUAAUUUUAACUUUGUCACUGAUUUACUGAAAAAAAUUAGUGGAGGAAACAAUAAAAAGAGAAAAAUGAAACCAUGUGGUAGUAAAUUGAUACACUUCAACUACAUAGUACUAGAAUAAAAAAGUGCGAAAUCAUAGGAAUGGUAUUUGAAGUUUUCUCUAUUAUUAUUAUUAUUAUUAUAAGUAUGUUUGCGUGAAAUACGGUAGGGUGCUUUUCUUUUUUUCAAGUGUAAAUUACACUUUGAUCCACAAAUGUUUUUUUAUUCAAAAGUUUUAAAUUAUUACAAUUUAAUUUUUUUGAUUAAAUAUUAAUAAAUUAUUAAUAUAAAAAUGAUGUUGUAUCUUAAUUAUUUUUACAUUAUCAGUUGCGAUAUUAUUACAACACUUUUAUAUUAUUAAUUUAUCAACAUUGUGUUAGAAAUUUUGGUUUUGAAAUUUAAUUGUAAAAGUUCAAAAAAUUUGAGUAAAGAAUUAAAGUAAAUUAAAAUUUAAGGACUAAAAUAACGCAGUCCAUAGGUUGAAGACCAAAACAAUAAAUUACCCCUCUUUUAUUGAAUAUAAUAAAUUGUCACGUGAGAUAAUUUUUUAACAGAAAAUUAUUGGUAUUGGUUACAGCCACAUGAGAACAAUGUAUAUAAUAAUAGUACUAGUGCUUUUGGGUGAAUUUUAUUAAUUUUUAGUGUACUUGUUUAGUUAAAAUUUAUUUCUUUAUACUUUUUACUGAAAAAGAACUGCAUCACUUUAUGUUUUUAUUAUAUUUUUCUUUUAUAACUCAAUAAUGUUAGAUGAUUCUCAUUUAUAAAUUGGAUCUUAUUCUUUAUUUGGAGCUUCUCGUUGGACUAAACAGGAUCUAAACUCUCUCAUAAACAAUAAAUAUUAGCAAUUUUUUGUAGUAAUGAUUCAUGGUUUAAUUUGUACUUAAACUUAGAUUGUAAUUAUGAAUAUCUCUUCAUCUUUUUAGUCCAGUUAAUAAUUAACCCUUUUUUGGUUCUUCUGUUUGUUUGCAAUUUUAGAUCUAUUUGAACUAAACAUGAACUUAAAAGCCCAAAAAUUAAAAUAAAUUAAUACUCUGAUUAAUUUGCUGAGAUUAUAGAACUGAACAAGUGUGACAAAGAUUGAAAAUGAAACAAAGUCGAGUUCUAAAACUUGUUGAAAAUUUUGAUCACUUAUGAAAAAUUUUACUCAUUUUGUUUGUUCACUAAAAUAGAGCUAGGCUAGUAUACUAUCAGUAGCACGGAGGCCUCCGUGCUACCAAGUUACUUUCAAUGAUGCGGCUUCCAAAUCGACGAUCGGCUCCGUUAGACUUGAUCUACACUAUUAAAAGUAUUUAGAAACUAAAUUUUAUAAUUAUUCGACAUUAUUUAGAUAGUGAUCAAAAGUCUAAAAAGUGACUAUUUUAAUGGUCGAUAUGAUGCGUUUGUGAAUUUAACGGUAUAAAAUAAUUCAAAUCCGAUGAAACCUUUAUAAAAAAAUUCUUUUCACUAUUUAGAAUAAGAUCAGUAUCUCUGAUCUUAAAUUCAAGUCUUUUAUCAUUAUUUUUUAUGAGAUUUUUAUUUUCAGCCGUUCAGUUUUUCAGUUUUAGACCAUUCGUUUGAUGAGUAAACGAUGUCGAAAAACUAUAAAAUUUAGUUUCUGAAUACUUUCAAUAGUAUAGAUCAAGUCUAACGAAGCCGAUCGUCGAUUUAGAAGCUACAUCAUUGAAAACAACUUGGCAGCACGGAGGGCUCCGUGCUACCGAUAGUAUACCAGCCUAACUCACUAAAAUGUUUCAUACUUCAAAAGUAAUGUGGGACAAUUAUAUAGAGAUAGGAGUUUAAGAUACUGAAAUUAUGUACUAGCAAAGCCUCCAAGCUUUUCCUCCUUCCAUGUUAAAUUUCUUAAGCCUUCCGAAAAACAUAACCAAAAUGAGGAUCAAUUUUCCUUUCGCGCUCCAUUUUCCGACGAAACCAUACGAAAAAUCUCUGCAGUAUGUAUCUUGCUUCAGUAAUCUUCUGCAGCUGUAGCCGAACGAGUAUCCGACAUUUCCGUACGCACUGCAACAUUAUUGUUGAUCAGAAAAACAAAAAAAAAAGAUAUGAAAUUGCCAAAAAUGAAACUUUUAUGAGUCUUGAAUAGUUUCUCAUGUUGUUGACUCAUUAUUUAUUCCUGUUUCUAAAUUGUACAAAACUUGGUAAUUUAUGAUAAUGUGGUUAAUUUGCGAUCUUUAUAUCAAAUCAGGGCAAUUAACAUUACAUUGUACCACAAAUUAUGUAUUUCAAUAAUCCCCGCCAAAAUUUGAAUUCUCUGAAAAUGUCUUAGAUGACUCUGCAUCAUUAGAUAGGAUGUGUUAAAACUAAGAUCUCGCAUUGAACAUAUACAACUUGCCUGAUCACUUCAAAGACUAUGUUGAAGACAUUGAAGUUCAACGGGUCCGCGGACAUCGCGCGCUUUUCGGUAAUGCAAAUUAGAACAACAAAGAUUACCAAAUAAGAGAUCUGAGAGAAAACCAAAUUGUCCACUGUUCUGUUGCUUUUGCUGUUCUCCUCUUUUUCAUCUUCCGAACCCUGUUCGUCGUCGCUCACGGGGAGAAACGAAGUAUACGGAGGAAGGUACCUGCGAAAUAGUCGAUCUUAGAGAUAUUACGCUCGAAAUUCGCAUUGAAUUCGGUACGGUUCGAGAGAACUUACAUCAUGGCUACGUACAACACUAGGACUGCCGAAGAAAGGGUCGAUAAAUCGACGACGGAUUCGCCGGCAUGUCGUGAAUUCACCGACUGAAAAAGCGCUGCUGCUAUUUUCUGACGACAGCUCAUUCCUGCCAGUCCGUCAGAAUUCCACUCCAAGGCGCAGAAGAAUGCGCUUUGCACCGAAAUGAAGCCCAAAACUGUCGAAGCCAAGUACACGGAUUGCCGAUGGGGGAGCAAAUGUUUGUAUCCCGUCGCGCUCGGAUGCUCGAGAAUGUAGCUGUAUCCUUCUCUUCCUGUGAACUUCUUCAUGACCCAUAUGGCGAGUCUCAAGAACGGCGGAAACAGAGUGUUCCCUGCUAGGAUUUGAGGAAUGAUCAGCAACAGAAGCAUGGAGUUGUUCUUAAACGGCAUCAUGUUCUCGUUCACGGGAGUGAAGCCGCAGUUUCCGAACGAGGAAACGGCCGUGAAAAUGGAGAACGUGGAGAUGUCGAUGCCUUUGCUUCGCAGUAUGUCGCCCGCACUCGAUACGAGGAUGAGAUACAGCGAGAUAAGUAGAGAGCCACUGACAUUUACUAGUGUGAGAUAGCCGAGUACGACGUAGCCCAAAGACGCGACAGCCUCAUGCUUCAGAUGAUCGAAAUUCAGGGAAUCGGCGGAUUCGAUAUCUGCGCAAAGUGGUUUGGAUCUUUUAUUGAUCGACUUCUCUUUCGCGAGUCUUAACUUCGUGAAUUGUAGGCUGAUCAUCGAAGUGAAGACCUCGCCGCCGAUCAGCAUUAAAAUGAUUAAGACCCAAAGCUGAGGGUUCGAAAAAUCCUCCAUUUCGACCGUCCCCAUGCUCGAAACAGUUAAAGCAGAGACGGCGGUAAAGAAUAAAUCUAAGCCAUUCGGACUAUUGGUUUCAUUACUUGACUUUAGAGUCUUCAGAGCUAGAAAGCCACCAAAUGAGACUGAGGUGAAGUAAAGAAACUGGAGUAGGAAGAGAUUACGCUGCAAGAAUCGGUAGGAGCACUUCGCACGAUCUCGAGCAAGUAUGGUAGAAGAAAAUAGUUUCGCUGGUAUGUACGAAUGCGGAUACUGAAACUUUUCAACAAAUGCGGUAAGAGUAGUAUGCAUUUUGCUUGGCGAAAAUGGUUUUGGAGAGUUGAACUUGGAACUUGCUUAAGUGACAUUUAUAGUACACAUUAGCCCUACUCAAAAUAGUUUUGUUGAUCUCUAGAUUUGUUCCCUGUAGGGAAUUGUUGCAGGAUCUGCAUAAAAAGUAUGGAAUAUGAAAAGGAUGGGGAAAGUGAUGUAUAAUUGAUUAGUGAUGUUCACUAUAUAUAGUGGCGAAUAAUGUGAAAUUAUUGAGACAGGAAUUAGUUCUCUUCAGGUGCAACUACAAAUGGUGUCACUAAGGUGGUUCCUUUACUGUAAUGUUCUGCGAAAGUACUACACGCAAGUGAAAAACUAUUGUGAGGCAAAAACUGAGAGUCAUAUUUGGUCAUCUGAGAACAUGAACCCCUUUCUGAUGACUAUUCUUCAGUGUUCUAUUGAUUUCGCAUUCUCUUCUUUAAUCUUUUUGCUUAAAAGUCGUAGGAUUUGAUACGAUUCGCUGUCACGUCUUGAUUACAUCGCAUUAGUAAUCUACCAAUUUUCCUGAUCAUUCAAAGUACGAAUUUGCUUUAAAACGAAAUCGUGCCAUUGAGAUAUGUUGCUUCAACUUGGUGAUUUGUUCUUGUUUCCUGAUUGCGUGUCGAACAUGGUUAACAAACAGCUAUUUCAUUUCUACAAGCUUAAGCUGUUAGUGCACAGUAUUUUUUUUUUUUUCACACCAACAAAUCUGACAGCAUGAGAUUUGGGAUAAGGCAGACUUUAUAAGCGGCAUACAAAUUUUGCUCAUUCAUCAAAUAUGNUUUUUUUUUUUUUUGAUAUUUUAUAUUGAGUAUCAUAGAUAUGUAGACCUUUAUACUCAUCCAUAGCUGUUUUUGUAUUUAUGGUUUCACAAAUAACACAUAAAUAGAAAGAUGCCACCUUUUGUAAUGCCAUUCUACAAAUCUCAGCAUUGACAUGUUGCAUCUCAUGCAAGAUACGCGAGUCUCUUCAUCAAAACAGAGAGAUGCUGGUUGCGAAAAGAAAGCUUAUUCCAUGGACCAGAAUCUUAAAGAAAUUGUGAUUUGGUUCCGAUUUGAAGAGCAUUGGAGAAGCUCUCUUUAGCAGCUUCUUAAGCAAUAUGUGAAAAACUGUUCCCAUAAUGUUUCUUAUUACAUCAAUUUUCCGUCCUAAACACAAACAGUUUUGUGAUGUUUAUUUAGUUUCAGUUCUUCGUGCCCACGGCUUAAUGACUAAUAUAUAUUUACAUUCUACAUGAUUUACCUGAUCCUGCCACGCAUUAAUUUGAGCGAAAAUGUUAUGUUUAGUGAUCUUGGAAAAACCCAAAUAUAUAUUAUUGGACCGGGCUUGAGCUUCGACUUUGCGUAGAAAUGAUUGGAUGCACAACCAAUAUUAAUAACUUUUAGAGUACAAAUAUAACCAAUAUUAAGCUGUUAGAGAAUGAUAUUUAUAUAUUUUUAUAUUUAAUAGUUUCUUAUGCAUAUUCCUUAAAAAGUAGAACAACUACGCAGAUAAACAACUGGAAAACACUCCAUGCACUUUCUAAUCAAAGCAAGCAUAUCCUUCACGCCCCCGAUGGUGCUUCCGUUGCACGAGCAUUCAUUUCUCAUCUGACUCUAUCCUAAAUCUAUUAACAAAAAGAAAAAGGCUCCACUGAAUCGAAUAACUCGGGUUUAAAUUUAGUUCAGAUCGGUCGAGAUCAGUUUAGCUUCCAACCCGAGCCCCCAGACAUGCUGAACAUCUUGAGCCUUCCGAAUAGCAUGACCGCCAUGAGAGUUAGCUUACCUUUGCUGCUCCACUUCCCCGAGAAGCCGAUCCAUUCGUCUCUACAAAACCCGUCGGGCUUCAGCUGCCGCUUGCAGCUGUAGCCGGUCGAGAAGCCCACAUUCCCAUAUGCACUACCAUGAUCAAUUUAUAGCUCUAAAUUAGGGCGUAAUAACAACGAUAAGUUGUGUCACGGAAAAGUAGUGCUUAUUUGGCCUGACUUUUUAAAUAAUAAAUUCUCGAAAAGAAAAGAUAUCUAUUGACCAAGCAAGAUACCGGUCUCGAAGCAUCAAAUUAUAAAUGAGUUAAAAAAGAAAAUUUCUUAGGAAAAAAAGACCUAAAAUGCAAAGUUCAAAUUAAGUUUAGAAAAUAGAGUUCUGAGACUGAAAUUGAAAUUAUAUAAUAGUUUAAGCACUUGAUUGAAUGUAACAAAUCAAAGUUUCAAGUGGAUCAGUAUAUUUGUGAAGCAAUAGUUAUUAAAAUACUUACCAAAAUUGAUAAAAUAUAAUAAUAAUACUUGGGACUAAAAUAAAUUUGUACCUUACUACCUCCACAACAAUGUUUAACACAUUGUAGUUAAGGGGAUCUUUGGAGAGCCCUCUUUUCUCGGUGAUGCAAAUGAUAAUGACAAAAAUGGCUAAGUACGUGACCUGUGAAAACAUUAGCCUUUGCAAAAUGCUUGUCCUCUUCUCGUUGUUUCGAUCUCUCGAAUGCUUAUUAUGAUCAUCGCCGUCGAGCGGAAGGAAAUAAGUGUACGGUGGUAGAUACCUGAGAAAGAACCAAAAAAAAAGAAAAAAAAAAAGCUUACUGUUAGCACUCUUCGAUAGCCAUAACACGACUAGGGUGCAUGUUUGACCUGACUUAUGAAACAAGCUGAGAAAUAAAAAAAAUAGAUAUUUGAUAAAUAGGGAGCCAAAUGAGUUUGAAGUUCAAAAGCAAAAGCUUCGUGUAACUGCGUCACCCAAAAAGCAUUUAAGUUUAAUUUAAUUUCAUCAUUAUUUUGGCACUGGAAGAGUGAAGUUUAAAGUGCUUUUUGAUGCUCUUUGGAGCUCUAAAGCAUCGAAUCGUCUACUUAAAGACGUCGAUUGCAUUACCGAAUUAGAUCUGUUAACUCUUCUCAAGCAGUACAUAUACAGAAGCUCAAGUUAGAUCAAACAGUUCUAGUUAAUUUGUAGAUAGACCAAACUAAUGAAUAAAAUACACUCAACGGGCUAUAUAUCUAGAUUUAGACUCAUCAGAAUCCGCUAACGAAACCAAGUAAUUGAACCACUAAUUCAAGUAGUAAAAACCUAAACAAGUAACAUUACUGGUUUAUUGUUGCUUCAAUUGUUACUAAUACUAAUAAUAACUAAUAAGGAGAGUAUAUAUAGUAGAGAAGGUUUAUACAUCAUCACCACAUAUAGCACCAACAUAGCCGAGGAGAGUGUGGAGAGAUCCAAAAUCAUCUCCCCCGAGUGGCGCGAGUUCACCGACAUGAAAAGUGCGCCGACAAGCUUCUCAUAUGAACUCAUCCCCUCCAACCCCUCAACUCUCCACUCCGAGAAGCAAAAAGCAAGUAACUGCACCACGAUAAGCCCCACCACAGUGAGACCCAAAAGCGAGGUAUGAAGCUUCGGAAACAAGUGAUCAUAUCCAAUCUCUCCAUGUUUCCUCAAUAUGUAUCCAAACUCUUCUUUCUUAGUGCACUUUUCCAGUACCCACACAGCCGAUCGCAAGAACGCGGGGUACAACGUGUUCCCCGCGAGGAUUUGUGGCAUGACCAGCAGCAGAAGCCCCGGAUUUUUCUUGAACACGAUCAUGUUCUCGUUCGUUGGGAGGAAGCCGCAGUUCCCGAAGGACGAGACGGUGGUGAAGACAGCAAAGGUGUGUCGGCUUAUCGCUUUGCGCGAAAGCACUUCUCCUGCACUAGGGUUUAGGGUUAUGUACCAUAAUAUGAGUAUGUAGCCUGUGAAAUGGACUAGCAUGAGAUAACCCAAUACUAUAAACCCUAGGUAUCUUAUAGAAUUGUAUCUUAAGUGAUCCGAAGUUAUUGAGGGAGUAGUAACAGUGGGCUUUAUUGAUUCAAGCUCAACUUGGUCGUUGGAGGUGAGUUCCAUAGUUGCACUAUUAUGUGAUGUUUCCUUUUUGGGUAAUUUUAUCUUCAUGAAGUGGAGACCAAGCAUGGAAACAAAGACCUCUCCACCAAGUAGCAUCAAAAGGGUGAAUACUAAGAGUUGGGAGGUGGAGAAGCUCUCCAUCUCAACCACAUCCAUGCUGGAGAGCGAGGUUGCGGAGAGCGACAUGAAGAAGAGGUCCAAGUCCGCGGGCCUAUCGACCGCCAAUGCUCUUCUCCUCAUAGGGAGUGAUCUUAGAAGGAUGAAGCCGAUGCAGGAGACGAAGAUGAAGUAGAAGAGUUGGAUCCAAAAUGGGUGCACGCGAUGGAGCGCGAAUCGGUAGAGAGAGCUAAGUAGGUGCAAUGGAGUGUGAAGAUGAAGUGGUGAUCUUUUCUGAGGAGGAGAGGUUUCCAUGUUUAGUACUGUGAAGGUGGAUUAGUAGGGAGUGUAUAGUGGAUGUAGAUAUAGAAAUAUUUGGGGUAGUGUAGGAUGGGUGGAAAUUUAUGAGGAACUAUGUUAUAUAUAGGGAGAGGUAUGAGUAGUAUUGUAGUAAGUUGAGUUUUCUUUUUUGGGUUGGGGUGGGGGUUGUAAUUUUUUGUGCCGUUGAUAAAAAGAUAGAAAAAAAAUACACAAUAUAAACUAGUAUUUCCACGCAAUUACUAUUCAAAAAGUUAGCAGACAAUCUAAAUUAACCAAAUGUAAAAGAAAAAAAAACAACUGAGCAGUUGUCUAAAACAAAUUAAAACAGAGACACUAAUUUUAUAACAUAUUAAAAGAUUCUGAGUUUGAGUAACAGAUUUUUAGUAUAAUUAAUUUUAUUUUUUUUUAAUUCAAGUUCUUGUCACGUGCCUAUUCAAAAAUUUUGAGCCCACAAUCAAGUGCUAAGUAGUGAGAGAAAAUAAUUGUUUCGCAAAAUCUUUAUUUUAUAAUAAUUUUGGAGUGAAUUUUUUUUUUUACUUCGUUACUCUUUCUUCUUAAUUAAAAUUCUUUUAUAUAUAUAUAUAUAUAUUGCAGGUAGGGGUGAAAAUCUAGCUUGCUUUUCGCGAGUCAGCUUGUGUUCGGCUCUAAAUGAGGUCCAGAUCGAAUCGCUCGUUUAGUAAACGAGCCGAAUACGAGCUAAAUUUUUAAACUUAUUUAAUAAACAAGCCAAACAUGAGCUGGCGUCAACUCGCUUGUUCGGCUCGAUAACAGCUCGAAUACAUAUAUUUUAUAUUAUAUAAUAUAUUUAAUUUAUAUUUAUAUAUAUUUGUAUGUAUAAAUAAAUAAUUAUAUAUAAUAUAUAUUUUUAUUAUUUAAUUUUUAGUAAAAGAAAUAUAAAGCCGAGCUCAAUUAUAUGAUGCUGGAUUAACCAAUCAUCUUAUAAAUUCCUAUGUUGAAGAACUAUUCAAAGCAAUAAUGUGACAGUGUUAGAAUCUAAUCAAAAGGAAUCAUGUGACUGUUUUAAAAUGUGGUUGAGAAAUUGUACAAAACAUGCAUUACAUGAUCAAAAGAAGGCUUAUUGAUCAUACAAAAAUAACCAAACUUAUUCUCCUUGUCAAUUUUAAGACUUAUUCUUCUCCUCAAGGAAUAAAAAGCAACAAUAAAACAGGUUCUUAUUCUCCUCGUCAAUUUUAUUCUGAUUUAUGCUUGCUUCAAAUGAUAACAACCCUGAUAUAGCAUAGCAGUAGCUUCCCCUCCCUACGUUAUAUUCCUAGUUACUUUUAUAUAUAUAUAUAUAUAUAUAUAUAUAUAUAUAUAUAUAUAUAUAUAUAUAUANAUACUUUCCUUAAAUCUCUUGUUAUCCCCGUAAUAUAUAUAUCCUCUGUAUAUAUAUAUAUAUAUAUAUAUAUUUUCACUCAAAUAUCCUUCUCUUUAUUUUCUCUGAAAAUGACUAACUAACCUAUUUAAUAGGAAAAAAAAAUAUAAUAUUAAGCAUCAACUUUUCUAAAGCGGUUCUCGGAAAAACAAACAGAUAUGUUAUUUGCCUACUGAAACACUUUAUUAAAAUGCAAGGAAAAGUCUACAAUAAAAGUUAUUUUAUGAAAAAAUUUCAGAAGAUUAAGUACAGAUCCUUCGAAUUCGUGGUACCCAAAUAGAUGUUUCGAAUUUUGAGAACCGUUGGAUCAAGGGCCUCACUAAUUAGAACACUUAAUCUCAUAUUUAAUUACCAGAAACUCUAGUUCAAGUGGCUAAGAUUUUUCUCAUUAUUUAAGUAUCUGGUACUAUGGCCACAAGAACCUUUUUUUUUUUUUUUUUUUUUUUGGUGCUUUCAUAAUGUGCCACCAAAUGCAUGCCAACUUAACCUCCAAAUUCUCCCCUCUUUAGCGCUUGAUGUAAGUGGGAGAAGCACUUAUACUUAGUGGGGGGUUUUUUUGCAUUUGGCCCUCUUAUAAUUUUUUUUUACAAAUUAUUUCACAAAAUUUAUAAUUAUAAAACUGACUCUAUCUUUGUCACGAAAGCGUCACAAAGCCGCCAUGUCAAAUGCAUAGCCAAAAAAAAAUUAAAUAAUAGGUGUAAAUUAUGAUGGAUAUGAAAAUUAAAACUUGGACUCAAAAUCAACUCUGAAAAUAAUUGAAGAACAAUCUUAAUACAAGCAUAGUUAAAAUAAUAGUAUAAUUCUUUGUGGAUGGUCAAAUGCAUAUAUUAUAUUAUCUUGUUGAAAGGGAAAAAGAAAACAAAAAAGAGUUAACCAAAGUAAUCAUGCAUCACUAAUAUGUCAAAUGUACUAAACUAAUUGACCACAUAAUAAAUAAGUAGCAACAAGUAGAAAUGCUUGAUGAUGUGAUCACAAGUUGUUGGCAUUCGGUUAAAUCGAAUCGGGUACGCCCAUAAGCGGGUUCGAUCCGACGGAUAUUAUGUUAUCUAAUUGGAUUGGAAUUAAUCUCGCUUUCAAAUUGGAAAGUUAGUUAGAGAUAAAUCCUAGUCAUAUUAGGAUAACAAUUAAUAACCGAUUUGGCCUUAUCUCUAACGCCAUAAGGAUUUUAGAAUCCCUUAUAAAUAUGCGGGCGAUCCCACAUAACGUAAUAUACGGAAAGAACGUAAAAAGAGAGAGAAUAAGAAAAUAAUAGAGAGAAACCACAUCCUCCAUUGACCUAUUAUUCUAAGAGGAACUUGAACGGUGGAUUUGCGAUCGCGCUCGUUUGUAGUUCGAUCCACCGCGAGUUCGUGGAGCGUGAGAAGACAUUCAAGCACGAUCCGAGGACACGUGAAUCAAUCUAAACGAUCCGGGCUCAUCGUGUUCUUGCGCAAAUCGCUUCCGCAAAAGGUACGAACCAAUACUUCCGCUGCGUUCUACACAAGUAACCUAAUGAUUAUUAUAAUUAUUAUUAUUAUUUAUGUUCUUACACAAAGUGUCAUAACAAACUAUACUUAAGUCCUCAUCAAGGGUAUAUAUACCUUAUAUGGAGAAUGAAUUGUGUUAGCCACAUUGAAGAGAUAAUAAAGGAAAAGAAGCAAUAUAAAAUAGCAAAAGCCCAAGUCGGUGGGUGGGUGAUAAUGUUCAUUAUUUACCCCAAAUUUUUUCUUUUCUUUUUUUUUUGUAGCCAAAGAUUCUCCUCUUGUGUUUAAAGGUGCCUUUAACUUAUUGGUUUUUGGAAGAACAUUUUUAAUAUCUUCUUAGAUCUGCAAAAUAACGCUUUGCUUACGACCUCGACAGAUUAUGCUUACGUUUGCCUCAUCCCGAAAAAGGAAGGAGCGAGUAAAGUCGAACACUUCCGACCGAUAAGCCUCAUAAAUGAAAUUUAGAAGAUCAUAUCGAAAGUGCUGGCGAACAGACUUGCGGCCAUUUUACCGACGAUAAUAUCUCCGGCCCAGUCGGCCUUUUUGAAAGGUCGUCUACUAGCUGACUCCUUCGUUACUGCAAGUGAACUCCUUAAUUGGUUUGCUAAAUCCGGUAAGAAGUGUGGCGGCAUUAAAGUUGACUUCGAGAAAGCCUACGACAAUGUGAGAUGGAACUUCCUGCAUGGCAUAAUGAGGUGGCUUGUGUUCAAUGAGACAUGGUGGUCAUGGAUUGAACAAUGUAUUUGCGAUGCCAAAAUUGCUAUAUUGGUAAACGGAACGCCGACAAUGUGGUUCAAAACUAGGAAAGGGCUGAGACAGGGAGACUCGCUUUCCCCCUACCUUUUCAUCCUGGUGGCCGAUUGUCUGGCCAGGAUCACGGAAGCAGCUAGGAAGAAUAACCUGAUUCAAGGAAUCGGCCCUUCGGCAAAUUGUCAGACAGUACUUCUUCAGUAUGCAGACGAUACUUUAUUUUUCUCGAACCCAAAGAAGGGUGCAAUGCGGAAUCUGCUGUUCCUCUGGAAGAUAUUUGAAUGGGCCUCAGGCCUCAAGAUAAAUACGAAUAAGACGGAACUAAUCUACUUGGGACCCAAUGUUAGUAGAGCUAGUAGACUCGCCGAUAUUUUGGGAUGUAGAGUAGGCAAGCUACAAUUUCGGUACUUGGGACUGACUCUCCACACCAGAACCCUUCGGAAGGAAGAUUGGGUCCCGAUUAUUAAUCGUAUUGAGGCACGCAUAGAGGGUUGGAAGGCAAAACUCCUCUCUCACGGGGGUAGACUGAUCCUGGUCAACUCGGUACUUUCGAACCUACCGCUAUUCUACUUCAGUAUAUUCAAAGCGCCGCAAUCGGUGCUGAACCGUAUAGAAGGCUUGAGAAGAUCGUUUUUCUGGAAAGGUAGUUCGAAAAUUACUGGGGGUUCAUGUCUGGUGAGUUGGAAACUAAUCUGUAGAAGCAAAAAAGAAUGGGGACUAGGGGUCAAAGACAUGGAAGCAAUGAAUACAGCUCUACUAACCAAAUGGUCGUGGCGCUUCUUCAAAGAGCCGAAUCAGCUAUGGGGGAGGUUGAUUAAAUCUUUAUAUUACACCAGAAGAAGGCCGUUAUAUGAGGGAAGAGCCUUCCGACUCCACUCCCAGUGGUGGAGAAGUGUGGUGAGAUGUCGAGAAGUGUUCAAAUGUGGUGUUUCGUACGUGCUCGGCAAUGGGAAAAAUAUCAGGCUGUGGUCAGAUAUUUGGAUUGAAGAAACCGCUCUCAGCACUAGAUUUCCAGGUAUUCAUUCCAGUAUUGUCAACAAGGAGGCCACAAUUUCAAAAUGCUGGAAUGAUAAAGGGUGGAGAUGGCAUCUUAUAACUAGAACCCGUAUUGCGAAUACAGACAUCGACGCCCGCCAGCAGAGGACUUUGCUCAAAAAUCUGAUUGCUCAGUAUAGCCCAUCGGAUACACCAGAUACAAUUAAGUGGAGAUGGACUAUGGAUCAAAUCUUUACGGUCAAAUUGCUUUACGAGUUCAUCACUAAUGCAGGGCAGAGAGACUCCGUGUACGUUCACCUCUGGAGGCUCAGAAUUCCGGCAAAAAUCAAAAUUUUCAUUUGGAUCCUUCUCCGCAAGAGAUUGCUUACCGUAGACAGAAUUAUCCGAAGAGGGGGUCACGUCGAUCAGUAUUGCAAUUUUUGUGCUAUAAUAGCAGAAACCUGUGAUCACCUUUUUCGGGAAUGUGUAUUCGUCAGAUACCUUCUACUUUGUACGGGAGUUGUAGACAUAAGCGAAUCGGAAGUAGGGGGUGUCAGGAGGAUAUGGGCUGAAUUAGGUAACAUCCACAAUGCCGAGUUGAGAGCAAAAAGUCUAACCCGAUUGGCGGCAAUCUGGUGGGUGGUAUGGACAGAGCGAAACAACAGGAUCUUCCGUGAGGGGAACCCUAAUGCUAUCCGGGCUCUUGAACGAGUCACUUCUUUGAUCACAGAUUGGAUCGAGGUCAGGUAACCAGUUCUUCGGACUGAGGUGUUUCUGCCUUUCGUAUCUUAUUUGUAAUGGUAGCUAUAGGGUAGUCUAGAUUUUCUUUUGCAUUUUUUUGUAAUCGUUGGAUUCGCUUCGGAGGCCCUGGCUGCCUCCAAUAUGUAAGCCUAGUUCAUUUUGCUUAAUGAAUGAAGCAGGUAGCAAGCUACCUAUUUCUCAAAAAAAAAAAAAAAAAAAAAAAAAACUUAUUGGUUUUUGGAAAAGGCUGGUUUUUAAACGUGAUUUAGGUUAUUUGAAUAAGGUCCUAUGAUAUAGACCAUACCUAAAUUCAUUGAAGGCUAAAUUGGAAAUUUCCUCUCAUGUUUUCUAUACAAUUUGCAUAGGACGAGUGCAUGGAUUAGGUACUCCCUAGAAGCGCAAAUUAAUUAAUUAGGGGUCCACAUCAAAUUUUCUAGUAAAUCAAUAAAAGACAAACAAUACACGUAUGCUACGCAAGUAUAAAAAAUGUACCGUACAGGCGUACAGCGGUACAGAAACAUAAAAAAAAUAUUUUUUCUUGUGUUGUUGUGUAUCUUACAAAAAAAAAUUACCACGAAGAAAUAAUUUUUCUGUUUUUAUUAAAUAAUCAAACCCAAAAAGAAAAAAAAAAGAAAAGAAAAGAAAGUGGGGCCCCAGGCAGGCCGGGCUGGCCCGCGCUCCUGCUGCAGCCAGGUGGGGCCUGCAGGCCCGCUGCUGCCUGGCCGGACCCACUCGCCCGGUGCAGGGCCGGGCGGAUGCCACCUUAGGGUUUAUCCGGGCCCUUCGCCCGCCCGGUCUGCCCGGGAUGGAAAUUGAAAUUAUAUAUAUAUAUAUAUAUAUAUAUAUAUAUAUAUAUAUAUAUAUAUAUAUAUAUAUAUNAAAAAGUAGAUCCAAUGACUUAAAACCUAAUAGCACCAUGAUGGUGAUACUUGUAAAAAUAUCAUAGCUCAACUCUAUAUAUAUAUAUAUAUAUAUAUAUAUAUAUAUAUAUAGUCCGGCUGGGAUAUUAUCGAUAGCACCAAGAAUUUGGUGAUAUCGAGUUUUCCACGUUAGAUUUAAUCGUUUGAUUAUUUUUAUUCGUUAGAUUAUACUAUUCAACCAACCACCCACUCAACCCUAGGGGGCCCACAUCAUCCUAGGGGUGGCAAUCCAGCUCGUUGUUCGCGAGCUCGUGCUUGGCUCGAAAUCAGCUUGAGAUCGAAUCGCUCGUUUAGUAAACAAGCUGAACACGAACUGAAUUUCUCGGCUUAUUUAAUAAACGAGCCGAACACGAGCUGGGGUCAGCUCGCUCGUGUUCGGCUCGAUAAUAGCUCGAAUACAUAUAUUUUAUAUUUAUAUAAUUUAUUUAAUUUAUAUUUUUAUAUGUAAAUAAAUAAUUAUAUAUAAUAUAUAUUUUUAUUAUUUAAUUUUUAGCAAACUAAAAAUAUAAAUGCGAGCUUAAUUAUAAAAAGACUCAUUUAUAUGUAAAGUUUCAACUAUUAGAUCAAAAUCUAGUGGAUAAGAUUUUAUAAAUUUAUUUUAUAUAUAUAUUUAAUCUAAUCUNGGCUCGUUUACCGAACACGAGCCGGCCCCAGCUCGUUUGUGUUCGGCUCGUUUACACCCCUACAUUAUCCUAACCACACAUUUCUCAAUCGAAAGGCUAAAAAACUAAUAGCAUCAAUAGUUUGGUGCUAUUGAUAGUAUUCCAGCCUAUAUAUAUAUAUAUAGCAGUGCUACUGUGCUAUUAGGAGCACAACAAUUCUUGUGCUACUAAUUUUCUAACCACCCAUCAAGUUUGAGAGAACCCGUGAGCCUUGUUUUUAAAAAAACGAAAAGGUGUCAUAUAGGCUAAGUAAAUGUGAAGGGCCCAAAUGUGUUCUAUGGAUUGGGCUUAUAAUUUCGUGGGCUCAUACCAUCCCAAUUAAACGAACUAUUAUGGCCCAUCCAAUGACCGCAUAUUUAUUGUAGUCUUAUUUAGUUAAUUAUUGUACUUAAUUAUCCUGUCGUAACUAUAUUUGCUAUGUGGUUAGAAGCUCCUCUAAAUAGUCAAUUAGAAUAUAUAUAUAUAUAUAUAUAUAUAUAUAUAUAUAUAUAUAUAUAGUUCGCUUACUGUACUAUUGAAGUGCUUGAUACUAUCGAAUUUUUCGUUGUUAGAUCUAUCACUUUGACCAUUUUCACCAUUAGAUCAUACUAUUCAACCGACCAUCUAGUUAAUCCUAGAGAACUUCUAUCAUCCUAAUCGCAUAUCUCUUCAUUCAGGCGUUGAAAACUUAAUAACACCAAGUGCUGAUACUAUUGAUAGUAUAAUAGUCUAAUUAUAUACAUAUAUAUUGCAAGAUUAGUAGAAAUAGAAAAUUAGUACGGGCCCUCGCAAAUUUUCAAAUUGCCGGAUUUAGUGUACCGUUUUUCUAAAUAUUUUUCAAAAGAAUGAUAUGUGAAGGUUACGACUCUAUUUUUACACUCAUAUGUACUUUCAAUUAGUUGGAAUUAAUACAUGUUCCUACAGUGCGUCAACAAAAUUAUUGACUAGCGAAAUAUAAAUGCGCCUUAAAGGAUAAGAAAGCCAUUUGAAUUCCUUUUUUCUUAUUAUUUUUACACUAAAACACAAAGAAGUCAUUUAAUUUUAUGUAUUUUUUAUUCUAUUUUCGAGGCUAAGUACUGAGCACAAUUUAAGGUGCUUCGAGAAAGAUGGUUGCAUCUUUGACUAAAAUGGUCAUCUUCUAAAAAUCACAUGCAAUCAAGCUGAAGCAUGAGAACCACCCAAUUUUUUUUUAAAAAAAAAAACACAUAAAAUAUAUCAAAUAGCUAACCAAGGGCAUGUGCAUUCCUUUAGAUCCAAACUACCCACUAAAAAAAAAAAUAAAAAAAAUAAAAAAUCACAGGAAUUUUUGAAAGAUGAGAAGAGGAACUUAGGCUUUGACUAACUGUUACUAACUAAAAUAACUGUCAAUGGCCCACUGUCCAAAGUUUUCACAUCACAUUGUUGCAGAGGUUAAAAAAAAAAAAAAAAAUUUAAGUCACUAAGUAUUAAAAAUGCGAAUAUAUUUAUGUUACCCUUUAUUAUAAAAAGGGAAGUGGAAGAAGCUAUAUAUAGAUUAGCAGCCAAUGACCCUUCAAUUAAGGAGUUUGUAUUUUCAAACUAGAGUUCAUAUGAAGGUGUUUGAUUCAAACUAGUUGGCUCAACCCGACUCGAUCGAUUGAACACAAUUUCUUCAAAUUGAUAUGCUGAGUAUAUACAAAUUGAGUACAAGUCAAUCGUUGGCGGAUCAGAUUCAGAUAAGAUCGUUAAUUUUAUCUUUCUUACUUGACAGGUUAAUAUUGAAUCGAGAAGGUAUAAUAAAACCAACUUAUAUUACAAAAACCUAUAAUUCGAAAAAUUUUAUAUCUAUUUAUCUGAGUUCGGAGAGCGAGUUCGAUCAGUCCAAUCAAUGAAUGGUGCGAGUCAAAAACUACUAACAACUUGUUAACAUGCAAUAGGUCUUUUUUUUUUAAUAAUUCUUUUAUCAUGAACAAGAUAAUUUUAUAUUUAUAGCACCACCAAAGAGUACAUAAGUUAGUUGCUAAAAAAAAUAAUUUGGUGGUGAGUGUUUCUGCUUCACCUGAUGCCCAAAGAUUGCAUUUGUACCUAGAGGCAAACAAAUAAUAUAAACUUACUUAAAAAAAAAAUAAACAAAUAAAAAAUAAAAAAAGAAACAAAUAAUAGAAGAGAAUCUCAAUCAUAAGCUCACUACUAGAGCCUGAUAAUGUUCAAGGGACAUCACAUGACUUAGCAGAAAUUCCCACUAGGGUUCUCUUAAACAAAAAUUUCCUUACAACAUGUCCCACUUAGGAAGUGCUUAAAUAAAAAGCUCUUAUUGUUAAGUAAUGAGAAAAUGAUAAGUUGAGAUAAUUAUAUUGCUAAUCCCAUAUGCAGCUUAUUUUUUAAGCCCUAAGUUACCUUAUACGAUGCACCACCACAAAUUUAGCGUUUUGACCUAAGUUUAGGGCCAUAGCUAGGUACUUAAACCGUUCGCCUCGUUCGAGUUGAUUCGUACCCCGUAAGUUGUUUCUUUUAUCACUAGAGUAGACUGAGAGAAAUGAGUAUCGUAGCGAGAUUGUUGCUGAUGAGUAAUAUUUUAAUGCAAUACCUAAAUUGGAUAGUAAGUGUGAAAAAAAAUUGAGGAGGUGACACAAAAUGCCGUAGCAUUAUCGUAGAGGAUUAAUGUAGACAAUGUUGGAGAGAUGAUUAGAGUCUUGUAUAAAUCAAUGAUAUCAUAUAUAUCUAUUAGAGUUUAUUUUACAGGAGCUUCGAGAAUUUAGAUUUUGGCUUAUAGUACGUAUGGAUAGUACGUUACACCCUUGAGUUAUAAAAGAUAAUAAAAAGGCAUUUUCAUGCUUAAUUAGCAACUUAUUUACCUUAAUUAGUAACAAUUUUUUUGGAAUUUCCAAGAAAAGAUAAUGAAAAAGGAUGGAGUUAUUAUAAAUAACAAGAUUAAUAGCACAUAGAAUUUGGUCAAAUUAAAGGUCAAAAUCCAAGUGUUUAGAGUACAAUGUAGCAGCUCACUGAUCAUUAAUUCAGACUCUGACCAAAGUACAGGUAUAAUUUAAGUUUUUUUUGGGGACAAAAUAAUUAAACAGAGAAACAUGUGAUUAGGUCUAAAUAAGCAGCUCUGAUCUAAGAUUUUAUGCAUAUUUUGUAUGAACCUUCCAGAGUAAAGAAAAACUAAUUUGACUCACUUCAUUCAAGUAAAAUGUUUGUAUUUCGAUUUCAACACAAAAUUUUGGAAAGAUAAUUAGAGAUUAUUUGGCUCUAUUGUAGAUUAGUUAUAGUAUUGUUCAAUAAAAUACUACUGGAUCAGAAGUACUAUUACGAGAAGCACAGAAUUAAGAUUCUUUUAACACUUUCUGUCUGUAAUAAAUUUUUUAAAAAAAUUAACAUUGGAGCUACUAAUUUCGGGCCUCAAAAUGAGAAGUUCUAAGUUUCAUUAAUUGUCAAAUAUAUUACAAAUAACUGCAGUUGAAAACCAUAUAAGAAACAAGUCGAACAUAACUAAAAAAUUUCUAUGCAAAAACUUCACCAUUCAAAUAUUUCCAAUUGUUAGCAAAACUUUUUUAACACAAAUUUUAAGAGGAAAAGAAUCAUUGUACAUGAGAAAACAAUGUGUUCCUUGAAGCUAAAAAAUAAUAAUAAUUAUACCUAAAAAAAAAAAGAAAAAAAGAUUGAUGUAGAAGUUUUUUAUUAUUUUUUUAAUAAUACCUAAAAAAAAUAAAAAACAGCAUAACAACUACAGUUCCUGUGAUAAGUACUGUACGAAUUAAAAUGAUUGAUUUAAUGGAAACACAUGAAAAGUUGAUAUACUAAUGAUUCCCAAAUCUUAAUAAUUAUACAGCAUAUUAAAUAUUAAAGUCAAUUAUGCUCAAACUACCAAAUGAUUAGAAGUUAGAACAAACUAAAUGGGCUCUUGUAGCAAUAAUAGUAAACCUUUUUUUUUUUUGUGAAACUUAAUAAUUGUGCAACAAAAUAUAAUAUAUUUAAAAAGACUAAAUUACAGAAAAUCUUUCUGUUAAAACUCGAUUUUUCACUUUCACCAUUGUCAUUUAAAAAUCUACACUUUGCUCCCUUAUAAAAUGAAAAAUAUUCACAGGGGUACGGUGUGAACUGUGAUGAUAAAAUGACUAUUUUGCCUCUCACCAUUUUGCCCCUCAUCAUGUUCACAGAAGAGAAGGCUGAGGGUAUUUUUGACAUAAAAAAAUAUAUAAUAAUAUUUCAUAAACGGAAUCCUAACGGAUUACUAACGGUAGGGGACGAAGUGAACAUUUUUCGUUUAACAAGAGGACAAAGUGUAGGUUUUUAAAUGACAGGAGAAAAACGUGAAAAAUUGGAUUUUGACAGAAAAGUUUUAUAUAAUUUAGCAAUUUAAAAAUUUGUACAUUAUGGUGCUUCACAUGCAAAACUUGCUCCCUAUCACCUGCCACGUUCUCUCAAGCAUCAAAUCCAUCUCUCCUUUGUUUUUUUUUAUAGGGUUAAAAUUUAUCCCACUUAUCCUUUUUGUACCUGCAAACAUGCAUAGCACAAUGUGGUUGGUUUUAUAGAAAAGAAUAAAUCAAGUUAUUUCUCUUAUUUGAUUAGUCUAAGUAGAAGAGCAAGUAAAAGAACCUGAAAAUGGCUUGUAUAGUUAAAUUGGAUUAUAUAAUUGAGAUAACAUUUUUAUUAUUGUUUCAAUCAACCUUUUAGAUUUUGUUGUUCCACAUAUAAUCUUUAAGUUGUUUCAAUUAUUAUUACAUAUCAAAAUAAAUUAUUAUAAGUUAUAGAUAUGUACUGACAUAUUGAUAUGUAACACACAAAUUAACUAGGUGAUAUUACAUGAUUAACUCAUCAGUGAAAAUAGAGAGUAUCCAAAGCAUUUUUUAAUUAUUUAUUAUUAUCAUUAAUAUUGAUUUUAUAUUUUAUUUAUUUCUAUAAUCAAUAGCUAUUAUUUUUUUUCUAAGUUGAAUAAUCUAAAGUUUAUCGUAAAAUUAAAUUUUCUCUUCAAUAUAUUAUGUGGUCCCCACGAUGUAGAGAUUCAAAUUUUCUUUUUUUUUACUUCUUGGAAUUAAUGCAAACGCAGAAACUCAAAUUCAGUGUUUUUAAUUUUGCCACUGUUACAAAAUAUUGGAAAUAUACUUAUAUAUUGUCAAAUAGAUAAAAUUCUAAUAAUACUAUUUAAAUAAUAUUUUAUCAAACAGUAUUAUACCCAAAGAUAAACAUAAAUAAGUCCUAAUCUUAUGAAAUAGCAUGCAUGUUGCAUUAACCUAGGAAAAUUGAACUCUUCCUCAAAAUAAUGUGAGCAACAACUCUAACUUCCUAAAGCAAAUGAUAAAAGAUUAUGAUUGGCACUCAAAAUUUUAAAUUUUAAAUUUAAUUACUUCAUAUUUUUCAGCUAAAUUUAUUUUUUUUAAAAAAUAAACAAACCGCCAUUCUCCCAUGAUGCAAUUUUACUUUUCGCCGUAUAAUACACUGAAAACAAGAAGAUCAUAGCACAAGCCCAAGUAACUUAAAAAUGUUAAAAAUAGGAAUAUAUAUAUAUAUAUAUAUAUAUAUAGAGUAGAGCUACUGUGCUAUUAGGAGCACAGUACUCCUUGUGCUCCUAACUUUCUAACCACCCAUCAAGUUUGAUGGGCGGUUAGAAUAAGAGAGGGAGGAGAUAUUGGGGAGAAAUUGAGUGUUUCAAUUUCUCAUCUCCUUAAAUUUCUCUUCAAUAUCUCCUCUCUAUCUCAUUCUAAUCAUCCAUCAAACUUGAUGGGUGGUUAGAAAGUUAGGAGCACAAGGGGUGCUGUGCUCCUAAUAGCACAGUAGCUCUACUCUAUAUAUAUAUAUAUAUAUAUAUAUNNNNNUAUAUAUAUAUAUAUAUAUAUAUAUAGGCUGGAGCUACUAUACUCUUAUGAGUAUAGACUCUCUUAUACUCAUAAAUUUUUAACUGUUGAUUGAUGGGAUGCGUGGUUAGGAUGAUGGUGGUCCCCACUUAGAAUUAUAGUGGUUCUCUAGGGUUGAGUGGGUAAUUUGUUGAAUAGUAUGAUAUAACGGGUGAAAAUGAUUAAUGGAAUAAAUCUAACGACCGAAAACUUAUGAGUAUAACGGAGCCAAAUACUCAUAAAAAUAUAAUAGCCGGACUCAUAUAUAUAUAUAUAUAUAUAUAUAUAUAUAUAUAGCAACAUAAGCAAUUACAACCAACAUAAAAUAACAAUCUCCCCUAUAAAAAAAUACUAAUAAACAAAUCAUAUCGUCGACCGUCCCUAAAACAAGUGGCAAAAGACUUGAUCCUUAAUACCCAAGGUCUCAAAUUCAAAUUCUACUUGAUUCAUAUUUUUAGCUAAGUUUAUUUCUAAAUAAAAUAAAAAUAAACGAAACGCGUAGUAUGCUACCCCUCUCUCUCUCUCUCUCUCUCUCAAAAAAAAAAAAAAAAAAAAAAAAAAAAAAAAAAAAAACCCCCCAAAAAAAAAAAAAAAAAAAANNCCCCCCCCCCCCCAUGGAGUACUCCAACUCCAAAAAGCCCAACAAGAUAACAGAGAUAGUGAGGCUCCAGCAAAUGCUGAAGAAGUGGAAGAAGCUCUCUGUUUCCCCAAGACCCAGCAGCAGCAGCAGCAGCAGCAGCAGCAGCAGCAGAGGCAUCAAGUUCCUCAAAAGAACCCUCUCAUUCACAGACACCAUCAACACUGCUCCUGCUUCUGCUGCUGCAGCAGCAGCAUCUGUGGAUGUGCCCAAGGGUUAUCUUGCUGUGUGCGUUGGGGAGGAGAUGCAGAGGUACGUGAUCCCAACAGAGUACCUGGGCCACAGGGCCUUUGAGGCGCUUCUCCGGGAAGCAGAAGAGGAGUUUGGGUUCCAGCAAGAAGGGGUGCUGAGGAUCCCCUGCGAGGUGGGGGUGUUCGAGAGCAUACUCACUGUGGUCGAGAAAACCAAGGAUGGCUGUUGGUACUACUGCUCCUCUGAGUCUUCUGAGUUUGCUUACAACCACUUCUCUCCUGAUAACCCACUGUGUAGGUAAAAGUAAUAAUAAUAACUAAUAAGAGAGAGAGAGAGAGAGAGAGAGAGAGAGAGAGGGGUUGGAGAGGGAUGAGUAAUGCAUGCAUGCAUCUCCCCCCACCCAAGGUUUAUGUGUUUCCAUUAAUGUUUUUCUUUUUCUUUCUUUUUUUCUAGUUCCAGAAAUUUAUUCUGUGGUGUAAUGCAUUUGCAGUUACUAUCUUAUUUUGAUGUCUUAUUAUGUAAUGUUAUUUUUUAUCUUUAAUUUUGGAGAAUAAUAUUGUCUACGCAAAAAGAUUCAGAAUAUUUUUAGAUGCAAUGUAUAUAUUCCAACAAUAUCAGUUAUUGUUUUAAUCAAGGAUUUAAGUGUUGUGCCACGAAAUCGUGCCGGAAAUUUGUCGGUAUGAUACGGUACGAUAUAUGUCGGACCGUGCCAAUAUAUAAUAGUAUAAAAUUUUUAUUUUCUUAGCAACAAAAUAUUUUAACUGUUUAUUAUGUAUUGAGAAAAUUACUUACUAAUUUAAAGAAUAGAGAAUUUUAAGCUGUGCAAUCAACACGAAUGUCAUAUCGUGCCGAUAUUUUGUUGGCACGAUACGGCACGAUAAAGACGGUCCGUACUGAUGGGCACUUAAAUUUUUAGUUUUAACGAUAUUAAUUCUCUUAUUUUUAUGAGAAUAUUUUGUUAAACAAAAUUUCGUUGUAUUAUUAUAUGACAACACUUAUUUUGCCAAAUAAAAUGCGACAUUUUAAGCUACAGGAUCAUAAAUUACAAAUGCAAUAAACCAUUGAAAGUUUUUUGAAGUCUUUUUUCCUCCUCUUUUCUUUCUUAAUUUGCUUGGUGUUCUUUUGUGAAGAGGCAAGGUGUCCUCUUGUUUCAUUUUGUUUCAUUUUGUUGUUUUUUUUUAUUAUUAUUUUGGGCGCUUAUGAGCCCUUAAGAGCUGUAUUAUCUCAGCUUUGCAUGGCACCUUUUGAUCCAAUAAUGAGUUUAUUUUAGAAUUGGUGCGCAUCUAAACUUUCGCAUAGUUAAUAAAAGACGAUCUAAGAUGACCAAACAAAUAUUACCGCAUAAGUAUAUAAGCAUUCUGUCUAUGUGGCGAAGACCGGGCAUGCAAAGUCAUAAUCGAGAUUCGUAAAUACUGUAUCUAUACGCUUUAAAUAAAGUAGUUGCCUUAUUUUUAUCGAUUCGAGUUUUUUAAAAUUAUACUUUGCGCCAACGACCAAUAAGUGGUAUCUGAGUAGAUUACGGGUUUGAUUUUCGCAUGUUGCAAUUUAUAUAAAUGCUGGGGAUAUCGCGACAAUCGAGCCCACGGGUUUCAAUUGUUAGAAAUAGAUUAGUAAUAGGCUCACAAUAAUAUAUUCACAAAAAAGGGCCUAAAUUGCAAAUUUGUGGCUCAAAACAAUUUGGGCCGAACCCGAGUUCGUAGAUUCAAACCCAUAAUGAAUUAUUGCUUCGAUCCGGUCCACCACGUUGAAUUAAAAUUUUGCAAUUUUAAUAAUAUAAAAUUUUAAAAUUUAGCAGGAUUUUUUUAUUUAUACAUUAAUGUAAGGAAAAGGCUUGUGUGUUAUUUAUGGGAAAAGUGCGAAAAUAGUAUAAAAUUAAAGAAUCAAACCACCUUUUUGGAAAAUAUUAUGAUUCAAUGAACAACUAAGUGAGUCUAAUUACGUUAAUCCAAUUAAUCCCUUUUCUUUAAUUUUAUAUGUCCAAUUAAACAUGGUCCGAGUCAAUAGUCAACGGUCUUGAUUAACCGGUUAAUCUAUUUGGGUUCGAGUCAAAUGUGUACAAAAUUUGAAAUAAGUUCAAUUCAAUGGCCGAAUUUUGCCUCGAAAUUUCAUCUUAAUUUCACAACAAAUGCUCCCAAAUUUAAAUUUUUUUAAUUUAGAGGGACUUUUUUUUAUUUCAUUUGUGGUGGGACAAUUAAAAUUGCAACAUACUAAAAUGUAUUGUGGAUUACAUGAUAAUGCCUCUCAAAUUUUUUGCUAAAUCAAAUCCAACUUAUUUAAGCCUUUUCUUUAUUUUAUUCUUGUGUUCAAAAUAUUUUUUUCCCUAAUUUGUUGCUUGGAAAAUUAAAGUAUUUUAGACUGAAAUUGAUAUGGGUCAAAUGUUUCUGAUGUAUUUAGAGCCAAUAAUAAUGGGUGUUAAUUAAUUAUCUAAUUAAGAGCAAUUUUUUAUACAAGGACUUGGUCUUUAUGAGGGCUCAUUUGAUAUUGAAGGUCCCCUAACACUACUGGUGGGGAAAAAAAAAAAAAAAUGAUACGGAAACGUAGAGAUAUACUUAGUUUAUUUUUUGAUGGGACUAUAAAAAUUAUAUCUUAAUUGAACUAGUAUGAUCUACUAUGUGUAUUAUUAUUUAUAGAAAACAAAUCGAAUUUUUUUAACAAUCUCCUUCGCAUAUAUAAUUGAAUCAGAUAAAUUAUGUCAGGCGUAUUAUUAUAUAGAAUUAAGCGGGCUCGGGAUUUUGAUAUAUAUUGAAAAAAAUUAGUGUGACAUAAUACAAAUGGAGGAAUGGUCAUAACAAAGAUAUUAUGUGCAAUUACGUUUUGGAUAUGCUACAUAUUUAAAUAGUUUUACACAUUGGAUGUGUUUAAAUCUACUAUAUCCAAAUAUCGUUGUGUGUAAAGUAAUAGAAAUAAUCAAUAACCAAAUAAUAGCUUAACUAUGCACACUUGAAUCAUAAUUUACUUUUAAUUAUUUCCUGUCAUACGUAUUUGACUACAUCCUUGUUAUAUACAUCAUAAAUGAAUAAUGGACAUAUCAUAUGUUCAAAUUUAGUAAGGAAAGAUCAAUUUAGUACAAAAUUUAGCUAUAAUGGAAUUUCCCUCUAAUUUCCAUACAUUAGCUUAAAAAUGCUAAAAUCAUAUUUGGAAGUUGUAUCACCUUGAUCUAUGAUUUAAUAAAUUGGUAGUGAUACCGAUCGUCCCUAAAGUAAGUGGCAAAGGGCUUGGUGGUUGGUACCCGAGACCCAGGUUCGAAUCCUAGUUGAUUCACAUUUCCAGCUAAGUUUAUUUCUAAAUGAAAUAAACGAAAUGGAUAGCGUGCUACCUAUCUCUCAAAAAAUAAAUAAAUAAAUAAAUAAAUUGGUAGUGAUUCCAAUUUCACUGUGGAAGUCUCCCUGCAAGAAAUAUUAUGUGGAGAGACUCCCUACAGUGACACAGAGAUCGCCACCGUCGAUCAGUUCAUCAACUCGAAUCUUGAAACAUAAAAAUUAUAAUGAUGCCUAUCUCAUCAUGGAGGGUCUUGUAGAUUAAGACAAUGGUCAAGAAUAUGUGUUGCAUUUUAAUUGGCCAAACAGAAUGCAUCUACCAAUAGUAUCUUACUUAAGGUUGAAUGAAAAAAAAAUAUUUUUUCAGCUAAGUGGAGUAAACUACAAAUCCAAGUUGUUUCCUUGUGCUAAUUAAAUUUUUUGUGACUUGAUUGACUUUCUAAGAACAUGUGGCAACUUCUCCAUCAAUUUACUUUAUGUCACUAUAUCACCCAUUGACUUCUGUUUUGCUAAGGCAUUGAAGAUAAUUUUGAAGUAAUUAUACAAGGAGUUUUGAGCACUUCAAGAGUUAGAAUUAGGGUUUUAUUUUGAGAUGGCACAAGUUCUAGGAAUUAGCAUAAAGAGGAGAUGGAAGUGUUAACUAUUUUGCACUGUGGGACCUGAUUGCAACAAUCUAAAUAGUAUAAGCAAAAUAAUUACAGCAAAUUAAAGUUCGAAGACCAAAAUGCCAUGCGCCUCAUAGUUUGAAGACCAAAGUACAAUUUAGCCUAAAUAUUUGACUAUGCCCUUGUUACAUGCACUAUAAAAGAAUAAUGAAUAUAUAUAUCACAUGUCCUAAUUCACGAAGGAAAUAUCAAUUUAGCACUAAAUUUAGCUAAUAUUUUAAGGGAAUUUUCCUCUAAUUUUCUUUCAUAAGCUUAAAAAUGCCAAAAUCAUAUUUAGAAGCUAUAUCGCCUUGUUCUAUGGCCUAACAAAUCGGUAGUGAUUCCAAUCUCACAAUAGGAACCUCUCUAUAAGAAAGAUUCUAUAAAAAAAGGGUUACAACUGUCGAUCAGUCCAUCAACUUAAAUCUUGAAGUAUAAAAAUAAUGAUGAUAUUUAUAUCACCGUAGAGAGUCUUCCUUGUAUGUUAAGAGGUGGGUCAGCGGUGUAUGUUGCAUUUUAAUUGGCGCAACAAAAUUUGAUCCUCAAUAAUACCUUAAUACAUGUGGAAAUAAAAAAAUAUAUAUUCCAAUUUAAGUGGAGUAAACUACAAAUCCAAGUUGUUUCCUUGUGCUAACUAAAUAUUUUGUGAUUUGGUUGACUUUCCAAGAACAUGCAGGAACUUUUCCAUCCAUUUACUUUAUUUCACUAUAACCCCCAUUGACUUCUCUUUUGCUAAGUCAUUGGAGAUAAAUUUGGAGUAUUUAUACAAGGAGUUUUGAGCAUCUUAAGAGUUAGAAUUAGGGUUUCAUUUUGAGAUGGCACAAGUUCUAGCAAUUAGCAUGAAGAGGAGAGUGGAAGUAGUUCAUGGGGAGCUCUUUAGUUUCUCCCUCCUUAAUGUGCCCAAAAAGCUCAAAACAUUGGUUGUGCACAUCUCUUCUAUUUUUUCUUACUUAAUUGGUUUGUACUUUGUAGGAUACAAAUUAAGUUGUUUUUCUACUUUUGUGGUUCCAAUUCUUAGUUGAGUUUUAUGUACUUUGAAUUCAUAUACUUAAUUGAGGAACAAUUCAUGUAUUUUUUUUUUCCUCCUUAGUGAGAUAAAACUAGAAAAAAAGUGAAAGAAAAAAAUAUUGAUAUAUUCUACUCAUGUGAGCUACAAUAAACAAAAAAAAGCUCUUCUUUUGCAUUCAAAAAUUGCUCUUUUCUAGUAAUUAUGGGUUAUAUAUUAACUGCUUUAUCUUUUUAAGGAUGCCAUGAAUUUGUCGCCUUUUGCCGAAACCUUGCUUGAUUAUGGCUUGAGCGAAGAGAUCGAAGUUAACAUGCACUCAGAUCAGGUUCCUGAUAUCAAGAGUAUGUUAUUGCCCUCUUCUUUUUUCAAUUUUAAUGCAUAUUGUGAAGGGAAAAAAAGACUUUUUUUUUAAAAAAAAAACCUUAGUAUAUGUUCCCUCUUUUUGUAAGCAUAUUGAAAGUUAACUGUACCAUACAUAUCAUAUGUUAGGUAGUUAAUUGUGACCUCUCCAUGCAAAAAUGUGUAAAAACAAACUUAAUCUUAUAUUCCCACUUUUUCUUUCUUUUUUUAAUAAAAAUGUAUAUAAUCUUCACGGCAGCACCACAAGAAGCUUAGUUUGGAGAAUUAAAUUGUACACUAAGUGAUUUAGAUUCAAUUGAAAAACUGAAUUCAAACAUAGCUAACUAUUUUGGCACUUUUGCGCUUAUUUUUCGACCUAAUAGUAGUCGAGGAAGAGGAGAUCGACGAAGCAGAAAAUAUGCACUAUUUCGAGGUCCCCUACUUUAUGGCAGAAGAAGCAGAAGCUGCAGAAAUGGAAAUGGAAGACGAGCGCGAGGAAUUCGAGGAACACAACAAUACACUUCAGGCUCCUAUAUUUUGGACAGGUCAUAAAGAAGAAGCAUCUUUUCUUUUCUUUUGAAUUCACUAACUAACCAUGCUAAAGUUUUGAUGAUUUUAUUGUGGUAAAUUUGAGCAGGUUUUUUCUGAGGGAGGAGAAACUUGUUUGAUUGGGAGGGAAGGGAAAUGAAAUGCCUAUUACAUGGAAAGGGAGAUGAAAAACUUAAGUAGGAUUUUGUGUUUAAUAUAGCCUGAAAAUAAUGUGUGUGAUUUUUGUUGCAAAAUUUGUUCAAUUAAGUAGUUUUAGUAUGCACUAUUUCAGUGUCAGUACUAAGAUUGUAAGAAGCAUCUCUAAUAUUAGAUUCAGUGUUUGUAACACAUGCUAGUAAUGAAAUUUUACUUUCUAAUAUUGUUUUCAGAACUAGUAUAAUUUUAUUUCUGUUUCAAUUAACUAGUACUUGAGAAUAGUCAUAAUAUAUAUUCAGCUUUUUCAAAGAAAUUCAUGGCCAACUAAUUAUUUCCUGGAUAAAUAUUGACAAAAAAAAGGGAGAUGCCAUAUUCCAUGUAUUUAAUGUUUUAUACAUCCUAUUUUUCGCACCGAAAUGAGACUCAAUAUUAAACUCAUCAUAUAUUGGAGGAGAGUAUCUUUAUACUGCCUAAGAUUAUGACAACACCAACACAAAAAAUUUAAAAAAAAGGACAAAAGCACUUGUAUAUAACUGGCGAAGGGGAUUUCCGGUACCGAGAAGCUGCUCAAAGGUUUUAAGAACAACAAAUAAAUGGCUUCCUCCUUUACAUGAUCAAACCUCUGAAAAACCUUCAGUAUAACUAUCAUUGUGUACAGCGCGAAAAUGAGUUCCUUUGUUACGAGACUGAGUCGUCAUGCUCCGAAAAUGAAGGGGGAAAACUGCGUCGAACUCUCAACUAGUAUUCUUCCCUAAGCAUAUUUGUGAAGUUAGAACUUAAUCCCCUCUCUAAUGAGAACUUUGGCUAUUGGAAUUAUCACCGAUUAGACGAAUGCGUCAUAGCGGCAUCAAUCUCCUGAAACGAACUUCUUUUCUGCGUAAUAUCUUUCUUCGCUUGCAUUCUUCUUCAAGUUCCGUUUCUGCAUAGAUUAUAGUAUAAGAAUAUAGGUCAAUAUAAGUAACAUGGAAAAUUAUGCGUACCAAAAUAACAGAGUAAUGGGCGCAGCACCUCGUAAGUUUCGUAGUUGUCGAUAAUUCUUCUCGCUACUGACAUCGAAGUUGUGUUUCUCGGGCUCUCAAUCGUUCGGAAAAUUCCCAUACUCUUGGGCGUGGCAUAAGGGUCGAUAUCACUCUGAGACAGAGAAACACUGUUAUUUUGAUAAAACAUGGAGAAACGCAAGCGAUUUCUGAGAAAGAUAAAAAAAGUCUCGAGCCCUUGCUAUUACCAACAGACUAGAGAAGCAAGAGGCUUACUUUAGAAUUGCACUCCACGACUGUCCCGUGCACAACCAGCGAUAUGUUGAACGUAGCAAUCUGCCCAUUUUUAUUUCAGAAAAGGAAAAUCACAAAUGAUUUUACAAGUUCCAAGUAAUUAUAAUCUUCAUAAAUUUGUGAAUUUUCAGGUGUAAAAGAACUAAGCAAUAAAGAAUGAUUAAAUAGAAGAGAGAGUAUCAAUUAUGCGGCAUUAACAGAUACUGACCAUGUCUCUUGAAACUUCCCAAGGAGCGCCAAUUAUGACCUCGUCAACAUAUCGGCACGCAAGUACACUGAGGCUGCGCUCAUGGAGAUGCAUAAUAGGAUGACACCCUCUCCUUUGACUGUGUAAAAUAAUAAUAUACUAAGAUAUGAAUACCAAUUUGAUAAGUAACAUCUUUGAGGGAUAUAUAAGAUUAAAUAGGUAAGAGAAAGUACCUGAUAGUUUGGUCGUUAUGAACACCUACAAGUAGGAAGUCUCCAAGUUGUCUAGCACUUCUUAGGAUCUGCAUAUGUGGAAAUAAGAUACUGAGCCACGAAAUAAGGAAAGAAAAGUUGGCACGUAAUUAACGACAGCGUAAUCUAAUCAGAAGUGUUGGAAACAUGAUCUGAGCUGAGGUAAUAGCUGUCACACACAGCGCCUACUGCAAAUGAAAACUCAGCAAAGUGCACAUGUACAUAGAAUAUUCCAUCUUUUUUUUUCUAAGAUUAUCGAGAACGAGAAUUAUAUUCAUCAACUGCUUCAAGGCCAUACAAUUGAGAGAAGAAAAAGAAAUGAAACCACUAGAAGCAGAAUAAAAGAAGCGAAUCAGUUAUUAGCCGAGGUAGUAGCUGCAAACAAGGAUCAAAAUGACAACUCAGUGUAUAUACCUCAACAUGACCGGCAUGGAAAAGGUCAAAAGCACCAUCGAUGUACACCACACGAGCACCUGGUAAAGGCCCCUGCAGCAUGCAAUAAAAGAGGUGUUCAUUGAAGUAUCAUACAAAGUUUACAAUAGUGCUAGGCCUUGAGGCGGUGGUAGUUCUUAUACUUGAAGCGAAAGCAUAUACACUUUUAUUGGAGUUCAACAUAAAAGUCAUCAAUUGAAUCAUGAAGGGUCAUACCUUCCCAUUUGAAAAUUGCACGAUACGGCGAGAUGUAGGAAGAAAAUGAGAUAAUUGAGAUUUUGGAGAAUCAUUAGCUUCAGCUAGAGUCUUCUCGUCAGCAUCGCCUUGUUCGCAGCCAGAAGAAUUUCUACUGGUCCUAUCGCCGUCCAUAUGCUUCAAUGAAGAUAAUAUUCUGGCUAGAUAAAACAACAUUACCCUAUAAGACAUAAUAUGCAAACAAAAAUUAAAGAAUCAACUUAGACAUUGCUUCCAAAGGUCUCAGUAGCAUAGUCCCUCCAAUGUAUUAGGAGUCUCCAAUUUGGUUCCUCAACAUUUCAGUUGUUCUUUUGCAAUCUUACACUUCCUAUUGAAUUUCUGUGUUGAAUUAUUGGAUGGAAAUGUUCAUGUGAUCACCACAUCGAAUCAUGUGGAUAUUCUCAUCCAAGGUUGAUCGAGGACCCUUGGAGCAAUUUACUCGAGUUUAUAGCUCAAGAAAACCACCGCCAAAAGAACAAUACAAAUCAUUAAUAUUCGCGAUUGCUAAUUUUCAAUGUGACAGGGCCAUAGUAGCCUACCAACUAUAUUGGUGCUCGAGACACCUUCGGUGCGCUUGAUUUGCUUGUAACGCCCCACCUUCUUCGCCAGACCAUAUGCAUCGGUUCCGUCAGGUAAUAGGCACGGAUCGUCACCGUGUAUGAUAUAGUCGAUAUUGUACUUAUUGAAGAGCGUGUUCAUGAACUCUUCUGUGAUUUCGUACGGAGCGUUCGUAAUAACCUCGUCCACCCACUUAAGCCCGCUAACAAGGAUCAACCUAGCAAUAGCUUCACAUUAGAUUUAUAAAGUACACAAAAUUCAUUGCUUUGAUCUUUGCUUGGAGUAUGAAUUACACACUCAAACUGAUUAAAUUGGAACAAUAAGACAACUAAAUUGAUUAGACCGUAAAGGUGCUUUUCGAAUUCCUUUACAGCGAAGUUAUGUGGAAACAUUUUAACUAAAUAUUUGAUCUUUUACUUAAAAAUACCUCUCCUCCAUGGAUAGAACAGGAGGACCCUUAUUCGCUACGAUCUCCUCGUCGCUGACGACGCCAACCACCAAUACAUCGCCCAACGACUUUGCCUGCCGCAACGCAUUCGCGUGGCCGUAAUGCAUGAGAUCGAAGCACCCGUCCAUGUACACCCUCACCGGCCUCUUCCCGCGCUUCUUCUUGUGCAAAAUCCCCAAAUCCGGCCAAUAGAACGGCUGGAACGGAAUCGGGAUCCCGCUGAAAUAGCUUGUGGAUAAGCCGAGAACGGCGGCGAGGAUCAUAAUACCUCCAAGGCCGAACAAUUGGGGAGAGUUUACUCCCUCCCAAAUCCAAUUGUUGGUCUCAAACUCCAUAGAAAUCAUUGUAUUUAAUAAGGGAACAAGGUUUCGAUACUCGAAUCUGCAAAAACCCAAUACAUGAUUCACAAAUUAAACCUCCAAAAGAUAAGGAAAACCUUGAGAUUUGAACAUGGGUAACAGAAAAAUUAAUCACAAAACCACUAUUGUAUACUUUAGUGAGCAGUUUUAAUGAAAAAAAAAAAAAAACAUAGGGGAAAUGUCAUCAAAAUGGCAUUUUUGUUGAACUAAACUAUUAAAAAAAAAAAGUGCAUUUAAAGUUUAUAAGAACUUAAUACAACCAAAAUCAGAGCCCAUUUCCACACCAAAAGCUAGAUCUUGGAAUUUUACAACAAAAUUAAGCAUUUGGGUAUCCCAAUCCACUAAAAUAUGAGACGAAACAUGCCAUGCGAAUCAUAAUUUAAGCAAAAAAUAAGGCAAUAAUUAGGAAAUAAUCAUAUUACGAACCAUUCAUAACAAAACGAAAUAGGGAAUGAUAGGAAAAAGAAAAAAAAAACAAAAAAAAGAAAAACAAAAUUUGAGGAAAUGAGAGAUGGGGUGUUCGCAACGUACCGAGAGUAGAUCGAGAUCUCGGAUCAAAAUGUGUUUUUGGGUUUGUUUUAAUAGCGAGAUCUCUCUCUCUCUCUCUCUCUCUUCUAUUUCCCUCGAUUCUCUCUCUUCGCUUCGUCACAAAGGAAGCGUGGGAUCGCCUCCGCCCCUGCGGUCUACUCUGUGGGCCCCACCAAGGAAGAGAAACGCGACCGUCGUGGUAUCGUGGAAGGUGGGGCCCUCCGUGUGGACCGUUGAGGAACUAUUGCGUGGCCCGGGUCCUGUAGACCGGAUUUAGCCACCUUUAACGUCCACACCCUGAAAAAAAACCAUUAUUUUAGGUCCGCAUUGGUUGUGGGCUUGUGGAUAGGUUUUUAAUUAUUACUAUUAUUAUUAUUAUUAUUGACCUGCUUGCAGUCUGAUCAAAUCGAAUAUUAAUAAAUAUUUCUUCAAAACAUGGGCGAUGAAAAAUUAUAUAAAUAAUUUAUCCUAUAUUCUCAUAUACAAUAAAAAUAUAUAUAUAAAAAAAGACAACAGUUACUUAUGUUAUAUAAUAUUUAGAGAAUUUAUAGUUUUCAUGUUUAAAAUUACUAAUUUUUCCUUUCUUCUACGUGAUUUUUUUAACACGGUAAAAUCUCGUUAUUACAUUCAAUGCUUGCGCAUUAUCCCACGUCAAUUAUUUUGAAAAUAUAAAAUACAUCUACAGGGUCUAUAGACCAUGGUUCACACAAUAAUUUCGUCGGUCGACGUUUUGGUGGACAACACGACAUCCCACGUCCUCGGGUUGAAUGCAUCCGAGCCGUCGGAUGACGAUCGGACGGCCCGUAGGACAGGGUGAACAAAGAGCUCACCUUAUAUUCUGGAGAUCUCCUGCUUCUAGAAGUACACGUGGCUCGUCUGGGUUGGGAGAUUUGCGAAUAAAUAUAGGUAGGGAUCGCAUUCCGAGGUUGGGUCACACAUUGAGGACACCUCAUUUCUCCCACAAGCCAUGUGUGGUGUGGGAGAAAAAAACAUGUGAAACCGCACGCUUAUUUAUGCUCUCUCAAAUCUCAAUUAUAAUGAUCACGAACAAUUGAACAUUUGUAUCAAUUAAUAUUAAAAUCAAUACAAUUAAUAACAUAUAUAUCUUGUUUUGAAAGAGAUAUUAACUGAUUUUUUUUUUUCUAUCAAAUCUAGGUAAAGAUAAAUCAUUCCAACACAAAAAUAGCAACACACACCGUGCAAUAAUUAACGUACAAAAUUGAGUCACUACUAUAUUAGAGUACCCUGCACUAUAAGCCCUUCAUUCGGGGUUUUGCGAGGGCUUUAACCACAACCACCAACCAACUAGAGGCCACGUAACAUAUCGGUAAUCAAAAGAUACAUCAAUGAAGGAAGAGAUCUUCGAAAAGUUGGUUUUUACGACCCGAUAAAGAAUCAAACUUGUUCCUACUAUUCUACCGAUAUGUAACUCACACACACAAGAUCAACAUCUCAUUUUCGCGACCUGAUAUUUUAGGGUUUAGAACUUCUUUCACCUUUUCAGGCCAUUGGAAACUUUGUACACUUUCCAUCAUCUACGGUGCGCACAGCACCGCCAUAGGAUGCCCCACAGGAAAAGGCAUUUCAACUAAACAUACAUUACAUACAUUUUCCUUCACUCUUAUGGCACGCAUGGCACCGCCAUAAGAUGCCCCACAGGAAAUGGCAUUUCAACUAAACAUGCAUUGCAUCAAAAAAGAAACCACAUACACUUCAUCACCUGUUACAAGUAUCACUGCAUAUCAUCAUCAAAUAAAAGGCUUUUGUUCCACAAAUUUCACAAGCAGCGGAAAAGAAACAGUGUGUGUUCGACGAAAGAUAAAGUUUGCUGCUCUUAUGAGCUCAUUGGCUCAGGACUGCUUGAAGAAAGUAAAUCGAGCAACGAGUUGUGCGGCUCGAGCUCUUCGUGCCAAAGCGGCAAUGAAUCGCCCGUGUAGCAGUUCCUCGUAAUGCCAGAUUCGUUAAUCUGCACAAAAUUAAUAAAAAAAUUAUAAGCACUUGGAGAAAUAAUACGGAGUAAAUUAGAAUGAUUUCUUGACCCUGAACAAAAUCAUUAGGCAUGAGAUGCAGAUGCUCUAUAUUGCAAACUAUGGCACUAAAUGAUUUAUAAUUGUAUUGGAGGUACUUGUUCCAGAGAUUUUUCAUUGGAAAUAAAAGCGCAAUGGAUACAAAAAUAAAUAAGGCACUCACAAUAACUGUACGGACAACACCUCCGCUAGCGCCAUCGCGAGCUAUGGCAAGAGAGACUGCUUUCACCACUAACUCCUGCACAAUGAUCAACCCAAAAGGCAACAGUUAGUAAAAUUCCCAGCUGAAAAAUGCAUACUAUUUAAACCUUUUUCCUAAAACAUUUGGCUCAAGGCAAUCUAAUCUCAGAAAAGCAUGCAGACUUUAUGACAGUCUUGUUUCUUAAUAUUAAUAAUAAUCUCCAUAGUGGCAUGAGAAGUUCUCUUGUGGUUUUAUUUUAUUUUGUUUAAUCCUCCGUAGAGCCUCUUCCCUCCACAAAAUUUGACCAAAAAAAGCUGGACCAGUAGCAUCUAUAGUUUACCUUCAAAACUCAAUUAGACUAAACUACUAAAGGUUGUUUUGUACUUUUGUUCAAUAAUAUGUUUAAUGAGGAUGAAAAUAAUAGUUUUAUAGAUGUAUGUUAGUCAAAGAAUCGUCAUGACCGUGUUCUAAGGAAUCAGAGUAAUUCGGAGAAAUAAAAUUAAUCAUCCUCUGAAAAGAUGAACAACAAUAAUACUGUGCCAGAAUAUAAACAUCAAAAGUCUCAUCGUAGUAGCUUACUUAUGAGGAACUACAUCCAGGUUAAGUAAUCUAGAAUUAUGUGUCAUAUGACACUCGUCAAAAGAAAAAAGUAAAGAAAGCUAGAGAGCUAUGAUGAUGUACCUCAGCUUCAUCUUUGCUCAUCCCUUCCUUCCAUGCUUGAUCAAAGAAACCAUACAAGUAGCUGGAACCAGAUCCUGUGAAUUACAAUAUGAACAAGAAGUUCACAGUUCAAACCAGACAAAUGAUCUCAAUUAACACACGGAGCCAAAAAAUAAAAGAUAAAAUCACCAUUAGAUUGCAUAUAAAAGAGUUCCUUUGUUUAAAAAUCAUUCUUAAACUGAAUUGCACUCUUCCAAUCAUCAUAUUUAAAGAGAACUAAUACGGAUAUCAGCAAAUAACAAGUGUAUACUAUAAAAGCGGGGAAAAAGUGCCAUAUCAUGCACCUCCAAUGGCAAAAGGCUGCCUCACAAUUGUUCCACCAAGGGGCACAGAGUAUAUUUGACCUCCUUCAUACUUGUCCCAUCCACCAACAAUCAGGCCAGUUUCGAGCAUAUUCUGAAAAGUUCAUAAUAAAAAUUUACACAGCAUCAAGUAGAAAAAGGAACAUACUCACAACAGUGGAAAAGACACCAAGGGUAAGUGAGUUGUUUUACACUCAUUCUACGCAUUAUCUGUACAAGAUAUUAGGUCCUAGUAAUGAAACAAGGAACAUUAAGUCAAGAAAAACAGGAUAAGGAUGAGAUGGUCCCUUCAUAUAAUAUUCAACAAAAUUAGGCUUUCUAAUGCAACAUACAAUUUAUAUCCUAUUGCUUGCUUUUGUCAUUGGCUAUCUUUUUAUUGGUUUCUGACUAGUGACUUGAGGAAUGCCCGGUGGAGUUGUUGUACACUCAAUUUGUAAGUUAAUUAUUAAAUUGUUCAAUUGACAGCAUAAGUUCUGGAAGUCUGUCUAACUAGUUUUGCCAAGACAUAUAAAGGGGUUUCUGUGACUAAGGACCAUUUGGUUCCCUUGAUAAUAACACUUUGGACAGGCCAAUAGUCAAAUACAAAUUUGGCUUUAAUUUCAAGAUGGAGUUCAUUUAGUACCAGGAAAAAUGGCAAGCACACUUUAAGAAUUUCAAAUUCACAAACCAAGAUACUAAAUGUCAGAAAGAAUUGAAAAAAAAAAAAUAUUACCUUGUUUUGGUAAGAUAGCAACCUAAUUAAGUUGGCUGCAACUUUGACAGUGGCAGGUUGUCCUAGUUGAAUUCUGCAAAAUCAAUUAUAGCAGAUGACAUGGUAAGAAAUAAGUAAGAAUCAAGACUCCAACUAUUACAUAUCAUACAAUUUUACAUCAGAACACAUCGAUCCCAUGAAUCAAAAUAAGUAAUAUCCGAAAUACAAGAAAGAGGCAGAUUAGCAACGAUCUUGUAAUUGUGGCGACUUCCAACUUUUAAAUAUUCUGCAGUCAACCCUGGCCUAGUCAUGGUGAUGAUCCGGAAUUAUUAGAACUUGAUUCUACCCACACAAAAAAAAAAAAAAAGAAUACAAAUAUAACAAUUGGACAUAAGAUCAACUCAUAAACACUCAAAUAGACUCAAAACUCUCCAAAUAUGAAAAUUUUUCCCAUCAAAUCAUCAAGAUAAAAUUGCAUACACCAAUCGCCCAACAGACGGCACCUUUACAAAAGAAAAUUGUAUUGCACACAACUUAUAUGCAACUAUCGCACAUUCUAGACAAUGGCAUUCAGCUUUAAACACAAAGUUCCAUGAGCAAGAAUACUGUACUAUAAUAAGAGGCAUAAGUUGCCUCUUUCAGCAAAAAAAGCUUCAAUUACUAUACAUUGCUAAAGCCCAUCAUCAGUUAAAUAAUCAAAUUUCAUGCACGAUGCAUACCGAUGUAUUCAGUAUUCACCAGAGCUCAGACAAGAAGAAAAGAAACACAAAAGAUUCCUCAAAUUGGAAAGCAAAAUGAGAAAAUUGGCUUACGUAUGUUGGUUAAGGAAGUAACGAACGUAAUCCGAAACAACUUGGGAAUCAGCAGCCUGUUACGAAAUCAAAACUUAUUAAUACAAAGGUGCUGCAAACUAAAGUCAUCUCGAACCAAAGAAAUUCACCAACUCAGUGUGAACUACAAAGAUAGCCUACAGGCGCACUAUUCUACUUAUCCCACUGUUACAGUGUAUGAUGGUCCUUUAUGAGCCUUCAAAACUCACAGAAGGCCCACCUAAAUUCCACCAAUUUGUUCUCUGUCCAUAUUUACAGCGAACACACAACUCAUGCGGCCCACCAAGAAUUAGGACAUUAUACUUCAAAACUAGUAAAACACACGACAAAAUGCUUUACAACCCACUAAAACACCUCCAAAAGAGCUUUCCCCACAGCUGCUAGAGUGAAUUCCAUAACUUUUUUACGUUAACAACAAAAUCUCAAACUUAAAAGCAAGUCAAAACUUAAAUCUUGCUGCUAUGAAAACAAACAGUUCUGAACUAAGAUAUCAACAGAUUUAGAAGAAUACAUGUACUAGUCAUUUUGAGCCGGGAUUUUCAACUCAACUAAUAAAACUAAUCCACCUAAUAACAUAAUCACAGAGAGUAAUUACCGAUCCAGAGCGGCAAACGUAGACAUUAUCAGUGAGCUGCGUGAUCUUAUCCGAAGCCCUAUUAGCGACAUACAUCCCUACACAAAAACCACCGAACAAAUCGAUUACAGCAACGAAAUAGCAUCAAAUGAGAGGGAUCUCACAGUAUUAUCUAGGGAUCUGAUCUUAGAUCUAGAUGAAGAUGAUGAAGAUGGUGAUGAUAAUAGAGAGAGAGAGAGAGAGAGAGAGAGAGAGAGAGAGGGACCUGUGCUGGUUCGGGAGUCGGCCCCGAGGACGACGCCGCCAUUGUAGGUGACGCCAAUGAUGGUGGUGCCCGUGGAGAUGGGUGCUUUCAGAUCGGGAUCCAUGGCGACGAGGGUUUGGGAGUGGAGCGGGGAGAGAGAGAGAGAGGAAGAAGAACCCUAGAGAGAGGAAAUGUCGUGGUUUUUUUAUAUAAUUUUUUUGUCACUUUUGGUUGGGGACUUUAUAUAGUGUCGAGAUUUGUCGACCCCUUUCGCAAGCAAGUAGCUUUGGUUGGGUCCGGCCCAUAAAAGCCCAAUUCAACCCAAUAACCUUAUGGGCCUAAAUAUAAUAAAAAAAUAAAGGAGUGCGGAUAUACAUAAAUAUAUAUAUUUAUAGAGAGAGAGAGAGAGAGAGAGUGUUGACCUCAAGCACUUUUAAAAGCAAAGGACUAUUUGUGCUUAUAAUUUUUUAGCCAAAGGAUCGCCUCAAGAUCCGUGUGGCAGUUUUAACGAUGUGUCCCGUUAAGUUUUUUUUACUAAUAUUGUACGGAUUUUGAGGCGAUCAAACGGUUAAAAAAUUACAAAUAUAGAUAUUCUUGUGCUUUUAAAAAUGCAUAAGCUCAAUAUAUAUAUAUAGGCUACUAUACUUUCGAAAGUAGGAAGGCAUCUAUGUUUUAAAAUUAAUUUCAAUAAUGGAGAAAUCCAAUGCGGUGAUCAGCUUCAUUAAAUAUGAUUAAUAGUGUUGGAACUAUCAACAAACCAAAUUUCAUAAUUUUUUGACUCCGUUUGCCUAGUAACGGAUAACCUAAAAAUGAAUAUUUGAAAAUAAAAGUCUUAUAAAUAAUAAUAAUAAAUAAAUAAAUUUUAAAUCAGAAAUAUUUUGCUUUUAAUGAUAAGUAGAAUGUUCUAUUAAAAUUUUACCUAAUUUAAAUUAUUCUACACCAUUAAACAUAUAGACGUACCACUUUGAUCAUUAAAAUAGUAAAUUUUACCUAAUAUAUAACUCAUGAGUCUACUCCAAAAUAGCCUAUUUCUAAACAUUUCUAUCAUUUAUACAUAUUUGAAUCAAGUAUGGUAAAAAGGAAAAACGAGUAACAUCAACGGAUAUCUAUUGAUUUCGAGCACCAAAGCUAAUCUUAGAGUCCAUUUUAGCUAGACUUGUCCAGUGAGUUGCAGAUGCCUAUUCGAUGUGGGCUAAGUAAUAUGAAAGAACAUAGCCUUUCUGAAUUGGUUGCGUGCUGGUGGAUCAUUGGGAAGGCCAGGAAUGACCUGAUUUAUCGAAACAUCCAACUAGAUGCUCUAUUGGCUGUGCACGGGUUGGAGGAGCUGCUGAAAUCCCGGGAUCUACUCGUCCAAACAGUUAGAAGCCCUACCACCACGUGAUUUUUUUUUUUUUUUGUUACUCGACUGCCACGUCUUUUUCUUGAGACUCUGGUUGCCUCACCCCUGUAGUCUAAUUCAUCCUUUCAAUAAAUGAAGCAGAUAGCGUGCUACCUAUUCUAUAAAAAAAAACAAAUAUAACUUGACACUUCUAAUUUGACUAUAGAAAAAUUGGUGAGCGAAUUUAUCAGAUAAAAAGUACUAUAUAAAUAAAUAGUUUCAAUACUUUCAUUUAUAUGUAUCGUACAAAUUUGAUGAGUCAUACCGCGUGGAGUAACAAAAAAAAAAAAAAUUAAACUCAAUCUCUUCAAACAAAAAAAAAUUUAGCACUAACUCCAAUAGCAUGUUUUCGAGUCUAAUAUUUUUUUUACAUCAAACAAUUUUUUUCUUUUUUUUUUUUUCCCUGUGUGUACGUGAAAGACGCGUAGUACUCUCUAAAACAAGUCCCCAAAAGAAUCGAAUGGUGGGAUGUCCAACAUAGAUAUUAAGUAAUUUAAAUUCCUAGAAUUAUUUAAUUUAAUCUCAUGUCUCCAUUUUUUUUUCGUCCAGAUAUUAAAAAAAAAAAAAUUUGAAUAUAAAUAUUAAGAACAUAAAAAGAAAAAUCAAAAAAUGGGCCACAACCGACGAUCGAANGGAUCUGCCAAAGCUUUGGCCUGGUCAUGUCCUAAAUAAUUUGGACCAAAUUUUUUAAAUUUUUUGAUAAUUGGGAGCUUGAUUCCUACAGAAAGUUUUCCACCGAGGACUCCCCUAACACGCUACCUACACAGGAGCCUAACUACUGGGAUUCGACAAGUUUACUCUUGGGCAUAUUUAGUUCAUACUUGGGAUAGAAAUGAUGAAUAAAAUUAGAUUAUUUAGUUCAUUAUUGUAACAGAAACCAUAAUGGACAUCUUAGAAUUUUAGAAAAUAUUUUGGUUAAGAGAGGGGAGAAUGCCGAAGGAAGAGAAGAGAGGGUGUUUAUAAGAGAGGGCCUUUAGUUGUUUUCUUUGGAAUGCGUCAAUCUGGAAUUCAAAACCAGAUUAGAUCAUUUUCAUUCCAGAGUAGAUUGAAAAUCAGAAUCCGAUUCAUGUAAAACAAACAACAACUAUCAAAAUCAAUGAAUCUCAUUUUGGAUUCUAGAGCUUAAAAUAAGUGAACUAAAUAAGCCUUUGAAAUUGAAUGUUAUAUUUUGAAACAUAUAAUAAACACUUUGGUUAUUAAAUCAAUUUAAUCUUGGGCUGAUCUAAGCCUACAUUAAGAUGGGCUUUGAUUUGGAUUUACAUAGCUAAAAAUCAUAUCCUGGUUAAAUUGGAUCUUCUACAUUGAUUCCUCCUCUAAGUUAUGUUGCUAUUAAAAGGGAUCAAAUAUUUGAUUUUAAAUUACACGAAACCUGCAAUUCUCUCUAAAACUCUCAUGAUCCAAAAUCACAACAAGUUACAGUGAAAUGCAUGGAAGAUCUUAAAUACUUUGCAAUUCAAUGCGGCAACGAGAAAACAAUGGCUCUUUCAUGACAAGUUGCAUAAUCCGUGAAUUACAUUACAUCAGCCUCUCGUACACACUCGCAGGUUAGAUAUCUCGAAAAUAAGCUAAACAAAUGUGAGAAUAAAUCAUCAUCAAGGAACGCCUAAAAGGCACUCCCAAGGAUGAUACUAUGAAUCAAAAUCAAUGUUGAUCAAAUUAGGGGAAAUGUAUCAUCAGCAGAGUGAAUAUAGAUUGAUAUUCCUGAUCUUCAUUAGUCGGCAGCAACUGCAGUUUCUUGAAGAGGUAAAAGAUGAGCGAAGGGCUUCGAUGGGGAGCUCGGAGGAAUAAGAUUCGCGCCCGGCUUUUCCUCCAGACUCUCGAGAACCUUCCUCACCUCCUCUGCGAGCUCCGUCACGUAAUCAUCUUCGUGGCCUGCAUGCAUUGUAUUCAAAUAAGUAUGGUUGUGGUCACAAGAGCAGAUAUGAUGGUAGCUUCUUUCUUAACCAAUCUUCGUCAUAGUCUAAUCUUUUUCAAAAUUAAACAAACUAAUUUUGGAUCAACUAUAUGAGUUGAGAAAUUGCAAAAAAUGUAGCGAAAGCUCCAAUGUACGCAUGGUUAGGUACCUAUAUUGCGCAAUGCCUUUUCUAACAGAAAUAGAUAGUCCCGAUUGUUUCCGCAAGGGCCUUUUGCAGUAGCAAUUUGCCUGAAAUACAGAAGAUGAGUUGAGUUAGGCGAAUGAAAAAGGCAUUGAAAAAAAAAUAAUGAUUAAAAUUUGUGAGAAGAAAAGGGAAUACAUUGCCAUAUCCUCCAAAGAAGCAGGACCAAGAUAGUACUUAUUGGAUUCUUUAUCAGGUGUGGAUGUGAACCUAUAAAAGUGAUCAACAUUUUGUUAGUCGCAAAACAAAUAUAUGAAUGUACAAGUUCCGUAUAAGAAUAAACAUUUGUUCUGGUGUAAGUUAGAGGUCUUACACUAGAACUCCUGUAACAGCUGGUUCAAGAGUAUCUCCUUCCUGAAUAAAGCAAGCCAUAGAAGCGAAUAAGGAGAAAUGGAUAAGCAUCAAAAUGUGGUAUAAUCUUAAGUAAAACCUGAAAGAAAGCUACAAGAAAUCGGGAACCGACAAACCUUGUAGAAGUUCACAAUUGUUUUCUGAUCGUAUUCGCACUCUCUUCUCUCCAAAUACUGCAAAAGCGACAGAGAAUUAAUUCUCAAUGGUCAUAAAUUUGCUUCUUCUGCGAGUGAAAUUCCAUCAUUCGCGAGAUAGUUAAAUACCUGCAUUGCUGCUUUCUCUCUUUCCUCGUUACCUCGAACGCAAUAUGCAGCACCCCACUGAAAAAACAAGUAACUUUUAAUAAAGAUUCUUGCAAACAAAAGGGAAAAGCUAAUAAACACCCAUAUUUCACAAAUGUAUUAUUACUUCCAUGGUGGUUCGGUUGAUGAAGUUCAAUUUACAAUUCAAGUCGAUUACGCUUAUACUUCAGUGAAUAUAAAAAUUAUAUAAAUUUGUUCAAAAACAAAUUUAGACACUCCUCUUUCUAUAAGUAGGAUAAAACCCUGUUUGCUACAAAAAGAAAAAACACUCUUUUUAGAGUGGAUUUUACUUAUUUAUGUGAGACAUAAACACAAACAGCUUGUAUGCACUCUCUACAGUAAACAGUAAAGGUAAAAUUUUGCUUACACAAACUGUUCCAUCCUUAGCCUCCACCGUGCAGGUCCGAGCCGGGUUCUCCGGUGUCCCACGGUGAUCAAUGCAAGCUGAAAAACAAAAGGAAAAAAAGGAAAAGUAUGUUAUCAUCUGCAUGCUAUAAAUCAUUAUAAGCGCACAAAAUCAACAUAAAAUUUCUUUACAAGAAACACCCUACCGAGAUCGAAAACACGUCGAUAGCCCUUGAUGAACCCCACUAUCCUCUCGUCAAAGUCAAACCCUGGAUUCCAUAUCAAUGACCCAUACGAAAAAACCCAAAGCACCAUCCUGGUCCUUUUUUUUCCCCUGCAUUUAAAAAUAUAGAGUCCAAAUUACAUUGUUAGAAUCAUCAAAACCAUGCCAUUAUUUUUUCUGAUUGAUAAAAUUUCCCUUCCGAAAGCGAAUAAAUCCAUGAUAAAAUCCAAGAAUUAGAAUCCAAAUUACACUCCUAGAUUCAUCAAAAUCAUGCCUUGAUUUCUUUUUAAUUACUAAAACUUCAAUCUCAUCCCCAGGAGUAUAAAUCGAUGAUAAAAUUUAAAAUUUAUACAGAGCUUACAAUCAUAAUGAGCUAAAAAAUCGAAUGAAUAUAACACUUUCGCUCAAAGCUCGGGGAUUAACACUAAAAAAUAUGAACGGCAAAAAAAAAAAUCAAAUUUAAUUCGGCGAUCACCGAUCUGCAGAAACAGGCCAAAAAAUCCUCGAAUGGGAAGUUGAAAUCGCGAAAAAUGAAGACAAUUUAGGGAAAAAAAAAACAACAGGGAAAAAUUGAGGGGAAAAAAAAUUUGGGGGGGAAAUGGAGUCGCCGAAACCCUAAUCCACGAAUUUGGGUUGGGGGGGAGGGGUUUUGGAUUAGAAAUUUGAAGGGCUCGGACUCGGAGUCGUCGUGGGGGGGGAACGACUCUGAUAGGGUUUAUAUAGCGGGAGGAAGGGGACGGGUACAACGCCAUACGCGUGAGAUUUUUGCCUCGAGGUUCAAUGAACCUGGACGGGAUCCCGCCGCACCGUUGCGUACAGGGGUUGGUGCGUUUUAAUUAGGCAAAACUUCAAAUACCCUCCUUUGGUUUCUCACGUUCUUACUUUAGUAUUCUUUAGUUUAAAAUAUAUCAAAUUAGUACCAUGUGGUUUCGUACUUUCUCACUUUAGUACCAUGUGGUUUAAAGUGUAUCAAGUUAGUAUUCUAUGAUUUUAUUUUUGUAUCAAGUUAGUACCAUAUGGUUUUAUUUUUUUCUUUUUAUUAUCCAUUUCAAGGCAUUUUUAUCGCUAAAUCAGUGACAAAGUUAAAACUAAAGGAUGAAUAUUCGAUAAACUUAGCUAGUAUAUCUGAAGUUUUUUUAUAUAUAAUUUAACAAAAUAUUAAACCACAUAGUACUAAAGUGAGAAAGUGUGAAACCAUAGGGUACCAACUUGAUACACUUUAAACCAUAGGGUAUUAAAGUGAGAAAGUGCGAAACCACAGGAUACUAACUUGAUAUAUUUUAAACCGUAGGGUACUGAAGCGAGAAAGUGUGAAACCAGGGAGGUAUUUGAAAUUUUUCCUUUUAAUUAAUAGGAAUUUUUAUUUAUUUUGUUUUUCUAGAAAACACGAAAAUUUGGACAAAGUAAAAUAAGGACGCCUCGAUUGUAACGCCCAAGUGCACCUUCCCCCUCCGCGUAGUUAUUGCGAUUUUAAUUAGGAUUAGGUUCAAUUACUACACAAUUAUCGAUACAAUAAAUCUGGUCAAAUAAUGUAAAAAUUUUAAAAAUAUUUUCUAAAAUUAAUUUGCAAAAUUGAUAGUAUUAAAUGAUUUUUUUUUUGAUUUAUUGAAUUUGGAUAAAUUUAAUUAUGAAAAUAGUGGUCUGAAUUAUACUACUAUACUAUCGAUAAUACCAAACGUUUGGUGCCAUCGAGUUUUCGACCGUUGGAUGAUAAAAUGUGCGGGGGUUGAGUGAGUGGAUGGUUGGUUGAAUAGUAUAAUUUAAUAAAUGAAAAUGACCAAAAAAGUAAAUUUAACGAGAGAAAACUCGAUAGUACUAUCGAUAGUAUAAUAGCCGGACUCAUAGUGGUCUUAUUAAUUAGAUGGUGUUAUUAACUGAACUUAUGAUUUACUAUUGACAUUAAAACUUGAAUUUUAUGGACUUCCACUGCCGCGUAGUUAUUGGGAUUUUAAUUAGGAUUUAGUUAAGUUACUAUAUGUAGUAGAUACAAUGAAUCUGGUCAGAAUUUACGAGAUUUCAAAAGAUAAUAUCUAACAUGAUUUUUUAUAUUUUCUUUGGAAAUUGAUGUUAUUUUGGUUAUUAAUAAUUAGUUUUUUUGGAGAUUUAUUGAACUUGAACAAAUUUAAUUAUGAAAUGCGGCCUGAUUUGCUGAAUCAACUCGUCUAUAUUUAUUAAUGAUAUUAAUAAUCUUAUUAAAUGGAUGGUGUUACUGUGUGAGUUUAGCUUUUACUAUGUACAAUACAAAUUGAAUUUUAUAAAAUUUUAUUAGUAAAUAGUGAUCGAAUUUAAUAAAUUUAUGAACACGAGUAAAAAUACAAUUCUUUCUGGAAGUGUCCUUAUUGCUCUUCCAAAAUAUGUGUGAUAAGUACAUGUGAUAAGAAUAGUUUUAUUUGUUGAUUUGUUCCACGCACAUGCUUUAAUAAUAUUAUUAUUAUAUCGAUGUACCAUCACAUCAGUAAUUUAUGAAGAUAAUACUUUAGGUCAAAACUGACCGUCCCUAACGUAAGUGGCAAAAAAUUUGAUGGUUAAUAUCCUGAGAUCCCGAGUUCGAAUCCUAAUUGAUCCAUAUUUUCAGCUAAGUUUAUUUUUAAAUGAAAUAAACGAAGCGGAUAACAUGCUACCUACCUCUUAAAAAAAUAAAAAAAUAUUUUAGGCCCAAAGUAUUUUUCAUGGAGAGAGGUAUAUUAAAUAAAGCUCUUUUAUUCUGUUUUCAACUAUAUAUGAAGUGAGAGAUAAUAAUUCUACACUCAAUUAGGACUGUCAAUGAGUCGAAUACAAACUGACUCAUUUAAAUAUCGAGCUGAAAAAUCUAACAAAUGUUCGACUUGUUUUAUUAAUAUGCUGAACACAAGCUGACUUGCGAACAACAAAUUAAAUUCUCAGCCCUCCUACUAAAUAAAAAAUUGAAAAAAAUUAAAAAUUAAAAUUUUAAUCUAAUAAUUAAAAUUUAUAAAAUAUAAGUCUCUUUAAAAUAUUUGGGUUGUCAAUAUAAUUGAGUUAUAUCGGGCCAAACGCGAGCGAUCCGAACCCAGCAGUAUUUGGCUUGUUAAGAAUUCGAGCUAAAAAUUUCAACUUCCGUCCUACAUGUUUAUUAAAUAAGCGAUCGGUUUUGACCUCCCUCGCAAACAGCGAGCUAAAUUGCCUGUGUGUACACCAAAUAAAAGAAGAGUAAUGUUUUACUUAUGUACACCAUUUUAAUUAUAUGUUAACACAAAGCGUUUUAAACCGACCGUCCCUAGCGUAAGUGGCAAAGAGCUUAAUACUUGGUACCCGAGGUCCCAAGUUCGAAUUCUAGUUGAUUUAUAUUUCUAGCUAAGUUUAUUUAUAAAUAAAAUAAACGAAGCGGGUAACAAUGCUAUCUAUUUCUAAAAAAUAAAAUAAAAAGCAUUUUAAUUGAGAGACUGUUUCAACUUACAAGGACAAAGAUCUAAUUUAAGGUGAGAAUAAAAACUACAAGAAAGAAUCAUGACGCCUAGGUCAAAAAUUAUACUUGAAUUAAUCAACGGUCACUAUUAUUUAUUUGACUUGUAUAAUGGCUCUUAAUUAGUUCAAAAUUCCAAUUACUAACUCUGCCAAGGUCAAAACCAACAUUUUCUCUUCACUCCAAAGGGCAAAACAAUAAAAAAAAAAAAAAAGAAAAAAAGAAAAGGAAAAAGACAACUUUUUCCAGCACAUAAAAAAAAAGAAGUAUUCACAGUCACAUUCAUGGCCAUAGUUGACAUGUUUAUUAUUUUUUAAAAAAAUAAAGAAAAAAAUUUGAUGAAACAACUUAACUUUAAAUAAAAGUCAACGUAGAUUCAGUGGCCCACGUGGACGUUGAAAUAUAUGGAUCACCACGUGCUAUAGUAUUUUAUUUUAUUUUAUUUUAUCUUAUUUUUUAUGAACAAACGAAGAGAAUCUAGAUGACUCUAAAUCAAAAGGGCAAUGGCCCAAACUAGAAGCUAAAGAAUUUUAUUUAUUUAUUUAUUUGUUCUGUUAAUAUGAAAACGAGUAUUAAAAAUAUCGGUUCUCAUUUUAAUACAUUAUAAUAUGCAAAAAGAUGUAUGAAACUUUAAUACUAUUUAAAAUUCGGUUAUAAGUUGAGUUUUCGAUUGAACAACACAAAUGAGGUUCGAAUAUAACCCGGCACAAUAGAGACCGAACCUAUUGGCGUAUUCUAGUUAGAUUCGAGUCUGGUUUGAUCAAAUUUGUUUUCGCUGUACCCGAAUUUCGACCCGUAAGUGUGGUUUACACUUCAACUGCAUGUUGGAGUGUCACAGAUCAGAGCAAAACCUCGCCCUAGCCGAAUUCUGGCCGGGCAUGAUUUCGAGUUGUGUUAAUAUUGUUUAGCACAGAUCAAAUACGUAUCUGAAUCUAGCCACAAAAGAUCUGAAUCAGAUCGGACUGCAAUAAAUUGAAGAUCUAAAGAACUUGGAUCCAUUCCAGAUUUUCUUGAGCUUAAAUUUUGAUACCCGGUUUUGGAUGGUCUGAUUCGAUCCGCUAAAAAGAAAACCCUCAUGCGGAGGAUAUCGAACAUCGGGCUUGAUUUGUUGGCCAUAGAUAUGGGCCCCGAUGGAGAUCCAAUCCGACAAUUUGGGUCUUAAAUGGGCCCAGUAAUUGUGUUUGAUGUGCCACUCAUAUGUAAUUUUAUGGCAUUUUGCAUAUUUCUAGGAUUUGGUUCACAUAUUAGACAAACAAAUAUUUAAUUAAAAAAAACUAAAAUAAAAGCUUAAUAUCAUUUGAAUGAUUAAUUUUCUAAUGGAUUUCAAAUCAUAAAAAUUACAAGGAAAAUGCAAUGAAUUUUAGACAAUUUGAGAUCGAGAAAUAUGAUCACUCCACACCACAAAAAUUAAAGUAUUAAAUUUGAGGCUUCUAUUUCCAAUAACAAGGAGAAGUUAUUGGGAUAUUUUAUUAGUUAAAAAGAUUUUGGUAAAUUAUUAAGAUCUCACACUUUAAGGGGGAAAAAAUGAUAAAUAUAAAUAAAAGAGUGGGCCUUUAUAAUAUGCCAAGUCAUUACAUUUGGAAUCAAUCAUUUUCAACAAACCUAUCAUCUCAAUCACAUAUAUUAACUAAUUUUUUUUUAUUUGAUGCUGUAUAUAGACUAUAUAUUAAGCUUUUACCAUCAAAGAACAUAUCAAAUUUUUUGUAAAAAAAAAAAAAAAAUCCAACAAAAGAUGCACAUCCUUAUUCGCUGCGAAUUCAUUUUUGAAUUUGUUGGAAUGCCACAACGGAGUGCUUGGCAAUGUGCAAGCUGAAUUGCCCGCCCUUCUCCGCCACGUCGACCUUCUCCGUCCCCAGCGGCGGCCGCAUCUCAAACCCGGCCACGAGCCGCCCGAUCACGAUCCCCAGAAUCGGCAGCGCCAGCACGAUCCCUGGGCAGCUCCGCCGGCCCAUGCCGAAUGGCAGGAACCUAAAAUCCACCCUCCCGCCCCCCACCGCCGCGUCCACCACCCCCUCCUCCUCGAGGAACCGCUCCGGCCGGAACUCCUCCGGUGAUUGCCACAACUCCGGAUUGUUCGCUAGCCACCACGCAUUCACCACUACCUGCCAGAUAUAAAAAUAUUAAAACACAGUUCUCUAUAUAAGUUUUAGUUUUCUAGAAAAAGUAAAAAAUCAAAGGUAAACUUCAAAUUGCUCUCCUGUUGUUUAUUUUAUUUUUACUUGGCCACUGAGUAGUUCAAAAAGUCUUACUUUUGCUCUUCCGUGGGCCUGUGGUUUAACUCUUUUUCAUUUUGCCACUUCAUGGCUUCUUAAAAUUUUUUUACUUUGUCCUCUUUUUUCGUAUAGAAUUUUUUGAUGAAACAAAAAUUAAACCACAUUGAGUUAAAGUGAAAUUUUGUAAAUCGCAGAAUGGCAAAAUAAAAUAAGCUAAACCACAUAGAAGCAAUUCGAAGUUUAUAUCCCAAAAAACCAACCAUUUCACAUCGUAUCACGGAGCUAAGAUGUCGUUUUCGGGGCACUGAAUAGAUGCUUCGGAUUCAAAGUGCCCUAAUUACUAUUUAGGGCUUUUAGAGAAUCAUUAGGGCGCUUCGAAUUCAGAGCAUCUAUUCGUGCUCCGAGUUCAGAAAUACUAAAUCAUCAUUCUCUGAUAGUUUAAGCUUAAAUUUAGAGAGAAAUUAUGCUGUCGCAUUACCUUGGAACCCGCGGGAAUAGUAUAACCGCCGAGCUUCGCCUCCUCGAGGUUCAUGUGGGGGACUAGAAGUGGAAUAGGGGUGUGAAGCCGAAGAGUUUCUUUGAUAACUGCUUGUAGGUAAGGAAGUUUGUGGAGAUUCGACUCCGACACCGGCUCGCCGCCGAGGGCUUCGUCGAGCUCGAGCCGGAGCUUGGUUUGGACCGCGGGGUGGUUCACUAACUCCGCAAUAGCCCACUCCAUGGACCACAAUGUGGUCUCUAUCGCUGCGCAAAUUUUUUUAAAAAAUAGGGACCUAAUUGUUAUACAUGAUAGAAAAAACUUUGAAAAAGGACGAAAUUGAAAUCAGAAUCAAAAUUUAGAAACUAAAUUUGUAUAAUACUCAUAUUUGUACCUGCGACGUUGAUGUUUUCUACGAUGUAAGUUACGUUGUCGGCGGUGAUCUCUCCGUUCUUCUCGGCUUCUAGGAUGUGAUCGAUCGCACACUGUGGCCUGUGCUUGUCUCCGUUUGCCACCAUGAUGUUUCUAGUAAUAGAGAAGUAAGAAAAAGUUUUAGUGAGAAUUAGAUUCUCUAAAGUUUUGUAAAUUCUCAACAUUUCUAUUUUCAGCUUCAGUUAUUUGAAAGAAAUUAUUUCUUAAUAAAAAAAGUCAAGAGCUUCUACUUUCUUCAGAAAUUUUAUUAAAUUUGAUUACUAUUUACUGAUUGAAUUUGACGGGAUUCGUAAAAUAAUAUUCAUAUAUAUAUGUCAAGAAUAACUCAAAAUUGAGGCUAUAAUUAAUAAAGAGAUUAGUUUAAUUACCUUCUUUUCUCCACAUAGUAGUUGUUGAAGAAUGCCAACCUCUUACUUUGCAAAUCCUUGCACUUAUUCAAAUAACCCCUCAAAAAUGGUCUAAGUAUAGGAAUAAAAUCCCCAUAGUUAUACUCAAAGCUUUGUGCUAAUCGGCUCCGCUCCGAAUUGAACUUCGUCGCCUCGACGAAGAAAGGAUCCUCCAUGGACUCAAACUUCAUGUCAAACAUCAUCCUAUACAUGACAUUGUAAAGCAUCAAUUGCAACCUCUUCCUUAUCACCACCCCUUCGAUUUUAGCCGUCCGAUCCGAUCGCAGGUCGCUCGCAACGAGCUCCAUCUCCUCCUCCCAUGUCUCCUUGUAUUGUUGCACCACUUUGUUUGUGAAGAAUGGCAGGGUCAUCACGCGGCGCAUCUUGCGCCAGUGAUCGCCGUAGACGGUGAAGACCAUGUCUUGGCCGUUGCCCGUGAAGAUGUCGAACACGACGUUUCGAGGGCGGGAGCCGAACUCGACCCCUUGGGUGUGGAGGACUUCUUUGGCGAGGGUCGGCUCCGAGACGACUACGAGGUUUCGCAAGCCGAGUUUGAGGAGGAAGACGGGGCCGUAUUUGCAGGAGAGGUCGGCAAGGAAGCGGUGAUUGAGGUCGUUGCCGACUUGGAGCCAGUUGCCGAAUACGGGGAGGGAGGGGGGGCCAGGAGGGGUGGUGGAGUAGCUGGAUUUGUAGAAGAAGAUAAUGGAGAGGGAGAGGAGCAAGAGGAGGAGGAGGAGGAGAGGAGUGGAGAGGGAAAUAGAAAAAAUGGAGAAAGAGAUUAGGGUUAGGGGGAGGAUGAUGGAGAGAGAGAGUUUCUUGAGAGGUAUGGUCAUUUUUUGGAUUGUGUUAGUGUUGUAGUGAGAGAGAGAGAGAUAAGUAGAUAGUGUUAUAGUAGAGAGAAAGAGAAAGAGGUAUCUAGUAUGGUAGAGAGAGAGAAAGAGGUGAUAGUUCUAUGGUUUUGAGAUAGUGCAUUGGUGAUAUAUAUAUAUAUAUAUAUGUAGAGAGAGAGAGAGAGAGAGAGAGAGAGAGAGAGAGAGAGAGAGAGAGAGAGAGAUUGCAUGAAGCUAGAGAGAGAGAUGUUGUUUGAAUCUCUAGUAAGGGGUACUAAUUUGACUUGGGCACUGCCAAAAGCAAGUCAAAGAACUCGGGUUUGAAAUGGACAUGUACAAGGGUUGGUGGGGAUGUUCACAUGCAUGCAUGGUUGGUGAGUGUCUACAAUUGGAUGGUUUAACCCAAUGUUUUAGUUAAUCAUUUGGCUUGGUCAACUUUUCAUUCUACUUUAACCAAAAGGAUCCUACUUUAUUAGUUUAAUUAGUUACCUAUAUAUUGUGUAAUCACUCAAAUGUGUAUGUAGGGUUUUUAUUGUUAAUGGACUAAUUAAGUGGUGUUAGCAUAUAUGGCUAUGGGUUUGUAGAGUUUGCAAUUUUGGAGCCUUCAAAUGGAGAAAUUGUUGCUUGGGCAUGGUCCUAUUGUCUCAUCAGUGAAAUGAACCACUAAAUACAAACACUUAAAUGAAAAAAUAUAUAAUAUAUUUUUAUAUAUUAUGCGGAAUAUUUUUACAUAUUAUUUUCGCAUAACGCUGAAAAUUCUGUAAGAGUAACUUUGGAAGGAGUUGCAUUAUAGUUUAAUUUUGUUGUUCAUUACACUCUUUCUCGAAAAAAAACAAUGACAGUUCUGAAUCAAAUUUCAAACUCUAAAGUGUGUGUCGGAGUCUGUGUGCAGAAAAAAUAAUUGAAUAUGUAAAAUUUGAUCCUUUCUCAUCGACUUAUCAUCUAAUAUAGUGUUAAGAUUCAGCCAAAACCUUCGAGAUUAAAAUAGACAGUUAAAAUUUUGAAAAUAAUGUAGAGUCUAUGUACAAUUCAUCAGCAUGUUUUUACGAGAUUUUCCUGAAAAGCUUGUCAACAAAGUCGUCCUCGUCUGCAGACCUGUUAUAAAAAAGAAAAAAAAGAAAGUUAUGUAUUGCCGGUGACUUGGUAGACCGGGUCCAAGCAAUGAACUUUUCUAUAAAAUGGGUGGGGAUUAAGUGGUAAUUAUAAUUGUUAAUGGGGUUUUCCCACAAAGUUUCAGGCGUCGUCUAAAAUGUCAUGCUAAAUUGAGAGGGGGAAGUGGGAGUAGGUGGGUGUGCACGUGCCUAAAUUAUAAUUUGACCAUUCUCAAAAGUGAAAACACACGUGGGAUUUUUUUUUUUUUAAUCUUUUAUUAGGGAUUUUCUUAUUUUAUUUUUUUUCACAAAUUCGACUCCAAUCAAAUUUGAUAUGGUUUGAUUUGAUUGUAUAAAUAAAUUUAUUUAGUUUUAGAGCUAAUAAAAAAAUCAUAAAUGAUGGCUACAUUGCAUUUUAGUUUGUAAAUUUUAAUUUAUUUUUAUUUAUGAGUGAUAUGUCAAUAAUACGAUAUCUUUGUCAAUAUUGUUGGCUAUAAUCUUCUUAUAUUGCAGUCGUACUCGCGACACUUUGCUAUCAUUCAGUCAAUUAAGUUAUAAAGAUAUAAUUACAAUAAUUUAUAAAUUUUAAAAAAAAAUAUAAUAAAUUAAUAUUUGAGAAUUAAAUUAUCACGCACUGUAAUAAAUUUAGAGUAUGGGAAAAAUCUUACCGUACACAAUUUGGUCUUUUUCCUGAAGCGUCCAAUUUAUCGUAAAUAGACUCAGAAAUGAUUCUUUUACGAUGCGUGUAUAUCUACAUUACGGUUCGAAUCGACAGUUCAAUUAAUUCAACAUUGCAAAAUACAUCGGCUUGUUCGGGAAUUAGUCCAUGUACUUAGCUCUCGAGAAAAAAUAAAAGCUUUGAAUAAAACGAGUGCGCUUCGUCGAGAAGCUUCUCGACGAAGAUUUUACUUAAAAUAAAAUAGUUUGAUGAGCUGUAUGAUUUAUUUUUUUAAAAAAACUAUUCAAAUUUAAAAGUUUUUAUAAAAUCUCAGUAUUAUUUCGAAGGACAGAUUUAAAGAUAGCUCAAUAAAUAAGAAUAAGAUGCUCCUUGUUUAAUUUUUUUAAAAAUUUUUUGGGUCUAAUUUGAGCAAUUUAAUUAUUUAGGCAUUGGGGUGGGAACACAAUUAGCUGUUUAUUUGGAACCAUCCGUACCAUCUGGUCAACGUCUGGUCAACGUUGAGAAAAUAGUUGACUUUUCUUUGGGUCUCUCGACCAAUAGAAUGCAGCCAACUCAGCAAUUGUACCUCUGCCGACGUGUUUUUUGUUUUUUUUUUCGAUUUAUAGUGGGAUAGUAGAAAAAAAGGAAAAAAAGGAAAAAAAAAAAAGUUUCUUAUAUUGCCACAAAUUUUCGUUUCUUUUUUUUUUCAAAAAAAAAAAAAUCUGAAAUAGCUGUAAAAUGGCAUGAAAAUGCAAGGUAAAAGCACCUGCAUUAUUUUUGAAAAAUCAUAAUGAGCUCAAACGCACUGUUAAAAAACCAUACAUAUGGAGGAAUUAAAUCUCUGACCUCUUGAUAAUUGGAAUACCUACAAAUUGUACUAAAUAGUAACGAUCGACAAAUUAUAUAGUCAAUUAUCUACAUUAGUCAAAAUUUUACUAGAAUAUAUAAUAUUUACAAAUGAAAUACAAGUAUUUUAUUAGAAUGUAUAAUAUUUACAAAUGAAAUACAAAUAUGUACAGCUACUUCUCAAAGUAUCCGCUUCGUUUAUUUCUUUUAGAAAUAAACUUAGUUGGAAAUGUGAAUCUUGGAUACCAACCACCAAACUCUUUGGCCUUUGCCAUUUGCACCAAGGACGGUUGGUGAGAACAGAGGAGUUAUUGUGACCAUAAGAAUACCAAGCAAGCACAUAGGCUUAUGGGCCCUAGUGGGCCUAAUGACCACAACAAAGUUCGGGUCAAAUUUGAUUCGAUUCGGCGGAAUUCAACGCCUCGAUUUCACGAAUACUCCCAAUACGGACCUAUGUACCACUAGCCCGUUUGGCCCAGCUGUGCAAUGACACUCUAGGAUUCAGAUAAUCCUAUAUAUGAGAUAUAAUAAAGGUAAAUCUCUUAAUCUCACUAUAGUAUUUUAUAUGGUAGAUGGAUUCAAGAACUUAAGAGAGUUAAGCCCGAUAGGUUUAGAAUAGUUCUACAAUAGAUGAUUCUCUGAAAAGUGAGGCGUCAUAUGUACUCCACCCCCCAAUUUGCGAAUGCACUGCAUAGCAUCCUGCGAAAGCGCCAAUUCCAGAGGAGCUAUUGCAGGCUAUAGUAUUCUGCUGCGGUGGGCAGCACCACCGCACGGCAAAAUGAAGCCUAGAAUAGGCUUGGUUUCGGCGGUGGUUGGCCACGCACACCGCACCGCACCACACCGCACCGCACCGCACCGCAAAGCAGGGCCAAACAGAGCCUAUACAUAUGUACAUAACUUGGUUACGCAAUAAUGCUCUGGAGAAGUACUAAAGGGUCUUGUGUUUGCACUUUGUACUACAAUAUUCGAAUGUACUACUAUAACGAAAGGACAUUCGUGCAAAUGAUAUAUGGCAAUCUCUAAAUGCCAUAUGAUAAAUGCAACAAUUCAUUUAUUCAUUCACCACUAAACCUUUGUUUAGAAUUGCGGAGAAGUAUGGUAGAAAAAUAUUUUAUUUAUUUUCGCAUUCUGCGUACCACAAUGAGUCGAUUAGAAUAUGUUUUCUACGGUCUCAUCAAAAAAGGCAAAAGUAUAUCUUUAUACAUGCUUUUUUCCUAACUCUAUUUUACUAAGGCAGCUUCUGCUUCUAGCUGCAGUACAAAGCUAGUGGACAGAGGAAAAGAGCUGUUUCCGCUUAUCCAAACAAUUAAUUUGUUAUAUUAUAACAAAUUAUACUGUAUAUAAGCUCUAGUUAAGCCAAACAGGCCCUAAAUUACGAACGCAAUUAACAUAGAGCAAUGCUUAACAAAAACAAAAUGCAGCAACAGAGAGAGCAAUAAUAAUGUGCUAAGAAGAUGCAGAAUAGAUAAAGUCAAAAGACUUAUUAUGUUUUUUUCUGCUUUAUGCAAGUUUUAAUAAGUCACCAUUUCUUACAUUCUGAUCUCUCAAGGGCUUUCACCUUUAAAAAUGAUAUGGAUUCAAAUAAUAGGCUAAGACCCUCUCCAUUUCUCUCUCUCUCUCUAUAUAUAUAGACUCCUAUGAUGCCGCCGAUACCAAUUUAUUUUCCUCCGGUACCCUUUUUUAUCUCUUAUUAUUAUUAUUUUUUUAUUUUUGUAAAUUUUCUCUAUGAAAAUUGGCUUAUUUCUAUAUGAUUAAGCAACUGCAACACCAGAAGAAAACAGCUUCACAGGAGCAGAGCAGGGUGAGUUUUCAUACGACUUCAUCGCCAUUGAUCCGCAGUUCUCCCAGCAUUCGUCCGUCAGCAUCUGUUGGCAUCGGCAUUCCGCGCUACAGAAGGCUUUCUCACCUCUGUGGGAACAAAACAACAACAACAACAACAAAAAAGGUUUAGUUAGCAUCGGCAGAUUAAUCGAAAGAACCGUGAAAAGAUAUUUGUGCCAACAGAAUUUUAAAGCAUAGAAAGGAAAUAUUCCCGUAACUACGACUCAGUCCAGCUAUGAUUUGACUCGCAGAGGGAACGAUUUUAAAGUACAAAGUAUGAGAGAUGUACUCAAUGUUGUUUAUAGUAAAUAGAUAAAGAUGACAAAUUAAUGCAUAAGGUGUCCAGUAAAGCCGCAUAGAAGUUGAACACUUCUUAAGAAAUAGAAGGUUUACUAAAUUUAUUCUUAAGGCGCGCGAACUAAAACAAUCUAAACACAAAACAUAGACAAUUGAGCAACAGCAUUUUCUCAAUUUGCUCUGGCUAUUUAUACAAAGAGUCUAAAAUAUCCAUAUUCCGUGGUGAGUCCUGAUUUAGCUACUACUUGAUACAGCUAAACCAAAAAAAAACCGACAAAUAAUUUGCAACCAAAAUGAGAACCAAAAAUUAAAAUAUAAAAGCAUGAAAGUGAGACCAGCAUCUAAAUUGAACAAUUUGAUGAGCCCAAGCAAAUGCAAGCUGUACUAGUUCAACAAAGCUAAAUGAAGAAUAUGCUCUUUCCAUAGAUACAGUCACAGAGAAGAAAAGAGGCUCUCAAGGAUUUGCCAAAUUUGGUGGCUGAGGGAGUAGUAAUAUGGGGACUUGAAGACAAAGUUAAUAUUUGAUUGAUACAUAUUGAAGGAUUUAAUGGUUAUUAAGAGAAUAUAAUAAUUAAUAGACAAAUUCAUAAGCCCCUCUUAGCCCUAAUAUGCAUACUUUAGGGCUAGAUGAUGAUAACGGAGCGGACUAUGUAAAUAGCCUGAAUCUUUUUCGUAAAUUAUAAAAAAGUAGGCGUCUCUGGGAUUUCCCUGAAUAAACCCAAAAACAUAAUGUUAUAUUCAAAUCGAAAAGAACCAAAGUAAUAAAUAAAGGAUUUGAGCUCAACCUCUUUAAGGAAAGAGAGUGAAAUGAUUACUGAAAUCAAGCUCCUUUAGUUCGGGAAAAAAUCGACAGCAGAGACAUUGGUAAAGUAAAUCCCUUUGCAUGAGUAAUUACUGAUUAGUCCAAAGAUCUUAGCGUGACUGAGCUGAUUAGAAAGCUAGUUGCGCACUUUAUUUACAACAAGCACAAGCAAGGUUAAGUGGGAAAAAAGAAAUCUAGAAGUGACAAAAUAAACAUGGUUUUCGUAUUGAAGUACAAGUCAACUUAGUUCGAUUAAAUUUUGAAUAAUUAAACUGUGAAAUGUGACUCAUUUCUGACUCAUUUAAACAUGUCUUGAGGAGUAUUUCGAUGAAACGAAAUUAAACGCUUUUAGCAAAUAGAAAAGUUUUAAAGUAGAAGACAUUGGCCAAUCAAAGAACUCUCUGUAAAUUAUUCUGCGUUUAUGGAAAGUUUAAAAAUUUAAUUGAUGUCUUUAAUCUGUUGGAAAAUAAAUUAUCAGAAAUUACGAGAAUCGCAAUAAAAACUGCAAAGAUUAUGACAAAUUAAUAAUUAUUUGCCAAUUAAUGGUGCUAUAUCACAACUAAAGAGUCCAAAUUAGGUACAAAAUGUCAAAAUCUAUUCCAUUAAAGAACUAGAUUGAGCACGUCCAAAAUCUAUUUUUUUAAAAAAAAACAAAUACCAAUAAUAUUUUGUUGUCAAAAUAUGUAUCAACAGAAUUAUAAUUUAAAUAACUAGCCUAAUCAAAAUUACUAAUUCAAGUGAAAAAUUUAAACAGAGUAAAAGGAAAAAAAAAACAUAGACAAACAGUUACAAGUACAUGCAUGCACUAAUAUAGAAACAAAACAAAAAAAAGGGAGUAACAUACACAAACACAAGCAUGCAAACAAAUGUACAUAUGCCCAAGUAUGUAUGUACACAAGUGAUGGUACUCACAUGCAACAUAUAUGCCCGGAACAAAUGCAUGGAUGAUGCAUCUGCCUAACACAUAUGUGAGAAAAAGGUGCUCAUGUAUGCAUGCAUGCAUGCCCAUCAUGGAGGCAUCGAUAGUGUCCAUGCAUGUAACACAUACAUACAUACAUACAUACAUAUAUAAACAUAACAUGUGUGUAUGCGGAUGCACAUACAUGCGCUGAAACGCCUAGUAACGGUAGAUACAGAGAAAUGAAGCUCAUGAUAUAUUUAAAUUUAAAAAUUGAAAUUGAAGUUAAAAUAAUCAAAGGAGAAGAUCGAACGACUCGUCAAUCAUAAUAAUGAGCCAAAAUAGAUGGACGAAAAUUUUAGAAAGUAAAGUGAAAUACUUUUUAAAUUUAAACGAAAUUAUUUUCAAUUUUUGGUAUACCUGUACAUGUAAACAUCGAGCCCAUCGAGCUUCUGGUUGCAGAGGUAGCACUUGCUCAGGAAAUCGCCGGGAGGCGGCGGCGGCGGCGGAGCUUCGCCGUCGUCGGAGGUGGCGCCGCCGGCGAGGUGGUCGUCGACGUCGUCGUAGAAGGCGCCGACGUAGCCGUCCCCGAAGUAGACCCUCUUCCGCACCCUGUUCCCGCCCACGUGCGAGAUCACGCACGUGUAGCUCUCCGAGAGCUCCAUCUCCUCCCUCGUCCUCGCCCUCUUCGCAGCCCCCGCCGCCGCCGCCGCCGCCGCUGCCGCGCGGCCGAUCGGGAUCGGCUCCGCCCUCGCCAUCGCCGCCGCCGUCGCCGCCCCGGGCUUCCUCACCACCGCUCCUCCUCCUCCCCCUCCGCCUCCGCCGCAGCUCAUCGCGGCGACGAUCCCGAGCCCCACGGCCCCUGCAUCGAAGCUCCUCGGCGAUCGCGCCGGCGCCGGCGCCGGCGCCGCCGCUUCGCCGAAGCCGACGAUGAUUGAGAGCCUGAGCAAGGAGGAGGUCGCCCCCGCCGCGCUUUUGUAGGCCGCGUCAUCGCGCGUCGCCCCCCCGAUUUUAGGGUUACUCGCUUCGAGAUAUCGCAGCAUCUCCUCCACCCUCUGGAGAGAGAGAAAGAAGAGAGAAAGAAGAGAGAAAGAGUAGAGAGAGAGAGAAUGAGCCUAUUUCUCACUCCCCCUUAUACACAUAUAUAUACUCCCCCGUUCACAAUAUAUGGAAGGUGCUGUAGAGAGAGAGAGAGAGGGGAUGAGAGAGAGAGAGUGAGAGAUGAGAGAGAAAGUAGAGAGAGAGAGGGGGGAUAGGAAGAGACACCUCUCUCUCUCUCCUCUCUCUCUCUCUCUCUCUCCUCGCUCUUCACACACACUCUCUCUCUCUCUAUCUCACUUUAAAUGGUUGAGAUGAGAGAGAAUAUAAAGCACAAAUGGGAAAUGGGAAAUGGGAAAUGGGAAAAUGGGGUAUUUUUAUUUUACUUUAAAUAAUUAAAAAAUUGAGAGGGUGCAUUAUACAUAGGUUUCUUUUUUUUUUUAUUUUUGUUAUUAUUUUUCUAAAAUGUGUCAGGAGAAUAUACUAUAUAAUUAAUUAAUUAAUUAUUGGGAGGGGCAUAUGGUGCAUGAAUUUUAUACUAAGAAUUUGUAUGUAUGCAUACUUGUGUAUACAAUAUUAUAUUACUUUACUGGGUUUAUGCAUGUGCAUUGAAAUAUAUUAUUGAAUAUGUUUCCGUUCCUAUAAAGUGUAUUUUAUUCUUAUGAUGAUGAUUAACACCAAUUUGUCCUCUCAUUGGUCCAUUGCUUUAUUUUAUUAUUAAAAUAAAUACAUAAUCAGAAUUUGUUAAAACUAGUAAAGUAGAUUACAAUUUUUUAUUUUUGGAUAACUUGAAUACCAUUUUUUUUUUGAGUUAAAUUGUUCUUGCAUCUCCUUUGCUCAUAAGCGAUAUGCUAAAAUACGGCUUUUCGGUUGUAUAUACAGUGGAGAUUCGCUACAUAAAUUUAUAUUUGUCGUAUACGAGCAGUGUAUCUAUCUGAUCGCUGAAAUCACGGAAGAAAAUCUUCUGAUAAGAUGCGCAUGGCAGAAGCACUUAAUAAUAACGUUAUGACGUAAUAUCGGAAUUAAGACAGCUGCGUAAUUAAUAUUUGUCGCAAUUCAAUUUCUUUUCAGCUGCGUAAAUCACUAUUAUGAGUAAAAUAAUUUUUUGCACAAAUACGUGUUUUCUUAUUAAUUAGAGAGAUAAUAUUUUGUGAGACUGUUGGCUUAAAUAAAAAAAAUUGACAUAAGUAUCUUGCUUAAUUUCUCAAUAUAUUAUGUGUUUUUUUAAUAGUUCCAAUGCAAUUAAAUGAAUAAAUCCAUAAAAAUACCCAAGAGCCAUUAAUCUCUCCUGCAAUGUGAUAUAAAUCAUUGUAGUAAAAUUUUCUAGUAUUCUUUUUUUUUUUUUUUCAGAGAGACAGAAUAGUAAAUGCUAUCAUUUUAUUUAUUUAAAUUUUAAAAAUAAAUUUAGUUAAAAUUAUAAAGCAAUUAGGUAUGAUUCUUGACCCAAAAAAAAAAAAAGUAAUCCUAUGUGUAGCUCAAACUAAUAUUCUCAUUUGUUAAAAAAAAAAAAAGAAGAAAGAGAGAGAGAGAGAGAGAGAGAGAGAGAGGAAAAAAAAUCCAAAAUAAUAGUCACUUUAUGUAAGACAUAAUUUUUUUUAUAUUUUUAAAGUGGAUAAUCAAGCUCAAAAGUGAAAAAGUUACACUUUCAAAAUUAUUCUUUGGAGCCAAAUCUUAAUUAAACAAGUAGUACCAAUGUGAGGUACAUAAUUUUUUGAAUUUGUUCUACUCCUCAAUUGUAAAGAUAAUAAAUACACUUCCUUUCCCUAUAUGUUCAUACAUGCAACAUUGUUUUAAUAUCCAAUAUUGUGAGAAAUGUAUGUAGCAAAAAAAAUAAAAUAAAUAUGCAUUAGUUAGUUUGUUAUCUCCCAAAAUUGGAACUUUUUAAUGAGGACUUAAUUGUUCCAUUUAUGAAGUAAACUCCUAUUGCCAAAGAAUGUAAACACCUUGAAAAGAGUUGAAUUCAAUUAGAACCAAAAUAACUCGUGUUGGAGUAUCUACAAAAAUGUUAUUUAAAUAGAGCUGUUUAAAACAGCAACGACAACUUUUUUUCAUAUCUCAAUUAAAAUGUUCUGUUUCUGUAGGCUAAAAGCUCAAUUUAACGACUGGCUAUCACAAAAUCUUUGAGCAUUAUAUUUAGAUACUAAACGCUAAAUUUUAAAAGAAUUUUUAUUUAAUAUGACAAUAAUGUUACAAGUAAACUUAAAAAAAGGGAAUGUUUUGAGUUGUUGCUAUAACAAUAAAUGCUUAUAGUGAUUUUUGUCACCACAUUGCAAUGAUCAAAAGGAAAGAUUCUUGUAAAAUUAUUGUAGUAUUUAUGUGUUUCUCUCUUUUAUUUAGACACACACAAGGGGGGAAAAAAAAAGUCAUAUCUCAAUUAUGGCCCCAACAACUAGAAUCUUAAUAAUUGUAAAUUUAAUCAAUGUACUUAAAUAAUUAUUUGCUAUGUUAUGGUUUCAAUUGAUAAGUAGAAAUCAAACACACAAUUCAUUAAAAAAAAAAAAACCUUCAUGGGAUGCUAUAUUUUCACUACUAACUUGUGAUUCUAUAGUAGGAAGUGUAUUUCCUAAUUUUUAAAAUAAUUAAAAACAUGACAUUGAUAUUUAGUUAUGAUGCAAAAUUGUAUUAACUAUUAAGAAAAGGCUCCAUUUAUCAUCCUACAAGAAUUUAUUUAUUAUAUAUUGAAUCUGAUUAUUAUUUACUAGAUAAUUUUUUUUUUUAUCAAUAAAACUAGCUAGUAACAUUAAUAUUAUUAUAAAAAAAUUAACAAUUUAAAUCUCUUAUUUUAAUUAUUAAAUCAAAUAAGGCCAAAUUGGAGAAAAGGUCUCCUCCUCACGCAUUCCUCAUGAAUUAGCUUUAUGNUUAAUAAUUAAAAUAAGAGAUUUAAAUUGUUAAUUUAUUUAUUAUAUAUUGAAUCUGAUUAUUAUUUACUAGAUAAUUUUUUUUUUUAUCAAUAAAACUAGCUAGUAACAUUAAUAUUAUUAUAAAAAAAUUAACAAUUUAAAUCUCUUAUUUUAAUUAUUAAAUCAAAUAAGGCCAAAUUGGAGAAAAGGUCUCCUCCUCACGCAUUCCUCAUGAAUUAGCUUUAUGAAAAGUGAAGAGAAAACCAUGUACUGUAAUUUGUUUUUUUUUUUUGCUACAUCUUUUUCGUGAUGUAACACUUAAUCAAUUAUUGUAUUCCAUUGUGCUCCUCUUGAAAACAAUGGAGAUAAAAGAAUAUACAUUAUUUGCCCGAAUAUUGACGCAAUCUUCUAAAGGAAAUUAGUAAUUGACACAACCAAGUUCUCCUCUAGCCGCAAACUAAUUAAGAUGCUCUCAUCUCAAGUGGCAAAUACAAGUCUUAUCAUAUUGAUCUAAUUUUAUGAUCUUAUAAUUUAGAUUAGUAAGUUAAUUACGUAGAAAUACUAUUUAACUAAAGCUGUUUACAAAAAUGCUAAUAAUAUUUUUAAAAAAUUAAUGUUGGCUUAAAUAGGUCAGUAUUAUGUCCUGUGACAGAAGAUCAGAUUGGGCCGAGUCGAAAUUGGGUUUGACAGAUUUAUGUUCAAAGCGUGAGGUUGGUUGGACUGAAUCAUAAUUAAGAUCCGGAGGCGCUGUAUCUGUACGCUUUAAGUGAAUUGAUUAUAUAUUUUUAACAGUUCGAAUUUUUGAAAUUAAUAAUUAGUGCUAAUAAUUUGACAAUUAAUCAUUCUGUCUACAAACUUAUUUUUUAAAACAGAGUAGUUUUACGACGUCGAGUCCCUCAUCCUCGAACCGAUAGCUUGGCCGACGAGAAUUAAAAUUUAAUCUUAUAUUUUGUUAUGAACAAAUUAACUUUUAUAUAUAUAAUUUGAUAUGAAAUGAUACAAAAAUAGUCUUAAUUUUUUUAAUAAUUAAAGCAACAGAUAAAUAGAGAUUAAAUUAUAGAAUUAGCACUUGUAAUGAACUGAAUCCAAAAAUCUUAUACAAACGACUCUGUUACAAUUUAAUCCGUAUACACGGAAUGCUAAUAUUUUAUUAGUACAUAUAUGUCACAUAUAAUCUAAAACAUACAUAAUGCGAGGGAAUUAUUUAUAUAUUGGUUUAUAUCAAUAUAAAUCACUCUGUGCAAAACGCAUAAAUUAAAUUUAAUAAGAUUUAAAAUGGAUUUUCUCAUUUUAGUACUUUAUGUUUUAAAACAUAUCACUUUCGUACCCUACGACUUUAUUUUUCUCUUUUCAUUAUUUAUCUUGGUUAAAUUUUUCGUUAAAUCAGUGACAAAGUUAAAACCACAGGAUAUUAAAGUAAAAAUUCGAUAAACCACCGGGUCCUCAAGUGAAUAUUCGAUAAACUACAGGUAAGGUAUCUGAAAUUUUUUUUUUUUGCAUAUUAUUUAACAAAGAGUUAACGAAUUGACGAAGAAAUAAAACUAUAUGGUACUAAAAUGAUACGUAUUAAACUAUAGGUACUAAAGUGAAAAAGUGUAAAACUAUAUUUGAGAAGUACCAAAAGGAGAAUUAUUUUCCUCCGUCCUUAUUCGUAAAUACGGGUAAAUUCAGGGGGCGUUUUCGUAAUUUCGGCGCCGGGGGGCGUAACGCUCCUUGUCGCGACUCGNGGUCACGCGAGCCGCGACGUCGGGCCGUGUCGGGAUUCGUGCAUUUUUUUAGAGAGAGAAAGUUGUAGAGAUAGAGAGAGAGAGAGAGAAAAUUAGAGAGAGAGAGAGAGAGAGAGAGUCGAGAAGAGCGUGUGCUCGGAGGUGUUUCAUGUUGCACUACUGUGGCUGCGUCAGUAGUAGCGGUUGCUGAGUUGGCACUUCCCCAACGAAUUAUCUCUGUCUCUUUUCAAAUAUCACAAUUAUUUUUUCAAAAUAUUUUAUUUUGUUUUAAAAAAUUAGUAUUAAAAAAUAGACUAAAUUACAGAAAAUUUUUCUGUCAAAAUUUGAUUUUUCACUUUUUCUCCUACCAUUUAAAAACCUACAUUUUGCCCCCUUAUAAAAUAAAAAAUAUUCAAAGGAAGGUACGGUAUGAACUGUGAUGAUAAAAUGAUCAUUUUGCCCCUCAUAUGUUUACAAAAGAGAAGGCUAAAAGUAUUUUUGGCAUAAAAAAUAUAUAAUAAUAUUUUAUAAACGGAACCCUAACUGAUUACUAACGGCAGAGGACGAAGUGAACAUUUUUCAUUUUACAAGGGAGAAAAGUGUAGGUUUAUAAAUAACAGGGAGGGAAAGUGAAAAAUCGGAUUUUGACAGGAAGGUUUUAUGUAAUUUAGCCUAAAAUAUAUUCAAAGAAUUAUUGGGUGGAGAUAAGAUUAAUACGUGUCAGCAGAUUGCAGGUCUGUUGAAAAUUUAGUUGGGCGCUUCUAAGCGAUGUCUUAUAUUUUUAUUGGAAAACUUUUUGAUUCGUUGCUACGCGUGAGUUUUGAAUAUAUUUAAAACCGUCUUAAAAAGUGUAAAUGUUUAGAGGCAAGUAUUUAUGGUCAAGUUAAGAGAAAUUUUAAAUACCACUCAUGUGGUUCUGCACUUUCUCACUUUAAUAUUCUGUAAUUUAAAGUGUAUUAUUUUCGUACCCUAUAAUUUUAUUUUUCUCUUUUUGUUAUCGAUUUUUACUAUUUUUUUUUUGUUAAAAUAGUGACAAAGUUAAAACUAAAGGAUACUAAAAUAAAUAUUUGAUAAACUAUAUGUGGGGUAUCUAAAAUUUUUUGUAUAUAAUUUAACGAAAAGUGGGCUGACGAAAAAAGAAAACUAAAACCACGUGAUAUUAAAUUAAUACACUUUAAACUAUACGGUACUAACGUGAGAAAUGGGUAGUAUUUGAAAUUUACCCAAAAAAAUACUCAACAAAUUAUUGGAUGGAGACAAAAGUAAUACGUGCCGGUAGAUUGAAGGUCUAUUGAAAUUUUAUCCAUUUUUAUUAGAAUAAAUUUUAAUUGGGAGCUUCUCAACUACGUCUUAUUGAAAAGCUUUUGAUUCAUUGCUACACGUUAGUUUUGAAUCUAUCUAAAAUUGUCUUAAAAACUCUAAAUAUUUAGAGGCAAAUAUUUAUGGUAAAAUUAGGCUUCGGUUGGAAUUGCGGGGAGAUAGCAUUACGUGCGGUGAGAAAGUACGUAGAAAAAAUAUCCUAUUUACUUUCGUAUGUAAUAUUGCGUUCUGCAUAUCGCGAUGAGUCGGUUACGAUAUAUUUUCUACGGUCCCACCGGAGAACGCAGAAGCAUAUCACUAUAUGCUUUAAUUUUUCCUCAACUCCAUUUCAUCUAAUAGCGUUUGAUAGGCCUCAAUACCAAAUUAAGCCUUAAUUAUUAAUAAAGUCAUUUCUUACAUGUGUUGAUCUUUGGGGGUAAAAGAAAUGAUACAAUGCAUCUAGUCAAAGUUAAGUGGGAAUGAUUAAUUAAAUUUAAUAAUUUUAUUUGUCAAUUUUUAGAUCAGCUUUUAAAACAACUUUAGCAAUAAUAGCACCUAUUGGAAAAAUGUAUGAAUCAUUUUAUAAAUAGGACAUUUUUCCUAUUCUAUUAACCAAAAUAUUAGAUUUUAAUUAUUAUUCAUUUGCUUGGAUUUAACCAAAUGUAACAAAUUUGAUCCACCCACAAUAAAUAUGGGGUAACAUACUAUAUAAGGGUAAGGUUGCAUAUAUUAUUAUUAUUUUUCCAAUUUAUUAGUUUGUGUGUUGGUUUUCCAUUUAAAGUUCUCAAAUAAAGUUCUACAUUCAUGAUUUUUGUUAUUUCUUUUUUUUUUUAUUAACCAAAUUUUUGUCUCUAAAACUUUAAUUUUUUAAAGAUAAACAGUAAUUUAACACGUUAAUCGAAAAAAAGUUCAUGAGUUCAAAUUGCACUGGAUUAUUAAUUUUUAAUAAUUUUUUCCAUUUAAUUCAAAUCCACUAGUUUGUAGAGCCAAUCAAAAAAUUUUCAAGUCUCAAUAUGAGAAAAGUGUUAAAUAUAAAUAUAAAACUAGUAUGAGCUUAACUUUUGAAUAUAAACUAUUAUUUCAUUCUUUCUAUUAUGUACAAAAUAAAAAAAUAAAAAAUAAAUAUUUGAAACUGAGGUUAACAGGGAAGAGAGAGAGAGAGAGAGAGAGAAUACAACAUGCAAAAUAAAAUAUGUCCAUAUGGUUCAUGGCACAAGAAUAUAUAUAUAUAUAUAUAUAUUGGAAGCAAUUUGUUGUUCACAUUAUCUUGUCACAGUUAUCUAUAGAAUUAAAAAAAAAUUAAUAAGAUAUAAAAUUUUUUAAUUAAAGCUUAAUAGCCAUUGGUGAAUUAAAAAGUGGAGCACAACCAUAUAUCUUUGUUAUUUUUUUUCUGUUACUUGUUAAUUAAUUAGCUAGGCAUAAAGUGCCCAAUUGAGUGUGGUCAUGUGAAGCCAUAUUUUGCUUUCUCUCUCAUUAAUUAUCUCAUAGAUUUCAUAAAAUUUUUUUAUUUUUUUUUAAUUUAUCACUUUUAUUGAGCAAGAGAUCUCAAAGAAGAGUCAAGGAAUCAUCAAAGUGGGGUAGAAAAAGCAAAGUUGCUUCCUUAGAAGGAGCAACAACAUAUGGGCAUUGUUUAGAUCAAACCCCACAUGGAUUUUUUUUUUUUCGGUUAAUUGAAUACAGGUCUCUACAAAUAUAGUGAAUUACAGAUAUAUUUUUAUAAAAUUCAACUUUCUUAAGUUAUCUCUACAAAAAUUCUAAUGUUUUCAGAUAUGUCCAUGCCGUUAGAAUUCAUUAGAAAAAUUUAAUUAAUCAUAAUUUAAAUACUUUAUCCGAAUUAAUUUUUGAUAUUUUUAUCCCUCUUAUAUUAUACUAUUAUAACUUUUGGAGGAAUAUAUUUGCAAAGGCAAAAUUGAAAAUAUAAACAGUUUUCUAACGGUUCUCUAACAGUAACAAACAAGAGGGAUGUAUAUAAAAAUAUUAUGACUUUUGCAGAGAAAACUUAUAAAAGUUGAAUUUUACAGGAAUAUAUUUGUAAUUCAUUAUAUUUGUGGGGACCUGUAUACAAUUAAUCUCUUUUUUUUAAUUAUCUUUGAUCAAUUGUUUGAAAAUUAAAUAGGUGUGGCCCAAUAUGCAUAACAUGUCUCCCUAGGCCUCUUGAUUCUUUUUAAAAUGUCUAUUUACCGCAGUUCUCGACAGUUUUAAUAGCAGCUUAAUUUCUUAUUUGAGAGAUUGCAAUCAAGAAUUUUACAAUUGACAUAUCCAGACAAAUUUUUGAAAUUCAAAAAAGUCUGAAGUCAAAUUUUAUUUAUUUAUUUAUUUAAUUAUUUUGCUUUUGAUUUUUAUUAGAAACUAUUAAGAAAAAGUUUAUAACACCUUUUUGAUGCAAUGCAGUAGAAAAAAUAUUGAGUCCGGCUGUGAUACUAUCAAUAGCACCUAACGAUUGAUGCUAUCAACUUUUCCACCGUUAGAUUUAACUCUUUGCCUAUUUUCAUCUGUCAGAUUAUACUAUUCAACCAAUAACUCACUCAACCCUGAGAGACCCACAUCGUUCUAACUGUACAUUUUUUUCAUCUAAAGGUCGAAACCUUAUAGCACCAAUAGUUUAGUACUAUUGAUAGUAUUCCAGCCUAGAUCAAAAAUAUUUUGAAUUAGCGCUUUUGGAGACAAAAGCUUGGUUCUUAACCUGUGCCUCGAGUUUUCCACCUCCGACGGGGAGUCAAACUCGUACUCUCACUCAACCUCUCUCGGUGCCUUCAAAAUCUCAAAAAUUUAGGCGCUUCCUAAAAGCUCAUUUUAACUUAGUACCUCAAUAAAAAUUUUAAAGCUUUUUUUUUUUUUUUGCUAAAUACUAACUACUACUUUUCGAGACGUAGAGAAACUAUUUGAGAACCAAACCAAAUUCAGAGCACCUACGUUGUAACAACACCACUACAAAAGUGUAAGUUGUUCGAAAAAGCACAAGCGAGAUCCAAAGGACCAAAAGACCAAAAUGCCCUCACAAUGUCCAACAUCUCUCUCACACACACAAAAGGGCAGUGUAGGGAGUCUCCAUCACCCUGCAAGGAAACUACAUAAGAGGGGCCACAAGAACACUUUAAUCUCUUAAUAUUUCAUGAUUGCCAUAACAUGUGAUAUGAACCAAAUUCAGAGUACAAUCUCAAAACUUUUUCUCUUUUCAACUAAAAGUAAUCCAACACUUAUUCCAUGCAUAUGUUGAGGCUUGUUUUAUUGUUCUAAAAUUGUUAAAGUAUAAAUGGUUGCAAUGGUAAAAAAAAUAGUAAGAUAUGUAAGAGGAUUUGGAUGGCCUUGUUGUCUAAGGUAUCAGGAGGAAUUUAUUUUAAUUUUGUUAGGAGUUUUGUGUUAAUGGAUCUUAUAACAGUGGGCAAAGGAUUAAUUUGCGGUUAAUUUUGAUGCCUACUGGGCGCUCGGACUAAUCCAAAACUUUAGGAUUAUCGUUUAAUGUCCUGAAUGUCGUGGUAAUAUUCUUAACAAUCUCAUGAAAUUUACUGUGCUCUGUCAACAAAAUCGAAUUGACUAAAACAGCUGAGAAUCGAUCGAAAUCAGAAUGCGACAUGACCACAUAUUAAAAGAGCUGAGAUUAAUUUAAAAGUUCAAAAGCUUCAGCUUAUAAUUCAAAAGAAGAAUUUAUUAUUGUAGCUGGUGCCUUUUUUCUACCGAAUAUAACAAUACUUAAAUUAGUGACACAUCGGUACCUAAGGCCAGAGUCGGCGGUUGCACUUGUCUCUGCGCCGAAUACUACAAGUGAAAAGUCUGCAGUGAAACCUGCCUCACCGCCGACUUCAGUGCUCCAUAAGGAAAUCAAAUUUAUUGGGAUUUGUCCUUUUUUUUUUUUUUUCCUUUCCUUCUAUACCAACAAAAAUAGCAAAAAGAAAACAGAGGUGUUGCUUAUCUUAGAAAUUAUUGUAUUUUUAAACUUAAAAGUAUGUUAGGUCACAAAACAUUUGAUAGAAAAAUAAAAAAAUAAAAAACAUAAUAGUAAUAAGUCACUUUGUUAGCGGAAGUGUCCGCAGAAGCACUAUUUUAAUACCAAAGCUCAAAAAAAAAAAACAACAAGAAUCUUAUUUUAGAAUCCUCCAACAACUUCUUGAUACGACGGAGAUCAGAGAAAUCUAAAUUAGAUCUUUUGCUUUUGAAGUGGUUUAGAUUCUAGUCUUAUAUAGAAACUUCUUUUUCGCUAAACAUCAAACUAUUAUUUUUAGAAAAAAGAAACUAAUUAUAUGAUAAUCACCAAAAACCUAAAAAAAUGAGAUUUUGUUUCCCUCUCAACCUUGAGAUCAUCAAAAGUCAUCAUACUUGCAAUAGGAAACCAUCAGAGAAAGGACAGUGGUGUUAGUAGAACUAGUUUUAUUAAAUCUGGUCACCAUUCACUAUAAUCUGAAUAUAACAAAAAAGGAUGAAUUUAAUUUGUCUUAGUAAAAGUAACUUUAUUAGUAACACUUCUCCUCAAACUAUAGUCUCAUGAACAUUAACCUCCAUUAUCACAGCACAUAAAACUAUGUCAAUUAAGCUUCACAAAAAGUGCUUCUUCACAAAUUUGAUUUUGACAGAAUCUAAGGCCUCCAAUAGUCAUUGUUAAAAGGUCAUGCUUUUGAUAAAAUUUCUUUUUUAGCAACAAACAAAGAUGGAAUAUGAUGAUGAUGCAAGGAGAAGUAGAAGCCAUAUUUUCUUUUUAAUAAAUAAAUCAUCAUAUAAGAAUUAUUGAGCUAGUGCAUAUAUCUUAGGGAUUAUUACAGCUAUUUGAUUCAUUUUGCUCCCCCUACACUCAUUUUUCUCUUUAUUCUAACAACAAAAUGAAGUAAAAGCAGAACAUGCUUGCAAAAAAAAGAGAAUUUAGUUUUACAUCCUAUUUCCAACCCCUCAAAUUUUCUUUUUCUUUUUCUUUUUCUUUUUUUUUUUUUUGUUUUUCCCUCCAACAAAUUUAUUACUUUACAUACCCCAAUCAAUAUAGAUGAAAAAUUACCCCACCAUUUAUCCUCCGAACCUGAAUCUCGCCGAAAUUUCCUCAAUUAUUUGUCGAGAAAGAGAAGUCAUCUUCGGUCAUUCCUUUAGACGAAUACCCUCCCUCUCCGUCGAACGACGAAUUCUCACCAUCGCUCUCCCUUUCUCGCAGCUCUUCGAUCUUGUUAAGCACGACACCCAACUCCCACCUCCUCUCGACAUCGGCCUCGCAACAACCGAGCCCGAUCUGCAAAAGCUUUAGCAUCUCCCCCUCACCAUUCUUAGUCCCCUUCAUCGCAGUAUCAAACACUUCACCGGUCCACUCCUCUCUUACGACGGAGUUAACCCAGCUCGCGAGAUCGGUACCUGCAUUUCCUUGUCUCAAAUAAUUGGCGGGGAACUUGCCAGUUAAUAUCUCAAGUAUGAGAAUGCCGAAGCUCCAUAUAUCGCUCUUUUUAGAUGGUUUUCCAUGUUGGGCGCAUUCGGGAGAUUUGAAAGCCACCAUGACUUGGGAAGCGUGGGAUCGGUUCAUGACCGGCAAAAGGGCGUAGUCGGUUAAAAUGGGCUCGAAGGAAUCGUCGAGAAGGACGUUCGAGGACUUGAGGUGGCCGUGUGGCACAGUUAGCAUUGGGAGUUCCUCGUAGAGGUACGCGAGGCCUCUUGCCACGCCUUUGAUCACUUUAAGCCGCGCCGGCCAAUCGAGCGGUGGGAGGUUCGAGCCGCGAUUGCCUACAGAAUUUUACAUGUUAGUGCCAAUGUAAAACCUAAUUGCAAUGUAUAUUGUAGACAGCAUAAUGAAUACACAAAACUUUCUUUUACUAGCUUCGAUCUCUUGUUCGAGUUUAACCAUGUAACUAAGUUAAAUCAAAUCAUGAAUAAAACAACAACGUUCGAUGAAGUGAGAGGAGUAUUAUACAAUGCAACAGAGCCUAAUAAACUUGUCAACAAAAAAAUAGCAAUGCACGGAUCCGGAUCGACUCUCUCACAUAUUUCAAAAUAAGAAGAACUGAUACCUUUAAAAUAAGUUGAAGUAAAAUCUGACGAGGAGAUUGAGAAGUUAAAAGUUUCAAACUUUUUACUAUUAACACAUGCAAGCAAUUGGCCUAGAUAUAAACCACUAUUUCAUGCAUGAAUAUGCUCAUAAAUUAUCACCAACAUAAAAAAUUAUAGAGAGAGGAAAAGCAUUUCAGGUUGUAGAAACUUACCAUGUAGCAUAUGCGCCAAGCUCCCAUUCGGAAUAUAAUCGGUAAUCAAAAGCUUCUCCUCCUUUCUAUACAAGUAGGCCACUAAAGGUAACAAAUUAGGGUGAGACAAUCUCCCGAGCCUCCUCAUAUGUUCUUGGAAAUCCUCUCUACCAACCCCGUUCAUCUCCCUAAACCUCUUCACGACUACCGACGGGCCAUCGAAUAAGGUGGCCUUGUAGGAAGACCCGAAAUUUCCACUCCCGAGAACUUCAGCUGAAGCCCUAAGCAAAUCCUCAAUCCCAAAGCUCUGGCUCCCCUCCCUGACAAAUGACAACUUUCCAUGAUCUUCCUUAUGGGCCUUCUUCGCGGCACCCCCGCGGUACUCUGCUGCCCCCCGAUCGACCUUGUUGGCCUCUGGGGCGUCGAACUUUUUGGUUUCGGCGGAUUGGAGGUGAACCAAAUUGGCUUCGUCGAGUUGGCGGCGGCGGCGGCUGCUGAGUAUGAACACGAAUAACCCUACAAUUGAUAGUAGUGCCAAGACGCCUAUUACAAUGAUUACCACUAGCAAGGUGGGCGAUAUCUUCUUCUUCGCUGGUGACCGUGGCGAUUGUGAUUGUGUAAUAUCGCAGGACACAUCGAGCGGCCGGCCACAAAGAUUUUUGUUGCCUACAAAGUUAAGAGAGAGAGUUAGAUAUAAAAUUUAAUAAACAAAUCAAUCCAGGCAUUUAGGCUCAAAAUUUCAAGUACUAAUGCCCUAAAGUAUUGGAUUUGAAGUAUUUAAUGGCAUUUAGCUAAACUAUCAGUUCUACCUUUUAUGUAAUUCUCCUAUUCUAUUUUUUUCUUUGUAUUUUUUUUUUUUCUGUGUUCACAUGGUUAAUUUAUUUUUUACCAUCAGAGAUGAGAACAUUUCCUAUUAUUUAUCUUAAAAAUCCACGAUUGAUUCCUUCAUACGGCAAUCACCAAUUAAUUCAUAUUAAAUUUCUCUGAGUGUCCUUAAGAGCUAAAUACUACAACUCAUCUUAAAUGUAUAGAAUAUUCAAGUAAUAUGUUAAUGUUUCGCCAAUGAAUUAACAAAAAUUUCUCUCUUUCACAUGAUUUUUUUUUUUUUUUUGCUUUUCCCUGUAUAAAGAUAUAUUUUCUCUUAAGAAACAAAACUUGGGGCCACCUGAAUUUCACCAGAUACCAAAUAAUCAAUACAUCUCAGUCAAUUAACUGUCGUCAGCGCGCAACUUUCACAUUUAAAAUAUAUUCUGCGAGAUUUUAACUCUUGAUAACAUAUUCCUCAAAGAAACUAAUCAUUUUGCAUAAUUGAUUUUUUUUUUUUUUUUGAGGGGAAGGCAUAAUUGAAUUUAUUUCUAAAUUUCGAGCUGCAGAAUUGAACAGUGGAAAGAAGAAAUAGGGCUUGUAUAUACCUUCAAACAUGCUUGCAUUAAACCUACUGAGGCCCUUCGGAAUCGGCCCCUCCAAUUGAUUGUGGGACAAAUUCACGAAAGUGAGCCCCUUUUGCUCCAAAUCCGGGAUCGCCCCCUCGAAGGCGUUGUCGUCCAGCCCUAGCUCCGAGAGCCCCGCCACGGACGAGGGGAUGGGCCCGGAGAAGGCGUUGUGCGAGAGGUGCACCUUCCUCAGGCUCCGCAUUUUGUCGAACAACUCGUCGGCGAUCGGGCCCGAGAAGCGAUUCCGCGAGAGGUAGAUCAUCUUGAGCGCCCCCAGUUUGGCCAGGUCGGGGAUCGGGCCCGCGAAGCUGUUGUUCUUGAAGCUCAGGGUGCGGAGCGCGGGGAGGUCGACGAGGGGGUCGAGGGUGAGCGCUCCCGAGAGGGACAUGUUCUCGAGCUGGAGCCCCAGGACGCGGCCCCCCUCGUCGCAGAGCACCCCCCUCCACAGGGUUCUGUUGCCGCUGCAAGGGCUCGUGCCCGGGACCCAGUUGGCGAGCGCGGCGGAGGCGCCGGCGCCGGCGCCGGAGAGGGUGGAUUUGAAGGCGAUGAGCGCGUCGGCCUCCGAGACCGCCGCGGCCGCGAGGGACGGGGCGAGGAGGAGGAAGGGGAGGAGGAGCCACGGCGCGGCGGGGACCGCCAUGGCGGGGAGGAGAUGAGAGGAGAGGGGGUUGGGAGAGCUAGGGUUAGGGGAGGUGGGAGGAGGAGGAAGAGGAGGUGGGUUUUGAUGAGGACAUGGCGAAGGGAGAGGGAGAGAGGGAGAGAGAGAGAGCGACGACGACGUGAAGGUCUAAGAAUAGAGUGUGCGUACGUUUCGAGGGAGGAAGGAGAUUGUCCGCAUAUAAAAAUCUUCUGCGGAUGCCACUCCCGAUGCUCGCCACGUGUUCACUGGGCGAGAUGGAGGGUGCGAGAUUGCCCCGCAUAUAGAGUAUUCGCGGGGUUGGGGGGGAGGGAGUUGGCGGAGUCCACUUUGGCGCGUCCACGUCGUAUUUUUCCCGCAAUAUUUGAGCUGUACACAGAGAUAUCUAAGGCCGGCCCACAAAUUAUUAAAAAAAAAAAAAUUCAUACCUUAAAAAAAUAUUUUAGAUAACUUUGUUAUCACCAUACACAGUUUAAUUUAUCGUUCAUCACAUUCCUUCUUUUUAAUGUUUGAAUUUAAUUGUCAUUUUAGUUGCUACAGAAUACGUCUCCAUAUUAUUUAUGAUUCGAUUCUUCAUCAAUAGCUGCAGUUGAAAUUACACGCAGCGGCAAUUCAAUCUCCUCGUACAGGUUUAGUUGUAAUAGUUAGAUUCAAAUGACACAUUUGCUAUAGUAUAUCUCACAAUGAAGAAGAGUUUAUUGCUCAUCACGUACAAUACUCAUAUCUAAAUUAUCUUUCUAAGAACAUGACAUAGCAAAUAUGCAAUGUAAUUUUUUAAGACUCGUUCUCCGCAGGAGGCUACGAGGCCGAGCUUGUUGUAUUUGUUUAGAUUUAGUUUUGCAUGAUGGUUCGGGUAACAAAUUACUAAUUUAUUUAAUAACUAGUUUUGGUUUGUAUAUGGAGCUGGGAUGGUUUGUGGCGUCCACGUCUCCUAUGCUUUGGGCACUACAUUGCACGAGGAGCAUCCGAGGAUGGUAUAAUAAUAAGAUAUAAUUACUACUUAAUUCACAAUAAUAAUAUUAAGCAUGAUGAUGUCGAUAAUGGUAAUGUGUGGAAAUGGUAUUUUAAGUUCAAAAAAGCAACAAUUUGCUUUGGUUAAAUUCCUUCAAAAGCGCCUAACUACGAGAUAAAACUUAUUCCAACUUUUCACUACAGUAAUAACAUAACCCUUUUUUUCUAUAAAUAAGUUGUCGUUCUCAAAAAGCCAAAUCAUUAUCAGGCAUAUUACUAUUCUAAUGAUUAAAACCUGUACCCUAAUAAUAAUACCAAAUGAAAAUGCUGUUAUGUACUUUAGCAACAUUAACACAGAUACAAACUAAGAAAAACAAAUUAGCAAAUACUACAUCAACGUUGUUAUCCAACUUUUUCUUUUAUUCAAUGAAUAAAAGACGUAGGAUGGUGCACCGACAAACGAAAAAAUCAACCACAAAAGAAGAUGCAUUACAGCUUCAACACAGUACAUAAUAAAUUGUAUUUUCUUAAACAUCUUUAGUUUUAUCACAAAGAUAUGCCGAAACCAAAGGAGGCUCUGCAUUUGCAUCAUAAGUAUAAAAAUCACUACACCUAAUCAUCUUUAAAUGGUGGGUUCCUUAUAACAAAGAAUUUAAUCACUUUCUUGAUCGACGGACGAGAUGAGUACAAUCAAUCAAAGAUGAAAGAGCUCAUGAGUGUUCGGACGAACACGGUAUUCUGAAACUCAUGUACCUGAACACAACAAAAUGGAGGUUAGCAUUGCCUGAUAAGUGGUUUCAAUUUGUUUCUGAACUAAAAAAUUGUUACAAAUAGGUUCCCUACCUCUGCAUUCCUUUCCAAUCUUAGUUCUUUGAUUAAAUUUCUCGGCAAAGGCCAUGAAAGGACAGAAAUGUCCAUGUAAUCACCUGCGCAAGUGACUUGUCGAGGUUAGGGACCCAAUUGUAUUAAUUUAGAGUUUAAGAACCAAACUACAGCUGCGGUAAAAGAAUAAAGAGUGCACACGCAAUUUACCUGCAGGGAGCGUAUUUGGAGAAGGUCUAAAGAUGUGCAGGUAAUUUGAGGAGACAAACAUCUUUUAGCAUUGUAACUUAGAUUGCUUAUCAGGAUUAUGAAGAGCUUGUUUAACUAAUGAACUUCUUCGAAAACUUCAAGUGAAAGAGAAAGUUUUACCUAAUUAAUAAUCAGACAGUUUUCUUGCUUGAAUUCUCCAUAGCCAACAUCAACAAGACAAAGGCCCUCGGGGGGAGCAGGAGGAGCCGUAGCGCGUCUACAUGUAGCAUCCAUAAGGUUCAGCAAAGCAUCGUCAUCUGCACCUGCAGCAGCCUCUCUUAUGGCGGUCGCAACCAACACUCUGACCAUCUACAAGGACACCGCAUGAAAAGACCUUAUAAGACUUAACUCAAAUAUUCUGAAGAAUCUGAGCUGAUUAUAGGAUUCGGGGAAUAUCUGGCCAGGCCUCAGCUUCUGAAAGACAUGCUGUUAGAGUAAAACUGUUUGGAGAAGCACUAACAGCUUGUCAUUAAAGUACACCAAACAGGUUACAGUGGAGCAGAAGCUUAAAAUUUCAGCUUUUAAUAUCUUCCAGAUAAAUCAAAGAUACAGAUUAAUCAUAUCAUUAUUUUAUUACCUUGCGUAAGAACCGGUUCCCAACCAAUUCAACACACAUCACUCUCAUGCCACCUCCAUCAUCCUACAAACAGAGAUCUAAUUUAGUAUCAAAGUGGUACUUCCGGUACAUUUUCCGCAUACAAUAAGCCUCUAUGUGCUUCUUCUAUAUAAAUACCAUCCCCUAAAAUAUCCAGGUUGGCCUCUUAUAUAUGCAGAUAAUGAAAAAAAAUUCUCCCUCCCUCCCUCCCGCUCUUGUAUCAAUCAGGAUAUAAGCAUAACCUCAUUGACACAAGGUAGCUUGGUUUCCGCAGCUCGAGAAUGAAACAUAAAGCACUCCGUGGGUGGUCCGCUGCAAAAGGGCCAUAAGAAAUAAAUUAUACUGUUUUGAGUACUGAUAUUGAUAUACUAGUUUCAAAACAUUUUCCAUUAAGACAGAUGAAGGAUCAUAGCCCUUACGUGCUUCUUGAAGCUUGUGUAUCACGUGCAAACAUUUUAUAGGACAAGGACUUCCCUUCAAGCUGCUGAAUAAGUCGGUUAACUUUGCUUACACAGAAGCUUUUGGGUUUCGUGCUGGUGUUAUCCUCAGAAUCGUCUCCAUUCCCAUUCAAUGAAGUAAUGGACUGUUCUUCUUGUUCUAAUCUAUGUCGUCCAUCCAAUUUAUCAUUAAUCGAACAAUCGGCAAUCUUUGAAAACUCCCUUCCAAUACUGUCAAUUUGGGGUUCUUCUUCAUCGAGAGGAAAGAUAUAAAAAUAUCUCCUCCAUUUGGCUACAAAGUUAGGAUGAAAUUCCCGUGAAACCUGCAGAGGCAUCCAACAUAAUUCAAUUGGACAAGUCAAAGAACAGAUAUUACUAACUAAAGGAGGUCAACCUUAACAUGAUGGAAAGAGUUAGCCCAAAUUCAAUUUUCAAAAUUUCACAAAACUAGCGAAAGUGCAUGAGGUGAUCAACGCCUGAAAAUUUAGAAGAAAGAGCAUUAGUCAAGUAAAGCACCACCUUUGAAACAAGUAAAGCUCUGAGCUUUUCUGGAGCAGCUUCGUUUACAGCGUCCAUUAUGUCUCUACUUUCUACAUCCUUUCUCCAUGUAUCUGAAAUCACAAAGUAGGACAUUCGGUUGGACAAGGCCAGAAUCAGGCCUGAGCGGAGCUCAGCCCAUUGACUUCUCUAAAAUGGCUACAUCCAUGACCUAGGCUAUUUAAAUCAGUAAGAAGUUUCUUCUCCAUAUACAUUUACGUGCUCAUUAAGAAGAAAAUGUUGGAAGUGAAAGUGACUAGUAGUGAUUCCCUAGGCUUAGCUCGAUGACAGCUUGCAUAUCCUUGCAACAUAUAGGGCCUAUUUGGAUGUCAGAACAAUUAUUCAAUGAUAACUUGUAGGCGUGGGAUUUCUCCAUCGCAAUUACAAACUAGGAGUUUAAAUUUUAGCUAACGUGAAAUCUAAGAUAUUCCAAUAGUGGGUUCCUGGGGUAAUCUACCAUUUUGUGAGAAAAAUGAUGUAAUAUGUUGUAUAUGCUAGUGUUGCAGACAUAUUUUCAAACUCCUAAUUAACCAAUUAGAACAUGCCUCUUUAGUAAACCAGAAAGACAUGUUGAAUAAGAUGAUCUUGCAUCCAAACAAGCUCUUAGACCACAUGCUUUAUUCCCAAUCCACUCACAUGAUUAAAGAGACCGCCAAGAUAAUUCAUCAUCCCAUAAAAUAGCAUAAUAGUAAUACUAAAUAUUUUUUAAAAAAAGUAGAAUAAGGCAUAGGUGGAAUGGAUAACAAAACACAAAAUGGAAAUAUAAUCACUUUCAACUGACAAAAUGAACAAACUUGCUGAAGAGCAGUCACCCCUUUGUCCGUGCGCCCAGCAACGACCGCACAACCUUCCACUGGCAGAGAUUUUUCCUUAAGUUGUUUAGCUUUCCUCUCAUCAACAAACUUUCCAAGAGAUUUUUCCACCAAUCUUUGCAAACAGAAAGAAGAAAAUCAGAAUUACCUUCAUAUACUAAUCUAAGCCAGUAAUUUAUUUAUUAUCAUACUUAUCUCACCCCUGAACAGUGUUGAGGCCGGGCUGCUUCUGCCACCCAUCAAAAGACCCACCAUGGUACGAAACAACAAUCUUAAACGUUACUCUUUCCCACCUCCCGCCCUUGCCAUUAGAAAUUACCGAUGCUUUCUCGUCACAACCCUGAUUAUUCUCAGUAGAUUCCAGAGACUCCAAGUUCUGUGGAUUAGGGAACAAAAUAAUUUUAAUUAUCAAACUUAAUGACAAAAAAAGUACACUUUAAGUACAAAAUGAUGUAUAAUUGUUUGAAUUAGUAUGUAUAUUAUUACAACAUUCAAACUGCAAAACACCUUAAAGUCGAGAAUAUGCGAGGAACAACAUAUGUCAUGUUAUAUUUUUGGGCUUUUAUUAAAUAUAGGAUAAUAUCUCAGUGGGGAAGCAUACAUGAUAAGUCUAUGAAAAUAUCAAGUGCAAAUCUAAACAUGGAGAUUAAGUUACAGUAGUCAAAUUUAAACCAAUCAUGGCAUUAAUCCAAAUUCUUUCAACAUUACCUACAACCAGAAAGAUGAAGAGCCACUAAAUCCUACAAACGACCAAAUUUAUCAGAAACCCUAAAACUCAAACCUUUUUUUUCUCCUAUUUCUAGUAAAAAUUCCUAAAAACUCAACGAAUACUAGAUUUUUAUGUAGCAAUCUAAGUAAAGCGAGCCCAUUGGAAGGAUUCAAUACUAACCUCAUUCGGAGACAACCUAGAACAAGCAAAAAUUUCUAAAUAUCUCAUCAAAAUCCAAACUUCAAUGCAGAGCGAGUUCAUUAGAAAGGGUUCUUCACACUCACCUCAUUCGGAAACAAGAUCGAGAGCGAAGAAGCCCCUUUUCCUCCGCGCACCAUCCGGGAGUAGAAACCCACCACCUUAUCCCACGGCCUCGCGUACAUGUAUUGGUAACUCUCCCUAUCCAAAUCCCCCAUUAAUCUCACCACAAAAACCCACACAAAGCCUACACACACCCACACACACACAUACACAGAGAGAGAGAGAGAGAGAGAGAGAGAGAGAGAGAGAGAGAGAGAGAACCUCGCGGUCCAACGAGAACGGUGGGAGGCGUCGGUGUGGUUGUAGUGGACGUAGGGUUUCGCGCUCUCCAUCGCGACGCCUCGCGCCGCCAUUCUCUCCGCCGCCGCCGACGCUACUCCUCUCAGCGCCGCCGCCGCCGCCGCCGCCGAUAGGGUUGCGAUCAUCUACCGCGACUCUCUCUCGCUCUCUCUCUCUCUAAAACACUUGCACCGAGAGGGAAGCUAAAUUUUGUGGGGACCAUCCCCAUAAUGAGGGGUUCCAUCCGCCGUCCAUCGUGCUUUGAGAUUCGUUCUUAUUCACAUGAUGGACGAUAGAUGAAAUAGUCUCACUACUGGGACCAUCCCCAUAAAAGCUUUGUCCAUCUUUUAACUCCAAGGCCCAUUACUUGUUGAGCUCGGCCCAAAUAAUACUGCAUCACGUGAAGUAAUAAGGCCCUCUAGUGGUUGGGUUUUUGUAAUCCGAGUCAUAGGGACGUAACACGGCCCAGCCCAGUAGUGGUGCUUUGAUUUGUUUUUUUUUGUUUUUUUUUUUUGAUAAUAGUAUAAGCUAUUUAAAUAUCGUAGUUACCCCAAAUUUAUUUCUAUGAAUAAAUAACAAAAAUUUAAACAAAUAAGAGUUGAAUAGAAAAUUAAUGAAAUGGAAAAGUACAGUGGCCAUGGUCCACGUUACAACCUCUAAUGCUCUGUUUCGACGCAAAGAAAAGAAAGGAAAAGAAAGUAAUUAUUUUUUCUCAUCCUGUUUAGAUUAAGAAAAGACCAUAAUGGAAACCUAGUGAGGAGCACAAAAUCAGGUUCCACCUACGGUUUCUUCAUCCAGCAAACAGAGCAAAUUAAACACAUUUACACCACUUUGAUCACACACACAACUCAUGAGGAGAGAGAGUCUCCGCUGCAACAUUCUAUACAGGACCAAAACAUCACUCAGCUGCUUCAUACUAAUAAUCAAAAGCUGGGAAUGGAAAUACUAAAAACUAGUUAAUGAGCUAAAACACAAUCAUGUUUAGUUCAUAGAUAUGAUUCCGUCGUAUCCGCCAUCCUUAAUCAGGUCGCAGAAUUGAUUCAGAUUGCUAACAAGUCCCCCGAAGGUUUUGAUCAGCUCGUCGGCUUGUCUCCUCACAAACUCGACCUCCGCAGAGUUGGGCCUCGGCAAAUCUGCCCGAGGGCGGUCCGGACUAGGAUUUUCCGUGAGCUCUCUUUUUAAAAUAGAAUGUAUGUGCUGAGCAUUUUCCUGCAGCAUAAUGGCUAGUUCUUGCGCCUUCUCUGGGUUACUCUGAGGCUUGACAUUUGUUUCGUUGUCGGAAUCUAGGAGGAAACAUCAAAAAGCGAGAGCAGCGGUCAAAAGUUUUACAAGAGAAACCAAAUAGAUAAUGCUAAGAGAAAGAUCCAUUAGUGAGAAAAACAUAAUUACGUUUACUUAUUUAAACAUGCAAAGAAAGACUUUCUUAUGAUCUCUCCAUCCAAGAAGAGAUCGGAGAGAAGACAAUACACUUUAUUAUCAAGAGGUUACUGCUCGGUUGCUCAUUAGGACUUGCCGUUAAUAUGGGAUUGAUAACUACUGCCCUUAUUUACACUAACUUAUAACAAGCCACAUGAUUAUUGCGAGUUUCAUUUCAAUUCGGCACUUAAACCACAAGUCCUAAAAGGAAACCACUAUGAACAAUAAAGUUCCGAACAACUAAGUGUUGUAUUCUGAAUUACAUAAUGGUCAAGUUAAACCGAGCUAAAACAAGUACGACUAAAUAUCUUACUACUUUUAAGCACCCUGCAAGAUCAACAACAGCAAGUUGUACACCCCAUACAUUCAUACAUGAUAUUAGAUUGCGAUGAUCCUGUUUGCAGGCAUAGGGUAAAUAAUCUCACUUCCGCUAUUUUUGUCAUGACCUCUUCAGUUUUCUUAAAAUAAGCUAUCGACUUUUUGCGUAAGCUCUUUUAUUCAACUUGCUGGUAGGAUUGUUCGUUUUUCUUCUACUUUUCUUUUUCAAUAUAUGAACGACCUGUCAAACGGAUCAGAGAGGGUAAAAAGCUCGAUCUAAAUAUAGAGAUAGAAACGGUUCGACGAUAGCAAGAAUUUUCCAAAACAUUUGGACAACACAUGAUCGCGCGCAUGCCCACCAUUCGCCCUCCUACAUACAAAGAAAUGUAUCAUUAGCAAAUGGAAUGAUCGCGUGCUGCGUGUAUGUAUGUGUGCAUGUGCGCAUGCACGCAACAUGCAACCGUAUUCCGCGUAUACAAAUGACGCACGUGGCAAUGCAAAUAUAUAUACAUAUAUAUAUACUUGCAGUUACUAUGUCUACACAGGUAUAACACAAAAGCAUCCAUCAUACUACCUAGAUAGCUGAGAUGGAUAUGAUUGGAUUCUCUACAUAUCCAAAUCUAAAAAUUUCCAAUCAUAGAAGUGAGCUGUGAACUAAUUAACAAUGCGGAAACCUAGUUACAGCACCAUGAAUCUAACAUCAUGCAACAUCAAACAAUUGAAUUCAAAGUGAAACAGCAAUCAUACCCAAAUCCUCAUCGGCAUCGGUGCCAGCGUCGGCCAUUUCCGCAUCCACCGCAUCGGCCGCAGCCACCGGAGCCUCCGAUCCCCCGGCGUUGCCAAUGAGCUCCUCCGAAUCGCUGUUCCCCGGCCCCGGAUGCGCCUCAUCGACCUUAAUAACGGCGUCCAUCGAAUCGAACACCUCACGAUCGAACGAAACCGGUAAUCCUAGCCCCUUCCUCCUCCCACCAUCCAACCCCCAAUAAGAACCCACCCCAUUCCUACACUCCCACCGCCGAAUCCUCCGAUACUCCAGGAGGAUCGACUCCCACCGCCUCUUGCACUGAUUCGAAGCCCUAACGACGCCGGAUUCGGCGCAGCUGUCGGAGACGAUCUUCCAUUUCUGGUAGGAGGAGAGGGAUUUGGACCACGCCUCGUCCAACGCGGCGACCUCGUUGACGAGGGCUAGGGUUUCGUGGGUGGUCCAGUUGGGGGCGGCUUGGGAGCGGGUGCAACGGGAGCUGCUCCCCCCAGGUCCAUGGGAGGGGGACGCUAGGGUUUCCCCCUUCGUCUUCGUCGUCGUCGUCGUCUUCUUCUUCGUGGUGGCUUCUAGGGCUUGGACUACGCAUAAUGGGUCGCUUUGUUGUUGGUGUUGCUGCAUAGCUUUGCUAAGCGAAGAAGAAGAAGAAGAAGAAAUUUAAAAAAUUAAUAAAUUAAUUACUGCAUUUUUCUCUAGAUAAUGAUUGGAAAAAAAAAAAAAGAUUUUUUCUUUAAAAAAAAAGAGAAUAAUAAGGGGCUUAACCUGUUGAGAAUGACUUGAUGAAUCUUUCUACUUCUUGUAGCUCUAUGAUUUUUUUUUUUUUCUUUUUUCUCUCCUUGUAUCUCUAUGAGCUUUUUUUUCUUCUUUUUCUUUUUGUGGGGUUCUUUUUUUUUAUUAUUAUUGUAGUGUUUGGUGUGGUGAAAAAAAUGGUUAGGAGCUGGAGAGUGAUGUGACUACACGUGUAGUCGCAGUGGUGGUGGUUCACGAGAAAUUGUGGAACUUCUUGGUUACUUUCGUUUCAAGUUGUAUGGUAAGUGCAUCUGCACACAAACCUAAAAAUUUGAUUUGAUCUGGUGCAGUUGUAUCUUUAUUUUUUUUUUUUUUUUAGAGAUAGGUAGUGCGAAACCGAUUUCGUUUAUUUUAUUUAAAAAUAAAUUUAGUUAAAAAUAUGAAUCAACUAUAAUUUAAAUUUAGAAUCUCGGAUACUAAUUAUUAAAUUCUUUACUACUUGCUUUAGGGACGGUCGGUAGUUGUAUCUGUAUAUAUCACAGUUGGAUUUGCAGUGAUAACUGUGAGUUCAACUGUUGAAGAUGCAGCAGCACUUAUUAGAGAAAAUAAUUUACUUUUUUUUUUUGUUUGUUGGAAACUUGGAAUGUAUGUAUGAGUAGCAUUUUUUAUAGUAACAUUAAGCCUCUGUAGCAGGCACAAAUCAAGCAAUUGCAUACUUUUCCAUUAAUUGAACUCAAGAGCAACUAGUAGAUUCCCUCAAGCUACAAUUGAUCAAACACUAAAAAAAGCCAUCUAAGGCAUAACACUCACAGAAGUUCAAACUAAAGUUGCAUUUAGCAUCUCCAUUAGCAUCCUUUCCAACUCUUCCAGAACUCAUGUAUCAGUACUUUGUAUCAGUACGUUAUACUAGCACCAGCGUCGUCGUUGCCACCGCAACUACUGCCACAACUAAAACUACCAUAGCAGUAUUAACAUAGAUCGCAAUCGCAGCCGCCAAUACCACCACCCACAAGCACCACCAAGUUCUAUUUCUAUCACCAUAAAUCAUGCCUAAUUAAAUCAUAUAAGAACUAUAGCAUUAACUGCAUUAUGAUUCUGUUGUUAACAAAUUGGAAUUUUCACAAGAAUGGAUAGGUACACUCUGAUCAGUGAUCACUCUUUGAUGUACAACAAUUAUUAAGAGGCAUAGAAUUACAAUAUGGUCCUCACAAACAGAGGAACAUGAUCUGGUAUGUCAAAGGCAGUAGUAGCUAAUAGCAAGUUGGUGGUGCGAAGGCAUUAUUUGACCAUGAAGGAGCUUUUACAGCUGCAUCCCCCAACAGCACUUGGGUUCGUCACCACCUGCGCAAUUAAAUCCACUGUUAUUAUAAGCUAUAGUUACUUUGACGAAGCGAGAGAAAAGAGUUUGACGAAUGUUUUACAGAAGAAACUUUCGAACGAUCGUACUUUAAUGGCGUCGACAAGGGAAGUAAAAGCAUAUUAUCAGGCAACAAAGAACAAGACUAAUAUAGCAAGUUUUAUUAAGUCAGCAGACGGGAAGUUGCAAGAGGCUGGCGAUCCUCAAAGAAAAAAGUAGAUCAAAUUUACACUAACUUUAUACUGUAAAAUCCCGUUUUGCAGAAUUGCAUCAUGCUUCAGCUAAUGGAUAUGCUGCGAGUUGAGGAUAACGUUUACUCUCCACUACUACCGUUCUGUUUGUCGCUUGUAAUAAUAUGAUUGUCAAGCAGUCGAUAUUUUCAUAAUCUUUUCUUAAAGCUCAUUGGACACCUCUUAAUAGAGCUCGUGCAAAAGCCAGUAAAUUCAAAGGAUAAAUACAUAUAUCUUUUUCCCCCUCUCAUGAAUAUCUGAAUGCCUCAGGCUCACAUAGUUUAGAAACAUAUUUGCUAAUAUGAGUAGUACUAAGAAAUAAAAGGAGCCAUAAUAGCCAAGAAAAGGGCUACAGAGUCCAACUCCACUGGCUUUUCAUUUACACAAAAUUUCAUCGCAAUUCAGCAAAACUCUCUCUUUUUUGUUCUGGACUUGCAGGUUUUUUUUAUUGAUACUUCACUUAUCAAAUAUGUAUCCUGCUAGGUACUAGCAGUAUAAUUAUGUUCCCCGCAACAAUCAGAACCAUGUAACAGUAAUUCUCUUGUAGGUUGAAAAGUUACUUCUCUCAAAGUUGUGUUAGAAACACAAACUUUUGGCUUCUAUGCUAAACUAGAUUCCGGAGUUUUCCGAUUCAAGUAGACCUAUGGCGUGCAUUAACUGUAUGAAGGUAUUUCGCUAAGAAUCAAUCCAACAUCAUCGAAGAGUCCACCGCAAUAAGAUUUUAUAUCACCACGAUACAUAGAAAAAAAAGGGGCCAUCUUAACCAGUUCUACAUCCCUUUCCUUAAGAUAUAUGGUGUUCCCUUAAGAUAUAUGGUGUUCUCUUUAAUACAGUUCUUAUCUGACAAAGCAACGACCACAACAUCAUGCUAGCGACAGGUAAUAGCUUUACAUUAACAUGCCAAAAUAGUGUUCCUUUAGCGUAAACAAGUUCUAGGCUCAUAUUAAGAGUGGAAUACAAUGAACUCACCAGGAAAGCAGACCGGAUCAACUCUUCAACAUAAUCUACAGUGGCACCUUUAACGAAAUCGUAGGAGAUGUUGUCGACAACUAGCUUGACACCGUCCUUCUCAAAAACCCUGCAAGUUUCAAAAAACGAAUAAGAGCCAAAAUAAUGACAAGAGAAGGGAGAAUAAAUCAUAUUUGCGGAGAUAGAAACCGACCUAUCAUCUUCAUUUUUCUUCUCAUCUAGCAAAAAGACAUAUUGAAAUCCGGAACAACCACCGGUUUCUACACUUAAUCGAAGCAUCUUCCCGUCAACGUAUGAAUCUUUAGAACACAACUCCUUCAGUCUCUACAAAUGAAGAAUAAACCACAUACCCAAAAAUUGUUACAGGUAGCGCCAAAUUAAUGUGUAUUACGAUGAAGAAUCCUUUAAGUGUGUGGUAGAGGAAGGAAAAAGUACUCAAAAGAAUCAGCUGUUUGAAUUAAAAAAAAAAAGUUAGCUUUUGUGGUAUCACCAUUGAAUCUAAAUCUACAAUUUAAUCUUUAAAAAUAACUUAAAUAAAACAAAAUCAAAAGUUACAGGGUGCCAAUCGAAGAUCGAUAAUUUAGAGGCUCAUUUCGAAUUGUUGUUUUAAUAAAUCUACCAAAUUAAACACUAAAAAGAGCAAAUAAAGAUGAUGACUUUUGAAUCGGAUGCAAUUCAUGAACUCCAUCAGAUGAUUCAAAUUACUCCUCCGUUCUUCUAUGGUUUUUUUCAAUUACAUAGAAUUUGAAUCAGGAACCUAAAGUGCUUCCAUAUAUGCAUUAACAAAUUUCCAAAAAUUAAAUAACAAAAAUUAGAGCUUUCCACUAUGUUUCCCACCCCUUCCCCUGAAUAGAAUCGCGAGUAAACAGGAUCUCAACACAAAAGCACACAUUAAAAACCGAAAAUGAGCAUCAAAAAGUGAGGUUUCGGUGGCUACCGUGCAUGAAACGAAAUCGAAAGAGGAAAAUUAGCAACUUUUAAUGAAAAAUUAAUCAAAUGAGGGGAGGAAAAGUUGCGGCGAAAGGAUCGGCGAGGGAAGAAGCUUACGCGGACGCAAUUCUCCGUCAUGUGCACGGCUUCGGCUUCAGCGGCGGCGCCGCGGCUGAGGAGGAGGUGAGGAGCCUAUGGUUAAGCUCUAUGCGGCGGCGGAGGAGCGGCGCCACGCGACCGAGGAGGGAUCUCGGCGUCGCCAUGGCUCUCGCUCUCGCGCGUGUUGAGGGAGUUUGAGGAGGAGGAAGAAGAAGAGGAGGGGGAACACAAGAGUUUUCGCGAGAGGUCGAAUGUCGAUCGAGCUUUUAUCGGGUCGGAGUGAAAUUAAUAAACUUUGAUCCGUUAAGGAUUCGGGUCGUGCGGAAGCUCCGAUUGGCAUUAGUUGGAUCCGAACACAAAAUUAUAAAACUAUGAAACUGUGAAACCAAAAAAAAAAAAAAAAGUUUUCUGUAGCCAAGAUUUAUUUAUUUACUUUAUCAAAUUUUUAAUACUAAAAACUCUUAAAAAUUUUAUAAAUUUUUGGAUUAUGAGUUGCAUUAACUUUGAAAUGACAUGGAAAAUUUUUAGUUUAAAUUUUUUUUCUUAUAAAUCUCGUGGGUGUUCUUAUCAUUUUCUUAAUUAACAAAAAAAGCUAAUCCAACCUGAAGAAUCAAAAUAAAAACAUACAUUUAAUUUAAAAAUUUUACUUGAUAAAUCAAAUUAAGUGAACUAUACCAAAUCAUCUUUAACAAUCCCUGUGUUCUGAGAAACGAAAUCGAAAUCAAAAUCAAAACAAAAUUUUCGGUGUAAUUUGUUUCCACUUUUCAAAUUGUUUGAGUAAAUUUUAAUUUUAAAAUUAAUUUAAAGAUCUGUUUUGAGCAUUGCGAUUUUUUUAAAAAAAAAAAACAAAUAAAAAGGGUCGCGAUCAGCGUGCGCUGUUUUUGUCGUUUGCUCUCCGAUUUCAAAUUGAAUCUCGGGGUUUAUCCUGCGGGAACGGGCGCAUGCGGUCGCGUCCGAUCCACCGUACAUCAAACCAAAUUCAAUCUACACCGUCGCGAACGCGUCAUCUCACGUGACAUAUAUUAUUUAGGUGGUUUUGGUUCACCACGUCAACAGUGAACCACCCAAGCGGAGCUACUCUUUUGCUUCUAACUCUUCCAACGAAACAAACAGAGAUGGACGGUUUACGGAUGACGUAGUGAACCGGUCUAGGAUGAUUUAUCUCUGAUCACACGUGGCGUACAUCUAACGGUCCUUUAGUGGACACCAAAUUUAAAUCCAACCGUCCGUGCUUUCCCUGUUUCGGAAUUUCGAAUCCUCUUCACAAAAGCGCGAAAGGAACCACAUCCCAAUACUCUCUCUCUCUCUCUCUCUCUCUCUCUCUCUGUCUACCUCGAUCUCGCUGAAGCAGAAGCAAAUACGAGCUCGUUUAGAGAAAAGCGCUUCUCUCCUCCUCCUCUCUCUCUCUCUCUCUCUCUCUCUUUCUUUCUCUCUCUCUCUCUCUCUCUAGUAUCGGGCUCCGAGCUUUUGCUUUCUUAGUACAAAUUCGAAUUCAAAGUGUCCAAAGAUCUCACCUUUUUCUUUCCCCAUUCCUUUUCUCUCGUAGAGGUGGAGGUGGAGGUGGAGGUGGAGGUGAUCUCUCUCUUUCUCUCUAGUUAAUCAGAUUCCAUUCUUAUUAUGAUUUUGCCUGUUUUCAGCACGCAAUCGACGGUAGGGUAUUGCUAUUUGGGGUUAGAUUGAUGCAUCGAUCGCGUUUUCCUUUGUUUUUUAUACUCGCCCUAGUUUUCAAUUCAUGUGAUUUGGUUACUUUUUCACUGAUUUAGUGUGUAUUUAUUUGUUAUCUGCAUCGGAGCAAUAACAAUUUAUUAUGAUUUUGCCUGUUUUCAGCACGCAAUCGACGGUAGGGUAUUGCUAUUUGGGGUUAGAUUGAUUCAUCUAUCACGUUUUCCUUUGUUUUCACACUCGCCCUGGUUUUCAAUUCAUGUGAUUUGGUUACUUUUUCACUGAUUUAGUGUGUAUUUAUUUGUAAUCUGCAUCAGAGCAACAACAAUUUAUUAUGAUUUUGCCUGUUUUCAGCACGCAAUCGAUGGUAGGGUAUUGUUAUUUGGGGUUAGAUUCAUGCAUCGAUCGCGUUUUCCUUUGUUUUCAUACUCGCCCUAGUUUUCAAUUCAUGUGAUUUGGUUACUUUUUCACUGAUUUAGUGUGUAUUUAUUUGUGAUCUGCAUCAGAGCUACAAUGGAUGGGUGGAUUCUGAGCAAUUUGAUGUACAUGGUUUACUAUCCAUUUUUCUGGAGAGAGAAGUAUAAAUUAACACUCAUGUAGUGGAUUCUGAGAGCAAAGUGCUCCUUUGAGCUCCAUUUAGGGUUUGAAGCUUGAGAUUUUGUAACUGGAUCGAUGAAUCUUUCCUUUUAGUAUAAAAAAAUCCAAUUUUGCUUGGAGUGGGGUUAGCAAUGAAGCCCAAUAUGAUGAAUCUGAAGGGCAAAUCCGGUGGAAGGAUGGUUACGACACAGCAGGUGAUCUUCGAAAUGAAGCACAAGUUGGUCCUUUCGCUUAAUAAGCUUGCGGAUAGAGACACCCACCAAAUCGGAGUGGAGGAGCUUCAAAAGGCCGCCGAGGGUUUAUCGCCUGAAUUGAUCGGCCCCUUCGUUUCUUGCAUUACCGAUACAGAUUCGGAGCAAAAGAGCGCGGUUAGGAAGGAGUGUGUGAAGGUUAUGGGAACCCUAGCAAGGUUUCAUGGGAGCCUUUUGGCUCCUCACCUGCCGAAAAUGGUGGCGAGUGUAGUUAAGCGUUUGAAGGAUUCAGAUUCAGUUGUUAGGGAUGCUUGUGUGGAAACUUGCGGUGUUUUAGCUAUGAGCAUAAGAAACUAUAAUGGUGCUAAUGGUGAAGGCGGUAGUGGAGGGUUCAUUAUAUUGGUUAGGCCGCUUUUCGAAGCUUUGGGUGAGCAGAAUAGAUAUGUACAGGCCGGUUCGGCUCUGUGUUUGGCUAAAGUUAUUGAUGAGAGCGGCGAUCUCUCUUUGUCGAUUUUGCCUCAAAUGCUGGCUCGUGUUGUUAAGUUGCUAAAGAAUCCGCACUUCAUGGCAAAACCAGCGAUAAUUGAAUUGAUCAGAAGCAUUAUUCAGGUAAUUACUUACUUGUUGCCCUUGUGGUGAAAAAUGGUUUCCCUUUUUGCUUCGCAUUUAUGACCAAACUGUUGAAGUAGAUUGUUCUUUUUCUUUUUCUUUUUCUUUUUGUUCAUGUGUUGAGUAAUCUCUGAGACUUUACUGACAUGUAUAUACAACAAAUGCACUUGUAUCCAUAUAUCUGUAGUGAAUGUAUAUCAAUAUCUGCCAACAGAAGUCGAAAGUUAGAAGCGCAACAUUCAUCGCUAGGAGUAAAAAGCAACAUUCAUCGCUAGGAGUAAAAUGCACUUGUAUUCAUCGCUAGUUUCAGCAGAACCACAUCUUUAUUUCUCUGCAUCCAUUUUUCUGAUUACUAUUCUUGGAACUCUUUACGUCGACAUAAAAUGGUUUCUUUUUAUAAGGGAUAACAGCUAAAGUAGAACUGGGAUUUCUCUUUAUUCUGGUGCAUUACGUGUUAAUCUAUAUGAAGACUGCACUAAUUAAUGCACGGCAUUUAGAAAUCGCUUUACUAGGUUUUGUUUUCAAGAUGUAAUACACAGUAAAAACUAGCUUGCUACUCUCUUUUUCCAUUGAGACUUCUUUUCUAUGAUUUUUGUAAUUCUUCUUUCUCCUUUUCAUGAUACUGCAUCUUAAAUUUUCAGGCUGGAGGUGCUUCUUCUCAGCAAGCUUUAUCUACUGCUAUAAACAGCAUUACAGAAGCCCUUAAAAGUAACGACUGGACAACACGAAAAGCUGCUUCUGUGGCUUUGGCAAGUAUAGCCAUCGGUGCUGGAUAUUUGUUGGGUUCUUUUAAAGCUUCUUGCCUUCGCUCCCUCGAAUGUUGUCGGUUCGACAAGGUCAGUUUGAACUAAUAAUUCGAUUGCAUUUCACUUUUUUUUUUCUUUUUCUUUUCAAUUGAUUUGAUGGCUUCUACUUUAUAGGUCAAACCAGUGCGUGAUGCAAUCUUGCAUGCCGUUCAGUGUUGGAAAGCUCUUCCAGGGCCUGGUUCUCCCGAACCUUCUGAAGUUGGAUCUUCAACAAAGGGUUUAACAAGCACACUACAUUUUUAGCAUCUUUUUUUAUUACUAGAACCACUUAAAGUCCUUCCUUUAUGAACAAGUGUUACUUUGUCCGCGCUGUUCCGUUGCAGCAAAUUUAGGUCAUUUUGAUGAUUCCUAAUAAUAUGCUCCUUAUGUGCCUAGGGUGAAUAUUUAUGUUGCACUUUGUGGUUAUUGUUAUGUCAAAAUUGGGAUAUAACACUAUUUUGGUCGAAGCAGGCAUUACAUGGGUAAUGAAUUCUCUCAAAAACACAGUAAAGAACGCCAGUUAGUUAUAUAUAAAAACAUAGCAUGAUCCCCAUAACACAAUUUAGAUGAAUUAAACCAAAUGUGACACAUUUAACCUACUAAAUCAUCAUUGCAAUGGAAUUUUUGGAUUGACAAUACAACCGGAGACUUGAUAUGAUGCCUGUUGUGUUAUGAUAUAUCUGUACUAUUUUGACAAGAACCACUUAAGAUAAACGAAAAGUAACUUCAUAUUGGGUACGAGUCAUGUUCGCAUGUCAUGUUUACAAGUUCCAUCCCUGAUGUGCUUGCUUGUGCAACAAUUUUUUUGUAUGUUGUUAACUGGUCGUCCGUGUAAACCUACGUGACAAUUAUAUAGGAUUUGUUUAGGCCUUUGUUAUAUCAUUUUCUUUUUAGGCUAACAAUCUCUUGACUAUAACUAAACUAGAGAUGCUUGUACCUAUGAAGAUAUCCAUCUUUAAUGUUUUUUCGGAUUUCUUUUUAUGUAUACUAGAUAUCACUUGUGUUCCCUUCUUAAUGCAGGUUUACUUACUUAUUUAUCACUUCUUUGUUGUAGUGUUUAGGUGCAUAUAUUUAUUUUGCCUUUAAUUCUUCUUAUUUUAGAAAAUUUUGGCGGAGAUUACCAUGAUGUCACUAGCGUUAGUGAUGGUGGAUGGAGAGAUUCCUCUUUUCGGAAGGCCACCCCUGUUUCUGUUCUAAGUGGUAAUUCUAUUACUUCGAUGAAGAAAAGAGCUCCAUUAUCCAUGAAGAGAACAACAUUAAACAGCGUGUCUAAUCACCAAGAAGGAAAAGCAAACGAUUGGCACAUUGAGAUAUCACUCCCAAAGAGUCAUAAUCCAAAGGAUGCUGAAAGAAGGGAAGCAAACGCAAUUUUAGAACAAGGAAUAAAAUAUGAAUAUGAUGCUGCAGAUUAUAAGCCAGAGAGCUCCUCAGUUUCGGAUUUAGCUAGCAGGAGCUAUGAGACAAAGCACAUAACAGUUACACAGGAGUGCAUUGAGGAUUGUGAUUCAGAAAACUUAAUAGGGAUAAAUGACAAGUUUGCCCGUCAGGAGAUUGAACCCGGAAGUUUUACAAGUCGGGAGCGGAAGAGUUUGGACUCAACUGUUACUGAUUUGGGUUCGCAAGGUAUGCAUGGUUGUUGUCUUCAUGCGGCAAAUGAACUGACCUUCAUCAAAAAGCAACUUGUCGAGAUCGAAACCAAGCAAGCAAACUUGCUUGAUCUCUUACAGGUACUCAAAUAAUUUUGCUGUCUAUUGCAAAUCUUUACUCAGACUUGAAAAUUGUCUGCUUGUAUUUGAUAAGGUAACUAAGGAUGAUGUUGGCUGUUUCGAUUGUUUAGUUCCUAUUAGAGGAUUUUAUAUUGCAUAUUAUGGAUUGGUCGCUUGCAUAUUUUAGUUGCAGUGCGGUUGUUGGCUUCUUUCUGCAGAUAAUUAUGACUAUUCUCCUUUUGUUUUAUCAUGUUCUCCAAGUAUCCUCUUUCAAGAAAAUAAUAGAGACAUUAAGUAGUGUCGAUGCAUGUACAAAAUUGCUUACGAGUUGCUGGUAUUAUCUGUUUUACUUUUUUGCCAUGAUAUGUUUGUUGAAUUUUCGCCUAUCAUUAUGGUGGUAAACUGGUAUGAACAUUUCCUCUCUUCAACAUGAGCCUUAAAAAACUGUAAAGCCAUUUCAUACUUCUCUCUCUCUCUCUCUCUCUCUCUCUCUCUCUCUCUUUGUGAUUAAAAUUGCAUUCACAUUCUUUCAGGUGUUUAUGGGUAACUCAAUGGAUAACCUUUCGACGCUACAAUCGAAGGUACAUAACCUGGAGCAUGCUGUACAAAAGAUAGUACACUGUGUUACUCCAAAUGAAAGUUGUUCGACCAUCGCCAUCUCAAAACUUUUGAAGAGCCAAUGUGCUUCUCCAUCCCCUAGACUCUCUAUUUCCACACCUAGGCCAUCCGUGGAAGUCAACUACAAACCGCCGCUUCUAUCUACAAAUAAUGGAGACCUAUGCAGGGAUAAUGCUUCUCCUAAAAGCAGAACAGCUACCUCAGUCAAAGUGGGAGUUGACCUAUGGAGGGAUCCUACUCUCAAUAUAGCUAAGAAUUCAAUAGACGGACGUCAAGGACGUCAGCGGAAAAUCCAUGAAAGGACUUACUGUUCAGCUAGUAAUGAAAGCCCUAGACAAAUGAAACUGGAAUCAAUGACAGGCAUUUGGAAGCAGAUUAAGGAGCUCCUUAGCACUGGGGAUGUGGAAUCUGCAUACACGGAGGCGAUUCAUUCUGGCGCUGAUCAUUGUGUUAUUGAGCUAAUGGAUAGAACUGGGCCUGUUCUUGAAAGAUUGACUCCUGAAACAACCAAUGAAGUUCUGAGGGUUCUUGCUACACAUUUUCUGGAUCAAAGGCUUCUUGAUUCUAGAUUACAUUGGUUGCAACAAGUGAGUUAAACAAUCUUCCAUUACCGCACAAAUAUAUAGAUAAUUUUCCAUACACACCCCUCAGAAGUGCAUUUUUUAUUUAGUGCCCUUAUCUUAAGUUAGGGAGCCACCCCAUUCAGGGGCAAGUUUGUUUCGUGAAAGAAAAAAGUGUUUUUCCAAAGAUAGACAUUUUGUACGUACAAAGCUAUAUAUUAAGUGAUAAAGUUUUGUAAGUUUACUUAUGAAAGGCGUAUAUAUUAUAGAUUUGUAAUCUUAAUCACCAAAUAUAAUCUGUUCAUUGUUGAGUUCUAGGUGGUGGACUUAUGCUCCAAUCAUGAACCAAGACAUAUUUUUCUGUCGCCAAGAGCACAAAUGGAGUUCCUGUCAGCAAUACAUGAAGUGACGACGAAGGGAUUCGUUGAUCCAGUCGACAGAAUUUUGAUCAAGCAGAUCACAACAAAGUUGAGCCAACUUUGCGGUGAUGUCUCGGGCAGGUUUGUUCAGCAACUAUGAGACUUAAAUUUUGUCAUCAUAAUCAUGGUUGAGAGCUCUUAGCGUCGUACCGCAUAUCAUGAUAAUUUAACCUGCUUUUGAAAAUAUCCGUAAAUAGUCCAAGUAAGAGGGGGAUUGUUAGUCACGGAUUAACCAAUAUAAUCCAAAUAUAUUAUUUGCAUUUUCUUGUCACAUAUUUGUGGUUGGCUCAUUCUUCAGCAAAUUAUCUUCCAGUGAUACUUACCUUAAGUCCUUCAAAUUUCGAACGUUCUUCGCCCUUCUAUAUAUAGUUUGUAUAGUAUCAUUUUAUACAAUUUCUUACACAAGCUCUCUUAUAGGAAACCUCUCCGGAAUAGAGGACCAGCUGGAACAAAAAUAUCAUUAAGCACAGCCAUGAGAUAACUCUGCUGCAGAAAAGUUGAAAAAUGAUAUCCUAUUUCUGCAUCUUUAAUAUCAUGCAAGGACUCCUUUUUUCCUUUUUGUUUCACCUUUUUCGGUGGUUGUAUGAAUGAUGAUUCUCAUUUUUAUCAAUCUUCUUAAUGCUUGUUUAGUUUGAGAAGAAGUUUUGCUAAAUGGCGAUGAUGAUUCACCAUCAUAGAUCGCGAGUUGGACUUGCAAAUUCAUUUGCGCGAAUCGCUGUUUAGGUGCUGCUCUGAAAGUAGAGCAAAAAUGUUCCAAGAAAAAUAUAUAGAUUCUGCAUAGGCUUGAAAAACCAAGGAAAACUGUUUUCUGAAAAAAAAAAAAGAAAAAGAAAAAGAAAAAGAAAGAAGUUUUCAUGGAAACACUUUUUUUCUGCAGUUUUUAUUCUUUUCGAAUAAAAAAUAAAAUUACUAUUUUUUUAUAAAUCUGAAAAAAGAUUUAAAAAAAAAAACUUUAGGAAACAAACAGAGGAAAUAUUUUUUUCCAGCGAGAAAACUAUUUUUCGAGAUAUUUUUUGAAAAGCGAAAGAUUUUGCAAAUCUUUUUUUACAAAAUCUAUGGUGAUUAAUGCGACUAUGAAAUGAAUAAAUAGGGUUACAGCCUCAACAUUCUUGCAAGUCGGUUUUUUUAACACAACAAAAGGGAGCACAUCAUGGAGUUUUUGGGCUUGGCCUACAAAAUCUUUUAAAGAUAAAAAUAGGUAUUCAAAAUUUGUAUUUGUAAAAAUAGAUCGAUAAAAAUAGUGAAUCGUUCAUCGCAUUCUAAAAGCAUUGAAUCAUUCACCAUUUUUAUUCUAAUUUAUAUAUUUUCUAUGUCCAAACUUCAAAAAAAGUAUAGUAUUAAAACACUAAAAAUAGUUUUAAUUCUUUAGAGUAAGCGGCAAAUAAUUUACCAUAUUUAAAAAGCAAUAAUUUAUUCACUAUAUAAACCUAGCUUUGUAAAUAAAUUUUUUAGUGGACUAUUUUUAUAAUAAAAAAAUUCGCACAUCAUGCUUACAAAAUUGAUCUUUAGUGUAUCUCCCAACUGCAUAUCUUUUCCAUAUGACCCCCCCCCCCCCCCNCUAUGUCCAAACUUCAAAAAAAGUAUAGUAUUAAAACACUAAAAAUAGUUUUAAUUCUUUAGAGUAAGCGGCAAAUAAUUUACCAUAUUUAAAAAAAAAAAACCCAAAAAGCAUUUACUGGAACAAAAAAGUUUUCCGGAGUUUGAAACUUUAAAGCUGAAAAGGUAGGAGCUUAGACUCAUCCUGAUUAAACUUUUCUCCAUAAAAUUAUCGCAUUAUAAUAUAACAAAAAUUCAAAAAAUAAAGUGAAGAGCUGUAUUACUAGUAUCUAUUCUUCUUAAUUCUUCGAAAAAAAAUGUGGUGUUACUACUUUGGCAAAUCGAUAUCUCAUGAAAAUUUCGACUAUUUGAGCAAUGAAAAUUGGGCAUUUUUAAAUGCUUCAAGGAUACAAUUUGAUUUGGUAUGAGAAAUGACCGGGGCAAUAAAUAAUCUAAGAAAUUCUGAUUAGGCGUACCCUUGAUGGUGUAUGGAAGUUAGCAGGUGAAAGCAUUAUUUUUCUGUUUCAGUAAUACGAAUCGGAGUCGUCACUGCGACGAGAGGCGCUCAGAUCUCCACCCAGUCUCUUGUUGAUACUUGUGUGCUGCACACACCGGACCAGCGCUUGCACCACUUCGGACAUCGGUGGACGGAACUCGGGCUCCGACUGCAUUAAAAGCAUUAAAAGAACAUUAGAGAAUUCAUGAGAAACUCUGAAAACUGUUUGGUGAAUGCAAACAUUGGUGCAAUCCAGACAAAAAUCAUGGAGAAUGCAUUGCAUGCCUACAAGAAAGCCAGUGAAUUUUGAUUCAACCAAAAAGGCUGGCAACAAGUUUUACCUGGACGCAGAGAGCGAUGACAUCGGCAAAUCGAGACAAGGAUUUGGGGGGGUAGAGGCCGCGGAGCGCAGGAUCCACCAUCUGCGCCAGGGCAUCGAUAUCGUGGAGUUGCGGAGUUGCCCACCGAACCAAGGAUUGCUCCAUUCUUGGCUUAGAACUGAAAAUAGAUACAGCAUCCACACACAAUGUGAGAUUCUUGCUGAGAAUAUAUUUCUUACAAUGCUGUUUCUACUAAGUAAAAAUAUGCAUAGUGUAUUAAUUAAUUAUCGUACAGAUUUGAUUGUGGGGGCAAAUGAGAACAGGUAUUUUACAAACAUGAUGCGGGAUUGUGAAAAGACUCAUUUAACCAAGUAAGCAUCAUCCAUACUAAGUAUAAAUAUGCAUAGUGUAUUAAUUAAUUAUCGUACAGAUUUGAUUGUGGGGGCAAAUGAGAACAGGUAUUUUACAAACAUGAUGCGGGAUUGUGAAAAGACUCAUUUAACCAAGUAAGCAUCAUCCAAUAGAUUGUGUUUGUUGCGUUGGAAGAUCCCUAGAAGCUAUCUGAAAAGGAAAAAUCAGCUUUGGAAAAAUGGUUACUCGGUGUUGCUGGAGCUUUGGCAAAAUAUGCUGUUUGAAUAGAGCUGGUCAAAGAAGUGAUAACAACUGUUUUGUUAAAAUCCCCUUAAUAGCUUCCAGUGAAGAAAUAAUAGGAGGAGAAAUUCAAAUUGGAGCAUCUGCCUUUUGAGCUCAACAACACACGGCUGGCUUUUCCUUCUUAAGUAGAGAUGCUACUUGAAUCCAGGCCAAACAGGCAUGGUAUUUGGGCAUAGCUAUUAUCUAAUGCAAAAAAAAGCAUCUUGCUGAUGUAAGAGUUCUGAAUAUAAUCUUUUACCUGUCAUAAGGCUUACGACCAGUCAACAGCUCUAACAUAACCACCCCGAAGCAGUAGAUAUCACUCUUCAUCGUAUAAGACGAUGGUUUUAUGCAUUCGGGGGCAUUAUAACCUGGUCCUAAGUUCUCACUGGGAUCCUGAUACAAUUUGAUGUGUAAUUCAGAAUUACAUCUUCAGAAUUGUAUAUACAGUUUCAUCGUAUAGCAAACAGCAAGGUGAUGAUACCUCAUAGAAGACUGUUAGACCACAUUCAGAUAAGUGGGGAUUGAGCUCUUCAUCAAGCAAGAUGUUUGCAGAGCUUAUGUUCUUAUGGGUCAUGGAAGGGGAGCAGACCUCAUGAAGGUACCUGAAUUGGGAAAAAGUGCUUAGUUUAUCAAGCAUCGGAAGGCUGCUGAUGGCACCGAAAAUAAAUUUGCAGUUAAUGAAUGUGGUAAUAACUGAAUAUGUAACAUAUAUACAAAUGGAAAAACAAAAAGAAAAAAAAAAAAGUAACAUGGAGCAAUUUCAUUGAUGCAAUUUCACCAAAACCAAAAUAGGUAGGUUGGUACAUCCUCCUUCAAAAGUGAUUUCCAUAGCUUCCAUCUAACGAAUUACAGUUGACCAACUAUAAAUUUCUAAUUUGAGGGAUAAUCAGUCAAUUUUCUGAUUAAUGUUUGGAGAUUAAAACUCAUUAUAAGUAAUAAAAAAAGUAGGAUAUGCAUUGACUGAGCAGUAGAUAUGUUAGGGACAUUUAGAAUGCCGUUUACUAUUUGUUUCUUUCUCCAAUUUCACUCGUUAACAUCCUAAGAAGUUAAUUAUAUAUUACUGCAAACAGUGCAAUCACGGUGUGAAUAAAAUUUUUGCAAAUCGGGAUCUGAGUAAUAAUAAGAUAGUGCAUUCAGUGCCCAGAACAAAGAAAGCAAUAUCAAGCAUACUAUCACAAAGUCGAAAUCAAUGCAAUUUAGCAUUCCAAUUGGAUCAACUUACUCUACAGCGCGGGCAGUACCGAGAGCAAUCUUAAUCCGGGUGUCCCAUGUUAAUGGCUUGCUGUAUUCAUCUGAGAGAUGUAGAAAAUCGUGAAGAGAUCCAUUUCUUUGGAAUUCAUACACCAACAAAGGAUGGCCAGGCUCCGAGCAAUAACCCAAAAGCUCAGAUAUGUUUGGGUGGUGCAGCUUGGAAACGCCAGAAACAAGUUCCAUGAAUUCGGAGGAGCUGCCUCCAGAAUCAUUUAUGGUCUCUAGCUUCUUCACAGCCAAAACCUAAGAGCAUGAGAGAGGGGAAGUGAGAGAUGCAAGGAAAGUUUUGUUACUCAUUCCUCAGCCAAAUUAAUAGAUAUGCAGGAGUCAAAAACAUACAGGUGCUCCCUGAGCUAUAGCGCGCCUUUGGAAAUGGUAUAACUUUUUUUUUGACUUUACUAUCUAACCUCGCAGUAUGUUUGAUUUAAAUUCCUCCAAUAACAACUUGAAGACAUCUUUAACUUCUUUGACUGAAUAUUCUGUAAGCCUAAUAGAAUGUUCUGUUGCUUGCUGAAAUGUUCUAUAAAUUUUUUGAUAGAAAUUGUAAGUUAUGACAGAACUUGGAGUUUUCUGAAAUCAAAAGUAAUUAAAGGUUAGGUAAUAAAAUCAAAAUUUUGAAGUUCAAAUACCAAUUCGGAAAUAUGGUAUAGUUCAGGUAUAUUCUAUACAUUUUUACCCAUUCAGAAUCGUACCUUUCCAUCAGCAUAUUUUGCCUUAAAGACACGGCCAAUAGUCCCCUGUCCAAGAAGCCGACCAGCACUAAAGCCUCCAGUAGCUGCACGCAGAUCUUCUAAUGAAUAUGAGGUCAUGGUAAUAGGGUUCGUGCUUCUUUUGGAGUGAACUUUGUUUGCAAACUCAUUAUCAUUAAAUGAUUUGCGUGGUUCGGAUGGCUGACGCUUAAGGCCCGUGGAAAGAGAUCUUUCAAAAGCCUUCAUGCUGAUCGAAGAGGAGUGCUUAAGCUCUGUACAGCGGUAGAAUGGUCACAGAAAGAUUAUAAGGUUAAAAGAUACAGGCACUACCUGAAGUAUAUUGUACUUCUAAAACGUAUCAACUAUUUAGAAGUUUCGAUUUAAUACCCGUCCUUUUCGUUGUUAUUAUUAUCUUUACUACCACUCUGUGAGGUUCUGUCAAAGCUUGACAUCUUCAUCAAAAAAAAAAAGUUGUAAAAUAUUCUGUCAUGUAGCAGGAUAAUAGCAUAUUUCGUUAAAGAAGUUACAUACACCAUUAAAUUUUGACGGAGAGGUAGUGAAAUCAAAACAACAAAAGGUUAGGUACAGAAAUUAAACCAUCUCAACUUUAGGUUCUCAACCAUCUAAAUUUUAGGUACUUAAUUUCCAGUUUAUUAUUGUAGUUCAGGCAGUGUCUGUAUAUUUCUACCAGAACAAACUAGUAAACCAAAACCAAAGUUUCAAAAGAGUUACCCUUCUGGUCAUCAGAAACUAGAGGUGUAAAAGUUCUGUUCUGACUAAGCUGUUCAUCAAAUCUUCCAUCCAAAUAAUGAGCAGAGGACGAAGAUCUCUUUUUCAUGAAAGUCAACAGGAUGAGAGCCACAACCAACACAGCAAUUACAGCAGCAGCAAUGGCUACUCCAUUAACAAUUGAGUUCCCUUUCAAUGAGUUUCCCCCACUGCCAGUGUUUGAAGCCUUAACCAUACCAGGAGGUGCUGUUCCGGAUGACCAAGAAUUUCCCCCCACCCUUUUAAAGUAAUAAGAGAUAUCAAAAUGUUUAGGGGAAAAAAUAAUAAUACUUGGGUUACCAAAGAAGGAAUGAUAGAUAAAUUACGAAAUGUGCAGUACUCACUGCAGGUUAUCUAUGCCCUUUAGUUUACUUGGAAUCCAUCCUGUGAACUGAUUGUUUUCAAGAUUCCUUGGAGCAAACAAAAGUAAUCAUAUGUUAGAGGUCAAUCGGAAAGGUUUUUGACAAAAUAUAUAAUUCUUCCAAAGACACCUAUAAAUAUAAUUCAAAUCCAUAGAAGUUUCAAAUAAUUUACUCAUAUAGUUAGAGUGGAGGUAUGAAACACUGCAAAAAACUGAAUAGCAAACUAGAUAACAAAUAACCAGCUUGCAUCCCCCCUCGACCCUGAAAUCCAAAAAAGGACAACACAUAUGCAGUAUAGCCAAAGAUUUUAGCAGAUGAAUUACGAGUUGAUUUUAGCCAAUGUCAUUCUCAGUAAGGGCAACUGGGAAUUUCUAGUUAACUAGUGAGCAGGCUCUGUUCUAUCAAAUAUAAGGUGCCUUAGAUGGGAGAGAAAGAUCAAAACUAACAUAAGAACAUGUGAUGGAAAAUAGUUCAUAUAGGAACUACAUCAAGGUCCGGCGGCUUCAUUCUUCUUAUUGUUGGAGGCAGUGACUGAUACUUCAUGUGAUUGUACAGAAAAUAGUUUUCGCAUCUAGUCAUGUGUUACUAGUGGCAAAUUUUACAAACUGGACAUAUUCAAGAAUUUAUACAUAUAAGGGCUGUGCACACUUACAGAUCCUCAAGGGGAAGAGUGCUGAGAACAUUGACUGUACUACUGAAUUGAUUGUUCUGUAAAUAUCUGUACAUGGACCAAAGAAAAAAAAUAAUUAACCAUUUUGUCCAGAAGAACUAGACAAAUAAUUUAGAUAAGAUGAAGUUGGUUCAUUACAGAGUUUUGAGGCUUGAGAGGGAUCGAAAACUUUGAGGCAGGCUACCUGAGAAGCGGUUGAAUGACAGAUCCCUGGUACCAUAACCUAAGCAUAUCAAUAGAGAAUACAUGCACAUACAAAUAAAAAAAGAAAAAGAAAGAAAAAUAACUAGAAAUCUGGAGUGCAAUAUCAUGACAGAAGACUAUAUAACUGUCAUAUACGUACCUGCACAUCUGUUAUGUUGGAGUGUGCCCAUACUAUCAGAAGAACUUGCAAGCAAUAAAGCAUGUUAUGCUAGUAGCCACUAGAUGCUUAUUGAUCCUAGAAAUGUUGGGUUCCUUAGGUAUAUCAUUCAUAAGGUCAGUUAAAUGGGUUAAACAACCAGGAAGCAAUAAGCGACAAGACUUAAUUCAGAUUAUUAUGCUACUUAAGCUUUCUGUAUCAAUACAAUUGACAUUGGGCUCUGUACUCCAUCAGAGAAAGAUUUAGGAAGAUCUUAAAGGUUUUAUGUAUGACUAAAAUAGGGAGAAAUAAAAUAUUUGUCUACUUCAGAUUCUUCAGAAUUGUCCAACAAUUUGAAGAUAGUAAAGAAAGCAAGUGAAGAAACCAAUUAGCAUAGAGCUAGCAAAUGCUAGAUUGGUUCUUUAUUGCAAGAUGUUCCUGUAAUAAACUUAGGGAAGGGAAAACAACUUACAGCACAGAGAGCUUUGGAAGCUUUCCAAACAUAUCUGUCAACUGUCCAUUAAGCUGAUUACUUGCAACAUUUCUGCAGUUCAAAAGCAUUCGACGUUUAAAAAGGCAGCAGUGUAAAAGAAAUAUUCAGAUAACAAAGCAGAAGUUCUUCUUACAGAUACUCGAGAUCAGUCAUUUGAGAAAUCGAAUAAGGAACACCACCAGUAAAAGCAUUCCUAGCAAGAUUUCUGAAAACAAGCAUCGAUAUCAUUGACGACAAUUUCAGGAUGCAGUUAAAAUUUUUCAGGCGCUUUUCCCAUCAACUACCAUAAUAACUAUGUAAAAAAGAUUUUAAAUUUGAUAAUUACAUGCAUCACAUAAGUGGCUUACAUAUGAACUGCAUUUGGUGGAAGUUGGUAUGGAAUAUCACCAUGGAUGUUGUUCUUGCUCAUGUCACUGUACUAAGAAAAAGAAACAAUUGGUCUAAGUUGCAAAACUGAGAAUGAUGAAAGUGAAUAAUAACGAAACUAACUCUCACAAGUUAGUUACUGAAGUCAAACUUGAAAGUUGAUAACCCAGUGUACCAGUCAGUCCAAGACCUGAUAGAUUGCUGCACAAUUAGCAUAAUAAAAUAUGCAAGUGAGUGACAUAUGAGCAAACAUCAUGCGUAGAAACAUACAGCAGAUUUGAAGGAUUCCUUAAGGUUUGAUGUUACAUGAGAUGGAAGCAACAACACAAACGGAAAAUGCCAGUGCAAAAUGCAGAAAGCAAAAUAAAAUCGAUCACCAGCUUAUGGCAAACAUUGUACAGAUACUUACAUAUAUAACCCUGUGAGAUUAGCCAACUACGUGCAUCCCUGGAAAAUCUGAAUUUUCAUACAUUUCCUCCGCUACCCCAAUUUCUUACAAAUAAUCACCUUCUUUCAAAAACUCUUCCAAUACAGAACCAACUAAAUCCAACCAUUUGGAUGACUAUCUAACUUAAGAUAAUGAUAUUAUUUUUAAAAAAAUGCGGUUCUGAUGAUAUAUAUGAAUUCAGAUAUUACGCUGGCCUAUAUGUAAAAUCGAUGAUAUUGCAAGGUUGUAUGUGUAACACUCCCAACAUUGUAUCAAAAUAUUCCCUUUCUUCUUAUCUCCGUAAUAUUCCUACAAAACUCCUCAUAAUUUCGCAAACAAACAUGCGGAUGUCACAGGCCACUUUUCUUUUCCACCAAAAGUGCAACAUUCAGAAUUGGUAAUGUUGUACUACACCGUGAUGAAAAGCCAGAAAAGCUAGAAAAGCCAAAGUAAUCAAACAAUGAAAAAGAUACUGAAGUCAAAUAAGAAGAUACAUCUCUGUUACUGAUGAGCCUGAGCACUUGAUUCCCUUCCAGCCUUUUCCGCAGGGAUCGCCGCCACUCGAACUCCAACCAGUCAGCUGAGAGGGGGAAUUUAAGCUGCUAUACAUGACAUUUAGGGCAGAAACUGCAAAAGCAAUUAACAAAGUAUACACCGUUUAGAGUACAAAGAUCGUUUUACUUAGAUUUACCCAUUUUAGACAAUAAAAAGUUCAAAUCUAAUGUAGCAGAUUCAGUUAUUAGAAUAAGAUACUUUCUCUAGAGAUCCAAGCAUUCUAGCUUCCAUCUACUAAGCAGGUUUUGGCCAUAAAGCACGCCAAGUGCUCAAUAUACCUAAUACUACCUUGCAAUCACCAGAAUAGUGCUCAAUUUUGCUAGAAACUAUUAAUUAAUACCACAAAUCAAGCGCAUUUGAAUCAAAAACAAACUUCUAUGAAUCGAAUUACGCGAACACUGACCAUCCGGCUGAUCCGUCUUGGCGAGGGCACCAAUGGCGAUAGAUAUAACCACAGAAAUAAUCAAGAGAACCGGCAGAGAGAGAUAGGGAGCCAUCUCUGCGAUCGGAGCCCUAGGGUUCGGGGAUCCUCGACGAGGGCGGUGCGCGGGGAAGCGGAACAGGAGGGGCCGCAGCGAGAGCCGAGGCUUCGGCUCGGUUCGUCUCGAUCCAAGGCGAGGGCAUUGGAUUCUAAAAUUAGGGUUUGGGAGCAGCUAAAUAAAGGAGGGGAGAGGACGACGAAGACGACGACCAGGGGAAGCGCCAUUGGAGGAGGCGCGAGAGUCGCGGGGAUCCUCUGGUCUUUAUAGCGCCUCCUCGUAGCAUGAAUUUAAACUCAAAAAGCGCUUUUGUACGCGUAAGUUCUUGCGUGCACCGGGUCCACCACGUCAUCCACGAGUGAUGCAAGUCAUUCGGACCAAAAUUUUGAGGGAAAACUUCAAAUACCCCCACGUGGUUUUGUACUUUCUCACUUUAGUAUUUUGUGCUUUAAAGUGUAUCAAGUUAAUACCAUGUGGUUUCAAGUUAGUACCUUAUGGUUUAAAGUGUAUCAAGUUGGUACUUUGUGAUUUUAUUUUUGUAUCAAGUUAGUACCCGUGGUUUUAUUUUUCUAUUUUUAUUAUCCAUUUUGGGGUAUUUUUUUUGUUAAAUCAGUGACAAAGUUAAAACUAAAAGGUGCUAAAUGAAUAUUCGAUAAAUCUAGAUAGGGUAUCUGAAAUUUUUUGUAUAUAAUAAUUUAAUGAAAUAUUAAACCACAUGAUACUAAAGUGAGAAAGUACGAAACCACAGGGUACUAACUUGAUACACUUUAAAUCACAGGGUAUUAAAGUGAGAAAGCGAAACCAUAGGGUACUAAUUUGAUACACUUUAAACUACAUGGUACUAAAGUGAGAAAGUGCAAAACCACAUGAUACUAACUUGAUACACUUUAAACCAUAUGGUACUAAAGUGAGAAACUACGAAACCAUAGGCGGGGUAUUUGAAGUUUUUUCAAAUUUUGAUGCAUCCUCCACAAAUUUUAAAGCACUUCCGCAACGAACACGACAGUUACAUCUUAAAUAUCGAUACGAUGAAUCAGACGGUCUCAUAUUAGGAAUAGUUCAUAUUAUUUUUUUCUAAAUAAUUUAGAAUUUAGUUAAAAUAAUCUUCAAUCGUUCAUCGUCUAUUACACAAACAGUCUUAAUUUGUAGAUCAUCUCCACUAAUAUUUUUACUAGUCCGAUAAAAAUUCGUUGGUGAAAAGAGUUCUCAAUAUCAAACUGCCUUAUUUACCGUCUAUUAUGUUAAGUAUAUGAAUUUCACACGUACAAAAAAUCGUAAAUAAGACGAUUUUACGUUGGUUUUAAAACACGAUGGUACAAAAUGAUUAAAAUUUUUUUCCUCCAAUAAAUAUGCACCUAUGUAUCUAAAAUCUAAAAUAUGUUGUAUAUAUUUAAAGGAGACAAAAUUUGAAGAGAAAAAUAAAAGAGGAUAUAAAAAAUAUAUGUAAUGUAACAAAAAGAAUGAUAUUUGUUCCUAUAAGUCACGGCGAUGGAACCGUAGUGAAGGGGACCAAAAUGACAAAUCAAAUUAUAUUGAGGGAGUUAAAAUAUAAAUUUUUAAAAUGUCAUAUGAUUAGUGUCAUACUAUUACUUUUUUCCAAACUCUAUUGUAUAAACAUAGACCAAACGGGCUUUUAGUGAUCAGAGCAAAUUAUCUACAAAAGUUUAAAAAUUGAAGUACGUAAAUAUAAAACAUAGGUGCCAAUUCAUAAAAUUGGCAAAGUAGUAGGACUAUUCAAAAAUUUUUACCCUAUUAAAUUAACUUUACCUAAUAAAUAAAUUUGCCAAAAAAAAAGAAGGAAAAACUUUUAAUACCACCCUUGUGGUUUCACACUUUCUCACUUUAAUACCAUGUGGUUUAAAGUUUAUUAAUUUAGUGUCCGGUGGUUUUAUUUUUAUUUUUUUAUUAUCGAUUUCACUAAUUUUUUUCGUUAAAUCAAUGACAAAGUUAAAACUAAAAGGUAAUGAAGUGAAUAUUCGAUAAACCUAGGUGGGAUAUUUGAAAUUUUUUAUAUAUAAUUUAACGAAAUAUUAACGAAAAAGUAAAAAUGAAACUAUAGGACACUAACCUGAUACACUUUAAACCAUAGGGUACUAAAAUGAGAAAUUAUGAACUUACAGGGUGGUAUUUAAACUUUACCAAAAAAAAAAAAAAAAAGUAAAUUCGAAAGGAAUCGUAAAACCUGAAACCGGUAAUGGUUCGGAAAAACCACGGCGAUAACUGGACCUGAGUUGUUAAGAUGCACGAACCAAGACCCCCGCGCCACGUGGAUUCCCGAGAUAAUUAGGCGCUUCGCGACGGUCAUCUCGUUGGGCACGAGAUUACCGUUUUAGCUUCAGUAAAAUAACCAAAUUAUUACCAUCAAUUACCGUAAAAUUAUUUUUGUAAAUAAUAUUAUACUUAGAACUUAAAUAGUAAUAAUAAUUACCGUAAUUGUUUUUACUCUCUUAUAUUUUAGUAAAACAAAUAUGGAAUAUUUGAUAACUAUAGUUUCAAAGUUAUUAACAGUUUUUUUUUUUUUNUUUUUUGAGAGAUAGAUAGCACAUUAUCCGUUUCGUUUAUUUCAUUUAGAAAUAAACUAAGUUAAAAAUGUAAAUCAACUAGGAUUCAACUACGAUUUGAACUUGGGACCUCGGGUAUCAACCACCAAGUUCUUUGCCACUUGCUCUAGGAAUAGUCGGUUAUUAAUAGAUAAUAGUUGAAAAAAAAAUUACUUUAUUUUAUUUUAAUUGAAAAUUAUUUUCAACUUAAAAAUCAGUUAUAGCAAACAAGUAUAUUCUUAAUCUUGUUAUGUGUUUUUAAGAAUCAUAUUCAAUUGAAGUUUUUCCUAAUUGGGAAAACUUCAAAAACCCCCUGUGGUUUCGCACUUUUUUAUUUUAGUACCUUAUGGUUUAAAGUGUAUUAAGUUAGUACCCUGUGGUUUCUCACUUUAUCACUUUAGUACUCUGUGGUUUAAAGUAUAUCCAGUUAGUACUCUGUGAUUUUAUUUUUGUAUAAAGUUAGUACCCUGUGGUUUUAUUUUUGUAUCUUUAAACUACAGGAUACUAAAGUGAUAAAGUGUGAAACCACAGGGUACUAACUUGAUACACUUUAAACCACAGGGUACUAAAGUGAAAAAGUGCAAAACCACAAGGUACUAAUUUGAUACAUUUUAAACCACAGAGUACUAAAAUGAGAAAAAGUGAAACCAUCCGGGAGUAUUUGUAGUUUUCCCUAAUUUUUUUUUGUCAAUAAUAAUGAUUACUUUAUUGCCUCUGUCCAUUUGAUAUUGCCAGAGUAAAUACAUUGUAUGAUUUGAAUGUUUUUAUUUUGAUGACAUAAAAUUAACUCAAUUUAGGCAAUAUAUUUUCGUAUUUACUUAGAAAUUAUUUAUAUUAGUAGCUCUUGUAAAAUGACUAAAUUACGUGCCUUCAAAGUCCCAAUAAAGUUUUGCUAAUCUUAAGGCAAGCUAUUUUUAUACACGAAAACAGCUCAAGUUGCAAUUCAUCUCUAUAUUUAUUGAAUUAGAUCACAUAUGUGGUGUCAACGAGCCGAAUACGAACUGACUCGUUAAAGUAUCGAGUUCAAAAAUUCAACUCAUGUUCGAUUUGUUUAUUAACGAGUUGAACACGAGUGGGCUCACGAACAAUAAGUAAAAAGAAUUAGAAAAGAUAUGUAUAGAAAAUAAAUUUUUGAGAUCCAACUCAUUAGACUUUAAUUCAACGGUUGAAACUUUACAUAUAAAUAUACUUUUUUUUAUAACUGAGUUGUAUUUUGUAUGUAGUUUGGACUAAAAGUUAAAUAAUAAAAAUAUAUAUUUUAUACAUAUAAUUAUUUAUUCAUAUAUAUAAAUAUAAAAUAUAUAAAUAUAAAUUAUAUAUAUUUCAUGUUGUUAUCGAGCCAAAUAAGAGCGAGCUGACUCCAACCCGUGUCCAACUUGUUUAUUGAACGAGCUGAAAAAAUCAAUUCGUGUUUAGUUCGUUUACUAAAUGAUUCGAUCUUGAGCAAAACACGAGCUAGCUCGUGAACAAUGAGCUGGAUUGCCACUCCUGCAUAUAUCAUAUUAAGCUGAUCAAAUUUAAUAAUUUUUUUGUGACUAAUAAUUUUUAUUCUAUUACCUCUACUAUCUGAUGACUCAAAGCAAUAUCAUUAGAUUUUUUUUUUUCUUUUCGCAUGGUAUUGCUGUACAUUCUAAUUUAAUUGUUGCUCUAUUUACAUUAUAAUUUAAAUUAUAUAUAUUUUUUAUUUAUGUCACUAAAUAAUAAUACAUUUUAUAAAGUACCAAUGAAAUUAAACUUACCCCUGGUCACGGCGUACAAUUGCGUUUAGAGGGCACGAGUCGUAAAUAUCGCGAUUUCCGAGGGCGAAUUAAUAUAGACAAACAUGUUUAACUCGUUUUAUCCCAUCACAUCUCGCGAAAAACCCGCGAAAACAAUGAAAACCCGAGCCAAUUAGAGCGUAAAACUAAAAUAAACACUAAUUAAGUGUAAUUAAUUAAUUAAUUCGCUCUAAAAUAAGUAGGGACUGUUUUUUUUUUUUUUUUCAAAUAACACCACUAUUUUGCUGAGAUUUUCGGGUUAGUCCAUUUUUUUUUUAUAAUCACAAAAAUAAAGUGGUUUUUGUUUUUGGGCUCCUUUGGUGAACAAUGGAGCUUUUCCAUCCUACAAAAUUAAUAGGAGACACAUUAAUAUUUUAGUGAUACGGUUCCGACACAAAUUUAUUUUUAUUUACUAUAGUAUUAUUUUAUAUUAUAUCAUUUUUAAAAAUAAUAUAUAAUAUAUUUUAUCAAUCUUUACAAUGUAGUUAGAUUUGUUUUUAUUUUCCUAUCUUGUGUCAUUAAAUAAUUUUUCUUGCAAAUUUUUUUAUUACUGUUAACAAAUCCAUUAUUUAGACCAGAUCUAUAAAUAAAAGAUUUAACUAAAUAAUAAAAAAGAUAAAAUAAAUAUCUAUGGUAGACUUAUUAAAAGAUUCUAUCAUGUUAUUUUCAAAAAUUUUUGUUAUUUUUAUAUAGUUUGUUAUUUUUUGCAUCAAAACAAGCUGAAUAUAUGCUCUGCCACUUCUAACUAAUAUUUUAAAACAAAUUUUAUUUAAAAUUAUAGAUUUAUUAUUUAUAGUGUAGGAAUUAAAAAAAAAAAGUUGAAUAAUGUCUUGAAAAAAAAUAGUACAGGGUUAAAAGUGAAAUUUUUUUUUGUAAAGUAUAAUAUAAUAUAAUGUAUUUAAGCCAAACUAAAUUGGAUUAAAAUUAUAAUUUACUGUUCUUUGGUAAUUUAAUCUUUUAGAAAAUUAAAUUACUUCUUUUGUUUCUCGGAAAUCCACUAUUAAGAUUCAGUUACAUAUAAAUAUAUGAAAUCAUAUAAUCAUAUAAUAAUAAUAUAAUAUAAUAUAUUCAAAAAGUAACCAGAGAUGGUACAAGAAUGGCAGUUUUGAUAAUAUAAACAAUUAGGAGGUUAUUAAAUAAGUUACUGGAAUAUUCCAAGAUUCCAAAUAGGGAAACUUUUGACCAUAAAGUGUGCAUAAGAUGCUUUAUGCAAAUUUAUCCAAUGACUAAUAAGAGGUUAAAAAAACUUAAAAUUAAAAUAAUUCACUUUAACUAGUACAUUAAUUACCUUUGACAUUAUUUUAUUUGUUAAAAUUUAAAAGAACUUAAAACUGCUGUAUUGUAUUUAGAAAAAACUUCUAAUACCACCCGUGAGGGACUUUUUUAAAAAAUAACCCUGUGAAAGUUCGUAUUUGCCAAACUAAUUCCGUAAAAUUUUUAUUUGUAAAACUAACCCUCCUUUCGCCACGUGGCUCUUUAGAAGACGGUAAACCAUUCACCGUCUUUAGUGCAAAAUUUUUCUUUCCGCCUUUUUCCCUUUCCGCUCUGUCAAGUCCGCUUUUUCUGUGCCCUCGAGAAGACAGGGAACGAUUUACCGUCUUAUUAAGGACACCAUAUUAUGGACUUGGAAAGAUUUACGCAGUAUAGGAAUUUGUACUAAAGACGGUGAAUGGUUCACCGUCUUAUGAAGAUGGUGAACCAUUCACCGCCUUCACAACAAAUAUCAAAGACGGUGAACGAUUAACCGUCUUUUUGAGGAAUCCCUGAUGUGGCGCCCACGUGGCGAGAGGAGGGUUAGUUUCACAAAUAAAAAUUUCACAGGGUUAGUUUGGCAAAUACGAAAUUUUACAGGGUUAUUUUCGAAAAAAGUCCCCCCGGGAGUUUCACCCUUUUUUACUUUAGUAUCCUGUUAUUUAAAGUGUAUCAAUUUAGUGCCUGUAAUUUUAUUUUUAUCUUUUUAUUAUCGAUACCACUAAUUUUUUUCGUUAAAUUAGUAAUAAAGUUAAAACUAAAGAGAACUAAAGUGAAUAUUCGAUAAAUCUAGAUGGAGUAUCUGAAGUACUUUGUAUAAAAUUUUACAAACUAUUAACGAAAAAGCUUACAAAAAGAUAAAAAUGAAACCGCAUUACACUAACUUGAUACACUUUAAACCACAGAGUACUAAAGCGAGAAAGUACGAAACCACGGGGGUGGUAUUUGAAGUUUUUCCUUUUUUUUAUAAUGUAAUAUAGUAUAAAUUAUAAAAAUUCUAUUAAUCUUGUAGCGCUAGUAAAAAAAAAAUAUUUUGAUUUAUCUAAUACGAGUAAGUAUUAGUAAUUAUUUAUAUACAAGUGUGAUUAUUAAGACAAGUAUCUGGACUGUUUUGUGAAUUUGCCCUACUCUUUUAUUAAUAAGUUGUUGUAAAAAAAAAUUUUAAAAAUCGAAUUAUAAUUAAAAAAUGAAUUAAUUAUUAAUUACUAAUUAAUUUACGAGCUUAAAAUACUUAAAAGGGGGAAUUAGGAGGGCAAAACGGGAAAUAAACACAAACGCCUCUCUCUCUAACUCUCUCUCUCUCUCUCUCUAAUUCUCUCUCCAACUCGUCGUCGUCUUCGUCUUCGUCUCCUCUUCGCUCUCCACGAGCUCUCCCAAUCCCCCAUUUCUCCGCCUAUUCCCCGCCGAUCUUCUCCCUCGCGCAGGCGAUUCCUCCUCGGCGUCGCCUUCGCCGUGCGAUCCCCUCCCGAUCGAGGUGCGUAUCGCAGUAAUCGGGGAGGUUUUUUGCUUCGGUCGGAGAAUUUGUUCGAUUCUAGGGUUUCUGUGCUUGUUUGAACCAUAGUUUGUGUUUCUUGAGCUUUGGAAUGGCUUUCUUAGCUCUGAAAUUGGUGUCGGCGUAGUGGCUGUUAAUUUGUGGUCUUAGCUGUGUGAUUACUCCGUUUUCGGAAUUUAUUGCAAUUUAGUUCCAAAUUUGUCGAUUGAGAACAAAUUGAGGUGAUCUGAGUUGGUAAUGCGUAGGGUUGUACGGUUCUAGGGUUCGAUUCUUAGGUUUCGUGUUGAUUCUAUUGAUAUAGAGAUAAAAGUUCUCGUUUUUCUCGAACCCAGUGUUGAGAGUUGGUUUCUGUUGCAGUGAUUGUUAAUCUGUGGUCUUUUAGGUGUCUGAAUUGAUCGUUUUUGAGGGGUUUAGUAGAGUUUGGCUCACAAAAUAGUCGUUUUAGAACACAUUGAGGUGAUUUUAGUCAGUAAUUUGGUACACCCGUGCAAUUCUAGGUUUCUUUCUCAGAUUUCGUGUUGACUCCAUUUUCUUCUGAGAUGAAAAGUUCUCAUUUUUCUCUAAUCACUGUAAAAUGCUGAUGACUUCCUUUUAGAUUCUUGCAGUUCGAGUCUGAGCAAUUGGUGGAGCUCGAAUGCUGCAUUUUGUCGAACGAAAGGGAGAAUUUUGAUCAAUAUAAAUCUUUUUAAAUUGGAUUUUCAAAGAUGUUAGAGGGCCCUAAAUUCCACGGAAUCAUGGGAGGUGGUGGCGGCGGCCAUGACCACAAUAGUAACAUAUACGACAUGGCUUACUACCACAAGCUUGGUGAGGGUUCCAACAUGUCAGUCGACAGUAUCAAUAGCUUACAAACCACCAACAAUGGUGGCUCGAUUGCUAUGUCUGUAGACAACAGCAGUGUCGGCUCAAGCGACUCACACACCGCCAUCCUUAACCAUGCCUCUGGGCUCCGCCCACACCCACCUGCCAACCAUUCGAUAGGAAACAGUGUGUUUCGCCCCAGUAGGGUUUCUCAUCCCCUUAACAAUGAUGCCUUAUCUCGGGCGUUGAUGGACCCGCAAUACCCUACACAGCCGCUCAUGGAUUUUGAGGAGUGGACGCUUGAUUUGGGGAAGCUUAACAUGGGAAUGCCAUUUGCUCAGGGGGCUUUUGGGAAGCUUUAUAAAGGCACCUACAAUGGAGAAGAUGUUGCAAUUAAGCUGCUGGAAAAGCCUGAGAAUGACCUGGAGAGAGCGCAGUUGAUGGAACAACAGUUCGCUCAGGAGGUUAUGAUGCUGGCCACUUUGAAGCACCCGAAUAUAGUGAGGUUUAUUGGGGCUUGCAGAAAGCCUAUAGUUUGGUGCAUCGUUACUGAGUACGCAAAGGGUGGUUCGGUGCGGCAAUUUCUAAUGAGAAGGCAGAACAGGUCGGUGCCGCUGAAGCUGGCGGUGAAGCAGGCACUUGAUGUUGCCAAGGGAAUGGCUUAUGUUCAUGGAUUAGGGUUUAUUCACAGGGAUCUCAAGUCGGACAACCUACUGAUCUUUUCGGACAAAUCCAUCAAGAUUGCGGACUUUGGUGUGGCCCGCAUUGAGGUGCAGACCGAAGGGAUGACUCCGGAGACAGGAACAUAUCGUUGGAUGGCACCGUAAGUUCAAUAACCUUUUGUAAUUAUCACGCUGUCAGCAGAUUUCCUUCGGAUGCUUGUAUCUUUCAGGGUGUGCCAAGUCAGCAAAUCUUCAGCUGGGACAUCUCUUCAUUGGUUUAUUAAUAUUGGUUAUGCUUAAGUUAAAUUGCAAUAUUCUAGUAUUUUACAUGCUUCAGGAAAUGCUGACGAUUUCUUAAACUUCAUUAGCUUCUGAUUGUUUCACCUGAAUAACAGUGUGCAUUUCUGAUAUGUUAAGUGCUGCUUUGGUAACGUUAGAUUAAUCAGAGCCAAGAAUUUAAAAUUUAGGAGUGUGGGACUCUUUUAAUUCACCUACCGCUAACUACCAUGCUAAGUUAUGCCAUAUUUUCUAAUUAUCUAGGGCGUAUAAAUUCACUGGGUGUUUCAAAGGCUUGUCACUAUAUUAAUCAGAACCAAAAUGGACAUUGACUCUGCUAGGUGUUGGGUCACUGGGUCAUUCUCAUCCUGUCAAGUAGCAUUAGCUGAUAUGUUAUAAAAUGAGCUUUCUUUAUAUAGCACAAGUAGUGGUUGGACAGGUAGUGCUUUAAACCUCUACCUAAUAGGUUAAGAGGUCCAAAGCCACCUAGCGUCAGCAACUAGUGAUUUUAUCGCCAAUUUAAUCUAAAAUGGUUUGGUUCGCUUAGAUUCAUCUACCCUGCUCGGUUAACUUGUUCAACUGCUGGUUCGGUGAGUGUUCGCAGGUCAGCUGCUACUCUGGUUUAAAGACAAUACUGAACCGACUUGGUUAAGAGUUCGCUCGUUGAGCCAGUUGGGCAACAGCAAUGUUUUUAGGUCCUGCUUAUUGUUUUGCUAGUUGAACCGGGUUGUCGAGCUCGUCAGUUUCCUUCUUGGCUUAUUGUUCGACCUGUGGUUCGACAACUGGUCAAGCCACUGACUCCAAGCAUAUCUGGAUUAUUUUGACAAUUUGACACUCUGAAUGAUAGGUAUUAUUAAGGUUGAAUGCCACUGUAAGCUACCUGGUUAAUGCCUUGAUAACCAAGACUGUUCGACCAAGGAUUUAAUUAUUGGAUGAUAGAUACUAUUAGGAUUGGAUGCCACUACAAGCUACUCGAUUAAUGCCUUGAAAACCAAGAGAGUUCGACGAUAGAUCAUAAGAUUUUAAUUAUUGAGUCAUGGUACCGUGCCGCUUAAGGGUUGGUACAGUUGAGCAUGUGGCCCGUAUUGUAGCAUUCAGUGCAUUAUUGGUCGUCAAAUUCACUAAUCUUAUAUUUUGUCUGGAAGGCUCAGAUAAAAUCUAGGUCCUAGGAUACCUCUUGGAUGCUAUUAGGGGAGGACAAUAUGGUGGCAAUGUUAACUCCUGUGAGUCCCUUUGAGCGGGAGCUUUUAUUAUUUGUUUGUAAAUGCAUGAGAAGUUUCUUUUUUGAUGAAUGUUUACCUUCUCAAUAAUUGCCAAUUUCGAAUUAAUAAUGUAGAUAUCAUGCUUACUCUUCCUGAUCUACUGAACUUAACACCUGCAAGCUUCAGAAUUAGAUGAAGUGCAACGAUUAUCUUUUUUAUAUUAUAAAAUGGAAAGAAAAUGCAAGAUGUCAUUACUUCAGAUACAAUUAUAUUAAUCUGUAAUGCUUCCAUAUUUAUCUUUCGUAUAUAUAAGUUGCUAUUUAUAAAGAAGACAGACAUUUGUUGUGAUUUGUCCACCUUCAUGUUCCUACUUGCCAAAAAUUGUUAGUUGCGCUACUUGUUGUUCAGGGUAAUAAGAUUUGGUUUAGUUUGGCAACAAACCAACUAUUGUUAGAUCAAAUAGCAUAGUCAGUCAACUGUGACCAACUUACAGUUAUCUUAGCAUAUCAAGCUUUUCUCUUUUAACCCAUGGUCGCCCUUCUUUGUUUUUCAUAUGCAGAGAGAUGAUCCAGCACAGACCUUACACCCAGAAAGUCGAUGUGUAUAGCUUUGGUAUUGUCCUGUGGGAGCUCAUAACUGGCAUGCUUCCCUUUGCAAACAUGACAGCUGUCCAGGCGGCAUUUGCGGUUGUGAACAAGGGUGUCCGUCCUAUUGUACCGCCGGACUGCCCACCCUCCCUUGGCGAGAUCAUGACCCGCUGUUGGGAUGCGAAUCCCGAUGCACGUCCCCCUUUUACCGAAAUCGUUGCUAUGCUCGAGAAUGCCGAGAUGGAGAUCAUGAGCACCGUCCGGAAGGCUCGAUUCCGGUGUUGCAUUUCCGAGCCUAUGACCACAGAAUGAAACCCUAGAGAGGGGAAAAAGUUGAAAAGAAGAAAAAGGAAAAAAAGAAAAGAAAGAGUAGUGAUUCAUGUAUCUCCGAACGUACUCAGAAUAUUGUCGAUGAGUCAACUUGAUAUAUAUACAGCGGCCACCGAAUGUUUUAACUUUUCAGAUUGCGUGCCAGUUUUGAAAUGUAAAAAAGUUAAACCAAUCACUAGCCGCCGCAUAUGUACAACCGACUCGAACAAUAUUAUACGGUACCGUCUGAGGUACAUGCAGCAUUACUUAAAAGGCGAAGGAAGAAAAAGAGUAAGGCAGCCCAAGUAUGUUCUAUCUAUCAUUUUAAUGGACUGAUUUAUUGGAGAAAAAAAGAAUUUGUUGUGUUUGUGGGUUUCUAGUUGCUUUUCCUCUACGAGAGGUUUACUUUUCUAGGGUUUUCCUCCUCUGGGUUUCUUUCUUUUCUUGUUGGAUCUUUUAUGAUGUUGGUAAGCUUCAUAGCUUAUUUUGUCUUUGUGAAAUAUAUAUAUAUAAUAUAUAUGUUCUUCUCCUGCCUGUUCUGUGAGAUACGUGAAUUUGCUGUCUCUGACAGACCUAUCCUCUCUGUCAUAUCUCCAAUGAUAUAUAACAUAGUAGUCAUCCAAUAAAUGCUUCUUUAGUACUGCAUUAUCUGGUUUUAAUGUAUUUUAUUAUUGCUUACCUGCCUUUAUUGUUUAUAAAAUAAUAUUGUGGCGUUUCUUGUUGUGGUGUUUCGUAGACAAAAAUUUUGUGGGCACCGGGGACUGCGGAUCGGCGCCACGGCGCCGAUGGGUGCCCUUCUCAAGUUGCUUUCUCUCUCUCUCUCUCUCUCUCUCUCUAAAAACACAAGGCUUUUUUUUUUCUUUCCAUUCGUGGCCGUCAGAUGGGCCACAUGGUGCCCAUCUCCAUAGUCCCAAACUAAUUAGUUUGAAGAUUAUGCUCAUAAAAUUUUUGUCCGUGUUUAGUAAAGGCCUGUCACAAAGCACUAAUAAAUUAUUUUUGGAAAAACAUCAAAUGAUUUUACAUUUUUUCAUUUUAGUACCCUAUGGUUUAACAUGUAUUAAUUUAGUGCCCUGCGAUUUCAUUUUUAUUUUUUUAUUAUCAAUUUUACUAAUUUCUUUUCAUUAAAUCAGUGAUAAAAUUAAAACUAAAGGAUACUAAAGUAAAUAUUCUCGAUAAACCUAGGUGGAAUAUCUGAAGUUUUUUGUAUAUAAUUUAACGAAAUAUUAACGGAGAAAUUGACGAAAAAAUAAAAAUGAAACCAUAGGAUACUAAUUUGAUACAUUUUAAAUCACAGGAUACUAAAAUGAGAAAGUACGAAACUACCGGGGUGGUAUUUGAAGUUUCCCCUAAAAUUUUUUUGUUUGGAGCUUUUUGUUACUAAGAAGAUCAUUUUCAGCUUUUGGUCGCAGCAGCAGUUCUAUAAUCUCCUCAAUUUGCCAAACAACUGGAUAGAGCACCGCUCCUAAAACCUGGUCAAAUAGGAAAAAACACCUCUUGCAUAGAUAUUACUAUCAUUGCGAGUAUCAGUAGUUAUAUAUCUUAUGGCAAGAGGAUCAUUAUAUAUGCUAAAAGAAUUUGGGAUCAUUACAUAGAUAUUACUAUCAUUGCGAGUAUCAGUAAAUAUAAGAAAUUAGUCAUAACACUUCUCGAAGGAGUCCAGCAUUUCCAGUUUUAUUCAUCCAACUGCAAAUGAGACGAGGAAUGAUGAAACAAAGAAAUUUAGAAAGAAGAGGAAAAAAAAAAAAAAAAACAACAAAAAAAAGAACUUAUUCAUUUGGGAUCCAACCGGGAACUUUACAAAGGCUUGCAAAAGGACUGCAGCUCUUCUUAAAGGCUACCCAAUAUGAGAAGGGAAUUAAAGAGGACUACAAUUAGAGCCCGAGAAUGGUGGAAAGGCUAUGUGUAGUAUACAAACUGAACUGCCACUGCAGCUGCCGCCACCCUUUGAAGAAACUAGUCCUACCAUCAUUUGCUUUCUCUCACAAACUCGCGCAACCACCGCCGAUUUUAGCUUCCCAAUUCUCUUCCUAAGAAGAUGAAAGAAAGGCAUUGAUGAAAAAAAUAAGCUUCUGAGGCGACUUCUUCUCUAACUGCUUUCUUUCGGAGCAGCGGCAUUCGGCUUCUUGGCUUCUUCGGGCGUGGCAGCCGAAGCGGAAGUGUUUAGCGAGGCGCUUUUGUCGGCUAACUGGCCUCUGCUGUUCGCCUCUUCUAACCGGACAACUUGAGCAAAGCUCUUGGUGAUGUGGCUUAUGCGGUCGCCAUGGCCCGCGACUGAGUUGGCUGAUAUCUGCUGCUGCUGGUGCUGCUGUUGCUGCUGCAGCAGCAGCGCCUUGUUCUCUUGCAUGGCUUUCUCCCGCUGCUCGUAGAACUCGAAGUCGUCAAGGAUAGACAUCUCGGCCUCAUGGUUCUUGAAAAUAGUCAGCAUCUCUAGACCCUGUUCCAGUUUAACCUGAAUGAUUUCGAUCCAGUGUGUUAUAUAUUGCAAUAUGCCCAGAAAAAGAGAGCACCGAAAAAAAAAAGCGCAUAAUGCACAAGGUAUCAUCGGAUAACUUGUUCCGAUACCAAAUAGGCCCUAAAGGAAGAUGAGAUACGAGAAGAAGAAUAAGGAAAAGAACAAUAAAGCAAGAAAUGAAUUGCAAUGAAAUUCUUAUAUUAACUGAAAGAACUUCACCUCCUGCGUAUCUCUGCUGUUGGUUACAGGCUUAUUCUCAUUAUUCUCGAGAAUGAUAUGACGGAACAGAUUAUUCGGGACAUCUUUCACGAUGUGCCACUUGACGGGGAACUGGCCGGUCCACUUGUCUUGCUGCCAAUAGUCCACGCUCUUCUCGAAGUCAACGGGUCCAACCAUCUCGGCGACACCGCAGAACUGACCACUCGCGUUUACCUAUCAAUGUUGUUUCUACGUUAAUUACAUGAUGUCAAUCGAAAAAAUAAAGUGAACAAAAAGAAAGGGGCUGUUGCAUGAAUAUGAAAUUUUACAUAUAUAACCCUUUACAAAAGUGCCCUUAUCUCCGUACGGGAGAGUUGGUUUUCUGUCCCAAAAGGUUUUUCAAAAGAGGGACAUUCUUGCAAGAAGAUCGGAUUAUAUGUAAGAAAUUAAGAUUCAAAGGGCAUAUAUGAAAAUUCAAUUCUGUACGGAUAGAUAAUUGUACGAUAAUUGUAUGGUAGUGUGUAUGCAAAUUUCGCAACAAUAAAGUUUUCUCCAGCGAAAUUGUAAAGGAGACAAAGGGCCUCAAAAUUACCGAGAAAAACAAAAAAAUGGGGUAGGGAUCUUCUCUCUCCUUCGCCUCGUGAAAAGCAGAAUCCAACUUCUUGUUCCCGUUGGCCGUGCUGGCCCAAACACCAUACUUGAUGCUCUUAUGGACAUUAUCCUCACUGUAUGAUUUUAUUAUGAAAAACCUGGCAUUCGUAUACUCCGUAGGAAAGUCCGGACUAUUGUACAACUCUUCAUUUACUCCCGUAAUGGGCUUGUCCCUUUUAUUCUCUGGCAAGGAAUCCUGUUCUGCAGCUUGCUUCUUGGGUCUAGUGGCCCGUGGGCCUCGGCUUUGCUCAUUGAGAAAGUCGAGAGGCCCAUUGCAGCUGCAUACCAAAGCACUCCCCUUUCCUCGUCUCCUGCCUUUGUCGACGGCAAUUGAAUUUCGGUUAUUCAUGCCCAAGCUUGGAGUGGACCCCACGAAAUUACCGACAUGCUGAUACAACCCACUGUGAGAAUACCCUCUUUCAUAGGAGCUAUUGGAGGAUCCGAAACCAUAUAAAGAUUUUUGAUGCUGUGAAGCCUGAAGGUUAUUAGAAAGUAAAUGCUUUGGGAAAUUUAGAUGAACCUUACUGGGGUUAAGACUAAUAAAUCAUACUGAACCAGUAGAAAAUUAAAAGAGAAGAUAAGAACCCUGUGUUCGAAACCAUUGCCAUAGUUCAACACAUUUUAGCGGUUUCCACACCACCAAACUGGUAAAUUCCAAUUAAACAUAAGCACACAAAAAUAGAGCUUUUCUUCUGCCUAGUUUUAUAUUUCUGACCAUUUACCUUAGGACAUAUUGAAUGGGAUUGAAAUAAAGUUUCAGCACAAUUCCAUCUCUCAUCUUGUCUAUUGUUUAGCACGAUAGUGCAGGUAAGUGAUCAUUUAAAUUAGAAAUUCUUGAAGAAACACACAUACUUGUAACAGAGAAAGAAAGGAAAUGAUUACCAUUCCAGAAGCCGCAGGAAUGGUACUCUGUCCAAAUGAACCAGGAGCACCAAUUGGCUGCGGUGAAGCUGCAGGUGACGGCAGUGUAGUUACAGAACCAGAACCAUCCGAUGGUUUCGACCAAUCUAAUAAAAGGCAGUAAAAAAACAAAAAGCAUUAUCAGAGCUUUCCCACAAACCCUUUAUCGCUAAGGAGAAAUUGUCGCCGACACCAGGUGCAGCAUGUCAGCACUCGACAGUGCACUUCCCAGUGAUCCGUCACACGUCUCAUCUCAUACUUAAAUGCUCACCACCAAGUGGAUUGCAGCCUUUUCUUGAUUUAAAAAUAAUUUUUGUUGGAUGGUGGGCUUAGAAGUAUGAGACAUAAUGGAGGACAGACAUGGUGCACCACGUGCAAGCAAUGAUUUCUUCUUGAAGAGCCAAAACUACCAAACAGAACUACCUCUACCAAAAGAACCAUAGGAUAGAUGAUAACCCGGUCUCGGCCCGAAAAGCAAGCUACUUGAACUCAAAGCAUCAGUGAGAAAAGCUCCUUGAGGAUCGACGGGCAUCAUUGGGUCAGCUUGUGACAUCGGAGAUGGAGGAUUCAUAUACGGCAUGCCCGGAGGCUGCUGGUAGUAAGGAGCUGUGAACGGGAAGUGCUGAGGAGAGUAGAGCUGGCCAUCUCCACUUAUUGAAGGUAGCGGAGUUGUGACAGGCGAAUAGGGCCCAUAAGGCAUUUGUGGGCUGAAUCCGAAGCCGGUAUGGAAGAGAAGGGAAUGAUUCUCAUUGUACAUACCCUUCAAAAAAUAAAAAGAAAGAAAAUAGAAAAGGAAAAGAGAUUUAAAAAAACUGAAAAGGAUUUGUUAAAAGAAGAUGAGAAAAGGCCAGUGCAUAUUAUGUUACUCACAGCUGAUCCAAUUUCCAAGCCCUCAACGCUCAAAUAAUGGGGAUAGUCUUCCCACUCGCCUGCAGGGUUAGCAUAUCCUGAAAAGAAAAACACAAGAUUAUUUUGAUGCUAGUAAAACAGACAAUAAUGAAAAUCCUGUGAGGACAUGAAGGAAUGGAAGUGGACAGAUGCAACAUCAAACCAUUUGUCAAUCUUUUACCCACAUAUAAGAAGCCAAAAAAUAACAUAAAGUUCUUUAAUAUGAGGAAAAGCAUAAAAUAAGACAUGCAAAAUUGAGAUACUAAAUUAUCAGUCACAAUAUGAGAACUUCAUACUCCGACAAGAAAGGGUUAGAUUAAUAGAAUGUAAUACAUAUUAAAAUCUUGAUCAGAAAAGUAAAGAGCUGUCACUGUCACAUUUUGAUUUUGGUGGGUAUUCAUCAUAUAAACUACCAUUCAGAAAAUUGAAAAUAUAAAGAAAUCUAAUCCGUAUCAGUUACCAAGUCAUCUGUGCAGCCUCUAUAGACUUCUAAUUGGACUAAUUAGACACUCAAAAAGCAUUAGUAGUAAUAAGAUAUGAAUCAAAGUUAAAAAUCAAACAGUUAAAGUACAACUUUUCGAGAGCAUAACACAGUUAGGUUUAACAGUAAGAGAACAUACGUGAUAUGGAAAAGAUUCUUCAAACAAUAUUCUUAAUACGAUAGAAAUAUGUGAAGCAGAAAAAAAAAGAAAAGAAUCUGACCUGCAUAUAGGACCGUUUGCACCUGAGAAGCACUAACAUUUGGUAGUUGGACAACACUACUAUGUUCUCCACCUUCACUGUGAGACCCAAUCUUGAUUUGGGAAUCUCUAGAUAGAUCGAUUGUAUUUGCUUCAUGUGAAGCAUCGGAUGUCCUUGUUUGCUCAUCUUGAUCAGAAAGAGGCUGAUAGAUAAGUAAUGCACAAUAUCAUUAGCUAAGAUUUGAGCCUAAAAGAAGGAAAAAGUUGAAGAGGUAAUGACCUGCUCUUGAGAGCUCGCAGCAUCAACAGCUUUCUGAUUAGAGUCUAUAGAUAAUGGUUCCGCUGACCCUUUCACAUCUAAAAUCGAACAACAAAGAAUCAAUGAGCUCCGAAAAAACCAAAUUUAAAAAUAAAAGAAAUCCUUAUACUUUCAACGUAAUCAAACGAGAUCUAUAAGUGAAUCGUUCUGCACAAUAUGAUAGGUUGGCUUCCUCUUGUUUGUCCCUUUUUGUAGUUCAAUAACAUUUUAAUAGAAAUGUUUCAUCUAUGAUCUAUCAAAUGCACUUUACACAAUAACUAAUUAAAAAGUACAAUAAACUAAUGAAUCUGGAUAAAUAUCUAAAGCUACAAGAGACAACAAGUUGAGAAAGGCCGUCAAUUCGAACUUCUAAAUCCGUGCUAUAAAUUAUGAUGAUUGGAUACAACUGACUAACAAGUUCCUUAAAACUUCUACACGUUACAAAUCUUCCUCACAGAUUACCUUAACAGGUCUGUCCAAUUAAGGACAAUCCUGCACCUCUGAGCAACCAACAGCAUCCUGCUUAAAGGUCAAUUUUAGCACAACCACCUAUAUAAUAGCUACAGUUUCCCUUACCUUCCAAGCAUUAAAAUCCAACUCAUAGACCAAACUAUUCAAAACUCCACAAUGCAAGGUAUUCCUAAAUACAGGAUUGGGUAUUACAGUACUCUGACCAACUGUGCGCUGGCCCACAAAUCUCAAACAGUUGCCGAAAAAAUAACACAUAACAAGGAUACCCAAAAUGCAUUGCAGGAUAACCCUGAGCUGCAAAGGAGAAUCAAAUAGUACUUGCAGAAGUUCUUAUGCCUAGAAUACUAUAUUCAAUAUUCUCCGAGCAACCAUGAAUACAACACAGUUAAGUCACAGCAUGACCAAUAUACAUCUCCCAAUUUCCUCUUCAAGCAUCCAAAUAUGAGGAUUUCAAACUACUUUCACAAAAAUAACCUAUUGGGAUUGUCAGUUUUCGGUUAGAUUUGUAGUCAUCUAAAUCAGAAUCAAAGUCAUCUUGAUUAAUCAGAAGUAGGCAAGGAUUCAGAACGAGAUCUAAGAAAGCUUCUUAGAAAGAACAUGGAGAUCGCCAAUAAUUACCUACAGAUUCUAUCACUAAGCACAAUAAACAUAAAAAAUACAAGCAAGAAACGAGCUUAAUCCAAUUCCUGCUCGCCGAUCACAGCACUAAACAUCAGCAACACGCCCAAAUCCCGAUUCACACCUCAACCAACGAGAUCUUUCCAUUCCUCGCAUAAACUCGACACUCACAACGCAGCCACACCGCAAACCGAAUCGAAACAACGAGGAAACUCAUCCCCGAUCCAAAUCAAACAUCACAAUGCGAGAGCCCCGAACACGACGCACCAAUCGAUCUACGGAUUAAUCCAACAAAACAGUAAGAAUCGAUCGAAAAACUGCUCAUUACCAGCUUGAUCCGGCGCUUGCUGCGGAGUCGCCAUCGGAGGCUCAGAUCCGGAAAGUCGUCGCCGCGGAUCGCGACGGGAUCGACGAAAUCCGGAGAAAACGAAGCCCUAGCUCCGAUUACACCUACCGCAUCGUCUCCUUCCCCUCUCCUUGGAUCGGAUUCGGCGUUGGAUUCGUCGUGAUUGGAGAGAGAGAGAGAGAGAGAGAGAGAGAGGAGGGGGGGUUUAGAGGGGAGGAGAGGGGAAAACGAAGCUGAUGCGCCUUUAUGAAUUUAUUUAUACUGUGGAGGAAAAAAAGAUAACGGAGAGAAUCGAGAGAAAGAGCGAGGGGUUGUGUGCAAAAAGGUUGGGGGAAAUAUGUAACGAAACCCCUCAACUAUUAGUUAUUUUGAAAAAAAGGCAUUUUAAUAAUUUUAUUUGGUUUGAUUUUGAAUUAUUUUAGUCAAUUGAAUUGAAAGUAUAGCUAAUAAAAUUUUUAAUAUUAAUCUAAUAUAUUAACUUUUAAAAUUAUUUAAAUUCAUAAUAAUUAAAAGUUGGUGGGUGCUGAGAAAAAAAGAGAUAAAAUUUUUUUGUCUAUUCCAAAACGGAUUUUUCGAGGAGUUUUUCAUAUAUUUUUAUGCAUAUUUCAAUUUUUUUAUAAACCAUAAAAAGACAUAUAAUCAUUAAAAUAUGUAAGAUUAGGUAAAUUAUUAUUUUUUUUAUGAAACUUAUCAUAAUAUAAUUAACUUGAGCAGUAUACAUUUCCUGAAGUAUUAAACAUAUUAGAAUGUAUUAAAACUUUUGCUGGAGAAGUUCAAUUAUUUAUAUAGAUCAAAACAUUUUAAAUUUUAAAAAUAAGUCUAAUCCAGGUCAUUAAGGAUCUUUGUAACAUCAAAUUUGCACAUUGAUAAAAAUUAAAAAACUCAUUUCUAUUCUAAUAAAAUGAAUCGUCUUUUUUUAUCCUUUCGUAAUGACUCAUCUACGUCAAUUUACUUUAGAUUAAAUUGGUUAUAAUAAAAUUGCGUAGUUAGUGUUGGAGUGCAAAUAUAUAUAAAAGUUUGAAAAUUAAAAUAAUAAUAAUAAAUUUAAGGACCAAGUUACAAUGAUGAGGUAGUGCAGGUACUGUGCAUGCAUUUUUAAGCUUAAUAUUACAAAUAAUAAGUAUUUUUUACUGCAAUUAUUUAAAAUUUUAUUUAUUUAUUUUUGGGUAGGGCGUUUUUGAGGUUAUGGUAUUUAUCACUAUUAAUUUUGGAUAAUUUUAUCCAUUUAUAAAUCCAAUUCUACGAACAUAUGAUAGACAGAAUAAAAAAAAGGAGUAAAUAAAUAUUCCCUGCAAAAGCUUAUAAUCAAUUUAUUAAAAAAAUAUUUUAAAUAUAAACGAACGGUUAUAAUUAAUCUGUUAGAAAAUAACAUUUCUAUGCAUCUAUAAAUCCAAUAUACUAUGAAUGGUUACGAUCAAUUUGUUUAAAAAUAUCUCAAAUAAAAAUAAAUGGCUAUGAUCAAUCUGUUAAAAAAAGUAUUUCUAUUCAUUUAUUUUACAUUAAAAUUAAAAUUUGAGUUUAAAUCAUGAAUUAAAUUAAAUUUUAGAUAUCAAAUUUUAAUUAACAAUUUAAAAAAUUUAAUUAUAGUUGAUCAAAAUUAAAUUUUAAAUUUUAAAGUAAAUGUGAAUUAAAUCUUGAUGUUUUUAGUUUAAAACAUAUGCUUCAAUUUUAGAUUCAUCAUAUUUGGAAAAAUAUAUAAAAAUAUUCAAUAUCUAUAUUAAAAAAAUAUUACAGAUAUUUUCUAAUAAAAUAUAACAUAUAAAUUUAUAAAAUAUAAUUUUUAUUGUAAAUUUAAUUUAUAUUGAUUUGAGAUAAAUAUUAAGUAAUUGUUACGUAUAUUUGCACAUACACUCGACUAGUAAUAAUAAAACUUAGUAAUAAUAAAACUUUUUACAUUUUAGUAAAUUAUAUGGACCAAAUUUAUCCAAUAUACAUGAAACAAUUUACUAAUUAAUUUAGUGGGACCUGAGAGUAAUAUUUUUUUAGACAAAACUAAGCUAUUGUUUAGACUAAGAUAUUUUAGAAUCUCACUGUUUAAACUAAAUCAAAUCUCUUGUUGUUUUCUUCCAAAAAUUUAAAACUAAUUAAAUCAUCCAAAAAAAAAAAAAAAAAAAGAUUGGUGAGAGAGAGAGAGAGAGAGAGAGAGAGAAAAUUAUUUAGUUGUGAUUUUUGGUUGUUUGUUUGUUUUUUUUGUUUUUUUUUUUUUGGUCGGGAAAAGUGAAGAGAUUCCUUAAGUUGUGAAGAGAAAAGGUGUAAGAGAUGACUCAGAAAUCCAAAUGCGGGAGAAUCACAAAGUUUUACAACUUUUGCAUUACACGUUGGCUUUUGGAUUUACACGAACUAGAAAUGGUCCAGAUCCAAAUCCAAUCCAAUCAUGGGCCCAAACUAAUUGGGUUCGGGUUUAAAUUAUUUCGAGUUUAAUCUGAGUUACAUCCGAGUUAAGGGUCUGUUUGGUCUCGCUGAAGGAUUCAGUAUCAUUUGAGAAAGUACUAACUCAGUAGUAGUACUAUUAUGAGAAAUACUAUAUGCAGCAGUAAAACUAAGAGCCCGUUUGUUUUGGUGUAAGUAGAGUGAUGGAACUCAAGUUCCAUCACUUUCGUUAUUUGUUUUGAUGUAAGUGAAAAAUAUAAUGUAACUCAAGUUACGUUAGAGCUCCACUUCACCUACUCUCGACUUCCUCCUCUAAAGUGUCGAACUCGACUUUCACUACACUCAACCUCCUCUAAAAAAUUUAUUAAACAGUAAAACCUAAACUUUACUUUCUUUAUAAUGAGUUAGAAUUACCUUAUUUAUAAUAAAUUAGAAUUAUCUUUAAAUAAUAAAAAAAAAAUUAAUUAUAUAAUAGAUUAAAUUUUAUAGUGGUAAAUUUACUACUAUAUUUAGGAUAUAAUGAGAUCCACUUACUUACAUCAAAACAAACAACGGAACUCAAAACACUAAUUUUAUCAGCACCAAGUUACGUCAAAACAAACAACAGAAGUGAUUGAAUUUAACUUUCAAGCGGUACGAGUUACGUCAAAAUAAACAACAAAAAAAUAAUCAUACUUCAGAAAAACUCAAACACCACUACACUUGACUUAUGUUGAAUCUAUAAGUACGUCAAUCCAAAGAGAAACUAAAUUGUAACUUUUGAAUCUCUAUUAUUGCUUCACGGCGAAGUCGCAAUGUGGAGAUAGUACAGAGAUAUAUAUAGUACCCAUGCAUUUGACCUUUGUUUGUUUUUUUUGUUUUUUUUGUUUUUUUUUGUUUUUUGGGGUUCUUUGUUGCUAAGACACAACUCUGAUCCAUGAAAACGACAACAUGCCACAUAAGACCAUAGAUAGAUUGAAAUGUGAAUUAAACAAGAAAGGUAGGGAAAACUUCAAAAACCCUUCCUGUGGUUUCGUACUUUUUUAUUUCAGUACCCUGUGGUUUAAAGUGUAUCAAGUUAGUACCCUGUGGUUUCGCACUUUCUCACUUUAGUACCAUGUGGUUUUAUUUUUGUAUCAAGUUAGUACCCAGUGGUUUUUAAACCACAUGGUACUAAAGUGAAAAAGUGCGAAACCACAGAGUACUAAUUUGAUACACUUUUAACCACAUGGUACUAAAGUAAAAAAGUGCGAAACCACAGGAUACUAACUUGAUACACUUUAAACUACGGGGUACUAAAGUGAAAAAAAGUGAAACCACAUGGGGGUAUUCGAAAAUUUUCCCAAAAAGGUAUUUUGAAUUGUUGGUUAAUAAGAUUCCCCUACUCUUGUUUUUAAAUUUCUUUAGAACCUCUGGGAUAAACACUAUGAAAAUAGGAAGUUUCAUGUUUUGUAGUAACCCGCAUGUUACAGCGGGUAGAUACUGUUUAAGUAAAAAUUUGUAAAAAUAAAAUAUUAUUUUAGUAAAAAAAAAGUAAAUAUAGUUUAUAUUAUUGACAAACAUUUUUUUUAACAAAAAAACUAUAAUGAAAGAGAAUCAAUCAUUUCAAUAAAAUUAUUAAAUUUUGUUCAAAGGAAAUCACAUAUCAUGCAAAUGGAUGAUUAAAAUUAUUUUUAUAACACAAUAAUAAAAAAAAAAUUAUAUUGCAGUUAAUAUGAGCCAUGACUAAAGAAAGACCCACAAUAAUAUAUAAGACAAUUUAUAAGUAUUAUAUAUAUAUAUAUAUAUAUAAUCAAUUAAUUGACUCCGAAUAUGAAACACAACAAAGAUUCGAAUUUGCAAAUUUAAGGAAGAGGGUGGAAGACCAAAAGGUAAAGGAAAGAGGUAAAAAAAAAAAAUUUAGGCCUUAGUAAAUCUAAAGAAAAUGAGAAAAAAUAAUAAAAAAAAGCCCCACUCCUCAAAUUAAGAGGGUAGGUACAUGUAGAAUUUAGUCAUAAAGAUUAAUGUAUAGAUAUAGAUAGAUUGUUAAGAGGUUAAAAAUAUUAUUAAGUUACUAAAAGUGAGAUAUUUCACUCAACCAUAGUAAUAGGUUAAAAUGUAUAGACCUUAUCUAAACUAUAGACUAUUUUUAAUUAAUUAUUUUCAAUAUUUUAAAAUUUUAAUUUUACAAUCUAAUUUUUCAAUUUAUUUAAUUUGAAUGAGUCCACAACAUUAUGCAUCAUUUAUCUUUACAUGUAUGAUUAGUAUUAUAAUACAAUUUUUGUAUUAUAAAUUUCUUAAAAUAAUUAAUUUAUAUUUUAGCAUCAAAAUAAAACAAAUUGAAGAUGGUAUAGAAAAAUUAAAUUUUUUUAAAGACUGUAUAGCCAAUUCAAAAUGAUUCAUAAUUUAGAUAAAUUCUGUAUCCUUUUAGCAAGGUAAUAUAAGAUUUUUGACAGAAAAAUCAAACUUUCCAAAGUUACCAACACUGGUUUCAAAGUGGUGCUAUAUUUCAAGUUUUCUUUCUAAACAUUUUACCUGUUAACACAAGAACUGCAACUAAAAAUCAUAACACCAAUUUUUGUUAAACAAAGUUUGAGGAAAAUGACUUGAUUGAAAUAAAAAUUCAACUUCCGUGCAUCAAAUGCAUCACACCACAUCAAGAAAGAAAAUAAACUUAAAUAGAACAUACACAGCUGCGAAUUCCAAAUGUCGAGCAAUUUAACUUAAACAGGAUCAUUCGCUCGAGUACUAGGGUUUUCGAGUACGAAGACAAAUGUCAAAAGCACAACACAAAGCAGUUACAACAGCAGAUUCAUAAAAACUAAAAAAAGUCGUACAUUACAAAUUCUUCUAACAAAAUAAACAUGUCAUAGGAUCGAAAGUUUACCUGAGAUCUUAUUUCAAUCUGCAAAAGCACUCGAACUAAUUCGGACUUCAAUGUAUCCGACCAGUAUCGAAGAAGCUGGUCUCGUAGGGAGACUUGAGAAGUUGAAACUCCUGCAGAGGACUAACAUUGCUAUUGGCAGCGAAAGGAAUUUCUGGCUGCUGCUGAGCCAAAAGCGGUUUAUCGUGCCAGUGAUAAGCUGAAGUAGAGUUUCCCAGGUAAGAUGGUGCGGGCUGAGAAGCGCUUAUUUGGUUAGUGUCCACAAACUGGAUGAGAGAAGCCGUUCCAGGGUCUGGAGAGCCCCACGAGCUAGAUGACAGAAGAGAGAGAGCACGCUGAAGAUCCGGUGCUCCACCUAAGUUUGAAGCAGUUACAGAUGCUUCCGGACCUGUAUAAAUUACGGACAUAUGAAGCAGAGUCAACUAAAACCAAAAGCCCUCUUCGGAAUCGCUGGAGCACAGUACUUUUUUGAGUAAAAAAUUUUGAUCAAGCGCUAGCAAUUUUUUCACAAAAUAUGCCCAGGAUGGCAGCUACCCUUUGCAGACAGAAGCUUCGAAGUGUAAUUUCAGCAUCCAUCGAUGGUGAAGCUUCAGAACUAAAUUAAAAAAACACAUGGAUACUGCCAAUAUACAAUUACAGAGCGUAACUGCCCAUCUCAUUUUAAAGAAUCAGGUUCAAUUUGGCUGUCACAACUUGCUUGACUAGCAUCUACGGAAGUUUAAAUAAGGAAAGUAGACUACUGAUGACGCAUGAUCUGCAAAUAUCUUAACUAAAUGUAAUUAUGUUAAUAAGCUAAGAAAAUCAGCAAGCAAAAAGUUGAGAGUGAAUGAUCAUCCAUAGCGAAAACUUAAUGAUUGCAGUUCUCAGGUGAGAUGCAUUAGUUUUCUACUUCUAACUUCGAAUGCAAGAUUUGUAGAAACAAAACAAAUACAAAUAAUGCCUUGUUAUCUUUCUUUCCUGAUUUGGUUUUAUUUUCCUAAUGCUAUCCUCAGCAACAAUUUUCUCAUUAGCAAAAAUACCACACUAAGAAAAGAAGCAUAUCACACUGAAUCACAUAGAUGAGAUGAUCAUGGUAAAUCAGAUGAAGGUACUCUUGUGAAAGCAGUAUCGAGCCAUUGGGUAGAAGCAGAACAUAAUGGAGUUUCAUAAGUUUAACCCAACAGAAAUAUAUCACCUUGUUUGAGGACCUUGGCUACUUUACCUUUGAGAGGCAUGAGCCUGUCCACGUCAUGACAAAGAGUUGAGAAGGGGCUUGAUAGCUUCGAGUUACUCAUUUGCAGUUGUUGUCCAUCAACACCUCCUGCUUUUGUUGAUUUGAUCCAUGAUUCUUUCAUUUGCGACAGCUUGUCAGAUGAGCCUCCCCAUGCAGAGCUUGUUAGGGGUCUCAUCUGAUCUGUCGGAGGUUUACUCCACACGAAACUUAUCUGCCGUCCCUCAUCUGCACAGGCAACAAAAAUAUUAUACAAAAUCGAUCGAAAAUACAAAGUGAAAGUAUUAUCGAACAUGGUGGGAGGUCUGGGAAGUGAUUUGUGCCCCAAGAAGGAAUAUGACAUAUUGCUCAAGCAGUAGGCAUACGGCUGGUCAUUCGAUGAAUUUGAUGGCUAAAGCAGUCUUCAUGAGAAGACAAGUAUACGAAGCAACAAUGAGAUUACAGACUAGGAUAAGCCUAAUUUUGUGAAACAUAGUCCCCAAACAACUUGCCAAAUUCUUUGAGUAACAGUAUAUCGCUUACCAAGAUAGGUAUUACCUUCUAUCUGUGAACAAGUGAAUGAUGUAUCAAUCACCAAGGAAGGUAAUAAAUGAUAAUUUCCCUAUCUGCGAUGCACAAGUAGUUAUCCUACAAGUAAAUUAAUUUUCUGAAAACAAUGACAAGUGGAAAUAGGACGAAAAGGAGAUCCUGCUUCUAAACAGAUUUAAACAUGAAGAGAUGACAGCCUGAAUUUCUUCUAAAGAUUAGCGAACAUAAUAAUAGAACCAAGAGUAUUUUUACGUCAAAACAAAAUGAUGAAAGACUAAUAUUAAUAGGAAGAAAAAAUAUGGCAAAUAAGAAAAUUAGUUUUACAGUAUUUACCUUAGUUAUUUCAUAAAAAGCAGAUAUUAUAUCCAAUCUUUAACAAAUAUUAUAUCCAAUCUUUAACAAGUUAAUGAAAACUAAACAUAAAAUUUUUUACAUAUUUACUCCAACAUGUCUUAUACUUUGCUAAAUUGUUUGCAAGAAAUUAGAAGAACCACUACAUGCCUACCAGAAUGAAUAAGUACCUAAAAUGUUACUUUUAGUUAUUAAUAGGUUAUUUUGGUCAAGUAAUAUGUGAGCCACAAGAUAGGCCAAGAGAGUUAGUCAAUAGGUAUAAUGGUAAACCAAGAAAGUAUCGAGGACGAUGUAUACACACAAAUAACAAGGAAAAACAAACUGGCUUAGGCAUCAAAGAAAAAACAAAAAGCAAGCAUUAAAUUUGAAGGUACAAAGUUCUAUCACACAACAGAGUACAAAAUAAGAAACUAAUACACUUGUAAAAUGACAUACUACUACAUUGAGAAGUAAAAUUUUGCCCAUUUCUUAGAGAAGUUGUAAAAGCUCGUUUAGAAAUAUUAAUUAAACUGAUCUAGAUCACAUCAUAAUGGAGGACAUCUCAAGAGAACAACGGCUAUAGCAGCAUGACAAAUCUCAUACUUCAUAUAGUAACAAAACAAGUGUUUGUAACAAUAAGAAGCCAAUAGAAACAAUCGUUUUAAUAGCAAAAAAGAUCCAUGAGAUACAACUACAAAAUUUACCAUAAAAUGAAGAAGAAAGCCUCGAAGAACUAAAUGAGAACGCCACGGGCUGUGGCUUACGGCGACGUGCAUUAUGAUCAGACAGACGUCUGCGACAGCUCCUCUUCUUCUGAUCAAACUCCGACAAAGCAUGGAACCUUAAACAAUACCGGAAAGAUAAUCGUCAUAUCAGAUAUAUGUAGGAAACUAUAAGAUGUAACUAUGCAAACAUUCUAAAUAUCAUGUGGAUUUGAACUGUUCGGCCCAGUAGAAGGUUCUACAAAAGUCCUAUUGAAUUAAAUAUGUUCGAAGAAGUACUAUCGCCUAGUUGACCCGGCUUCUCAAACACCACCUCUGCUCAAUAGGCAAAAGUUAGAUGUUUGACAGACAAUUAUGGAGCUCCUUGCUACUGCGAGAUGCCGAAGCUAACAUUUAAGCCUCAAAAGCAAAAACUCCGAUUUAGAGCUUCUGCUUCUAUUUUUUGUACAAAGAUACUCAUACUGCACUUCUGCAAAAGCUCCAGUGAGGCCAAACCAGCCUCCUGCCGUAGCUAGAAGUAGAAACACCAGAUUACAAGAGCCAAACCAGAGCUUCUGCCGGCCGUAAGCUCAUUUUAAUAGCCAACCACAGCCAGACGCACCCAACUACUGCUUCUUCAGCAGAGAAGCUACUCACUCAAUCAACGCCGAAUUACUCCCUAAAACCACUUCCGGAAAAGAACCACACCUGCUGCAUUGCUGACAAAACCGGCGCUCCAGGCCGUUGACAGUAACCUUAGGACAUUUGGAAUGGCUCUCGCAAACCCUAUGCUUCCGGUGGUAAUCCUUCGCCGAGCUGAGAUCGAUAUUACAGCCCUCUACCUGACAGAAACUACUCAAAGCGCUCGCCUGCGACACCUUCGCCUUCUUUAAAGCGGCGGCGGCUGCUGCGGCCGCCGCCGAAGACGACGACGACGACUGUGAUGCAUCCUCAAAGUAAGUCCUUUUCCCCAAUCUCAACCCAAUCGCCGCCACCCCAGCCCCCGCCCCCGCCGCAGGCGCCGCCGCCGUGUUCUUCGCGGUCGGCGAGAUCGCCGGCUCCUUCUUAAGCGUCGGAUCCACAACCGACGACGACGAUCCCCCGGAGGAGUAGAUAGACCCAUCGUCGAUCCUCUGCUGCGCCGCCGCCGCCGCCUCCUCCGCCGCCGCCGCCACUGGGUUAUCCCAAUCCCAAAGCAACGGGGUCUUCGCGCUCCACUCCAUCCUCAAUCCAGCAUACAGUAAAAUUCGCAGCAACUAUCGAGAUCUAGCUAGGGUUUCGCAGAUCCACUUCGGAGAAACCCCAAAUCCGCGGCCAAAUCACCCCGAAAACGCCCCGAAAACCCCGAUCGAAAGGCUAAAAAAUCCCAACUUUUUUAAACCUUCUACAAUCAAAAAAAGAAAAAAGUAAAAAGAGUCAACGGCGGGAGUAAGCAGCCCAAAACAAAAUCGAAAAAGAAUUUGGAAAAAAAAAAAAAAAAAAAGUAGGAUUGAGAUGGAGAGUGAUGGGGGAUUUGAAGGUGGAGAGCGAGGAGGGACAAACCCUAGAAGGGAUUUGGGGAGAGAGAGGAGCGCUUUUUGGGUAUCAUCAUGAUUUGGGACAAAAAAUGUGUGUGUGAGAGAGAGAGAGAGAGAGAGAGAGAGGGGGUGGGGUGUGUGCGCACACAAAUGAAUGAGGAGAUGAUGAGGAGAAGAGAUGGGGGGAUUGGGGGGAUAAAAAAAGAGAAAAUAAUAAUAUUUAAAAAAAUUUAGAAUGUGUCACUCACAUACACUAAUUAAUUUUUUUUUAGCUCGAUCAAUUAAAUUUACUCGUCACAUUAUAAAUUUAUAAAACAAAUUAUUAUAUAUUUUUUAAAAAAAUACUAAAUUAGUUCAAUAUAACUGAUGUGGUGCGACUGUUAUUAUACAUAUAUAGUUUUCUCGUAGAGGAGAGGAGAGCGUGAGAUACGGAAUAUCCCCGCACCAAUCUCUUUCUAGGGUUCCACUCACUGAGUCAUUCACCACCCACAUACCCAUGAAUCUCUCUAUCUUCUUCCUUUUUCUUUUUUUUUUCUUUUCUUUUUUUUUUUGGCUAUAUUGUGCUUUUGGUCCUCAAAUUAUGAGUCAUCGUGUGACAAUUUGAUCAUUAAAUUUUAAUUUAUUAUAGUUUAUAAGUUGAUUUUUUAAAUUAUUACAGUGAAGUUUUAUGGUCGAAUUUAGUUGGUUAAAUAUUGAUAUAUUACUGAUGUAAAAAUAAUAUAACAGUAUUGUAAUUGAUGAUGCGAUAGUAAUUAACAUGUUGCAUCACUUUCGUAUUAGCGACACAAUAAUAUUUGGUCAAUUAAAUAAGAUUGUAGGAUCUGAAUGCAACAAAUUAUAAAAUUCAACUAAAAAAUUAUAAUAUAUUAAAGUUUGAGAACUAAAAUGUCAGGCGCUCAAAAAUUGAGGACCAAAAGUGUAAUUAAGCCCCUUUUUUUUAUAUACUUUAACUUCCUCUCUCUCUUCCCUCACCCAAAAAUAUCGUAAGUUCUAGUACAGGAAGCGUAUCUUACAUUCUAUUUUUAGCAUUUAAAAAUUUAAAAAAAAAUAAAAAAUUGAUGAGACUAGUAAUUAAGUAAAUUUAAAUCCUUCAAAGCUUACGAUAUGCCAUUUACAUCCAAAUUAUAGGUGUACAAGUAGUAUUACUCAAAACAAAAAAAAAAAAAAAAAAUUGUUGAUUGUUGAUUAUACUAGUAUGAUUAUAUACCACACCCCAUAGAUGGAAUUACCACUCCCAUGCAUAACAGGAAAAAAAAAAAAAUCCAAUUUUAGUAAUUCUUACCAAUUAUGAUACCUUAAAUUAUAAAUUUAAAAUUUUGAUCAACAAUCAUAGACUGAACAAAACAAAGCUAUAUUAAAAUGAGUUUAAUAAUGUAAGUAAACAUAUUAUGUUCUUAAGCUUGACUUGUACUUCUCUCUCUUCUUAUAAUUUAUUACUCAUAUAAACCUUAAUAUUCACCUAUUUAUUAGAUUCAUUGACCUUUUUAUCAUAUAUGUGGGUAAAUACUUACAUAUAUACAUUCUACGCAAGGCAGUGUAACGACUACCAAUCGCAUUUUAUAUUUCAAUUCUUAUUAUUUUAUCUGCGAUGAUAAUUUUAUUUAAAAUAUAAAUUAAAUUAUUGAGACCUAAUGGAUGGUUAAUCAGUCAUAACUCAUACAUCAAAUUAGACCAAACUAAAUGUUUCUAUUCAUCUAAUUAUUGCUCUAUUUGCGUCACUAUCCAUUGAACUUUUUUGCUCAUUUAUUUAUAAAAGGGUCUCUCUCUCUCUCUCUCUCUCUCUCUCUCUCUCUUUCUCGACAAUGCUAUCUGUAAAUUUUAUUAUAGAGCGUAAAUUUUAUUCUCCAUCAUUUAAAAAUUUAAUUUUUUUAAAAAAAUUAGUAAUAAAAAAAAUUAUGAGACAAAUGAGUAAAACUAGGCUAUGAAUAAUUUAGGAUGUACAAUUUAUACAUAUAUUGAGUCCGGCCUUUACGAGUAUGAUCACUUUCACACUUAUAAGUCAUUUUCGAUGAUAGAGUUUUUGAAUCGGUGAUUCAUAUUAUUAAAUAUGAUUUAGAAUAUUUAAAAUUUUUAGAAAUUAAAUAUUAUAAUUUUUCGAUAUUAUUUGCCUUACAAUCAAAAGAUUUUAAAAUUAAUCAUUUUUAACGGCUGACAUGUGAUACUUACUAAUUUAAUAGUGUAAAAGAAUCGAAAUUGGUUGAAUUUUUAAUACAAAAUUUUAUUCAGCAUCUAUAUAAAGAUCAAUAACUCUGAUCUUACAUUGAAGGAUUCGAUUAUUCAUUUUUAGGGCAUCUUUCAAUUUUGACUAUUUAUUUUAUGCAUGUUUGAUAGAUCUUAUUAUGAUUUUGAAAAAUUACAUUUUUUUUUUUUAGAAGUUUCAAACACUCAAUAUCAUAAUUAACAUAAUUGAUCGUUAAUUCAGAAGCUUCAUCAUCGAAAACAACUUAUGAGUACGAAAAGGUCUAUACAAAUAAGAGUAUAAUAGCGCACUAGCACUGCUCUACAUAUAUUAUAGAUUUAUACAUUGCAUUGUUUUUUUUUUUUUGUUGGAUGUUUUCAAGAUCCUUUCACUAAUAAAAUAAAACACUAACUUAAGAUCAUUACCCUUUUGUUGACAUGUGAAAGCUUAACAUUGAUUGAAGAUCACCCACACAUCACUUGAUCUUUUUAUUUAUUUUAAUAUGAAACAAAACUUGCGUGGAUUUGAUCAAAAUUGUCGGUUGCCCAGUUGUCCUAUUUUUUAAAAGUGAAAUACACAAUUAAGGGGAAAAAAAAAAUCAUUAUAGGGGUAGGUCUCACUACCAUAAAAAUAUGACAAAGAAGUGGUAAGAAUAUAAAAGUAUAACAAUUAUGAGAUGGGACUUAAACAAUUAUGGUAUUAGAUCACAGUCACAAACGUUUUGUUUCAAAAAAAAAAAAAAAAAAAAAAAAAAAAAAAGAGAAUGGUGAUCCACUCAACCAUAAAGCCAUUUUGAAAUGGCCCAAAACUUUUUAUAAUGUUAAUUCAUUUAGUGUUUAAUCUGUUGAAUUAAUUUUCUUAUUAUUCUUUAUUAAUAAUUAACAGCUAACUUAGUAACUAUUUUAUUAAUUCGCACGCUCUUAAAUCUCAGAUACUGUAAAACAUUUCUUAUGGUUUAAAAUUGAAACGAAAUCCAAGUUGUAUAGUAUAAAAUUGAAUAUUUUGUUCCUAGAUAUAAAAAUAUGUUCUUAUAAUAGUAAUUUAUUAGUUAGGUACAUAUCAAAAUCAUUCUAUAAACAAACUAAUUAAAGAUUUUUUUUUUUUAUUUUUUCCAAGAUACUUUGCAGUGUUACCUCCUUUCUCAUUCUCACAUUCAUUCUUUUUCUUUCUUUCCUUUUUUUUUUUUUUCCACCCCACCUUUUCCUGAGCUUUUUUGACCAUCCUCAGUGGCAACUCAGAUCUUAUUGAGAUUUGCAUGGGCAUGCAUUAUGUUCUCCCAAAAGUAAAUAGUGAAAAAAAAAAAAAAGGAUCAGGUAUUGUUCACAAGUACUGAGAAAUCAUAACUUUUCGAUAAAUAAGUGUUAUAAAAUGUCAUAACAUAACAUUUAAUUAACCGCCAAAUCUUCUUAUUCACAUUUUCGAUUGAGCUUAUUUCUAAAUAAAUGAACGAAUCAAAUAGUAUGCUAUUUUUUUCUAAAAAAAAAAAUUAUUUCAACUAUACUGAAAGUGUGAAACAAUUAAGAUGCACUAUCUGCCUAUCAUGUUUACUUGUCUGUCUUAAUACAUAUAAUUCUGCAGCUCAUCAGCAGCAUCUUGACAUGCACUAUUUAGAUUGACUUGUACAGAUAAACCCCUAUCACAGAUGAGCUAUGAGAUUAGUCGUGUGCUCAAAAAAUUUUGUACACGGAGUUGUAGACAAACUCCGCCCUGUUUCUCUUUGACCUGCUCUGAUGGAUCUUGUUGAGCUCGAGUGCACCAAAAGGGUCGUACAGUUUCCACUAAAUCCAACCUAGAUAUGACCUAACACGACCCACAAGUACGACUCUCUGGAGCAUGAUCUUGUAUUAUAUCUUAUUGAACUUGUGCUAGAAAAGCAGUUCACUUCUGAAAAAAACAAGUGGCCUAUAAUUUACGGUGCGAUGCACCACUAUUUUGAGCAGUGUGUUGAUAACUUUAUCACCAGACGAAAGAGAUUUCGAGCUUAUAUUUUACAGAAACAAGUGCAUGUUAAAACCGUAUAGUCUUUUUGAUUGAAAUACGAAGGUGCAUUGGCGAAUUUUAUAAGUUUGUAAGUGGGACGGUGCGAUUACCCUAGAGAAGCGAUUUUUUAAACAGAUAAAUGGAUGUAAAUCGAGGUAUUCUAUUUGACAGUUGUAUUUUCAACUACAUGCAAUUUUGGACGGCUACCUAGUCUCCGCCUUCAUCUUUAGGUUCAAUUGCCGUAUUUGUACUGCAAACUAAACAGAAUUUUUAGACUCUUGUUGACGCAAAAUUUUGGUCGUCGGAUUGUCUUAGCAGUUUAGUAUUUGGCAAGAAAUAAUCAUCACGGAGUUUUUAGGAUACGAUCAAAAUUUCUAGGAUUCAAAUUUCAAAUGAGAUUUAGCAUUUGCAGCAGUCACGGAGUUUUUAACAUCUCUGGCGAAGCAUUUGCAGCAGUGCAUUUUUGUUAAAAUAUAUCGUGAAGCCAAUAGGGCCGCUGAUUAUUUAGCAAGUCAUGCACUUAAUUCAAGAAGUAAACUGGCUUUUGAUCCUACAAGUGACCUUCCCAUAGACUUUGUUAGGAUACUUUUUGAAGACUUUGCAGGUAGAGUCUUUUUGCACAAAGUGUAAUCGGUUUUUGCUUUUAACAAAUUAGCCUGUUGGCUCUUUUGACCAAAAAAAAAAAAAAAAAAAAAAAUCAAAUGAGAUUCCGACUUAUCAGAAGAGUCGGAUUCUAAUUAGAGAAAGGAACUCCCCUUCAACAAAAAUAAUUAUAUAUCUAACAAUUCUCAAGCAAUUUAGGAGUAGUAGUAGCUUUUGUAUUCAAGUAAUAGUUUCGAUAGGUUUAGUUUCGGCAGUUUCCUAUAGUAAUAGUUUCAAUAGGUUUAGUAGUAGUAGUUUCUACAGUAAUAAUUUCGACAGUUGAUUCACAUUUCCAGCUAAGUUUAUUUCUAAAUGAAAUAAACGAAGCGGGUAGCGUGCUACCUAUCUCUCUUAAAAAAAAAAAAAAAAAUUCCGACAAUUUCUCUUCCAGGAAUUUCAGCUAUUUUGUAAGAUUAGGCCGAGAUUUCGAAUUUUUAGGGCAUUUCAACUUCAAAGAAGCGACGAUGGAAUCCAAAUCAUCCAAGUUCGACCUGUUUCAAGUGGUCAAAUAUACGUGCUCUGAGAAGGUCAAAUCCUAACGGAGAACCCGAGCCAAAAAACAUGCAUUCCCAACUCUCCAUCCAUUAUAGUCAUUUGCUUAUCUAUAUAUAUAUAUAUAUCUAUACCUAUACAUUAUUUCUUCUAAAUUUAUCACAUGAUAACAUUCUCUUUAUUGUUCAGUGUGGGCUCCAUCUAGAACCGGUUCAAAUUCUUUCUCUUUCUUUGCUUAAACUGAAUCGAUCGUUAUUGAGCAUGGGCGUUCCUCCGAACCUUCUCAAGUUUUUUCACAUAUUUUUCUCUUUCUUUAUUUGAACCAAAUCCGGUUUCUCUCUUUCUCUGCUUGAACCAAAUCAAGUCAACUUAUUGCAUUGGACCGAACCGACCCACCUGCUCCACAUGUUUUUAUCUUUGACCCGAAUUUUUCUCUUUUUUAUUUGAACCGAAUCGAUCACUAUCGAGUGUGAGCUCCACCCCGAACUGGCUGAAGUUUUCUUCUUUCUUUUCUUGAACCGAACCGGAUUUUCUUUUUCUUUUUCUUUUUUUUUUUGUACCGAGCCGAAUCACACUUCUAUAUUAGGCUGAACUAUUCUUAUUUCUCUUCCUUUAGCUGUUACUUUCGUUCAUCAGUAAGAUGACUCCCAUCCCUCAUCAUCGCUUCUUUUAUCGCCAUUUUCUCUUUUUUUAUCGUUAUUUUUUAUUUUUUCUCCAAUUAUCUACACGUCAUGGGUUAUUUAUUUAUUUAUUUAUUUGGCUCAAUAGCUUGCUUUUACAAAUUGCAAAUUAACAUAGGAAGAACUAAAUAGUCCCUUUUAGUUCAAACAAGCAUUAAUUGUAACAGUUAAUGGCUUACCCUACUUAGAUCCGAAUCCGACCCAUUAUCAUUUUUUUUUUUUUUUAACUUCACCAUUACACGAAAAGGGCCUUUUACUUACCUCCUACUCCCCAGACCCCAAGGAUCCAUUUUUUUUUAUUUUAAUUAUAAAUUCCUCGAGCCUAGGCGUUUCCUACUCAUUUAAUUUAACACAUUAAUAAAAAAAAAAAAAAAACACAACUAACACCACAAGAGAGACACAAGAAUCUUUGACCCAAAAAGGAGAGUGGGGGGUGGCAAGAUAUGAAUCUUUUUUUUUAUAUUUUUUAAAAUUUUUUUAAAUUUUUUUUUAACUCUUCAUUACAGAGCACGUAAAGUGUAAGUUAACGGCGUAUAUUUUAGCUUUGAACCAAAAAGGAUACAAAGCCACUAAAGUGUUUGAGAUGUGUUCUCUCUCAAUCAUUUCCUCCACCAAAGGUGGAGUUACAAACAGGAGCUAAUAAUGAAAAUUGAUAUUGCCCAAGUACUUGGUAGUAAACCUAACUAUGAUUUGAAUACUUUUACUGUGACAAUAAUAAAAAUUACUUUAAUAAUAUUAAGUUUUUAUUAAUAAUUGGGUCAGAAUCUGAUCAUAAGGGUGAGUGAACCAAAUGGGAUCUGAAAUUUUUAUCCAGAUUUUUUUAUUUUUUUUUUGGAAAAAGAGUAGUACGCUACCUGCUUCCUUCAUUUAAAAAAUAAAUUUAACUACAGAGGUUGAGGCAAUAUAACCUCCAAAAAUACAAAUGAAAGUAAAGAGAAAAAAAUCGUAGAGAAUUUGCUAAUUCUACUCCUCACUCAAGACUAAGUCACUAAGAGCUGCAAGACUCAGCUCAUUUCUGGCUCACUUUCCGGAUUCGUUUAAUUGUCAAAAAAGGGUCAAAUGAUUGAUUCCUAAAAAUUAUGUCAUUUCUUUCCCGCCAGAUCAUUUACCAACAUGUUGCGAUCGUGAUUAGAUCCCUCACUGUUGCCCAUCAGGGACGGUCCCCAACCAGAAGCUCCUAGACACCCCUGACCUCCAUCCCAGGUUUUGGGAUGAUGUUGAAUAUUAAAAAUCUGCUGAUUACGCAUCCAACAAGCAGAUGAUCAAUAAUCUCAACAUCGUUGCCGCACAUCACAUACUGUUGAUUCUCGGAUCGGCCUCUUUUGAGUAAGUUGUCAAACGUAGAUAGGCAUUUCUUAAGUACUAACCAAAUAAAAAUUCUAACUUUAGAUGGUAUUUUCAACUCCCAAACCUUCGGCGAAAGAAAAUCUCGUACUUCCCUAUCUCGGAUCAGUACAUAUAUAGACUGAACGGUAAAACACCUUCCAGCAAUUGGAUCACCAUGGUAACUUUGUGGUUAAGGUUGGAUUUAGAAUUUAGGUCGGAGAUAAUUAGAAAUAAGUUGGGGUUUUGGGCUGUGCUUGUAUAUGUUGCUAAAUACGUAUAGUGUAGUGUUGUUUAAUAAAAUAUUAUUUAAAAAAAUAUAAUUACGAGAAGCAGAGUAUAGAAUAUUAGGAUAACUCCUCUUACUGGUAAGAUAUGGUUCAGAUAUAAGCUUCUGUUUCAGAUUAUCCAAAUAUUAUUUUUGUUACCUUCCUGUUACAAAAGCUCCAGAAUUUUCGGAUUAUCAACCUGAAGUAGAAAUUGAAGCAGAACCAACGAGACUCUUAAAGGGCGUUUUGUUUCGCCUAAAUAAUACCAAAAAAAUAAUCUUCUGGCUGAAAAAAAAAUAUUUUCCGUUCGUUUAAUUCCUAGAGAAGUUAAUUAUUCUCAAAAUUUUCAAAAAAAAUAAAAACUAUGUAAAGAUACAUUUUUCAUAAAAAAGAAUCUUAAUUCUUGGAAAAUAAUUUUUCACGCUUUUAUGAGAAACCGAACGCCCCCUUACAUAAAAGAAAAAAAGGCAAGAUCAUUUCUUCAAGAAGGUGCUAACCUACACCUGACCAUUUACAUAAAUUAAUCAAACCAAAAUUGAAAGUGACUAUUUACAUAAAUUAAUUAAAACCAAUUCGAUCCCACUUGCGUGUUUAUAGGUCUGGGUAGAGACCCAACCACUAUCAUGAAUGAUUGAAGCCAAGGAGAAAAUGGAAGUACACUAGGAAAGAAAAAAAGGAGAAAGAAAAAGAUAGUGUGAUAGAGACAGGGUUUAUAUAUAUGAUAAUAUUUUAUAUAUAUAUAUAUAUAUAUAUGAUAUGAUCUACAUGAGCUUAAGUUUAAGUUAGCUUUGAGCUCUUACUGUGGUGUGAAAUAUCAUAGAAUUAUUUAAUUUCCUUUAUGAAGCCUCAUGAUGCUACUUUGAUGCCCCACAACCUGAAAAUAAAUGCAUAUAUGGAAGCAUAGUGAUCAGUGGAACAAUGAUGGAGGAAUAGUGAGGCUACAGAGCCUUGGAUUUGAAAUGGUGAGAAAAUUAUUGGUUAUAAUAAUAUAAAAGGAGUUGGGUAACUAGAAGUGCAUGAUUGAUUCUUAUGCAAAGGUAAUACACCAUGUCACUCACAGAAUAAAAAGAUAUGCUAAUAUAUAUUAGGGUUAAUUGCAUACAGGUCCCCGCAAACAUAGUGAAUUAUAAAUAUAUCCCUAUAAAGUUCAACUUUUAAUAAAUUAUCCCUACAAAAGUCCUAACGUUUUCAGAUAUGUCCCUUUGGUUUGUUACCGUUAGAGAAUCGUUAGAAAACUGUUUAUAUUUUCAAUUUUGCCAUCACAAAUACGUCCCUCCAAAAGUUAUAACAGUAUAACAUAAGAGGGGUAAAAAUAUCAAAAAUUAAUCCGGAUAAAGUAUUUAACCUAUGAUUAACUAAACUUUUCUCACGGAUUCUAACGGCUGGGAUAUAUAUAUGAAAACAUUAGAACUUUUACAGGAAUAACUUAUAAAAGUUGAACUUUAUAAAGAUAUAUCUGUAAUUUACUAUAUUUAUGGGGACCUAUAUGCAAUUGACCCUUGGGGCUUAUUUGGAUGCAUUUUGAAUAUUUCCUUCAACAUAUAUUUUUAGUUUAUUGAAACAAGGAUAUAUUACUUGGUUGAAGAAUCCCGCUGCUAUACUAUUAAAAGUAUGAAGCCCUUCGUGCUAUAAUAUUAUUUUCGAUGAUGGAACAUCCAACUCGGCGAUUAGUUCCGCUAAACUUGAUCUUCACUAUUAAAAAUAUUUAAAAAUCAAAUUUUCUAAUUUUUCGACAUUAUUUAUCUAUAGAAUGAAUAGACUCAAAAUAAACAAAAUAAAAAUACCCUAAAAAAUAAUGAUAAAAUAUUUAAAUUUCAGAUCAGAGUAUUCGUCUUGCUCUAAAUAGUAAAAUAAAAAAAUUCUGUCAAAAUUCACUGGAUUUAGAUUGUAUCGUACCAUCAAAAUUACCAAUACAUCACAUUGGCUAUUAAAAUUAUUAAUUUUGAAUCAAAUGAUGAUGAAAAAAAAAAAAAAAGAAUUCUAAAUACUUCCACUAUCAUAGGAUUGUCGAUUCAGAUAUCACAUCAUCAAAAAUAAUUUCAUAAAACGAUAACCUCCAUACUAUUAAUAGUCCUGUAGCCCAGUUUUUUGAAAAAUAUCUACAUCAGCAUAAUAUAUACAACAUCCCAAUCCUUUUUCUCCCUGUAUAAUUAAGCAAAGUUGGCUUGUGAGGGUUAAGGUCAAAAUCUCAACUUACAAUUAUGGUAAAAAGUCGAUACCACAAAUAUUAUCACUGAAUAACUUAUUUCAACAUCAAGCCAAGCCCUUGUAAGAUGUGGGUUUAAAAUAAGCCACAACAUCUUAGCAUAUGACCCUAGAUCAUUACCUAAUGGCAUAGAAAUUAGAAAACAACUCCACAAGCUACAAUGGUAAUAAAUAUUAGUGAGGCAUAAAGGCUACAGGGGGAGCUAGCAUCAUGUGCAACAUAGAUAAAAAUUCACAAGUACAAACAGUUCAUGAGAACAUUUGUAUGGUGUAGCUUAACCAAGAAUAUCUUAAAGAACCUUCAAACUACAGGAAGAAGUUAAAAAGUAGGCGCCCCAUGUCAUAUGAGAGCAAUUAGGGCACCUCGGCGACGACACUUAGCCGAUAACCUCAUUUGCUUUUGCCUUUAAAAAAAAAAAGGCUUGUGCAGGUGUAAAAAAGCAAAAAAGCAAGACUAAUGACAUUAGUUAUGUCUCCACUUUUAGAAGAACCUAAUCCUAACACACAAAGGACGGGAGAGCCUUUAAUUUAAGUCCCUAACAUGAUUACCACUGUAUGUGGAGACUAUGAUGAGCAUCAAGUACCAAGAGAAUGUCUUUGGCUAAAAAAAAGGCCAUUGUGUUUGUAUUAAUGCUCAUGCAUGCCUAAUUCCUCAUCAUUUGGCCUAAUGGGGCCAUUAACAAAUCCUUAUUAUGGGAAUUAUGGAAAGUUCAGUUAAGUGAUAUCUCUUUAUGAGCCCCCCUAUAAAGAUGGUGAGUAGGGUACACCUGCAAUACCAAAAUAUUGUUUAGUUUCUGUAUGUACAGUGAACUAAUAUAAGCAUCAGGAUUGGGAUUAUAUUUGCAUGUCUCAGUGAUACAGUGCUUAUUUUUAAGAAUACGAAUGCAUUUAGGAGUGUGACAUGGUGAAGACGCAAUAAUUAUGUUGCAGUGUGGAAGUAGAUUUAGGCCAAGGUAAGAAUCUCAACUAACACAGAAGCAAGAAUUAGCGUAGGACAUGCAGAUAGAACCAAGAGAAUAACAAUGAUGCAAAAGACAGAAUAAAAACUUGCACUAGGUAACUGAAAAAGGAGAACAUGAAAAACUGAGCAUAUAUGCUUUCUUCAGAUGAUCUGUAAAAACCCAAAACCAAUCUGUCAACAUAGUCAGAUCUAUAUUUCAAUGAGACGAGGAAAAAAACAUCCUCUCUAUUCAACCUUUCUACUAGAGAUUCUUAGAACUCAUAGAAUUUGCCAAAAUGACAACAAAAAGGUCAUAACAUGACAUAAUCUAGGAGAACAGUGGGAAGUCAUAAGAGUGAUUGCAGGUGAUAGAACUUGGACCAGAGAAAUCGUUUAGCUCCAUCUUGAUGCAUGCAAAUGACAAAUAUUGACUCUGGUCAGUACAUUCUUCAUCCUGAUACAUAGAAUCGAAUGGAAUUACAAUUUAUUAAUAUACUGGGCAUGCUCGGAUGAACUCUAUCUGCCGCGAAAUUACAAAAUAUUUCUCUUUGACAUAUAAGAGAAAAAAUGAAAAAUGAGACAAUAGGAACAUACGUAUUAGAGUACCUGCCAAAGGAUAAAUGAAGGCAACAGCUUGUUUCUAAUUUAGUUCGAUACGAAUUGGAUAUCCAAGGCUCUCACUCUUUAGCUUGUAAAAGAUAGCAUAUAAGGAAGAUAAACAUACAUGUAGCACGAUCUCCAUCCAGUGAUUCUCCAGGUGAAAGGAACAUAUGCCAAAAAAACACAUAUUAGUGACGCUUCAUUUCCCGAAAAAUAUUUGCCACGUUUGGAGACAACCUUGGAAGGAACUUGAAUAACUGCAAAAAGAAGACAAAAUAGUUAGCAUAGAUAAUCUAAAAAGGCAUUAACUAGUAUGCAACAUUGUGGGUUUCUCUGAUGGAGUAUUUGGAGACAAUCCUAAGAUUCAACAGUUUUACAUGAAGUGGUUACUUUUAAGACUUCAAAGGAAAAACAGGGACUAAAAUAUAGGAUGUUAAUAUUGAACAGCUAUUAGCCCAUAUACUCAUAUCUAGACAAACCACUAUGUAAACAAUGUCAAAAGUUACUCAUUAAGUAUCGUACUUUUAACUGAACGAAUGGGUAGUAAACUGGUCUGGUCGAAAUGCAUGUUCAGUUUAAUCAUGCUAAGUUUCAGUAAAGAAAGUAUCAUACACCUGAAACAGCACUUACCCAAAACUUCACACAAGCAUCAAUAACCACUGGAACUGAGCAGAUAAAAACGGUAAUCGCAGCUUGAUCAACCUCAAGCCCAUAUCUCUCAAGGAUAAUUUCUAUCAACACCUGCCAACCCGACUCAGAAUGGUACCUGCAUUUCCAGAGUCAAAUAAUAGAGAUUAUCAUAAAGAAAAUAAUAUAUUUGCAUAGUAACCGCUACAAAAUUCUUUACAAUAUACUGCAAUAUCUGAAUUUUCAUUUACACCCUUCGAAGAAUUAUAUUCGCAUAUACAUAUCCUCGAGCUUAUAAAAAUUCCCCUUAUAUUUCUUCAGUGCUGCUUUGCAUGUGGUCGGAUAAUCUGUAUAUUUCUCUAAUCAGAUAUUAUCUUCCAAUUGCCAUUUAUAACAGGAAAUCUUAGAUGAUGCCUGCAAAGAUUCAGAUAACAUACCCCAAAAAAAUGUCCGUAAUUAGAAUGAUAAGAAAUGCCUUUCCGGUGUCUGAAAUAUUAUUUAAUAGCUUAUACCCUGUAAACUUGAGCAAAGCAACCUGAAAAUAGAAAAGAAAGCAAAAGAAUAAAUGAGCUGGCUGAGGAUUCAAAUAUAACAUUAAUUGCAAGGACUACGAAGCGUUUUUCACUAUAUACUAUAAAGCUUAUACAAUGUAGAGACGAUACAAUCUUUACUAAGUUCAGAAAUCAGGUGCAAAAGCAUAAAUGUUGACCAAAUUACAGUUUCCUAUUAUCUGAUGAUCAAUUAUCAGCAUAUUUUUCUUUGGUAUUAAUACAUUAGAUAAUUGUUGAGAGGAUAGUAAUAGUCCAAUUGCUAACAGUAUCUUACUCUGCUAUAUUACCAAAAAGGAAUUUUUAACAUGCAAAUUCUGGGGGAAACAAGAGUAACUGUAAACAAAAAACAAAAAGAAAAAAGAAGGUUGGCAAGUAUUAGAUGGAAGUCUUACCUUGCUCUGAUUGAAAUAAAUAAGAAUAAACAGUGCAAUGCCAUACACCAUAUCGGACCAGAUAUUUGCAAAUGCUUUUCGGUUCUCCAAUCUCCAUUCAUCUCUCAACUCUAUCCUGAUAAAGAGGUAGAACAGAGCACAAGGUUAAGAACGAUCUAGAGAGGUAAAUCUAAUUAGGCAUGACAUAUCAACUUAAAUUCAAAAGAAAAAUGAUAGCAGCAAAGAGGGCAUGAAAUUUAUUAUACCAACCCAUAUCUAACAAACAUGUAUGAAAACAUAUAAAAUAGGUAACUAUUAAUAAUAGCGUUUUGAUAACAAUGUACAGAGACCCCUUUAUAGGUUAUUUUGAAAUAGACGGGCCAUUUUCCUUUUUGAUGGAUAUCUCACUCAGCUGUUAUUGUUUUAAUUUAUGUUACUCAGUUGGAUUCAGGAUUUCAUCAAACUAACUGGUAUUCCAUAACAAUAAAUGAUUAACCCGAAAGAACUACAGGUGCUAUUAACAAAUAACGGCCCAUAGCAAAUGGAGUUGUCGAUUUUAGGCAUGUUUGGUUCAUGAUUGGAAUAGUGAUUGCCUUGGAAUUGGAAAUGGAAUGACGAAUCAUCCAAAAAUAUUUGGUUCAUUAUUGGAACGGAAAUCGGAAUGAGACUCUACGAUUUUGAGAGAGGGUUUUGAUUAAGAGAGAUGAAAGAAGAGGAGGGAGGUGUUUAUGAGAGAGGAUUUUGGGUAUUUUACUUUGGAAUGAGUCAAUCCGGGGUUCAAAGUCAGAUUGGGCCAUAUAUGAAUUUGACCAUCCCCAUUCCAGAGUGGAAUAGGAAUCGAAAUUUGAUUCCUAUAAAACAAACAACAUCUAUCGGAAUUGACGAAUCACAUUCCGAUUCCAUAGUCUAAAGUAGGUGAACCAAACAUGCCCUUAACGUAAUUCCAAAUCAAGUCGUCAAAAAUAGCUCAAAUCAAGACAAGUAGAAGUAUAGUGGUUCUAUUGGAAAAGUUGAGUGAUAAACUCCAAUGGCCUUAUAUUGAGGUGGCCUCCCAACAUUUUUACCAACCACUUUUGCCAGUUAAUUUUAGGAAAAAAGGCAUCAGAAAUCUUACGCUUUGUCCCGCAACUCUAACCAGACUUCUUCAUCAGAAAGAGGAGGAGCUUUACCAAUCUCUGCUUCAAAGCGGUAUCUUGCGCUUUCAACUUUUAGAGCCUUUAUCAUCUCAAGUUUUUGUUGUCUUCUAACAUCAAGCAUCUCAGCAGCAAGGGGCACGAGCUUCACAUACCUAUUUAACAUUAUGAACUCCUUGAAACGAUCAAUCAGGAGGUUUUGUUUAGAUAUAUGCACUGUCAAUGCACUAAAUGCGCCAUGAUCAAAUGCAACAUAUAUAAAGAUAACAGAAAAAUAAAUUAAAUAGAAAAAGAACUCCUAAUUGCAUAUAGGUGCUUUUCCAUUAGAGUAUAAUUCAACGCACUGCUGUCCUUACACAUCCUUUAGUGAUUAUAAGAAGGAUUCUGUACAGUUUUUACUUAAAAUAUCUUAGUGAAUAUUAAAAGAAUAAAAUAACAUAGUUUACGAUCUAACUCUCAUCUAUUUUAGAUUGUUGAUCUCUUGGUACUUUCAGCAAUGGAUACUGCCCAGGUGUCAUCCAUUAUUUCAUAACAAUAUAGAGAAAUAUUCGCUUUUCAGUUUUCACAUGAACUGCACCUUAGCAUUCAUUUGAUGUUUGUCAGUAUGAUUGCAACGAAAUAAAAAUUUAUAAUAGAGUAAUAGACAGCAGCCAAUAAUUAGGUAGCUUAACGCUAAAUAGAAUUAUCACAAAGGACCACAUCAAAUAUUUGAGAGUCCUACAGAUUUUUUUUUUUUUCCUUUUUCUUUCCUACAGCUUAUUGUUCUCUGAAGAUAUUGAAAGCUCUAAACAUCCAGAAAAGCACAGGAGGUAUAUUGCAAAAUGAUAGCAUAAAAAAAUAUACAUCUCAUACCGAUAGACAUCAAAGGAUUACCUAUCUAAAAAAGGCAUGAGAACAUAGUCAUGAACCACAAAGUCUAGAGCCCAUGGAAUCAAGACCAGCAAAGCGAUAAAUUUUGCCUGGAAAAGAGUAUACAUCAGAAAUUAAUACCAGCCCAAAAUUGGCCAUAUGGUUCAAUCUUAACAUUUUUGGUGCAUAUGUUGAGAUCACUCUGAAGAUCCUCAAUGCACAAAAAGCCUUAUGAAGUAAGAGAAUGCUAUGAUUCACCAUGCAAAUUCGUGAGCAUCAAAUCAUUCAAUUUAAAAAUCAAUGGCCAGAAUGAAACUCAACAAAGAGCUUAAGAGCGAAUGGAGCAAUGCAACAUUAGAAUUUGCACCCAUUUGAGCACAUACUACAGAACUCAGCACUGAAGCAUUCUCUUAAACUAUAAGCCAAGCAACCAAAAAAGCAAAAAGCAUACCGAGCUUGUGACCUUAACAUACCGAGCUUGUCGAAGCAUACUUGAAAACCCUAUCCUCGAACAACAACUCGUCAUCAUUCCCGUCAAUCGUAUCCUUGAUGGAUUUAACUAAACCCUUCUCCCACAUUAUCUUACUUGGAUCAUCAAACACCUCAUUUGAAGGUUCACCCCCUUCGCCCCAAUCUGGAUCCCGGGCCCCAAUCCAAUCCUCCCACGCCCGACCAUCUUCACUCCUCGCAUCCUCCUGCGCUUCCCGCAGCUCUAUAAUCGCCUCCGCCUUCCUUCUCCAUGCUUCGAACUCCUCAUUCUCCGUAAUCCCUUCUUCCCGACUUUCCCCCGCAUCACCGCCAAGCACAUCCUCGGCGCUCCACUCGACCUGACCCUCAUAGUCCUCAUCGGAGAACAAUCUCUCCCACCAAGCCCGCUUCUUUAAAUGCCUCUUCUUCCUCCUCUUCGCGAAAGACACCAAACCGCCAAUCCGAUUUCGUUGGGAAAUAAACACAGACAUGUGGUGGGCAUGAGAUUUCCUCCGAAAUCUCUCCCUGCUGUUACAACUGCUCAUCCUGCCGAAGGUAACCAUUAGAGUGCUCAUUAAUUACCUGAAAAAGACGCCACAUUUUUCAAUCUUUCCGUGCCCUAUGAUUAGGGUCUUCGCAUUGCCCUAGCACGCAAUCCACGGCAAAUUCCUCGUCGAGGGAGUAGGACGCAGCCGCGACCUUAAUCGCAUCAAAAGGAAUCGAGAAAUUAGGGUUUGAAGAUGAGGGAGAAGGACAAGGCGAACUAGGGUUUUAGCUCUCCAUGAUGGAGAGGGCGCGAGAGAUAGAGAGAGAGAGAGCGGGAGAGGAGGGAGAGGAGGCGAGAGUGGAUAAUGUACGAACGUAACGGCUCGGAAACUCCACGCAGGUUCGCAACCACGCGUGUUUCCUCGCGGCGUAGUUGAAUGACGUGGCGUUUCCAGGGGUGGGCAUCGGCCAUGCCUUUAAUGGGCCGGGUCGGGUUUUUACCCGGCCCAUUUUAGAUAGUUUUGUGGGCUCUAUAGGCCGGACCCGAAAAGCUUCUACUGCUUCGCGCCCGAAUUCGUAGUGGGUUGGGCUUCUGGGCACAGGACAUUGCUUAGUUUGGGGCUUGCAUGGAAUGGAUUUAAUAUUGCAUCCACCGGGUGUAUAACUACUACACAUACACCGCACCAGUGAUGCAAACGGGGCGGAUCCAUGGGUGCGAGGGGUUUCUGAUCUCACGCCCUAUUUUCUGGGCAGAUCGAGAUGGAUCUGGAGUUGAUAUUUAUCUUAUUUGUUGCCUCCGCUUACCACUCCAUUCAGAACAGGAUUGGAUAUCACCAGAUUUUUCAUUGAUUUUUGAUAAAUCAGGACGUAUUAAGAAAAAGAAGAGGGCUCAUAUGAGUGGUGUUUUUUUUGUUAACUUAUAUUUGACCCUUAUUUAUCGUGUCAUUCAGACGGAUCACAUAAAGCUCUAUCAAUCCAGAUCCAAUUGCAUCCCUACAUCGCAUUAUUACGGACCCGUUUGAUAUUUAGAGUUUCUAUUAGUUAAAAAAAAAAAAAGUUGGCAUGAAAAAUAUAAAAACAUAAUUCUCUAUUUUCUUAUUGGAACUCAAAAAUUAUAUCUUUGCAACUCAUUGCAAUAUAUAAAAUAUGAUAUUUUUUAGAAUAGUAACUACUUUUCUAUUGUACGCAACACAAAUUGCCCACAAACACUAAAUAAAGCCUGAAUCUCCAUAAUAGAGGAAUCAAAAUCAAAAUCAAAAUUUAAAAUCAAAUUGAUAUUUGGCCUAUAUUUAUUAAAAAUUAUACAUUUUGUAUUCAAUUUUUUUUUUUACAAAUCAAACAGAUAGCCUUUUCUCUACAUUUAAUUUUUUUAGGCAGCUUCGAUGCCUAAGUAAUAGCUUUUCAAUAUGCAUAAUAUUUUAUAUAUAGCCUCAGACGAGAAUUUGAUUUUUAAAUAUUACUCAUCAAAUAUAAAGAACGGUGUAUAAAGUGUACGUAUACACUCGGCGCAGGUAACUAUUUCCCCGCUGCAAGAGAGGUGCGUGCCGAGUCACUGCAGUUCCCACGUGUCGGCGUGCAUCAGCACUCACGUGCCACUACUUCCGCACGUGUCCGUGCGCUUUUCUUAUGGCCUUCAUUAUUAAUAAAAUUUUAACUUUUGAAGUUGGUAAUUUGAAAAUAAAUUAAAAUUUUAAUAUUCAAAAUUGAAAAUUUUAUAAUAUAAAAUUUUAAAAUUAUAUUAUACUAUAUAAUAUAUAUAUAUGAUAUAUAGUAGUAUAUAAUAUAUAUAAUAAAAUUGAGCUAGAAUACUUUUUAAAAGUAUACCAAUCGAUGAUGCUAUUAGUUUUUCGUCAUUGGAUCUAUUCCUUGAUUACUAUAGCCCUUGGAUCAAAACACAUCACUAGUACCACCUACACUACCUACCACAUCAUCACAACCUUUACAUUCCUCUCCCAUCAAUGGUUAAAAAACUCAACAAGCACCACUCCAUGGUGCUUUGAAUGCUAUUCUUGCUCAACUCCUCUCCUCUCUCCUGGAUCUCCUUCCGUCUGCUCUCUCUCUCUCUAAUAUAUAUAUAUAUGUGCCGGGAUCUAUAUACUCUUAAGAGAUAACCCCCUUAUACUCAUCAAAUUUUAAACACCGUUGAUUGAUGGCGGAUGUGUCUAGAGAUGAUGGUGUCUCCACAUUAAAUACAUAGUGUCUUCCCUAGGGUUGAGUGGUAGUUGUUUGAAUAGUAUGAUUCUAACGGAGUGAAUAGAUCAAUGAAAUAAAUCUAGGGCCAAAACUUAUGAUUAUAAGGGAGCAAUAUCAUAAACGUAUAGAGUUCCGACUUCAUAUAUUAUAUAAUAUAUAUAUAUAUAUAAUUAUAGUAUAUAUAUAUAUAUAUAAUAUACUAGGUCGACUACUAUUACUAUUAUAGUGCGAUCCGCCUCGUAGAUCAUAAGUUGUUUUCGAUGAUAGAGCUUUCCGUAUCAACGAUCCACACCGUUAAACGUUAUUUACAGCAUUUAAAACUUCUAGAAAUUAAAUUUUAUAAUUUUUCGACAUCAUUUACUUUACGAUCAAGAGGUCCCAAAUUUGACAAUUUUUAACGGCCGUUAUGGGAUACUUGCUAGUUUAACGGUGUAAAAGAAUCGAAAUUUGUUGAAUUUUUGAUAGAAAAUUCUAUUCACUACAUAGAUAAAGAUCAAUAACUCCGAUCUUGAAUUGAAGGAUCCGAUCAUCCUUUUUUAAGACGUCGUUCGAUUUUGACCGUUCAUUUUAUGCCCACUUGAUGGACUUUAUUAUGAUUUCGAAAAUUUACGAAAAUUUAUGAAUUUUAUUUUAUAGAAGUUUCAAAUACUCUAGAUCAUAUUUAACGGAGUGGAUCGUCGAUUCCGAAGCUCCAUCAUUGAAAACAACUUAUGAGUACGAACGCUCCAAUACUCAUAAUAGUAUAGUAGCCAUAGCCUAUAUAUAUAUAUAGGUAGGGAGAGGGAGGAAGGGGCGUUGGAAUACGUGUUAUUCUCUAAACUCUGAAAAAAGAAUAGAUAAAAAUAGACCAGAUGCACCUAAGAUUUUUCUAUAAAUUAUACAUAUGUCUACAAUCAACGGCACCAAAUAUACCGAGUAGUUGAGCCGGACACAUGUCAAUAAAAAAAUACCCCACGCAACUUUAGUAUAUAAUAAUAGAUAUAUAUUUCUCUAUUCUUUUUAUUUGAAAAUUUUGAAGAGCAAAAUAAAUUAAACUGCAAAACCGGUGGGUGACACGUUUGGAAGAAGACGUGGCACUGUUCUUCGCCGUCCAAUCAUUCUCCUCAUUCGAUCCUCGCCCUCAAAAUUUAAUCGCCUUUGCUACUCAAAUGCACGAAAUUUUUUCCAGGUUUGUUACUUAUUCAUCCUUUUUCUUUCAUUUAACGUGUUGUUUGAAUAGUACUAUUAAAAAAUUACAAAAGUAACGACUUUUUUAACAUAUAUUUAACUAAUUAUUACGUCUCUAAAAAUUUUAUAAUAUUCUUUUGAGAUGAUUGUAAGACCAAGGAAAGCACAAGAAGAGAGAGGAUGACGGAGACGAUAAAGGGCGCGGUAGAGAUGGUGGCGGAGGAGGGCGACGGAGGAGGCAUGGGAGGUUGCGAAGGAGAGACUCACCGGGAAGGGCGCGGUGAGGCGGCCGGCGAGGGAGGACAUGGCGGCCGCGAGGUAGAGUGCGGUGGAGGAGGAGAGGAGGAGAAAGGCAAGAGAUCAGGUUUGAAUAUAAAAUAUAAAAACACCGAUCUCUCAUCCUUGUUUAAUCCAAUAUAUACAUACGAAUGGGCUAACUAGAAUCAAGACCUGUAUGCGCAUUGUCUAAUUAAAUUAAUCGGUACAAUUGAAAUUGUAAAUUAAACUGAAAAUAAAAUUGGAUUAAGAUAAAUUUGACAUUGUUUCAUAAAUUUUUUUUUGUUGUCCCCAUCUUCAGGUUAGGAAUUUAAGGUCCCCAUGUGUAGUUAUCCCAGUGAGGAGGGACGUUCGAAUUUUUUAUAAGCUUAAAUUUAAACCUUAUGUGAUAGACAUUUAUUUCUGAAAUAAUAAGGCCAACAAUCUAAUUAAAAAAAAAAAAGAAUAUAUAUGAUAUUUAAGUAUUUAUACGAUCAAAUAAUUUGAUCAUACUAUAUAUAGUAGGAAAAUUAUUCACCAUUACAUAUUCAACCACCAAAAGGUGGAAGAUAAUGGAUCAUGGACACUUAUAUUUUGCAGCAACAGUACUGGUACAGUGGUGCAACACAUUCUCCUCCUUUGGGGUAAAAUUUCAAGCAGUAAUUGUUGCAAUCCCCAGGAAUGUCCUCGCACUUCCCUUGGCAUAUGUAGGUUGCUUUCCCUACAAUAAUAAAAAUAUCAUAAACAAAUAAAAAAUAAAAUCAAGAGAGAGGAUCAUCAUGUCAACCUUUCUCAUAGAAAAAGAAAUAUUUGGUAUAUUCAUAUGCAUUUCUUUUAUUAAUAUAAUAUCAUCAACAGCUAAGAAAUUUUUACAUACUGAUUAUAUAAAGAGAGAUACACAGAAAGAUGGAUUAGUCUAAAUUUUUUCAUUCACUAUUGAAACUAUAAUAAAUUUUUUAGCCGGUGUGUUAAGCUUGGAUCCUUUAUAUCAAAACAAAAUCUUAGUAAUCAGUAAUUGUUCUUGAAUCAAAGGGUUUAUCUUUGUCUAUUUUUAUUUGAGUCGAAUUCAUAACUGUUUGAAUUGUGUAAUCUCCAAUUAUUGAGAUUGGUAAUCGACCCAAAGCAAUUUGAUUAUAAUUCAAUUCGUGACGAUCAUAAGUAGAAAGUUCAUAUUCUUCGGUCAUUGAUAAACAAUUUGUUGAACAAUAAUCGACACAGUUACCACAAAAUACAUUAGUCGGUAUCAUCUCAACUACUGUUAAAAUCAGUAAAAAUAUUUUGGGCAUCAACUAUAUAUUCACGCGUAUUUACUUUUGGAAAAAAUUGUUGUAGUUUUUGCUGAGCAGAAAAUUUCUACUUACUGGCCAGAAUGCGCACACGAGAGAGAGAGAGAGAGAGAGAGAGAGAGAGAGAGAGAGAGAGAGAGAGAGAGGAAUUACCACCAUGAGCAAAGAGAAGAACAAGAAAUGUAAGAACCAUGAAGAGCUUGCUCCAAAUGGUGAGGAAAGUGAGGGACAUCUUGUGUUGUCACUUUGCUCUACUUUAGUCUUAAGCAUGGAAUCAAUUAAGAUUGCUACCAUUUUAUAUUUUCGGUUAAAGGUGAAAACAGUUAGUUAUACUUUUUUUUAGCACCACAACACAGUAAGUGACAGUUGUAUUAUAUGCUUUGGAGAUAUUAAUUAUAGUAUAUCUAAGGCACCACAUUUUCAAUAUGUUAUUACUAUAUGCGCGAAAUUUAAAAUCUAAUUUGAAAAUUAUAAAUUUUGAACACCUAUUUUCUCUCAGGCUGAUCGCCAUUCUUUCUUCAUCAUCGAUUAUUAAGUUUACAUGAUAUCUUAUACAAUAUUUUGUAAAUAUGAAGUGUGAUAAAAUGUCUAAAAUAAAUAUCACAUCCUUUCGGACCUUCUACGCAAUGUUUUUGUCCGGGUGUUGCGCUUUUUUCUGUUUUGCACAUAAAUGUUUCCGACAUACACGUGGACUGACGUGAUUGCGCCUUUAGAAAUUGCUUUUUCUUUUUUAGUUUUGGGCUGGGCUUUGUUGGGCUUUAAUACGGACCAAUCUAAUUGUGGACUUUUAUUUUUUUUUUUAUUUUUAUUUUUAUUUUUUGGUUCGGAAACUAUGGAAAAGAACGCAUAAACAAACUAUUAGUUGUAAAGUAUUUCAAUUUUAUCUACUAAAAAGUGAUUGAUACUAUAUAAUAUUCAGCGGAAUCACCAACGAAUCUGACAAAAUUUUUAAUUUAUUUGAUAAUAAUAACUCAAUUGUUAAAAAAAAAUAAAAAUUUGUGGAAUAAAUUGAUCCAAACUAUUUACAUUGUGUGCGUUAACGUACUAACAAUAUAUAAGAGGAAUAUUGUAGCGGAGCAUUAACAAUACUCAUCUCUCUCCUUUUUUUCUUUUUUUUUUUUGUGUUUUAACAACAAACUCGUGAAUAUGUUAGUGAACUAAGAUGUUACAAAAUUUUUUAAAAAACUUGAAACCUCGAGUACCAAUUAGUAAACCUUUUUAUCACUUAUAUUAAAAAUUAUCGAUAAUAUAAAGACAAUAUAUUAGGCGUACUAUUAUAAAUUUAUAUAAUAUUGUCAUUAUAUAUUGUUGACGUUGAUUGUUGACGUUGACGACGAAUUUGAUGCUAAAGUUUUUGAUUGGAUCACGCGCGUAGGCCGCGUGGCGUCGUUCGGCAACUGCGAGGUGUCGCUCCGUGGAAUGGUGAACGCUGUUUGUGGUGGCACAGCCAACACAGAGUGUACCCUCACGACACGGCAAAGCAACGGCGCCGUCACGGUGGGGCCCAAGCAGCCCAUUUUUUUAAUAAUAAUAAUAAAAAAUAAUAAUUAAGACUCGGGCGAUGACAACGUUACGUUCCUUUUUCUUUUUUCUUUCUUUUUUUUUUUUAUGUCAUACGUGAACGCACACGUGUUCCUUUCGCUCCGUACGAGAAUAUGCCAAGGAGAUAUCUGAUGCGUGCUCCAUCGGUUAAAAUAGUAAGAUUUUAUGGGCUUCGAAAUGAGAAAGAUAAUAUUUUUGUCAUUUAAAAAAUAAAUGAAUACUAUUUAAAUUAAUAAAUUUUAGAAAAAAUUUUAAAUAUCAUUCCUGUUGUUUUAGUUUUUUUUACUUUAGUAUCAUAUGAUUUAAAGUAUAUUAAUUUAGUGCAAUGUGAUUUUUUUUUAUUUUUUUAUUAUCAAUUCUACUAAUAUUUUUAUUAAAUUAGCGACAAAGUUAAAACUAAAAGAUACUAAAAUAAAUAUUUGAUAAACUAAUGUAGGGUAUCUGAUAUUUUUUUGUAUACAAUUUGACCAAUAUUAACAGAAAAGCUGAUGAAAAAAUAUAAAAAUGAAACACUAUUUGAUACAUUUUCAGCCACAGAGUAUUAAAAUGAAAAAAAUACGAAACUACAGGGAUGAUAUUUGAAGUUUAUUCUAAAUUUAAUUUUAAUUUUAUAGUCUGAAAUAGAUGAAGAAAAUAAGAUUUUUUUUUUUUUAACGUAUUUACUUACCUACAAAAGUGAUAUGUCCAAGAAGAGAGGUGUUAAGAUUGUGUUACUUUCGUUCGUAAUAUUAUAUUUCAUAUAUCACGAUAAAUUAUUGUUAUGAUCCAAUCGAAUAAUAUAAAAGCAUAUUGCUAUAUAUUUUUAUUUUAAUUUUAUUUUAUUUAACAGCAUCAUCAGAUGAAUUACCCAACUAAACUGUGCUUAAAUUAUACGUGAAACAAUUGGGAGGCGGCGAGACCUAAGCGCGUAGAUCUGGGAAAAUCUGGGCGUGGGACCCGCGAUGACAGGACAUGCCGCCCUACUCACAAUACCACGCGAUGACGUGUCUGCCGUCUGACAGCCGUGACAUUUUCUUCACUUUUUUUAAAAAAACUUUCAAAUCGCACUUUCUUAUUUUAAUACUUUAUGAUUUAAAUUGUAUAAGUUAGUACCCUAUAAUUUCACAUUUUUUCACCGUCUCACUUUAGUAUCCUGUAAUUUCAAGUGUAUAUCAUGUGGUUUCGCACUUUUUAACUUUAGUACCCCUAUAGUUUAAUAUUUCGUUAAAUUAAAUAUUUUGAAAUGGAUAAUAACAAAUAAAAUAAAAUUACAGGGUACUAACUUGAUGUAAAAAUAAAACCACAUGAUACUAACUUAAUACACUUUAAAUUAUAGAGUACUAAAAUAAGAAAGUGUAAAAUUAGAGGAGAGUAUUUGAAGUUUUCUUUUUUUCAAUCUUUCUAAAGUAUAUGUGUCGGUGUAUAUAGAACUAGAUUACUAUAUUUAUAGUGUCAAUAUUUGUAUGUUUUCAUCUUAUUUUCAAAUUUUUAAAAAUAAAAUUUUAUAUUUUUUAAGGAAUGGAAUUUGAUUUAGAGUAUUUUUUUAUUUUUUGACUGAGGUUUUGUUGUCUCAUUCUAUAAAUAGCUAAAUUUAUUUUCAAAAUGAAGUGAAUUUUUUAUUUUUCUCUAGAAAAUAUAUUUUUCUAGAAUGUACUAAGUUGUUGUUAUAUGUAGGGACUUGUUGGGAAAAAAAAAGAAAAAUGUUGCGCAAAACAAGUAUUUUCUAAAUGUAAUGAUAUUUUUAAAUAUAUUAUUAGUUUUAAUUUAAUUUAUGUGUGUAAUUUAAAAUACCAUAUGAAUCUAAGGCCAUGUACCUUAUAUUGCAUAAAUUUCUCAAAGAAAUUAAAAAUAAGUGCUUCUUUAAGAAGUAUCGAAGCACCAAAACACCACUCCCAAGUCUCCAACAACCACAGACUAUGCAGCUUUUGGAUCCUACCAAGAUCUGUAGCUCCAGUUCUAAAUUUAACAUAAAAUGAGUUGGGUCCAUUCAAAUUGUAGUGCCCCACAGAGAAAUUCUCUUUCUGAUCAAAUGAUUCUUAAUUAACUAAUCAAAUUUCUUUUUUCACUUUUAAUACUCUAAAUAAAACAGAACUAAUUAAUUAAUUAAUAGACCCUUUAUUAAAAUCUACAUAAUAAUAAAGCGAGGAACAAAAAUAGAAAAUAACAACUAACCAAGUCCAUCAUAUUAUUAUUAUUACUAUAUAUAUAUAUAUAAAUUUACAUCUUGAUUCUAUAUCUUUCAAAUCCAACAAAAAUAAAAAUAAAACAGUUAAAGUUAACCAAGUAAAAUUACAAAAUUAAUUCUUGGUCUGAUAUAGCCGGUGCCAAAUUUGUGUGCUGACUGACAUGACAAUCCUUAAUAAUUUUUACCAGGCGGCCUCCGACGGCGGAGGAGGGGGGAGGUUGAGGUCGAUAUCGAACGGGAACCCUCUCGACAUCGCUAUCGCCGCUGCCGACGACGACGAUGAGGAGUUGGAGUUGGAGUUGGAGCUGGAGUCGGAGUCGGAGUGGCGGAGGCAUGCGGGCGGCGCGGUGCGGAGGAGGAGCGUGAAUCCGGGGGAGGAGCAGACGGCAGCAGGGGGAGGGGGAGGGGAAGGGGGGAAGUUGGUCUUGGCCUUGGGGCCGCGGAAGCGGAGGGCGGCGGCGUCGUAGGCGCGGGCGGCGGCCUCGGGGGUGUCGAAGGUGCCGAGCCAGACGCGCCGCCGCUUCGCCGGGUCGCGGAUCUCCGCCGCGUACCGCCCCCACGGCCGCUGCCGCACUCCCCGGUAUCGCACCCCCAUUAUCACCUCGCCCCCCCUGCAGUUACACUUCUCCAGCUCCUCCUCCUCCUCCUUGUGCCCCAUUUUGUUUUGUUUUUUUUUUUAAGUUUUUUUUAAUUUUUAUUUUUGGGAUGUGGAGAGAGAGAGAGAGAGAGAGAGAGAGAGAGAGAUUAGAGUGGUGGGUGGGAUGUAUUGUUACCAAUUGAUUGAUGAGGGUGUAUAUAAAGGAGAGAAGAGGGGGAGGAGAGGGCGCGAUGAGUUUGACCGCGACGGUCGCGGGGCGGGGGGCGCCGCCCCGGCCUUUUUCAUUUAAUAAUAAUAAAAAAAAAAUAAAUAAAUAAAUAGCGGUUACAAAUAUAUAUUCUAUAUUAAUUCAAGGAAAAACUUCAGAAAUGCUCCCAGUGGUUUCGCACUUUUUUAUUUUAGUACUCUGUAAUUUAAAGUGUAUCAAGUUAGUAUCCUGUGGUUUCGCAUUUUCUCACUUUAAUACUCUGUGGUUUAAAGUGUAUUAAGUUAGUACUCUGUGAUUUUAUUUUUGUAUCAAAUUAGUACCUUUUGGUUUUUAAACUACGGGAGUAUUAAAGUGAUAAAGUGCGAAACCAUAGGGUACUAAAGUGAGAAAGUGCGAAACCACAUGGUACUAACUUAAUACACUUUAAACCAUAGGGUACUAAAGUGAGAAAGUGCAAAACCACAGGUUACUAAUUUAAUAUACUUUAAACCACAGAGUACUCAAAUGAGAAAGAGUGAAAUCAAAGGGGGGUAUUUGAAGUUUUUCCUUAAUUCAAUUAUUAUUUACAAAGAUUUUUUUUUUUUUUAAUGCACACACGCUCAUGCUCGCUAAAGGGGGUUAAGGGUGGGGACCGAAAAAUUAAUUUUCAGUAUAAAAAAUAUUUUUUUCGUUUAUUUAAUUCGACGUAAAAGUAUAAAAUAAUUUGUCUUAGCGGAAGAUGUGGACUUUGUUGGGGUCUUAAACACCUCUAUAAAUCAUGCUUAGUAAUUAAUUAAUUAAUGAAUUCAUUCUAAGUAAUACUAUUCUCUUAUCGGAAUAUGUGGAUUUUGCUCGGUCCACGUAUUACAGUAGUAGUAGUAGUACCGCGGCGUCGUCUCUGCUGGGCCCACAAUAAUUGUUGUCGCCAUAUUAAAGACCCUUAUCUUUGAGUUAGGCUUUUUUUUUAAAAAAAUAUUUAUUUAUUUUUUAUUUUUUUUUUGCGACAAGAGCACCGCAUUACUGUAUCUCACCUCAAUUAAUUUUUUUAAAUUUUAUUUGCUGUCAAAUUUUAGACUCUUUUCCUUCUCUUUACACGUGGCGUCCAGCGGUCGUAGGCGGAUCCUCCACCGUCCAAGAGAACAACUCUCACUGCACCACCAGACGUACAUGUAAAUUUUGUACAACUUAAUUUAAAAAUCUACCUAAUAAUAUUUUUAUAAAAAUAUACAAAAUCUGAUUAUUAAAUUAUAAUUUUAUAAUAUUAUUUAUUAAAAGUAAAUUAGAUACGCUGCAAGCGACUACUGGUGCAAGUCAUGAAUUUUCUCGACAGGUCCCCCUUAUGGGGGAUAGGGAGCGGUUAGUGGUGGCGUGUGGGCUCUCCCAUGACAUCUCCUUCUUUUAAUCCUGCUGUCUCGCGCUCUCGCUCUAUUUAUUUCUCUCUCUUUCACUCGUAUGGAAAAAGUCCAGGAUAUUGUGUCAAUAAAAUAUCUUAUAUAGAGUGUUGCAAUCAAUCAUAUAUAUUUUUUAAAAAUGAUCUAAUUCUAUAAUAAUUUAUAAAAAUAUAUUUUUUUAUAAUUUUUUUAAAAAAAUAUUAGUAUAAUAUAACUAAUGUAAUGUGAAUGCUACGAUGAAAACUUCCUCAGCACGCCGGCGCCCCACAGUGCGGGCAGACACGUGGGGAAAGAUCCUUCUGGCGCCACUGCCACGUGAGUGGCGGUGGUUGACGCGAAUCUACUGAUUGAUGGUAACACUUUUAUAUACAUAUAUAUAUGGAAAAACUUUAAAAACUCCACGUGGUUUCACAUUUUUUCAUUUUAGUGCCAUGUGGUUUAAAGUGUAUCAAAUUAGUAUUUUGUGGUUUCUCACUUUAUUACUUUAGUACUCUGUGAUUUAAAGUGUAUCAAGUUAGUACUUUGUGGUUUUAUUUUUGUAUCAAGUUAGUAUCCUGUGAUUUUAUUUUUGUAUCAAGUUAGUAUCCUGUGGUUUUUAAACCACAGGGUACUGAAGUGAUAAAGUGCGAAACCACAAGGCAAAACCACAGGGUACUAACUUGAUACACUUAAAACCACAGGGUACUAACUUUAUACACUUUAAACCGGGUGCUAAAGUGAGAAAAAGUGAAACCACAAGAGGGGUAUUUGAAGUUUUCCAUAUAUAUAUAUAUAUAUAUAUAUAUAUAUAUAUAUAUAUAUAUAUAUAUGGGGCAAUUGCUUAUAUACUCCUGAAAAGUUUCCGACUUUUCGAUUUAUCCAUCUUAGAAGGCUAAUAUUGAAGAUACCCUUUCUACGUUCCAACAUAUUUCUAAUAUACCCAUAGAGUUAAAAUCCGUUAAUUAACUCUGUUAUCUCUGUAAAAUUACUAUUUUACCCUUUCAAAUAUACUUUUUCACCAUCACGAACUUUCUUAUUUGCCCUUAAAGUCAAGGGGCACAAAAGUAUUUUGACUUUUGGUCUUUUCCGAUGUACCCCUCUACCGUCAUCAACAUUUCUUAUUUGCUUUCAAGUUAAGGGUAAAAUUGGUAUUUUAAUUUUUUUUUAACUGUGGUAGAUAUUUAACUCACGUUUAACCUAAGUUAACUUAACAGAAGAUAACUGCAGAGGUAUUUUGCAAUAACGGUGGAACAUAUGAGGGGUAUUUUAGAAAAAAAAAAAGAAGAAUAAAUUAGAUAUUUUCAAAUGUAUGAGAGGUAUAUAGGCAAUUAUUCCUAUAUAUAUAUAUAUAUAUAUAGAGUGAGGCUACUAUGCUAUCGGAAGNNNNNNNNNNNNNNNNNNNNNNNNNAAAAAAAAAUUGAUAUUUAUAAUUUAUAAUUUAAAAUUAUAAACUUUAAUUUAGAUUAUAAAUUAUAAAUUUUAAAAAUUUAAAAUUUAAUUUUUAAAAUUUUAAAAUAAGAAUAGGAUGGGAACAAUUAAUAAAAAUAAUUUAUUAUAAAUAAAUUUAUAGAUUUUUUUUAAAAAUUCUACUUAACUUAAAUUUAAUAAAAAGAAUUUAUUAUAAUACUUAAAUAUAAUUUAUUAUAAUUUUAUUAUAAUAUUUAAAUAUAAAUAAUAUUGUAUUAAUAUAGUAUAAUUAAAUUAUUAAAUAAAAUAAUGUAUUAUAAAUAUAUAAUAUUAUAUUUAUAUACUUUAGUUUUAAUUCAAUUUAAAUUUUAAUUAAGUUUGAAAUUAAGCAUUGGAAUAGCGCCAUUCCACUAAAAUGGUGGAAUAACAAAUUUCUUACUAUCCGGGAUAACCGGGAAUAGCAAGGUUUGACCGGAAUAAAAUAUUCCGGUCAAUUUUCAUCCCGUUUGGCGGAAUAGCGGGAUAACUUUCGUUAUCCCCGCUUAUUCCCCCAACAAACGGGGCAAGUGUAUAAAUAGGAUUUAGGGUUGCCUCCACUUUCAUUGACGCUUGACCUUGGUGAUUGAGUUUAGGAGACGCAACGACCUGUCAUAUCACGUACGACUCUACACCCUAGCUCCACAGUAGAAAGAAGAGAAAUUCUGUCUUGUGCAAUUUUUUUUUUCUUUUUUUUCCUCUUUAGAGAAUUUCUUUCAUUACAGUUAUUCGGUAUAACAUAUAGACAUUCUAUCAAAAUAUUUUAUAUAUAAUAUAAAAUAUAAAUAAUUAAUUUUUACAAAAAUAUUAUUUUUAUUACUUUUAAAUUAUUUUAUACAUUACAACUAAUUAAUUUAGAAUAUAUUCUGUAUCAAGUUAUAUUUAGAAUAUAUCCUGAAUAUAUAUAUAUAUAUAUAAUAUAUAUAAUAUAUAUAUUAUAUAUAUAUAUUAUAAUAUAUAAGUGAGACUAUGGCUAUCGGAAGCACAGAGCCUUCCGUGCUUCCAGCUCGUUUUUGAUGUUGCGACUUUCGAAUCGUCGAUCGGCUCCGUUAAACUUGAUCUAGAGUAUUUGGAGUACCUAGAAAAUAAAUUUAUUAUUUUUCGAUAUCAUUUGCCUAGUGAUUGAAUGGGCUCAAAAUCAACAAAUUUCAAUGGCCGUAUGAGCCGUUUGCAAUUUAACGUAUAAAAAUAUCCAAAUAACGUGAAAUUUUGAUAGAAAAUUUCUUAUACUAUAUAAAACAAGAUCAAUAUUUUUGAUUUAAAAUUUUAAUGUCAUAUUAUUACAUUUUGUAAGAUUUUAUUUUCAGCCGUUGAUUUUGAGCCCCUUCGUUCACUAGGUAAAUAUAUCGUAAAAUCAUAAAAUUUAUUUCCUAAGUACUUCAAAUACUCUAGAUUAAGUUUAACGGAGCCGAUCGACGAUUCGAAAGUCGCAAACAUCGAAAACGAGUUAGAACACGAAGGCUCCGGCUUAUAUAUAUAUAUAUAUAUAUAUAUAUAUAUAUAUAUAUAUAUAUAUAUAUGGGGCAAUUGCUUAUAUACUCCUGAAAAGUUUCCGACUUUUCGAUUUAUCCAUCUUAGAAGGCUAAUAUUGAAGAUACCCUUUCUACGUUCCAACAUAUUUCUAAUAUACCCAUAGAGUUAAAAUCCGUUAAUUAACUCUGUUAUCUCUGUAAAAUUACUAUUUUACCCUUUCAAAUAUACUUUUUCACCAUCACGAACUUUCUUAUUUGCCCUUAAAGUCAAGGGGCACAAAAGUAUUUUGACUUUUGGUCUUUUCCGAUGUACCCCUCUACCGUCAUCAACAUUUCUUAUUUGCUUUCAAGUUAAGGGUAAAAUUGGUAUUUUAAUUUUUUUUUAACUGUGGUAGAUAUUUAACUCACGUUUAACCUAAGUUAACUUAACAGAAGAUAACUGCAGAGGUAUUUUGCAAUAACGGUGGAACAUAUGAGGGGUAUUUUAGAAAAAAAAAAAGAAGAAUAAAUUAGAUAUUUUCAAAUGUAUGAGAGGUAUAUAGGCAAUUAUUCCUAUAUAUAUAUAUAUAUAUAUAGAGUGAGGCUACUAUGCUAUCGGAAGCACGGAGCCUUCCGUGCUUCUAACUCGUUUUCGAUGUUGCGACUUUCGAAUCGUCGAUCGGCUCCGUUAAACUUAAUCUAGAGUAUUUGAAGUACUUAGGAAAUAAAUUUUAUGAUUUUACGAUAUCAUUUACCUAGUGAACGAAGGGGCUCAAAAUCAACGGCUGAAAAUAAAAAUCUUACAAAAUGUAAUAAUAUGACAUUAAAAUUUUAAAUCAAAAAUAUUGAUCUUGUUUUAUAUAGUAUAAAGAAUUUUCUAUCAAAAUUUCACGUUAUUUGGAUAUUUUUAUACCGUUAAACUUGCAAACGGCUCACUACGGCCAUUGAAAUUUGUUGAUUUUGAGCCCAUUCAAUCACUAGGCAAAUGAUAUCGAAAAAUAAUAAAAUUUAUUUUCUAGGUACUCCAAAUACUCUAGAUCAAGUUUAAC